rnacentral:lncRNA from 1 species
UCAUAAGACAUUCUGGUCCCCAGGGCUGAACUGAAGCCCGGUACAUAUUGCAUGUACUAUUGUACACACACCCACAGACCCAGGUUGGUUAGGCCAUCCUUGAAGGAGUUGUUUAAGUUAUUCAUUGGUGAAUUUUUUAUGCAUCUUUGUCUUGGAAGCACUACAAGAAAUUUGGCCUUUUGUGACAAUAAAAAGUUAUCACUAAAAAUAAGAAAGUCGUCAUUAUAUGAAUAUAGUGACGACUUUUUCCAUUGUCACAUCGUUGUCACUAAUUCUAUGUCACAAAUGGGUACGUGUGACAACCUCUACAAAGUCGUCACUAAAUAUUAUUAUUUAAUGACGAAGACUAAGUCGUCACUAAAGAAUAGUAUUCUGUGACGAAGUUUCUUGUCACUGUUUCCAAAAUUUUUUUGUCAUAAAAGAUAGCAGAGGUCAUCACAAAUUUGAACGCGCACAGUGACGACUUAAACUUGUCACUCUCACUCCUAGUAUUUUGUGACAAGAAUAAUCGUCACUUAGUGAACUUACAACUUUGUCUACAAGAGCUGCAAUUCUAUUGCAUUUUCAACAACCAUAGCAGAAAAUUGCGGCUCGACUAAUGCAAAAAAUGAUAGUAAUUAAUGUACAAUGAACCCUCAAAUAUAUAUAUAUAUAUAGUUAUAAACAUCUCUAAAUUCAUCACAACACACAUUAACCAAAAUGGGUUCCAAAGCCCACAUUAGUUCAACUACUAACAGCCAUUAUCCAUCCAAACAAUAGAGUACUAAAUUCACAUUAGUUCAACUAGUAGCAACCAUUACGCAUCCAAAAAAACAAAGUACUCUUUCCAAACAAAAACAUAGACUAAAGCAGCAAUUUGUGUCAAACUGAAGUCAUCUUCAUGAGCAUAUCCAAAAGCCAACCUUUUUCACCUCCUCAAGAGCAUUUAAUAGCAUUGUACUGCAUUGAAAGAAAAGUAUCAUAUGCAUUAGAAUCGAUUUCAGUCAAAAAAUAUGCCAUUACAAGCAUACACUACUGAAUUUGAAUGAAUAGUCAUACUGAACAAAAAUCCAAUUAAGUCAAUAUGAUAAGCUCCCACCAACAUCACGUACAAUGUCACACCACAUGACCAUACAUCUGCAAUCUAGAAAAUAGACAGCAAUUACAAAAUGAAUGAAGACCUUCUUGAGACAAAACUAUUUAAUGAGCAGAAAGUAGGCAGCAGUGCCUGCCUGUUAAGCAGGAAGAAAUGAACUGAACAAGCAUAACCACUAGCACAAAGUUUACAAGAUACUUGAGACAAGGGCCAUAUUGCUGAUUUAGAAGCAACAGUACUACUACUUUUGACUAUGUUUGGAUGCAAGUUGGGGAUACUAGUCGAUCUAGUAAUACCAUAUCACAGCAAAAGGGAGGAAAUCCCAUUAUACUAUCACAGUGAAGAGUUAACGAGAAGAGGAAACUAAUGCUCAGAGGGAGAGAAUCUCUGUAAAUUCUUCAAGAAUUUUGAUGAUACAGACCUUCCCAUCAUAUUCCUUCCUUGACAGGACCUCAGGUGCAAUAGAUGCUGGUGUUCCAACUACCGAUUUGGGUUGUGAGUGCAACAAACCAGACUGCAAGUAAAUGCCAGAAACCAACAAAAUUUCAAAUUAUCCACAAAAAAAUAUGAAGUCAAUUGAAUCACAAUUUUUUUUAAUUCCAAAUGCAAAGAUUUGUAACCUUAGAAUAACCAAAAUCACAUAUUUUAAGACGUGGUGUUGGACUCCCAUCCAAAAGUGUGUUUUCUAGCUUCAAGUCCCUGUGACAGAUUUCCUGCGUUGAGAGAACAAUGAGAUAAUAAUAAGAGGACUCAAAAAGAAUAAAUAGUUCUAAUAUCUCACCAUUGAAUGACAGUAACUAACACCAGAUAUUAGCUGCUGGAAGAAAAAGCGAGCCUGCGUUUUAACAAUAAGAAAGUCCCAUAAGUAUCUCUCUAUAAAAUCAAUGCCAAAAGAAAAUGAGAUCAAGGCAAACGAAAUAUAUUUUGCAUGUUUUUACAUCUCAUCUUCAUUGAAUCCACUAGCACUACAAAUUUUUGCAAAGAGCUCUCCACCAGCAGCAUAUUCCAUCACAAUAGCUAAAUGUGUCGGAGUUAGCACGACCUGCAAACAAAAGUAUGCUUCAAAACAUGGCUCCAUGAUUUUUAUCACAGACAUCUCCCACUAAGGAAGUUGAAAGUACAAACAAGUUUCUCAUCCUGAUUCAUAAUCUAGUUCCAUUUUCUAUCUUGUCAGCUCUCAUCUAUGACCUCAAAGACAACGCUCUUUUCUAUUUAAUUGAAGCCGAAAACAGGACCCAUUCCAUUCCCUCUAGAAAAAGUGUAAUCUGAGUGCCAAAGUCUUGAACUACCGAUUAGCAACCAACUUCGGCCGAAUAAAAAUGUCUUCCUGUACCACUUAUAUUAAGCAUGAAAAAGCAGUACAUGUCGCUACUUUAACAUGCUUUACUCAGACCUUGAGGAAUGGGACUACUUCUAGAUAAUAAGACACAAAUUUUUCUAGGUGUCCCCACCUCUAAAAAUGCUGUAUUUCUUCCAAAAUCUAACUCCAAUUAUUAGGACAUUCGCUGCUUAUAUAAUGGAAAAUAUAUACUUUAUAGGCGUUUAUCAGUUUUAUAGCUAGACUCUUCAUCACUGGAGGCUCGAUGCAAGAUAAAUUUGACAAGGUGAAUCCAUUCAUCAAGAAAACUCAUGUGUGUGAUAGUGUUCAUCCUUGAACUUCACUUAAUUUAAUAGCUGAUCUAAUAAACGCCACUUAAUUUAACAAAUCAAUAGCUGAUCAAAAUAUGACCAUCAAACUAUUAAAUUUGACAACAUCUUAGGCACACAAAAAGAAGUCCUAGAAUGUUAAGAACCAAAUGAUACUUGAGUCUUUAAUCAUCCUCAGAAACACACAUCACCAGGAAGGAGAUGCAAAAUAUGUUACACCAGAAUUUACCUUUUACCAGAUUUGACAGACCAUUUUCCUUCAAACUUCUUGAAAUCACCAUCAACCGUGGAAAACUGGAGUUCACGGUCAUUUGCCUAAAUAAAUUUCAUUUGCAAAUAGUUAACUGAGAUAAAGUUAUCACAUAAGAAUGCCUAGUUACUACUACCUACUCCAUCAGAAUGAAAAUGUAGUUUAACAUCUCACAUUAUAUUACUUGCAAUAACUGCUUUGUUGUCUUUGCCUUUUGUAAUGAAUACCGGCUUUUCAAUGUUGAUGUAUAUAUUCGCCCUUACCCUACUCAUAUCUUUAUCAAAGUUCAAUAGUUAAAUGUUCUUCACUUGAAGAAAGUUUCUAUGUAACAGAUGCAAAAAAAAUUUGCAGCUCAAAUAGCAGCCUGACAUAUAUAGUUAAUAUCUUAAGAUUAUAGAAAUGCUUUAAUAUCUCAAGUUUACCAGAUGACUGCUUUAAUCCCCUAUCAAAUGACCUGUAAAUCUCAUCCAAUUUCUCAAAUGCUGAUUUCGUCCAAACAAUAAACCUCCUAACGUGAUCUCCCAUUGUAUCCGAUCCCUUGACUGCUGCCAUUUCUUGUCCUCCUUCCAGCUUUCAUCAUUCCUUUUCCCAUUUUCCUCCUCCUCCGUCUCUCUGCAGUCUGCAUCUGCUUCCUCGUGAUGGACAUGGUCUCAGCUUCAGAAGCAAAUAAUAAUAAUAAUAAUGAGCAAAACCCACGGAACCCCACCAGAAAAAAUGUGCCACCACAUGUUUUUAAGAAAUUCAUUAGAUUGAUUUGAAGACCUAGAGCAACCAAAACUAUAGAUAAGUCUCAAUCAACUACGUAUCUCAACAUGCAUAACUUUCAACUGCAACAUCUGAGAGCCUAAAUUGCAAAUAACAUAAUUUAGCAAAACAUGAAUCUAAGAGAAGCUUGAACUUGGUGGUGCUGAACUAUACCUCCAGAUCCACGGCCAAAGCCAGGCCUUCCACCAGAACCCCUGAAAGUAGGCUGGAAAUCCGCAGGAGCUCCACCUUUCUCACCACCAAACUCACCAGGAGGUCUAGGGGACCAGCACGAUACCCCUCCCUGUCACCAAAUCUGGGCCUACCCCCAUCAAACCUUGGUGGUCCGCGAGGGCAGUCACCAAGAGGUCCACCCAUAGGACGACUGAGGGGCUUGGCGGACUUCUUAAGAGUAGCAGGAAUAAUUUCAGAGGGAAGAUUGAGGUAAGUCCUCAAGAACUCGAUGCCGUCGUUCGUAAGAUACCAGUAGUAAUGCAUCCAAGCGAAGGUUUCCCGGACGUUCUCCUUGGACUUGAAGCUCUGCAUCAGCUUAAUCACCUGCAAGUUUGGGACAUCAAUCUCGGGAUGCUUCGCCAAAUUAAAAUCUUUCUUCGCUAUUAUCCAACGACCAUUGAGUUCCAAGAGACAACAUCUCUCCUGGGCAUCUCGUCUAGGACAGAACGAGCACCCGUCAAACUCCCACAUUUCCCAUACAUGGCUAUUAAACCAUUCCCGACAUAUAAAUUUCCAUCAAGAUUCAUUUUCAAGACUUGGGUAUGAACUUGCAAGCCAACCCGCAGAUCCAUAGAGGCAGAGCAAGCUUUUAGAAUACAGGGGAAUGUAUAAUAAUCAGGGUUCGUGUUACUCGAAUUCAUGCUCUUAAACAUGAAGAGAGCAUCAUGAUAAAGAUGGUUGUUGACGUAGCUUCUAAUCAUAACAUUAAAAAUCACAACAUUUCUCUCGGGAAUUCUAUCGAAUAUCUGGCGGGUAAUACUGGUUUGGCCACGAGCAGCAUAGGCCCGCAUCAACUUGAUGCCAAAGGAAAUGCAGGAGUUGAGGUUCAGAUGUAAGAUGAUCCUGCAGUGGAUUUUUUUCAAGGUUCUGAUAUCUGGCCAUUUGUCUAAGACUUGACUGUAAGAAACGGCCUCCGAAGAGACCGUGGCAGUGGGCAGGAGUAGUGCUUUUUGACAGGUAGUUGAAAACUGGCGGAAAACAUGAAGGGGAACGACGACGACGAAGAGAGAGGCAGAGAGAUAACAAAAUGAACACUAGGCGGCCUCCGGUGACCCGAUUGUGCAGCAGCUCCUCCUCCUGAUUAGGGAUUUUUGCUGCACCGAUCUAGGGAUUUUUGCUAUCUGCAACUCCACAAAAUCUACACAAAUCUUUUGGGUAGCUCAAAUUAGGGAUGAAAAUGGUGGCUCAAAGUGAUUUUUUGGAUAAUUUCAACAAGAUGGCAGUGGAGAGAAGAAGAAGAUGAUAGUGUCCAAAACUGGCAAGAAGAGGGAAAGAAAAUUUUGUCUGAAAUUUUUGCUAAGUGUUGUGAGUGUUUUUAUCAAACAACAAAGCCAAAACUAUGUCGUUUCUGCCUCUUUUGUUCACCCGCCUGUAGUUCUUCAAUUUUCAGCUUCCCGCUUCCAUUUUAGCUAAGACCAAAAAAUAACACUUUCAUCCUCUUUUGUACGGCUAAUUGAUCAAAUUAUUGUUCGAAAAAAAAUUGCAACAAUAAGGUUAUUAUUUUGAGCUUUUUUACUUCACAAGUUGUAUAUGGAACUUUAUUUGUUACAUUAAAACUUUGAAAAUUUAGUGUUUUUGGAUAAUUUUUGGAAAAUUUAGAGUUUCUGGGAUUAAUUUAGUGUUUUUGAAAAUUAGUGUUUUUGGAAUAUUUAGUGUCUUAUUAUGUUUAUGAUUCAAAAAAAUCUUUUAAUGCAAAUAUUUUUGGUAUUAAUUUAAUAAUUUUAUUAAUUAUGUACGAAAUUGUGGUCUGACAAGACCUAACAAUCUGUUUAGUUGAUCAAUUAACCAAAAUAGUUUGCUAAUACAUGCAUGAAACACUAAAUGUAUUUGGUACAAAUACCGAUUUAUAAACCAUAAAUAAUGUGAUUAUUGUAAUUAAUAAUAAACUCCAACCAUGCUAUUGUCAAGAUUUUACUUAAUUUCAUGUUGAAUUUUAUUGUUCUUUGCCAUUAUUUUUAUACUAUGCUAGUCAAUAAUUUUUCAUGUGUUGUCAAGACAAUAGAUAGGGAAUCCAUGAUAUUUUUUAACCUUAGCUAAGUUCGGAACAAGUUAUUAACCAAGGUUGGAACAAUUUUAAAAAUAUGUAUAUAUAUUUUAUUACAAUAUCUUUCUCAUUUUGCUAAUGAAAAACAUCAACUAAAAUGUAAAGGAUAGGGUGCCAUAAUAGAAUUAAUGAAAUCGGUUUAUCACAUACGAGGCUAAAUUGUAAAAGAUAAGGUGUCAUGAUAGAGUUAAUGGAAUCAGUUUAUUACAUAUGGGGCUAAAAUGUAAAAUUUAGGGUGUCAUAAUAAGAUUAAUAAAAUUUAUUUAUCACAUAUAAGCCACAUUGAAAAAAUUAGGGUGGCAUAGUAGAAAUAAUGAAAGUGAGUCAGGAACAAACACUUUAAAAAUAUGUUUAUGAUUUUAAAAAAGAUAUUUUAAUGCAAAUAUUUUUUGUAUCAAUUUAAUAAAUUUACGAAUUGUGGUCUGACAAGACCAAACAAUCUGUUUAGUUGAUCAAAUAACCAAAAUGGUUUACUAAUACAUGCAUGAAACACUAAAUCUAUUUGAUACAUGUACUGAUUCAUAAACCAUAAAUAAUUUGAUUAUUGUAAAUUGUAAUACAUAACAAACUCCAGUCAUGGAAUUGUCAAGAUUUUUACUUAAUUUCAUAUUAAAUUUUAUUAUUCUGUUCCAUUAUUUUCACACUAUGUGAAUCAGUAAUUUCCUAUAUGUUGUCAAGAGAACUAAAUAAAGAAUUCAUGAUAUUUUUUAACUUUAUAACAAGGUAUUAGCUAUGUUUGGAAUAAUUGAAAAAUAGGUAAACAUUGUUUUUUACAAUAUAUUCCUCAUUUUUCUAAUGAUAAACACAACUUAAAGUGUAAAAGCAUAGGGUAGCAUAAUAAAAUUAAUAAAAAUUUUCUUUAUCACAUACGAUACUAAAUUGCAAAAGAUAAGGUGUCAUGGUAGAGUUAAUGAGAUUAGUUUACCAAAUACGAGACUAAAAUGUAAAAGUUCGAGUGUCAUAAUAUAAUUAAUUAAAUUUACUUGCAGCGUAUGGGCCAUAUAGAAAAAAUCAAGGUGGUAUAUGGGGUUAAAAUAUAAAAGUUAGGGUCUCAUAGUAGAAUUAAUAAAAUUUGUUUACAACACAUGGGUCAUAUUGAAAAAAUUAAGGUGGUAUAUGGGGUCAAAAUGUAAAAGUUAGGGUAUCAUAGUUGAAUUAAUAAAAUUUAUUUACAACACAUGGGUCAUAUUCAAAAAAUUAAGGUGGUAUAUGGGGUCAAAAUGUAAAAGUUAGGGUGUCAUAGCAAAAUUAAUAAAAUUUAUUUACAACACAUAAGCCAUAUUAAAAAAAUUAAGGUGGUAUAUGGGGUCAAAAUGUAAAAGUUAGGGUGUCAUGGUAGAAUUAAUAAAACUUAUUUACAACAUAUGGGUCAUAUUGAAAAUAUUAGGGUGAUAUAGUAGAAUUAGCGAAAGUGAGAUGGGAAUAAAUGAUUUGGACAGUGAUGACUAGUUGUUGUCACUAAUUUAGAACUGACAACCAUAUUGUGACGAUAUUUUAAGUUGUCACUGUAGGACGAGUUUCAGUGACAACAUGUUUUCUAGUCGUCACAACGGUGAUCUCCCGCCACACUGGAUAGUUGCGCACCAUCCAUAUUGUGACGACUUAUCUCGUGUUGUCACUGUUGACGGGUGAACCCACGAUCAAGUAUGACGAUAUUAAAAGUCGUCACUAAAGUUUUCAAUUGUGACAACUUUCUCUCUUGUCGCAGAGAAUGUUGUCACAAAAGGCCAAAUUUCUUGUAGUGAAGUGAUGUCCUAAACCUUCGUGUCAUAUGUGGCUUUCUUCCUGACUUUUUACUCUCAUCUUCCAUUGCAUGUGGUAAUUUCUUUUCCUGUCCUUGAAUAUACACCAAUGAGAAAGUAAGAGUUCAACCUAUCUUCCCCACUGUCAAAUAACAUUCAGUGUUAAAAGCUUGUGUUCAAAUUUUGUAUGAAUGAGUUUGCUGCUUUUAAGACUAUUAGUUAAAAGAGUUCGGGACAUUUUUUACUAAAUGCUGCUUUGCAGUAUGUCAGAUCUUUGAGUAUUCUAAAUGCUGAAGGUUCUGAAAGUUUGGAUGAGAAUAUGUCAGCUAAGAAGAGGAGAAUAUCUGUAAGUACAGAGGAGGAACUUGGCAACAGUUUGGGGAGGAAAGAACCUGGUAAUAGUUUAAGUCUGGUAUUUUAGUUUAUACACAUGCUCGUACAGAUAAAUUAACAUGUAUGACGACCCGCAAAUCUACAAAAAAAAUGAAGAGGGUGGGGAUUUGUCUGUAAGAACAGGUAAUACGACUUGUAUGCAUGAAAAAAUAAGAACAAGUUUAUUAAAACAACUAGAGCCAGAAUCUAAUGGAAGAUUCUGAAGUUUUUUUGUCAGUGGCUGUUUGGCUUCUUUACCUUUUGGUUCUGAGCCAGAGACUCCACAACUAGAGCAAAUUUUGCACCAGGGCAUGUCCUGCUUGGCAUGGUUAUAUUUUUUAUGGCAAGAUUGAGAAAUUCAUCUUCACGGGCUUAAGAAGAGGGCAACAAGCAUUGAUGGUCAACUUCACUGGCCUGCUCAUCCUCCUCUUUGGAGUAUCUGUUGGUUUCACUGUUCUUCUUCCAAGAAGUUAUUAAAGAAGUAGUCAUUGGAAAAUCUUGUAAUGUUUGGUUAUAUUUAUAUAUAGUUUGGCCCAAUAUUGCAGCUAGACUAAACAUAUUGUUAGAGUAAUGAUUCCUAUGUUUGUUACAAGUGUUCUGAGUAUUUGAAUAGUUUAUUUGGUCAAAUAGUUCUUUUAAAACCUGCAUUUUAUGCAUGAGAUUUGUGACAUUGGCAUAUGAACUUUUUUGGGAGUAUUGGAGCAGGAAAAUGGCCAUCAUUUGUGUGUACUAGUACUAAAAAGGGGCUCAGUUUUGGACCUGAUUUACAAUAUUUUCUUUUCCUGGAUCUGGGUAGAGUUCUAAGAAAACACAUUCUUCUCUUUGAAUUCGGCCUAGUAUACUACAUAGUUCACGGGUCAUGUCCAGCACCGAAACAAUGCCUAGAAACAUAUAAAUCUUCUGCAAGUGGUUGAAUGAGUUGUUUUGAUCUUGCGUCACAUGCCCUGUUUGCAUUAUCAUCUUUAACCACAUAAAACCAUCAUAAUUGAGGAAAAUUUGAACUCUUGAUUGAAAACCAGGUCUGCAGGCUAUCACCAACAGAGUUUCCAAUCAGUCACAUUGCCUGAAAGACAUACUUUCCACUCACAGAGUUUCUAAUCUACACAGGACUUCAAAUCCAUAUGUGAGUCCACGGGUUCUAUAAAAGCUUGAUCAUUUAAUUAAACUGUAACAAUACAAAAUUGCAUUAGACUGAUCCCAUAGAAUUAUCCCUGCCAAGAAUUGCAAAAUUAGAACGUAAUCAGCAUCACUUUGCUCUAAACAUCCGUUCUGACUAAAAUGGUGCUGCAAAUCUACCUAUAGCACACGAAUUUGUUCAUUACGUUUGCAACAGCAAGUGAGCUUAAGAACAUAUUCCAACACAAUACAGGUGACUCAAUGAACAGAAGAGAACCAGCUUAAAAGUUCCUGUCAAUUUCCAAUGCCAAACGUACUAGUGCAUGUUGAUUACUCACAGUAAAAGCAGUUCAUUAGCUACUCUAACACAUAACAGAUUUAUGUGAACAAGUAUACAAACUCUGAAAAAGUAAAGUGCGGCUGUAAAACAAAGCAAAGUAGAAGAAUGAAAGAAAUGUGAUUGCAUCAUAACCCGGGAUAGAUGCUAAAAUCCAGAUCAACUAUGAAAUGAAGACCAGAAAUUCAGCACUACCAAGAAGCAUGAAACAAAAAAACUCGCAUUCACCAACCUUUCAUAUAUAAUCUGCACAGAAGGAUUUUGAGAACGUACGCUAAGAGCUGCCUUCUAAAGCAUAAAAAAAAUCCCUCCUCCUUUGUCCGGACUUGGGACCGGCUGUGUGUCAACACAGGUGGAGUUAAAAAACUUCAUGUCUCUAGUGCCAAGCAUGAUAAGCCAUCUCUUCACGAUCAUAGACAAUCACCUUGGACAAUGAAUACCCCCUAUGCCGUUGAAUGCGAGGAAAAAUUGAUGAAUACUCCCACUCAAAAACAUGUAGAGCAGGCUGUAUCAAAUAGCAAUAAUUGGUUAAUUUCCAGUCUUCAGCAUGUGUGAGGGAUGGAAUGUCAUCUAGCCUAGUAAAGGAAAUUUGUUCGAGCAUAACAAUUUGAUAUGAAUUUAACACUAAUUGGCCCGUAUGACAAUUAUAUUAAAGAAAGAUGGCGUGCUCACAGGAGUUGGGUUAAAAACGUCCAAAAGACUCGUCUCAACUUUCCAUCCGUAACCAAGUUUUUUGGUUUAAAAUCACAAUAUACCUAAAAGUCGAAGGUCUAAGUGAGAUCUAGGAUUGCUCACCAGAACCAGGACGUUAACAAUGGUAACGACAGUGGUUGGCCUGCACUAUAGUUGCGGUGGGGUUCCCCCCAUUGUCCCUCGCUGUGUGAGUGCAAGGACUUGGCUGCAGCUUGUUAAUAGAUUUUGUUUUUCGACUGCAAAGCUGUCCCUCUUGUGGCAAUUGCAAUCCCAAUUUUUUUCAGAAGCACCCUUUUUUUUGGUGCUAUUUUGUGCUCUUUUUGCACUUAUUCAUUUUUAGGUCUCCUGAGAUUCCAACUGGCUCACUCAGGAGAUGUUUGGCAUGGGAACCACAACUGCACCCUCACUUAUUAUUUGGUGUGGCGAGACUCCCGACUUGGCUUACUCUGCAACAACCGAACAGGGAACCACAACAGAUACAUGGCACUAACCUGCCCCUAAUUGCUUUAUCGCCUCAUCAACUUAUUAAGUAUAUUAAGAUGUCAACUCCAAUCACUAGGCGCUGACUUCAAGUUUUAACUCAUACUUCUUUCAGUUUCUAAGCCAAGGUAGAAAUGGAAAGAGGCCAAUUAGUAUUUCAUUCACAUCAAAGCUACACCGUCGCAUUAUCACACAAUUACAGGGCUAGUUGUUAUACGUGCAAAGGUGUGUGAAGUAGCUUUAGACAGAUUCCCAAGUAUAGCUAACUUUGAUGCCUGAAAGUGGAAGUACCUAUCAUUUUCACCUCUGUUAUUUAGGCACAUCUAUAGGGAACUCACUUAGACAUACUAAUAGGAACUCAAGUGAUCAUCAGUAGCUAUUAAAAUGUUCACAAACAGUUAAAAAGUUAAGAAGACAGUGUUUAUAGGCAGGCUAAAUAGGGCAAAAAAGAGUCAAGUGCUGUUUAAUUAACAAAAGGACAGAAAUUUAAUUAUUGAUCCUGGAGAGUAUUGAGACAUUAAAGUGGCAGAUUUAAAAUUAUGCAUUACCCUUUUUUUCUUUUGAAAACAAUAACACCUCAUGCAUAGUUGAUAGAUACGUGUUAGGUAGAGCUAAGCGAAUUUUCUAUUUUUAGGAAAAGAAAAAAGACAUUCAAUGCCUUUUUUUCAUUUUUUAAAUUUUUUCUUUUUUUUUUAAAUUCUUUCCCUUCUAAUAAAAAAAGUAAAGGACUAAAGAAACCAAAAUCCUUUAGUUUUUUGGAUUUUUUUGUUUUUUCAAUUUUUCGUUCUUUACUUGCAAAUAAAAAAGUAAAAAGGAAACCAUAAUCAUUUUUCAAUUUUUUUUGUUCUUUGCUUGCAAAUAACAAAGAAAAAAAAAGAAACGGAAAUCUUUUUUCACUUUUUUGAUUUUUCAAUUUUUUUAAAAAAUGCUUUUUCUACUAAAAAAAGAAACCAAAAUAUUUUUGUGCUUUUUUUAUUUUUUAUUUUUUUGUCAAUGUUUUUUGUUUUUUGCUUGCAGAUAAAAAAGAAAAAAAAGAAACGAAAAUCUUUUUCCACUUUUUUUUAUUUUUCAAUUUUUUUAAAAUUCUUUUCCUACCAAAGAAAAGUAAACGAAAAAAAAAGAAGCCAAAAAUUUUUGUGCUUUUUUGGCUUUUGGAUUUUUUUGGUCUUUUUUUUCAAUGUUUUUUGUUCUUUGCUUGCAAAUAAAAAAGAAAAAAAAAAGAAACGGAAAUCUUUUUUCACUUUUUUGAUUUUUCAAUUUUUUUUGAAAAUUCUUUUCCUACCAUAGAAAAGUAAACGAAAAAAAAGAAGCCAAAAUCUUUUUUGCUUUUUUGGAUUUUUUGAUUUUUUCAAUGUUUUUUUAGCAAAUAAAAAAGGGAAAAUAAAAGAAGAAACCAAAAUUUUUUUAAAUUUUUUUGUUUUUUCAUUGUUUUUUGAAAUUUCUAAUUCUCUUCCUAGCUAAUAAACAAAUAAACCAGUGAAAGAAAUUGAAACUUUCAAACCUGUUGUUGAGCUUUGCCCGCCAAAUCCUCUGCAACUCUGGAAAGGGUCCUCAAGUUCAGUUUCACGAUCGUAUCCACAAAGGCACACGUCUCUUCUUUCGUGUUCGCCUUGGCCGCAUCAAUCACGCAAGUCUCCACAACCACCGUCUCAUCGCCGCCAUUGGGGUGUAGGCUCAUGAUCGAGCGAUAAUUCGACAACCGGUGGUCGCCGCUGACAAUGCUGAACCCAAAGAUGCGUUGAUCAUGAUCAAGAAUCUCGAGCCGCUCGAUGCUAUAGGAGGCUGGAAGUCCUGACGCGACAUCCACACGGCGUAAGCAUCCGACUUGGUUCGCCUGACCAUCUAUGAUUCUGCAGGAUCUCACGAACGGCUUGUAGCGUUGAGGAUUUUCAAAGUCGGAAACCAGAGCCCAAACGACGGAGGCAGGAGCUGCGAUAGUUUGGAACAAAGUAGAUGAACAUUCGUUCGGCUGCAAAACAGGGUUGUGGUGGCUGGAAACGGUUGUGGGAAGCUGAAAAACCAUGGUUGUGGGCGGGGGCGUGGGAGGGAAAUUUUUUAACAAUAUCUUCAACGAAAACGAUGGAGGAGUUUCUCUUCUGUGAGGAAGUUAGAAGAAUAGUGACUGUGUAUUUAUAGGCGUAGGAGAAAUUGCUCCAAUUCCUAAGAGGAGAAGGAUUAUUACCAAAAUAAGGAAGGAUUAGGAUUUUGAUUUCCUAUGUGGAAAAGGAUUGGAUAUCAGGUUCAAAACCUCGUUAGAAGUUAGAAUUGGCAGUGGCGGCUGGCUGGAGAACCAUCCGUUUUGCCAAAUUUGGGUUAAUUGAAUUACGCCAUUAACAAUUGGGUAAAAUACAGAAAAGCUCCUUGAGGUUAAGUGAACAUACAAAAAAAACCCCUAUAGUUUCUAAGCAUACACUCCGAUAACUUAUGGUUUGAACUAAUUUAAAAAAGCGAUGGAAAUCGUUUGAAUUAACGGGUUUGAAAUACACACGCUUCUUUUGUGAAUAUUUGUACUGGAAACAAUCUCUUGACAUAAUUUUGUAUAUUUAAUAUUCCUUUUAUAUAUAUUAAUAUAUUUUGACAAAUAACUCAUAAGUAUUAGUAUUAUAUUUUUAGAUAUAUAAUUAUAUAUAUCAAAAUAUGAAUAUAUUAUAUAUAAUUAUAUAUAUAUAUGCAUAUUAAAGAGUCAAGCAUAUAUCGGGUUUGACCCUAAUAAGGCCCAAACUCUUCUCACAUUUAAUUUGGAACUAAUAUUCAGACCCAAUUUCAAUCCAACUCAAUGAAAGGCCAGGCUCAUUAGACAUUUUCUCCGAGUCAAGUUCAAACUAACUCGACCCCAAUUGAUAGUCCUAGAAGGAUUGCCUCAGAUUUUCGUGCUAAUUCAUUUCCCUCUCAAAAUGAGUAAGAAAGGGAAUUUGGGGAUCAGAUGAUUAGAGUGGGGGCUUGCUUGGUUGGAUAGAUUAAUUUGGUAAUUUUGAUUAUGACAUGUUUUUUAUUAGAUAUUAGGAAUAUGUGAAUUUGCCAAAAUUUAUAUGCCUUUAAGAAUUUUAAAUCUUUCUAAUACUAUUCCUCAAAGUAUUCCAAAGGGAGAAACACAAAUUUGAUUCUCAAUGUUUGACCUGUAUAUCAAACUAGUCUCUAAUGCAUCAGCAAAACAAAUAUGGUCUUUAAAUUUUCUGAUUUUAACUUUGCAUUUUUAGUCUUUAAUGUUUGAAGUUUCAAUCAAUAUGGUCUCUUAAGUUUCUAGUUAUUAUGGUUAGGGGUUUUAAAAUGUAAAAAAAAAAAAAAAAAGAGAGUUGUGAAUUGAAUUAAAGAUUGACAAAUGUCAUCCUAAUUCCCUAUAAAAUUUCAUAAAAACACUUUAUAUCAACAUAAUAACAUCAUUGAACUUAAAGAGAUUUUUUUUUGAAUGAGUUACAAUCAAAUGACAAUAUAUACAUAAUAUAUAAAAUUAAAAAAAAUGAAAAUUCUAGUAUUAAUAUAAAUUUUAUUAUCAUUCAUGCUAGUUCUUGCAUGGCUUGUGCAUACAGGCCUUAAAUUGUUAUAGUUAGGAAUUGUAAUUAUGAAAAGGAAUUGUUAUAAAAACUAGCAAACAUAAAUACUAAUAUGAAGUGCUUUUACUCGUUAUGGGUUAAUGAUCAGUUAAUUACUCAUAGUAUAAAACAAUAAUUACAUAUAUAAUACAAAAUUUGAAUCCAAUUAUGCCAAAGCGAAGAAAUAUAUAAGACAUUAGUGGCAUGAAUAAAUGAAGUAAAAAGUAAAAAAGUUUAAUUAGAAUUGCUAGAAUCCAUUUAAGACAAUUGCGUUGUAAUUCGCAUAUUAUUUUAUCCUAAUACCCUCAAUAUCACUAUUGAAAACUUAAGCGACUAAAAUGAUUAAAAUUUCAAACAUUAGGGUUCACAAAUAUAAAGUCAAAUUGUUAAGUAAUAGUAAUCAAAUUUUGACCAUUGGUUAUUGUUGAGUUUUUGUCAUUGUUGAAUGUAUCUACUACCAAAACUUUGAGAACCAAAUUUAUUUUGGUCGGAACAUUGGAGACUAAUUUAGCACAUGUGCUAAAAAUUAGAGACUAAAACUAUAAUUCUCCCUUUUCAAAAAAAAAAAAAUCUACACUCUUUUUUGUUCUAUUUUUGUGUACACAUAUAAUUUUUUUUUUUCACCUUUGAUGUCACACAACGGUCCAAACCGACUAACAUCAAUUAAUAGACUCAAUUGUUAAAAUGACUUUAUGAAUUGUGAGGAUGAUAAUAUAUAGAAAAAUUCUGUUUAGUAGAAUUUGGGUAAAAAAAGGGUGCGUUUCAUAAAAUUAAAGUUUGAAAACUAAAAUCUGAAGUCUGAAUUCCAUUAAGUUAAGUUGUUGAAUUGUUAUUAAGCCUUAUUUGAUAAUCCAAUUCAGCAUUUAAAGUUAAUAGAUUCAAAUAUUAACAUGUUCAGAUGCAUUUGAUAAUCAAAAAUUGUACAUCUAAAUUAGUUAAAUGACAUUAAAUUUUCUAGGCAAAACUUGCUUCAGAAAAUAAAAUGACACUGAAUUUCCUAAACAAAACUUGCUCCAAAAAUUAAGUGAUAAGUUAUUCACUUAUCACUUAAUGUGAUAUACAUUCAAAUAUAUCACAUUUAGUACUUAAUAAUUCAAUAAUUUAAUGAAUUCAUACUUCAGGUUUCAGUUUUCAGACUUCAAUUUUAUCAAAUGCAUCCUAAAUCUAAUACAUUUGAAUGUAUUUUAGAGUAAGUGAAUAACUUAUCACUUAUAUUUUCGAGCAAGUUUUACCUAGAGUAUUCAAUAUUGCUUAAUUAAUUUAGACAUUCUAUUUUUGGUUAUCAAAUGUGUUUGAAGAUGUUCAUAUAUGAAUCCAUUAAGUUUAAGUGCUGAAUUAGACUAUCAAACUGGGCCUAAAUCAUUUGGUAUAAAUCACAUUUUAUUAGUAUAGUAAGUGGAAGAACUAGGGUAUAAACCCUCAUUUUAUCAAAAAGUCAUUUCUGGCUUGGAAAAAAAGGGUAUAAAACCUCAUUUGUCAUACAAAAGAGGGGGCGAAAUAUAAAUACAAUUCUCAUUUGCCAUACAAAUUAACAAUCCAUUAACUCUACUGGGAAUGAAACACUGGUAAACUCAUAAAAUAAUGGCUGAAAAACUUGCGACAGCAAAAACAGAAGAAAAAGCAAAAGAAUUGGAAGAAGAAGCAAUGAAAGUGGAACUGAAAACCAAGGAGGAGCUGAAGCCCUGGGAGCAGCACUCUGCUGUGAUCACCAUUCCUCGAUUUGACUACAACACCUCUUCUUCUCUCCUCAGUCAUUCCCACUCCGGAUUCCUCAUCACCUGCCCCAUCAGUAAGGCCUCUCAAUCUCUUCUGUCCAGAAAGUUAUGUUCUUUUUCUUUGUUAUUUUUGUACUUUAUUGGCAUUUAUUUAUGUAAUUUGCAUGUGGGUUUUUGAAAACUUUCAAUUUGAUUGUUUGGAAUAGUCUGGGCGGUGUGGUGAUUGAUAAAAAUGCUUCCUUUGUUAUGUAGAGAGGGAGAAGAGUGCAACAAAAGAAGCCAUGUCAAUUCUUGAAAAGGUAAUGAAUUCUGCUCUUGUCUCUUGUCAGUUCUCUGGAAUAAUGUCAAAUAAGGACAUUUUAGAAAUAAAGAAAGUUCAUGCUAACUUGAGAAUCAGGACAGUUAAAUUGGUUUAGUGAACUUGGUUUUAUGGGAUUCUUAAAUUCUGGCAAAGUUGGGAACUUGGGGUAAUCGUAAGUGAAUAAGACCGUAGCGGACUAGAAUUACUGGUAUAAUGUGUUCGCUGCUGUAAUUGUUUUGGUUUAAGAUGAAGAGUAGCAAUGUUACGGAAUUGGUUUAUAAAGAAAGAGAUGUUUGAAUGAUUAAGCAUAAGUAAACGGCGAAUGGGAUGGCAACUAAUUGAUAAAACUGAUGAAGUUUUCCAAACUGGGUGAGCUAUGCAGUAGGUAGGCACAGGCAUGUUGUGUUGUUCAAAUGCAUUAGGUAUUGAGGGGUUCGACAUCCAAAAUGCAGCACUGGUUAAAUUCUUUUAUCACUCAUAGAUUUCCAGUGUAUAUAUAUAUGUGAGUUACCAAUUUCCUUGAAUUUGAAGAUUCUUAUGGAUACAUAGUAACCUUAGCUUAAGCUUGAGCACAUAACUCAUACAGGUUAAGCACAAAUUCACCUUACUAAUACGGAACCUUUGCAUUGUUUUCCUUGAAAAUAAAUCAGAAACAAUAGAUAGAAGAUAUGCAAUAUUUUCUGCCAUAAGAAAAUUUUUUUAAACAUAAAAGCAAUUUAAUAAGUGCAUGGUUAUAUUUCUCUAAAGAAUGACAUGGUCUUAAGUGAUCAUAUUUCUGGAAGGAGAAGACCAUUAGUCCAAUUUUGUUAGGCAUUUGAGACAUCAGAUAUUGUAUGCAUGAAAUAUAUAGCUGAUUGCCAAUCAUCUAUUUUGAGUUCUCAAGAAAUAGAUAUAUAAGCUUCAGUUUUGCUUAUAACAUUAAAAAGGCAUUCUUCAUUGCAGCAGCUUUGGAUAAUUGUCUUUUAUUCAUACCUAAAGGUACUUGUAUAGGCAUGAGAUGUUGCACUCUUCUAGGGCCCAAAUAAUAAGUGGACAAUUUAGAGUUAGCUUAAAAUCUUUUGGCAGACAACUUGUUUGGAAUUGUUUUUGGAUAUAUUUACACCAGAAGCCAAGUGUUGCUGAGGCUUAUCACUAUGUGAAAGAAAUGAAUGAGUUUUAAUUAUAUUUGAAGUCCCCUCCAAAGCCUGUAUCAUUUUUAUUUCUUGGACCUCUCUUGUUGCAAAAGGAAGACAAAUAAUGAAGCAACUUGGAGAAUGGGAAGGUGUGCAUCUGGUGCUUGCAAGAUUCUAUUCUUUUGACUUCAUGGAACUUUAUAAAAGCUGUGUGUGCUGAAUGUUUUCUUAGGGCUUCAAACUGAUGUUGUUAUAUUGACACAUUAUACGUUCUAUUCUUUUUUUCUGAAUGCCAUCAAUAUUCACGACUGAUGCAACGAAUGAAGAGUUUAAAGGAAGAGUAAAUUUAAAUAUUCUUGGAAACUUGGCUGAAGAUCCAAUUUACCCACUUUGAAGAAUGGGUAGUCUUUUUAGGAUCUUGAGUUAUUUAUUAAAAGUUUAAAUUCUAUAUAUUUCAGGAGACUUAAAAUUUGUGGUGCUUUAGCAGCUUAUUGGUAUUUUAUGUUUUAUGGGUAUUGGGUAAACUGACAGUGGAGGACACUUCGGCCGUUGUUUGAGACCAUAGGCUUAUUCAUUGACUUUGAUGGAAGGGAUUUUAAUUGAAAUGUUGGGAUUCGUCACCUCAAUUUCCUGUCAUAAGAUAUUCUGGUCCCCAGGGCUGAGCUGAAGCCCAGUACAUAUUUCAUCUACUACUGUACACACACCCACAGACCCAGGUUUGUUAGGCCAUCCAUGAAGGAGUUAUUUAAGUCAUUCAUUGGUGAAUUUUUUAUGCAUCUUUGUCUUGGAAGUGAUGUCCUAAACCUUUGUGUCAUAUGUGGCUUUCUUCCUGACUUUUUACUCCCAUCUUCCAUUGCAUGUGGUAGUUUCUUUUCCUGUCCUUGAAUAUCCACCAAUGAGAAAGUAAGAGUUGAACCUAUCUUCCCCACUGUCAAAUAACAUUCAGUGUUAAAAGCUUGUGUUAAAAUUUUGUAUCAAUGAGUUUGCUGCUUUUAAGACUAUCAGUUAAAAGAGUUCAGGACAUUUUUACUGGUCAGCAGCCUGUGUAAGUCAGAAGCUACGUUAGUGUACUUCUAAUGGAUUUCAAAAGCUGGGGAAGUGCUUUGUUAUCUGGGCAUGGGUCUUAAGCUUGAAGCAUGCUCUAUGUUUUUGGAAUAGUGAGUUGCUGAAGUUGCGCACUAAAUAGAGCUCUAGGAUACAAUAACUAUCUGUAUUCUUCUACAUCCAUCAGUUGCAAGUAUAGAAGACUUUUAUAUCCUGAUUGCUGAUUGAAACCUGAAGAAUUCCAUGAGAACAGAAAUAUCUGUGACCAAUCGAACUAUUGAAUUUUAAGGAUGAGAGUCCCUCUGAAUCCUUUUAUGGAGAUAAGAGAAUUAUGUGUCAAAUAUAGAUAAUCUUUUCUUGCUGGCUAUUCUAUGUAAAGUGUUUUGUCAUGGAAACUGGUGGAGAAAUGAAGUGAGUCUGGCUGGUGGUGAUCUAUUGUCAUUCUUUAAUUUUUUUUUCAUUAAUUUUUUACAAAAUUUGAUUGACUUUUAGCUCUUUUGAUCUUAGAAGAAUGCUUCUUUCUACAACUUUUUUGCUAACCCGGUUCUAUCUUGAUAGCUAUAGUACUUUAUGAAAUCUUGGUUAAAAGAGUGACAAUUAGCACAAGGAUAAUCAGAAAUUGAUUGUACAACAGAUGGUCUAGUGGCAGAAUACUCGAGUUUGGGAGCAAUUCUGACAUAAUUGUUUGAUGUGAUUGUUAGCAGAGAAAUUGCAGUUAAAUGAAAUCCAGUUAUUGAAGACAGUUGCCUUUGGCUUUUAUAUACUUAUGCAACCGAACUUGUGCAGAAGCAGCAUGCAUGAUAUUUUUCACCGUCAUACCUUUUUUUGGGGUUUAGUUGAUCUGAUCGGUUAAUCCAAUUUCAUAUAUAUGAACUAUCUCAAUGGGAAAGCCUGCUUGCAUCUAAAGGGUGUAAAGUGUAGUAAUCAGCUUAGUGUCUUGUUACCUAACUGCAGUACAUUUUCUUACAUGUGUUGUGUAUGUAAAGCUAAAUAGGUUAAUUCACGUUAAGUCACAUUUAUGUUCUGUGAGAUGUUGACCAGUUAUAUGGUUAAAUACUCUCUGCAGUAUUUCGGACCUUUGAGUGGUCUAAAUGCUGAAGGUUUUGAAAUUUUGGAUGCGAAUAUGUCAGCUAAAGGGAUGAGAAUAUCAGAAUACUCGAGUAUGGAGGAGGAACUUGGCAGCCGUAUGGAGAGGAAAGAUGCAGCCGAUGACUUUGGAGAACCUGGUAAUAGUUUAAGUCUGGUAUUUUAGUUUAUACACAUGCUUCUACAGAUAAUGCAAAUUAUAAUGUAUAACUACCUGCAAAUCCCUCUAUAUAUAUAUAUAUAUAUAACUACCUGUAAAUCUACAAAGAAAAUGAAGAAGCUGGGGAUUUGUCUGCAAGAAUAGGUAAUAUGACUUAUAUGCAUGAAAUACUAUGAACAAGUUAAGUUAGAAAAAAUAUGUCACUAUAAAGAACAGGAAUGAGAAGUUAAUAGAAGGGGAAGAGUAAAGAAAAUACCUUAUGAUAGCUCCAUCCCUGUGACAUACUUGUUUAGCCUAGUUCGACUUUGUGUAAGGCUCUAUUACUGCCCAUACGCAUAAAAUCUCAACCCCCCCCCCCCCCCCCCAAAAAAAAAACCUUUAGCAAAAAUUUUCUGUGUACCCAGUUUGCUACAAAUAGUUUAUGUGAGAGGUGUGUAUCUGUGAAGGUUUUGGCUUCUUAAUACAAGAGAUAGAGUUCAAGGCAAGAUUUGGUGGAUUGCAAGUUACAAAGAAUUGCUGGAGAAAAAUUGUGCAAUCCAAAAUAUUAGAAGGCAGAGAAGAGAUGAAAUGGGAUUUCCCUCUAAAAAACUAACAGAUAGCUUCAUUUCAUUAGAAAAUUAAUUGUGAGUGCAUGAACAGAAUGUACUCUAAAAAAGUUGUACAAGUUUUAAGAACUCGUGUUGUUUUACUGCCUAUUGUUUCUUUCAACAGCCCUAUAUUGUUGUACGGUGUGAGAACUGGAGAAGAAUAACAAACAAUUCUUUUCUUUAUCACAAAAGUGAUGAAAGAAUAAGAAAGAUAUUGUAAUUCGGUACUUACAAUAAAAACAUGUAGAUAUUAUGGUGUCUUAACUUCCCCAUUAAGGUAGAUAGUGGAGCAAAAUAUCUUUGACCGUACAUUCAGCUAGCUAGGGCUUGAUUAUUUAGUUAUCUAUGACUAUCAAAAUUACAGAAAUCAUGUUUAGAAAAUAAGUAUCAAAAUGCACUAAGAAUAGAGGACGUAUUGUUCAUUAAUUAACUUGAAAAGCAAACAAAAUAUGAUUGUGCUUCCUCUACUCACAGAAGAUUAAAACAUGAAUUUGACCAAAAAAACGAAGAACUUAAACUAUGUACCAAUUUUGGUAUGUAGUCGGUUUGGCAGAGAAUUUGAGUUGGUUUGGUAUGUAGGCAACUUAUCACAGACUGCUGGUGGUGGUGGUGGUGGUAAACUCCGCGCUCGGAAAAUCGAGAAUUAAAUGCCAGCUUUAGGCUUAGAGGUAACUUUUGGUUCCUGUGGAUCCCUAAUUUAUGGUUUCGGAGGCUUCCAUUAUUUUCCUCCUCAAUAUCAUGGUCAUAGUCCAAUGCCCCUACAGCAAAUUGGCCCAAAUAAGUUUGCUACCCUUUGGCUCGCAACUGUGGGGCAAAAAUCACCACAUUGUGCUAGGUUGAGCGUGUUCACCACUUCACCACUUGAGGAGGAGGAGCAUUCUGCUACCCCUCUUUGGGAGGGGAAGAAGGAAGAUGAUUCUUCUUAUAGGAAGGAGAUGAAGAAGGAAUCUUGUUUUGUUCCCAACAUUGUAUUAGACAAUAGUCUUCAACUCGAGGUAGAGGAGCAUGCUCAUUUCUAUAUUGACGCUAUUGACGCAAAGACAGGAUACAAAUCAAGGACAGAUUUUAUUUCGAUCACAUUCAUGACAAUCCUCAUCUGGAAGAAGAACAAAAUCUAGUAGUACACAAGAAACUGCUGCAAAAAUCUGGUAGAGCUAAUCUGAAAGCAUCUAAGCUAAUUUGAUACAAACUGGAUGAGGUACUCAUCAAGUGUGGUGUAUUUAACAUCAGGAUAGAGCUCCGUUGCCUCCAUGCCAAAAGAAGCCUUGAUCUCAAAGUUGGCUAUUUCUCCCUUCACGAAAAAUGUGUAUGCCAAAGACAGGAGCAAUUUUAAUGGCAUUGAAGCCUCUGCGAAAGAUACAAGAAAAGAAAGCAAUUUGAUUAGAACGUGGAAUAGUAGAUGCUAUUGUAUUAAAAAUUAGCAACUUGUGCACUUUUUUCUUAUUGUUAGAUGACCUUGAAUUUUCUUAAGAACUUCGUCCCCUGGAACGUAGAUCUUUUCGAGGGUCUUGCCAAUUUUCUUUUCCCACAAUGAUACUAUUUCGUUGUAGGACAAGGUGUUGGCAGGGGGUGUAAUGUACACACUCUUGUUCAGAGUCCUUGGGUCAUCUGCUGCUUUGAUGGUGUAUGCAGCAAUGUCUUCUUCCUUGGUGAAAACAACUGCAACGAAACAUGAAAUUGAAGAAAAAAUUGAGAACUCUAAAAGAUGAUACUAAACCAAUCAAGAUAUGCAGCAGACAAGCCCCUUUCGGACACCUUUUGGAUUUCCAUCGCCAAGAAUGACAAUUUUGUCUCUGGGAGGACUUGCAGAGAAAGAGUCUCCAAAGUUGUUGAGGAUAUAAUUCAAGUAACCAGCAAAUCCGUUAGAUACUAAAUAAGUGUAAGGUAUCCCUUCUGCCUCAAUAGCUCUGCGGAUCUCAACCUUGGUCCUGUUUAAGCUAGCAGCAGGCUCAACAGCGUUCGCACGAUCCACAUCAACCCCAAAUUCAGAAGGUAAAAAUCUCUGAAACCAAAUACAGCUCCUUCUUUAGGAAUAUGGAAGUCACAACUCACAAAGGGACAAACGCAAAAAAUAAAAAUCAAGAAAGAAUUUGUAACACUGUAUUGUGCUUACUUUGAUGUUUCCAGCUUCUUUAAUUGCUUCAAUAAUCUUAACUUGAUGAGCUACCAAAUCUCCCCCGACUGCAGAGAUCACUAUGUCAACUUGUUUGAUUGCAUUUACCAACUGCUGAUGAUUGUGUAGAUCUCCCUGUUCAGUCCAUGCGUACAUGUCAGUUUCUAUAAUUUCUUGAAAAAAAAUUGAAACACUAUUUAGACAACGAAGAAAGAAAUAACAGCACACAUGAAGAAAUAUGACUCCCAAACUCUUGAAACUCUCGAUGAUGGCUGCCCUCUUAGGAUCUGAAAUUGUGCUUUCUCGGACCAGUGCAAACGUUGGGUGCCCUGCUUUUGCGCUCGCUUCCACUAAAUAUUUCCCGAUGUUUCCAGUGCCCCCAAUGAUCAAAAUCUUGCUUUUCACAUCCAUUUCCAACUCUAGGAUAGUAGACUACUGCUGCAAAAUUGGAUGGAAACCGUAUAUUGAUGGGUUGAACAGAUGCAGAGAUGUGCUUCGUGCCUAUAGGCUGCAGUUUCCUUUUGAUGCUCUAUUGGCUUCUGAAAUUUCUAACGGAUUCUAUUAUUCAAUGGAAGAUUAGACAGUUGAGCAUUCUCAGGAGGUUUCCCAAAAAGUCAUGGCACUAACGGAUUCUUAUUGGCCAAGAUGCGCAAUGUAAUCGGAGAUUGCGAAAGAGAAAGGUCAAAGCCAGUUGAAUGUCCUUGUGAAACUACUCAUAUGGGAGAUUUAGCGGUAGGAUUUCGUCCCUGAAUCGGUGAUGACCAAACCUGAAGUAAGUGCUGACGAACAAAGGAAUGGAUAGAAGCCUGUAUUCAUAGGCAUUUAAUCCAAACAAUACAAUUCAUAUAAGUAAUAGACACAGUUUGCUUAGACACUAUAAUUCAGAAACUAGUCAAGGAAUGGAGUCAAUCAACAGAUUUAUUACCUUUUUUGUCACAAUCUAUGGAUGAGGAUGGAUUUAGCCAUAAAUCUCUCAUUUUUAAGGGUCUCUCCUUUUUCUUUUUUCUUUUUUGAAUUUCUUGCUCAUUAAUGUUUGUUGGGGCAGGUGGUAUUUUGAGCUAACUUCUGUGCAUUUUGGAUUAGUCCAACUUCCAACCCUUAAAUAUUCAUCCCAAGGACAUAAUUAAAGAUGGUAGAGCUUCGCUAAUUAAAAAUCUAGUUUAUUUGUUUAAUAUCCGACUUGGUAAGCUUGUCCAAUUAGUGCUAAACCCUUAGGGCAUGUUAAUGUACACUAGUUUUUUGCCCUGACGCUGUGCGUCAGGUAGUUGGGAUUUCUUAAUUUACUAUAAUGGGUAUUAGUCUGGAAAAUUGGGGUGUGAGAGGAGUAAUUAAUUUACUACAAUAGGAUUUGUUAGAUAUAGUGUUUUUGUAUGUGCAUGGGGAAUGGACAUAUCGAUGAAUAGAUUUAAUGAGAAUUUUAAUUAUGAUUUAAAGGUUUUAAUACAAACAAAAAGAAUGUUAAAAUGAUGGAGUCACCUGAGAAGUGGCAUCGCGAGAAUUUUAAUACGAGUGUUAAUUAUUUUCCAGUUUUACAAUUUUUGUCGUAAGGCGUAGGAGCACAGGAUAAAAAGAUAUAUUUAUAAAGGAAAUAGAUAAACUGUCACCUGAUAAAAUGAUAGAUGUAGUAGAACAUUUCUAAACAAGAACGGCCAAAAUGAGAGGAAAUUGUUUUGCAUGACAAUAUGGACAACUUGGAACAUCGGGCAAUACAGCAGGUUCUGUAGCUAUUGUAGUUAAUGGAUCAGUCGCAGCUCGUUUUCUAGACCGACGUUGCCUACGCAAUGAUGGUUCACCAGCAUCUAAAUUUGUUGAUGGAAUCUCGUUAGCACCAUCAGCAAUAGACGCAGAUACAUUUUGUUCAUUUUCCUGCAAACCAGCCAAAGCAUACUUAAGGACCAUGAAUUCAGUGUGGCUAAAUCAGUCAAUCUGAAUUGUAAUAGACAAAAACUAAUAUCUCACCCACUGGUUAGUCUAGCCAUAGUACAUGCCUAGAUAAAACCACCGGUAAUAUAAGUAGUCUAACAUUUAUUGCAAGGGGUCUAAACAACAAUCUUAUUGCAUGAAAGAUGCUCAAAAUAAGCACAAACAUACGGUUGGAAAUUGCUCUGCAUCACUGAGCAAUACUGCAGGCUCUGUAAUUAUUGUGGUCAAUGGAUUAGUCACAGAGCGUCUUGUACGCCGACGUCGCCUAUGCAAAGAUGAUUCACCAGCAUCUGAAUUAGUCGUUGGAACCUCGCUAGCACCAUUACCAGCAGACCUAGAUAUAUCUCCUUGAUUUUCCUUUAAAACAACCAAAGCAUAGUUAAAGAUUGUGAGUUUAGUAUGUUUAACUAAGCCAAACUCGUUUGUCUUACCAAAGUACAUGCUUAGGCUUAACCACUGUUAACAUAAAUAAUUUAACAUUUAUUCCAAAAGAUUUAAACAACAAUUUAUAUUGCAUGAGACAUGCUCAAAAUAAGCACAGACAUACAGCUCGAAAGUGCUCUGCAUUGUUCUCUGCAAAUGACAAUACUGAGCCCGAACCUAAUGAAGAUUCAACGACACCCACACCCAUAUUUGGCUGAUUCACAGCAUUUCGGUCAUGUAUAUUAAAAGCUGUGACAGCUAAUGUACACACUCCUAAUGGCGCAUCAUUCUUUGUCCCACGCUGAGCAGCAGCACGUUGCUCGCGGCUCCUUCGAGUUUUUCUCAGCACGAGCCUCUUCCAAACUUCCAUAUACUCUAUUUCGACCCAUUCUCAAAGCAUAUUAUACACAGCUGAAGCGGAAACGAAACAGACUCCUAAAAUGAACUAUACAAAAAAAACCACAGCAACAAAAAAAGAUUUCCAGCGAAGCCAAUCAAACAGUGAAGUACUUCAAAACCAAAAGAAACUUUCCCAAGUUAUUUCCGAAGCUACCAAAAAAAACCAAAAAGAAGAGUGAAAGCUAAAAAAAAAGAUCCUGCUGACCGCAUAAAUUGUUCAAGUUAUUUCCGAAGCUGCGAAAGAAAACUAAGAAGAAAAAUCAGAGCCAAAAAGAGAUUGAGCUCACGGCCUAAGUUUGCUGAACAGUAAAGCACUUCAAAACCAAAAGAAACUUUCUCAAGUUAUAUUUGCUGAACAGCUGAGAACACAAGCAAGAAAACAAUGAGAGCAAAUUGGUGACCGAGAACGAGCAAAAGAGAAUAAGAGCCAUGCGGACCCACAAACCGCUUCGGACAGCAACGACCAACCACGCGUGUAAAUUAAAAGAGAGCCACCUGGACAUAAGUGGGAAUGUACAACGAAACCACUGCCACCCAUCAUCAAAGGACCAAAAGGCCCCCCAAAGCCAGACAAAUCACGGCAUAACCGGCUCAUCUGCACUGUUCACAAGGCGUUGGACGCUUUAUAUAUGUAAGAUUUACAAGGCACUGUGCAGUGUGCACUAGGCCAGCCUUGGGCAUGUCCUAACCCAUGGACAAUGUGAUUUUUGAAAGCUAGAUCCUCAAAUGAUCAUAUGUAGUCAAUUUGUUCAUUUAAGUUCCAACGUAUUUUACUUAUAGCAUUCAGAGCAUAGAUUGUAAAAUAUGGUAUGGGUAUAAUACGAGGUAUAUGUAUGCCUAUUAUACAAGAUUUAUUUUCAAAGGUACGAUUAAAAAUUUGGCGUGUUCAGAAAAAUUACUCAUAUAAAUUUGUACAUGUAUAGUACGAAUAUAUUUGAAAAUUAUGGAACUAAAAAUAUAGAUAAAUUUACUAUAGUUUUCAAAGAAUAUGCCACUUCUAUACCAAUCUUAAACUUAUUUUAAAGUAUGAGAUGUUAAAUUUAUUAAAUUUUUUGUUAUCAUAUUAUUUAAAUAUGUAUAAAUCUACAAUUGUUACAUUAUAUGUUCUUAUUUUGUAUAUAACUCAUGAACAUAUCAUUAUCAUUAAAUUUUAAUUUUUUUAAAAAAUUGAAAUAUAAUUCACAAAGUAUGAUACAUGACAAAAAUUUAUUACGUGUUUCGUAUAGUUAAUUGAAAACUAUGAGCAUUUUUCAAAGUAUUUUUGAAAUCUAGGAAAUGUGGAGUUUUUUGUAUGAUACGUGAGAACGAGUAUUAUAUAAGCACACUACAAAUGCCAGCUAACUAGGACUAAGAGAAAACAAAAUGAACAAACUAAUAUCUUCAAAUCAUUAGCACGUAUUACAUCCCUUCUUUCUUCGAGUAUGCUCCACUAAAAAAAAAAUCAUUUCAGAUUAAUAUCCUACCCCUAUUUUUUUCCACUAAUUGCCCAAAGAAAUUAUUUUGGAUAUAACAAAAUGGUUGAUUAUUCUAGAAUAUAAUAAGAUGUUUCCACCACUUGUAAAACCUACCAAAGAAAUCCAUAUUCUAAAUUUCAAAUUUUUGUCCACUAAGCAAUUCAUGAUACUAAAAGAAAAAUAUUACUAGGCAUUUCAUCAUACGGAGGGUACUAUAUUUGUUCAUAUUACUCUAAAAUCAAGAUUAACAUGAUAGUUUUUUCUAGUCAAUACAAUCUUUGUACAAAUUGCUAUGUAUUAGAUUAAGAAUUAAUUUUGUAUAAAUGAAAUUCCGAGUGAAUUUACUUCAUUAGAGUAUAUGCUCCUCAUUUGCUAAAAAAAAAAAAAAAUCUCUCAAGGAAAAACAUAUGGAUUUAAGAUGUUAAAAGUAGGGGAAAAAAUGUGGUAAACAACUAGUGUUAUACCAUGGAAGUCACGUAUAUUAAACAUAUAAUCCAAAAAUACUUUUACUCAGGAAAAAUAAAAUUAUUUGUUACAAAAACUCAAAAGAUUGGGUCCCUAAGACUCCCGCUCAAUACCCAAGUAUUCCCAUAUAUAUUAAAUCCAUCCCGCCCAAAUUACCUUUGGUUAUGGACAGCCCAUUGAAGUUUGGGAUCAUUAGCUCAACAGAUAUGCUGUAGAGUGAACCCAAAGGCAACUCUUCCAUCAGUUUUACUUUACAUGGCCUGUGGUGUCUAAUCGCAUGAAAUGAAACAUGUUCAUUGCAACCCUGUCAAGUUUCUGUGUUGUGAUAAUGACAAAGAAUUGCUUAGAGUUAUUUACUUCAAAAAUCGAGGGAGGAUUCAAAUUCAAUUUUGGAAAACAUCGAUCCCAGCAUUAAUGGCGUGUUCUCAAUCACAUUGCUUGGCCCUUUGGGGUAAAAUCAGAUAAAGAUCCUUUUUUUUUUUCGGAAAAGAUAAAGAUCUUACAUCAUGAUAAAAUGGAGUUUAUAGAUUUCAAGUCCAAGAACACAAGCACCAUAACAAGUAUAGUUGGCCGUUGUUGCAGAAGUACUACAACAAGUACAGCUAAAACAAACAACCAAAGGAAACAACAAUUUGCAUCCAAAAAGAAAACAAAUCAAACAGAGGAAGAACGAAGAGAAAUGCCAAAGGUGAUGAAGGCAAAAACUCAAAAGACCACGUAAAUACCAAAACAUGAAAAGGAAUGAUCAUAAUUUCCAAGAGGAUUGAAAAAGUAGAAGCCAGGAGAACACCUUACUCAAUCAAACCAUAGUUCGUACUAUGUCACUCCAUCAAUUUUGUUUUUUUUUUGCCUACAAUGUCAUUAUUUAUUCAUUAUAUUUUAAAUGAUUCUAAUUAAUCAUCACUUAGACAAGUUCGGAGCACAUGCACUUUUCUAUUAAGAAUAAAUAUGCUCUUAUGCUUUCAAUGGCAUAGAUGAAAUUUUUGUUUAUCAAGUUGGAAAGGAGGGUAUCUCACAUUUACAAGUCAAGAAAUUUUGUUUUCUAUAUUUCUCUUUUCAAGUCAAUUGUCUUUUUUUUUUAUUAUUAUGUUCCUCGAUUGCAAUUUUUUGUGUGAUAGAAAAAACCUAUGCAUGAGUACAAAUCAAGAAAGAUCAAAGAUGCAAACAACGUAUUAUAAUUUCCUUUGAGUAAGGAAACCGUAGUUUUUUUUUUUUUUUUUUUUUUUUUUUGGAGAAAUGGUGACUGUAAUUUCACUUCAAUAGAAAGUAAUAAGUUGUAAAUAAGCUUGAAUAGUUAGUGUGUUUGGAUAGAGUAUUAUUUGAAAUAUUAAUUGAAAUAAUUACUGUAGCACUUUUUGUGAUGUAACGUAUGUGAGAUAAAAAGAUAGUUGAUAAUAUAAAAAUGUGUUUAUAAUUCAAGCGUAAUAUUAUGUGAAAUAAUACUUUAGCUAUCCUUUAUGAUCCUAUCCAAUUUUGCUUUCUAUUGACGCUAACAGUCAAGUAAUAUCUAUUCUAGGGACUGAAGGCACUUGCAUAUGAUUACUAAUCCUGUUUAUUGACUAAAGGCAUUAAUCUCUAGUGCAGUUAAGGUUAAGAUGGGGCAAAUCCCUUAUUUUCUGAAAAAUUUUUCAUUUGUAAAUUCAAAAUUGAGAAACUAGUUCAAGAAUAAUAUUAUAUAUUUCAGGCAUGCAUUUCUGAGAUCAAGAAUCAAAUUUCAUUUGAGAAAAAUAUGAGAAUUUAGAAAAAUAAAUAAAUAAAUGCACACUAAACCUUCAAGUUUGGACUUUGAAAGGUGUUAUCCACUUCAUCUUUUGUGCUUCAUACACUUCAAUGUUUUUUUUUCUUUUGCAGAUGCUCUGUUCUAUGUCUUAUUGAACCAAAACAAGUUUGAUGGAGGAAAGUGUCAGUCACAGCCCAAUUACGUUAAUUCGUCUAUACCCACACACUAAUAACCCAUCGAAAACCACCCACUAAUUUUAAAUGGAUCUAAAUUCUCAUUGUAAACUUAACACCUUAAGGAACUGAAGGCACUGGCAUGUGCUUACUAAACCUGUUUAUUGACUAAAGGCACAUUAAUCUGUGGCUGAGGUUGAGACCAGGAUAAAAUCGCCCUUAGCUUCUGAAAAAUUGUUUCAUUUCCAAAUUCACAAUUGAGAAACUAGCUCAAGAAUAAAAAUAAUAUGUUAUAGGCAUGCAUUUCUAAGAUCAAGAACCAAAUUUCAUUUGAGAAAGUUAUGCAUACUGAGAAUUUAGGGGAAAAAAAAUGCAAAAAGAACCUUCAAGUCCGGACUUUGGACUUCAAAAGGUGUUAUACAUGCAAACUAAUUUCACUAACUGCUUCAUACACUUCAAAAUUAACUUAAUGAAGACUGCCUUCUCUUUUCUGUAGUAGGUGCUCUGAUCUAUGUUUUACUUAGCGAGAGCAAGUUUGAUGGGGUCAACUAUAAAAAGGAAAUCUAAAUCGAUAUAUGAACACAUACUAUUUCGAGGAAUUGAGCUAUUUCAUGAUAUGAUUUGAUACAAAUGUAAUAAGCGGUAGAACGGAAAAAGUAAACGAGAACUCAAUGAAAUAAAAGGAAAAGCUAGUAAGCAACCUGAGACUUAUAGAAGAGAUGAGUUGACUGAAUACCAAUUCAUGUUGAAAGCUGCAAAGAGUUAUCUCUUUAGCUUCUCUUCUCUUAGAGGAACGUGCCUUCCCACCGACCAUCAAUCCAGUGACCAAUGAAAACUUGAGGGAUAUGAGAAAUUGUCUGAUAAUCUUCACUUUGUUUAUCCAAAUUCUGUACUUUGUGCACUAGCUCAUCAGACAUUUCAAAAAACCCAAGAGAUUCAAGUCUGGUCAAGUUUUGGAUGCCAGAAGGCAACUCCUGCAUUAGUUUGCAAUCACCUAAGCGCAGACUUCUGAGACUAGGCAUUGAUUCCUCUUCCACUCUCACCCAUUUCAGUCUUGUUAAUUGCACAAGCUCUAAGCUCUGGAGUUUUUGAAAUCCUCCAAUUUUUUUGAAACAUAUUGUCUCCCCUUCAUAAGCACCAUAGAGAGUAAGUGAUACCAGAUUGGGCAAAUGUCCGAGGGAGCCUGUUACAUUCUCAUCUUCUCUCAACCUACUAUUGACCAACCGUAAGGUUCUCAAGGAUUGAAGUGAUGUCACCCAUUGCGGUACUCUCUCUAAACGCCCCUUCAACCACAGAGAUAUGAGGAAUUCAAGCUUUGGAGAGACGGAAUGUUGGAGAUCAAGGGUCUCAUCUUCUUUAAUACAGGAGAUGGUCAACACUCGAAGGUUGGUCAGCCUCAAGAGGGAGGAGAGCAACUCCUUUCCAUCUUCUCUUCUCAGCUUUGUGAUGGAUAAUCGCCGCAGCUGCAUGAGCUUCCCAAUCUCCCUUACUAUUUUAUCACUAUCUGCUUCUAUAUUAGUCAGCUCCUCCAAAGAAAUAAGCUUUCCAAUUCCAAGUGGACAUUUACAGCCCCAAAUUGCAUACUCAUUUGAAUAAUCACCCCAUCCGCCUAACCAAAGAAAACGGAGUUUUCUUAGAUUUAGAAUUUCCACAGGCAACUCUGUUACAUUGGUUCCUGCCAGAUUUAUUACUUCAAGGUUCUGAAGCUUCCCAAUAGAUUUGGGAAUAAUUUUAACUCCAGUUCUUGCAAGAUUAAGAUACCUGAGAUGAAAUAGUUUGAAGACUUGCUUUGGAAUGCUGUCCAAUUCAGCUCCAUGCAAAUCCAACACCUUUAGCAACUUGGGAUCACCACUUAAGAACUUGGACAAAAUUGUAGUUGUGAGAGGAUCUUCAUACCCAAAUAUUACCACAGACCGAAGACACUUUAAGCUACUAAAUUCUUGUGGAUUAUCAGUGAAGUUGUGGAUUGCUAGGUGUCGAACUUUUUCAGGCCAUCUUGUGUAAUACCUGGUGGCUACAGUCGUGAAGUCCUGCUCUUUGGAUUUUGAAACUAGGAUUUCACGCAGAAAAUCGUGGAGACCACAUUUAUUCAAUCUGCCAUCGUUCAAUGUGGAUUUAACUUGGAUUAAGCUUCUGUUGAUGAGUUCUUUCAUAUAACUCAUAGCAAUAUCGGUGGAUGUUAUUCUUUCUCUCUCUUCUACAAAUCCUAGUGCAAUCCACUUCAGAAGUAUAGAUACCACAUCAAUUGGAUAAUCUUCAGGGUAGAUGCUUAGAUACAAUAGGCAGCUUUUAAGAUAGUGAGGCAAAUCAUUGUAGCUAAGUAAGAGUACCCUUUUGAUCCUGUCAAGCUUACCACUGCCAUCUGCCUCGCCACCAAAAUCAUGAAGAAUCAUCUCCCAUUCAUCUGUCUUUUCCUUGUCCUUCAGAGCCAAAACACCACCUAUUGCAACAAUUGCAAGCGGUAGGCCCUCACAUUUUUUCAGUACUUUUUUAGCAACUUCUUCUACAUUUGGAGGACAGUCAUUGCUCUGAUAUGUUCUAUUGCAAAACAGAGUCCAAGACUCUUUAUCAGAAAGAGGCUCCAUCUUAUAGACGAAGUCAAGUGAUCCUAAACAGGACGCAGAAGCUACAUCGGCUAUUCGUGUUGUCAAUGACAACACGACUAGUGAUAUUACAGCCAGGCAAUACACAUUUGAUAGCUUCCCAGGCAUCUAUACGCCACACAUCAUCAAGGACAAGAAUGUACCUUUUUUCCUGGAGGAAGUCUUUGACAAAUUCACUCAGCAUCAGAACAUCCAUGGAUUCCACUUGGCGAGGGACCAGCUGUCUGAUUUCAUUGUACAACUGUUGGAUCAGAUUCUUGAUGAUGUCACUGAACUGAAAAUUUUGAGAAACAGUUAUCCAGGCAUGGCUCUGAAAUUGUUUCUUCACUGCAGCGUCAUCAUAGACUUUUUUCACCAGGGUAGUCUUGCCGAGUCCCCCCAUUCCCACAACCGAAACUACUUUCAAUUGGGAGUGGUCAUCAAGGAUUUUUGAGAUGAGCUCUGCUUUUGGCUUAUCAAUCCCAACAAGUUGAGCUUCUUCAAUGAAGAGUGAUUGAGCACGAAUGUCAAAAUCUGCAUUUGCCUGUUGGGAAGAGCUGAAGCCUCUUUCUUGAGUACCAUAUAGGGACUCGUACCUCUGAUGCCUUGUUGAAAUCUCUCCAACUCUGCCCUUGAUGUCUUUUAUCUCCAAAGAAAUUUGAUGGCGAGCUUUCAAAUUCUUUAUUGAGUUAUAGAUCGUUCCAACCUUGCCACAGAAUCCAUCCACGUAACCACGAGUAAAGCGGAAGGUAAAAUCAUCGAGAACAUCCUCUGUAUCAUAAGCAACUUGUCGAACCUGCUUUAGCCAUUCUUGGAGUUGAGAAUCAUUGUCUUCCUUUGCUUCAGCUUCUCUGAGGAAAGCCUUCAUGCUCUCGAGUUCAUCUUUGAUGAAUUGAACGUCUGAUUUAAGCCCCCCCAAAAGUGUGAUCUCUUGGGAAAGCAAGGUUGAGAGCUGGUUAAUCAAAAAACCUGCAGCACUCUCUGCCAUGAUGCUCAAUCAAAUUUCUCAACAGCUGGUUUUCUUAUCAAAAAAAUUUUGAGAGUUGAUCCAAAUUUCAGAAGAUAUGCUGUUUUUCUUUUUCUUUCUUUCUUUUGUAGUAUAGAGGAUGCGGUUUAUAUGAGCUAGCAAAUUCUAGAAUUAUAUGAAUUUGAAAUCAAGAAUGAUAUGAAUUUGGGAACGUAUGCUUUUUUUUUCCCUUUGUGGUGUAGACAAGGAGUUUUAUUUGGCAUUUUGGUAGUACGUAUCAAAAGUUAUUGUAGUCAAAAAGUGAAAUGUCAGUCUACUCAAAAGAAAAAGUAUACAGAGCAUAACCUAAAAACAUAGCUAAAGAAUAACUAUUCUCUUGGGCUAAGAAAGGCAUAGAGAAAAUUUUGGAUUUCUUUUGAUUGUUUAAAUUGGAAAGGAAGGUAUUUGUCAUGUGGAAUCUAACAAUCUUCAGAUAAUGUUCAGCUCCCUUCUAAUGUUUUCAUAAUUUGCCCCAAAAGAAAUGGCUAGCUAUGAUUCUAAGUAAAAGUAAUAGACAGGAAAAAGAAAUAUGUUGUCCCUAAGAUCCAACUUACUUUAGUAGGGAUGAUAAUCACGUAAAGGUAAAGUCCUUGAUUUGCCUCUUAUGUCUUUCCUUUAUAUCUUCUCGCUUACAAGCUUUGAAAAUAAAAUGUCUUUUAUGUUUUCCGGGCCAUAAAGGAUGUGUUUUACAUUAUCUAAUCAAUUCAAAAAUGAUACUAAUUUCAAAGAAGAUCGUUUUUUAAAUUGGCACUCUGGUAAUACUUGCAAAAUAACAUAAAUUCAUUGUAACGAAACAAAGAAAGAUUUGCCUACCUGCAACGAAAAGCAUAUUGGGCAUAACCUAAGAAAUGGGCAAAGCAUAUUAGAAUACAUAUAUUCUCAUGCUAAGAAAGGCAACGAUAAAAUUUUGAUUAGUUGAGUAGGAAAGCAAGGUAUUUGUCAUAGUCAAUCUAACAAUAUUCUCGAGAAAUGUUCAACUCCCCUUCUAUGUUGUUUUGAUUGGCUUCCAAACAUGUAGCUAAGAUUCUAAAUAAAACCAGCUGAAAAGAAAAAGUUGACAAGGAAAAGACCACAUCAUAUUUCAUUUCAAAUGCCAAUGGAAAUUGGAAACUGAACUAUUUGGAAUGUAUUUGAGGAAAACUUCUAUGGGCAGUUGCAGAAGAACUUGUAAAAGUCCUCUCUCUCUCUCUCCCCCCCCCCUGAUUUCAUAUACGAUCACAUAGUCAUAUAAAUCUAUAUAGUUUUAUAUAAAAUUGAAAAUGAACAGAAAGUAACUCCAAUCAUAUCCUACUAUCUCAACGAAGUUAUAAUAUUUAUUUAAUCAUCCUACUAUCUCAUGUCUGCCCACAAAAUUCCCUAUAAUUUUACAAAAAUUGUUCCUCCCCUUCCCCUCCCCCUUCCUUCUCCCCCCAAAAAUUUAUUCCACACUUGAGUAAUGGCAAUAACGAUUCUAUGAAGACUCCUUUAUGUCAAAUUUUUACUUUACAUAAAAUUAUAGUGGGAAUUAUGUGAAUAUUUUGAAUGGUUAGACUUUAAAGGAAUCAUGUGGUAAUUGACGAAAUCACAUGAAUUACAUAGUUAUUUACCUUUUAUCCUAGUUAUGGAUCUUGUUUGCAAAUUGUUUUUGCAAUGCAGCAUUAUGACUACCAGAUUAUAAGAUGAGGCAUUUUCUUAUUCGGCUGAAAAGUUUUCAUAUGUUUCUAUCAAGAAACUAGCUUCAGACGUCUUUUUCUUCUGGCACGGAAGUUUUGAGAUCAAGAAGAUGUUCAAAAUCAUAAUCUGAAACUGAAGUCCGGCUUCCAACUCUAAAUUGAGCAAUGCUUGUAACUUCAUACAAUUUCUAACAGUGUUUAGCAUUUGAGUUUUUAGGCACAGAAUCUGCAAAAUAAUGAUGACCUUGACCAACAUGUUGCUAAAGAUUAAAAGAAAAAAAAAUUGAAUGAAGAUGCUUUUGAAGAAACAGAGGAUGAGACUGUGGUCAUGGGUUAGUUAUGCCUGUCAAUGGAUUAAAACAAUUUGAUUUUGGCCAUCAGUUAUUGGAAUUUUUCAUCAAUUGUUCUAUAUUUGCCCAAAACCACAAACUUUGUGGACAAGAUUUUUUUUUUUUGGGUCAAAAUAUUAAGGAUCAUUUUCGUGCAAGCUAAACAUUAGGGAUCAAAACUGCAUUUCUUCCUUGUUUCACCAUCUCUUCUUUGAGUUUCUCAAAAGAAUAAACCUUUUGAAUUGAUUUUUUAAAUAAUCAUAAACAUCCUUCGUGAACUUAUUUUUUAUUUUUUUAAUGCGAAGAAAGAACUUCGAUUAGAAAUGGAAAGAAGAGAAAUGUUUGAAUAACUUCUAUUUGUGUUAGGCUUAAGUUAUUUUAUCAAUUUUCUGAACGACCAAUCUCAAUUAAAAAGAAAAGACUUCUUCAAUAAACCCUACUAAAACUUGCGUACCUAUAGCCUCAAAAGUAAUCAAAGUAAAUCUUCUUAUCAGAAUCAUGACUUAUGUAGCACAGAAACCCAAGAACCAAGAAUGCAUGAACACAUUAUAAAUCCCAACUAAUCAAAAUCUGGUAGAGUUUUCACUACAGGUUCAAUACUUGCAAUGCAAACAAUAAGAAGUAUCUAAAAACAACCCUUCAUACUGUGUAAGAAAGCGGUGCCUAUUGGAUUUCUCUCAAUAGCAAUAAAUGAGAGGAGGAAAGUUGAAACAAGGAAAAUUGGAGUUUUCAAAAGGCAAAUAAUAUUGGCAUUCCCCAAAAAAAGGUCUCACGCACUCUUUCUCUUCUUUUACUGGGUGAAAGGCAAUAUUGCCCAUUAAUCAGUUUUGUCUAUACAUGAACUACGUCAAUUCCCCUUAGGCUUCACAGUUGCUAUCAAAGAGUUCCUUUGCCUUAUUCUUCACUACCAAAACCAUUCUUUCCCUACCACUGUACAUUUUUCUUGCAAUGGCAAAAGACUAAGAUUGCAAGGGCCUAGUAGAUCACAUGAAACUGGAGGAAAUAAAAUGAUAUUUGAAAACCACAAGUCUAGAAGAAUUCCUUAAUUUUAUCAAUUGCUUCUAUCUUCCAUAGGUAAUAUUUUUAAAGAUUGAUCUUUUUCAUUAUUUUUUUAAUUAGAAGCAUAUAUGUUACAAGUUUGAUUAGAAGCAUAUAUGUUACAAGUUUGAACAUAAGAAUUCAAUAUUUUAAUUAGAGAUCUUUUUUUUUUUUGGAUAGUUUAACUUAUAAAAAAAUAUAUUUGUAGAAAAGAGGUUAAUUUGCGAUAGUAUGCCAAUAUACUAGCUUUUUGGAUUGCCAUUCUCUGGGCAAAAAUCUCAUGCUUUUUGGGAAUAUUUCCUUGACACAUUUUUCAAUGAUCUUUUUAUAUCAUAUACAUCACAUCCAAAAAAAGUGUUACAAUAAUUUGUUUCUAAAACACCCCCUUUUAAAAAAUGCAAUCCAAACAAUAUACUUGCAUGAUCAAUCAUAGUAUUAUUGCGAUUAUGAACAUUUUUUAUGAUUAGAAUAAAAAAACUAAAAAAGAAAAAUAGAACCUGGACAACAAAAUGGAUCAUGUGACCUGACUUUCAUGAUUACUUGAAAUAAUUCUAAUCAAGGUGAAAAUAACUUGUAGUUUUUUGGGUAAAGGUCAAAAGGCUGUUUGGGUACAAAAGAAUAUAGUAGCAAACUAUAGGUUUAAAUUUAAUUUCAUUUAAAUCAAUAGAAGGGAAGGAUUGCCUCAGAUUUUGGUGCUAAUUCAAUUCCCUCUCAAAAUGAGUAAGAAAGGGAAUUUGGGGAUCCGAUGAUUGGAAUGAGAGUUUGCUUGGUUCGAUAGGUUAAUUUGGUAAUUUUGAUUAUGACAUGUGCUUUAUUAUAUUUUAGGAAUAUAAGAAUUUGCCAAAACUUCUAUCUCUUUAACAAUUUUAAAUCUUUCUAUUACUACUACUCAAAUUUUUCCAAAGGGAGAAGCACGGUUUUGGUACUCAAUGUUUGACUUGUAUAUCAAACUGGUUCCGUAUGUUUUAGCCAAAAUAAAUCUAUUCUCCAAAUUUUCUGAUUUUGACUUUACAUUUUUAGUUCCUAAUGUUUGAAGUUUCGAUCGAUAUGGUCCCUUUAGUUUCAAGUAGUUAUAGCCAGGGGCUUUAAAAUGAAAAAAAAAGGUGAAUUAAAUUAAAGAUAUGGCAAAUGCCUUCAUAAAUCCCUAUAAAAUUUCAUAAAAACACUUUAUGUCAACACAAUAGCAUCGUUGAACUUAAAGAGUUUUAUUUUGUUUGAAUAAGUUACAAUCGGAUGACAAUAGAUAUACAUAAUAUAUAAAAUAAAAAGAAAAGGAGAAUUCUAGUAUUAAUAUAAAAUUUAUUAGCAUUCACACUAGUCUACUACACAAGUUCUUGCAUGAAUUGUGCAUGGCGUCCUUAAUUUGUUAGAGUAGGAAUUGUAAUUAUAAAAACUAGUAACCAAAAUAACAAUAUGAAGUGUUUUUACUCAUUACGGUUAAUUAUCAAUUAAUUACUAAUAGUACAAAACAAUAGUUAUGUAUAUUAUACCAAAUUUGAGACCGAUUAUGCAAAAAGGAAGAAGUAUAUGAGACAUUAGUGACAUGAAUAAAUGAAAUAAAAUCAGCAGAUUCCCUCCAAAAGUGAGAGUUUCUCUCUCUAGGUAAGAGUGCGAGUCUCUCAACCUUGAGAGUUUCAAAACUUUUCAAAAUUUCCUCAAAGACACACACACACAAUCCCAAGAUUCGGACAUCAACCAGAAUCUUUAAUGCGUUGAUGAAGUUAAGAAGAUCGAACAAUUAAGAGUGAGAUAACAAAAGCCGAGAACUUUGAGAGAAUCUUGUUCCCCAUUCACGGGAAAGCUUGCACCUAAGUUUAUCAACACUGGCAGAAUAUGAGAGCAUGCAGCAGCGAUCUUAGCUAAUCUGGCCCAAGGAAACAGACUCCAUGGAAGACGUAAGGGUGCUGACAGGUAUCUUCAGAGCCACUAUUACCACUGUUCCUUGAUGUGGGCUUCUUUUUUGUUAGAAUUUUUGGUGUCUCUCUUUCCCAAAAGUUUUUUUCUUACGGAUAAGGAAGAUCAUAGCUAAAUUUAAAAAAAAAAGUUGAUUAAAAAAAAAGAUUUUUGUUGGUUUCUUUCAAAAUCAGGGAGGGUGGUCCUCCUUCUUUUUAUAUGACCAAGUCUGCCUGGGUAGUUUCUUUGGCUCUUCGCUUGACUAGUCUCGGUCUUAGUAGUGAUAGUAGGAGGUAGCUUAAGAAUCUGUUUAGACCCCAUGGCGGAGGAACUAGCAGAUGCGAUAAGAAAGUUCGCCCUUUCAGAUAAAGAAUGGGAAGGUACUGACCUUGGAGGCGAAGAGAUAGAUAGAGGUAUUCAAGAAUGUCAGUUAACUUUAGUGGGGAGAAUUAAAGGGGAGAAAGUGGUGAACUUUGUUGGAGUUAAGAACUUUGUGAACUCAGCUUGGGGGUAUCCAAGGAAUCUAAGGAUCAUAGAAUUGGGUCCAAAUAUUUUUCAGUUUUAUGUUCCAAAUAAGGAGGACAGGGAUAGGAUAGUAGGAGGUGGACCGUGGGUCAUGGACAAUCAAAUUCUAGUGAUGAAACACUGGUUUGAAGGUGUAGAGAAAGACACAUCUGCUUUUGACCUGGCACCUCUCUGGGUCCAAGUUUGGAAUCUACCAGUACACUGGAUAACAAAAGAAGCCGGGUGGAAAAUUGGUUCUGUAUUUCAGGAAGUAAAGGAUGUUCUGGUGCCUCAAGUUCGAGGGAAGAAAGGUAGACACUUAAAGCUACUAGUGGUACUAGAUACCUCCCUACCUCUACUCAGGGGAUCGACAAUUAAAGUUAAUGGAGCUCUAAAAUGGCUGAACUUCAGAUAUGAGAGAUGUCCAGAUUUUUGCUACAAGUGUGGAGUACUUGGACAUGGAGAAAAGUCAUGCAAGGAAGUAAUACAGAUAUGCAAAAGGAAACAGGAACAUCAGUACGGUCCUUGGAUGAGAACCAAUACAGGAAAAUCAUCACCCCAAAAGGAACAACAGAAUAAGUAUAACUCUGAGAAUAAUCAUUGGGGCUAUAAAGAUGGUGAGAUGGUUCUGUUAAAUCCUAAGGAAAAGGUGAAUAUGAAAUAUAGUCAAAAGGACUUUAUGCCAAGGAGAAAAGAAGUCAAUAGGAAGGGAAAUGAAGAGGAACAGACAGAUAGGGAGAAGUCCAAAGAGGUUGGAAGUGAUGAGGUACAACAACAAAGAGUUGAUGUUAACUGCAGUAAAGAGAAAAUGCAUAGCUUCAAUUCAAAUAGCAGCAAAAGUCAGAAGGAAAGUUGUUCCAGUGAAGCUUCAAAAAUACUCAUUGGGGGAAAGAGUAACAGUGUUAUUGAAGAAGGAAGGAUGAGUAUCUCUAAGAAGGUAGAGAAACAGGGGAAGAAUAAAGGUGAAGAGAAGAGGAAUGGACUGGAGCAAAAAGCACAGGAGCUAAUGCAAGUAACAGUAGUGGAGGAAGAUUCUGGUAGACCUGAAAUAGCCUUAAUGCCAAUUGAUCCAGGAUCUUCUGACGUGGGUUCAAAGGCUGCCCAGAAACAUAACAGGAAUAUGAAGAAACAGUUGAGAUCUCCCAAAAUCUCUAGACAGCCAUUGAGAGAACUGAGGGGGAACAGGUCUAUGACACCUCAACAAGGGAAAAGGAAACUGAAUUUGGUGGAUGAAGACAUGGUGGAAGUGCAGGUGAAUGAAGUUGGUCCUAAGAGAAACAAAAAGGAAGAGGGGGAGGGGAAUCUGAGUGAGAAUCUGGAGGGGGUAGGGGCCAACCUCAACUGGCCCCUCAUGUUUCAAUGAAGGUUCUGGUGUGGAACUGCCAAGGAACAGCGAGCCCUUUGAUAAUUCCCUAGUUGAGGGAGGCUAACAACCUCCUCUUCCCAAACUUAAUCUUUCUAAGUGAAACCAAAAACAGGUAUAGUUAUAUAAAAAAGGUCCAAAAACUUCUGAGAUUUGAGGAAAGUGUGAUUGUGGAAGCUAUGGAUAAGAAAGAAGGCAUGGCCUUGUUUUGGAACAAUGAUAUAGAGGUUAGGAAAGUUGUUACAACUGCCCUCACUAUAGAGGCACUAGUGAUUGACCCGGAUACUCAGCUUGAGUGGUGGUUUAUUGGUGUUUACAUGAGCAGUGAUGCUAAUAUAAGGAAACAUCAGUGGACAGUUUUGAUUGUGAGACAACAAUUGUGGGAGGAUAAAUGGCUUCUAGCAGGUGAUUUCAAUGACAUUCUUUCUAAUGAAGAGAAGUGGGGAGGGAGAGCAAGAGAUGAUAGAAGCUUCAAGGAUUUUAACGGUUUUAUUGAGCAUAACAGCCUUGUGGACCUAGGAUUUAUUGGUAACCCCUGGACAUAGAGCAACAAUUGGGAAGGUGAGGGGGAGAUAAGGCAAAGAUUGGACAGAGGUCUGAGCACCAUAAGCUGGGGUCAAAAUUUUGAUAAAGCUAAAUGUGAACAUGUGGAAACUCUGGGAUCAGACCAUAGCAUGCUACUCAUAGACAAUUGGCCUAGAGCAGAAAAACGAAGAUCAAGAUUUUUCUUUGAUAAGAGAUGGCUCAAAAGGGAAGACAUUAAUCAAGUGGUUGAGCAAGCUUGGAAACUACCAAUUGAGGGAAACAAUAUGUAUAGGAUUACUAGACAGGUUCCUAAUUGCAGAGUGGCUCUACUCAAAUGGAAAAACAAAUUCACAAGAAACUCUUUGCUAAGAAUCAAUCAAGUUAAGCUUCAGAUUAAGGAGAUCAAGGACUCUAAGGACUCAAGAGUUAAGGAUAAGAUUGCAUAUUUGAAGAAGCAGUUGAAAGAGGAUUGGGCUCAGAAAGCAAGGAUUGAUUGGCUGAAAGAAGGGAACAAAAACACCAAAUUUUUCCAUGCUUGUGUGAAAGGAAGGAGAAGGAAAAAUAGAAUGCUUAACAUUCAAAAGGAGGAUGGAACUUGGACAAACAGUGAGGAGGAGUUGGGAAGGGAAGUAGCUGCCUACUAUAGAGCCCUUUUCUAUAGUUCAGGGAGUGAGGGUAUAACAGAGAUUCUUCAUGGUAUACCUCCUACUAUCACUACUGAGAUGAAUGCUAAGUUAACUAGAGAGGUAGAUGAGAUGGAAAUUAAAUCAGCUCUUUUUCCAUGAAUCCUAAUAAGGCACCAAGUCAAGAUGGUAUGUCUUCCUUGUUUUUUCAAAAAUUCUAGCAUGUUGUUAAACCUGAUUUAAUUGCAGCCGUUAGGCAUUUUUUCCAAUCUAGCAAUUUGCCAAAGUCUUGGAAUCAUACGGUCAUCUCCCUCAUACCCAAAAUUCAGAAUCCUACUAAUUUGAAGAGCUAUAGGCCAAUUAGCCUCUGUGAUGUUUGACGGGAUUUUUUUUAUCAAUGCAAGUUUAAUUCCGAAUUUACACCCGUUGGACUGCAAGUAUACAGGUCGCAAUUGUAGUACGAGAUGUGUAUCGGGUCGAUCCCACGAGGAGCAAUUUAAAACAAUUAUUAGAUACUAAUUUACUCUAUUAUUUAGACUCACAAUUAAUUUGAGCAGAAACUUCAGAUUUUAAUUCAACUACAAAAAUUCUUAAAUAGAUAAAUGCAAUUUCACAAUAGGAGUAGAAUUCACUAAAUAUUAAGAUCUAGGGAUGUAGAUUCCACUUAUGACACAAAAGAUCUAAAAUGAAUUAAUUCAACACUUGUUACUGCUCUUGUUUAACCAAGGAUUCAUUUCCAGAAAUACCAAAAUCACAUUCUCAUGAUAAUAAUGGGUUAAAACAGAUUAGUUUUUCCUAAUCUCUUGGUAAUUACUAAAUCUGUUCUUAUUCACACAUGAAAUGCAGAUUUCAUCCACUUGAAUGUAUUUCUAUUCUCAUGAAUAUACUACUCAAUCUCUACUUAUGUCAUUCCAUUAUUUUUACCAUUUCUCAAUGAGUAAAAACAACUAUAAACCUGCCAUUGGUGAUCAAGCAACAACAAGUAAUCCAACAUACACAAGUAGAUAAGUUAAUACAAGACAUAACAAGCAUAAAUCACAAUCACUUCAUAUCAUUUGGCCAUAAGCUUCAUCUACUCCCUAGAUAAAGGAAAUUAGCUACUCAUGAAUGAUGAAACACUCAUAACUUCAUUAAUGCAAAUCAUCAUAAAUUUACAAAUACAAAAAGAGUAAAGAAAGUCUUAGCCAAGAUAUGGUGAAGCCUUCCAAAAAUCUCCUUGUCUUGAACUUAGAUGAUUACAAGAUGAAACCUCAAUUGUCCCUUGCAAGUACCUAGCUAGAGAGACUAUGUUUUUCUGUCAGAAACUAAGCUACGAAUGGUUCCUAGAUCUCUCCCCAUAUCUCUGCAUAAAAAACACUCAAAUGCUCCAUUUUUCCAAGUCAAAUUCUAUCCUUUGAUUCCCAAAUCUCCACUUUGUUAGCAUAGUCAAAAACCAAUAUUUUUGACUUGAAAAUAAGCCACUUUUCUUGCCCUUUUGUCUUCUGAAGCAUGUGCACCGAAUUCCCUUGCAUCUUAUAGCUGGAAAGUGGUAUGAACACAAGAGAAUUGGCUGAGUCAAAUUGCAGAAUUUCGGCUAUAAAACGCGCCUACACAAAACGCGGUUACAAGUCACGUUUUGUGUACUCGCGUAUUCACUUUGGCCUUAUUUCAUCUGCGAUUUUCUCUAUCAUAAAGGCCGAACUAGCUUUUGUGCAAAACACAAAAGUUGUAGCCCUUUGAGUUAGCUUUCCAAUGCUUCAAGAAUCAUCCAAAUCGGAGCUUUGUAGCCUGAGAUAUGAUCGAAAUACUGUCACCUGUUCAAACCUCUGUUUUAACUUCCGACCACAGGGUGCAGCUUCUGUAUUCCAACGUUUUGCCCAUGAAGAUGGCAGAAAUGGAUUUCGAUGUCUUCAUACGAAUUGUAGGUCUCUUUCUUAGCUUUAAAAUGGUAUAAAAAUCACCUCAAUCCGAUAAGUGUAGCUCCAGAUAUGGUCAAAAUACUGAAAAGUGUCAAAACUGACUUGUAUUGCAUUUCCUCACUUGAACGUUUUUCACUUCAUUCUUCUUGUUGCCACUUAAAUUCAUCACCAAAUCUCUAUUUUUCACCUCAAUUGACCUCCUUUGGUGAUUGAUUCAUUAUUCCUGCAUAAAAAUGAAGUUUUUACUAUUAAAAUCAAUAGAAAUGCAAUAUUAUCCACUUUUACCAAAAAUAUAUAAUUUUAUCAAAAACCUCUUUAUUUUAAUUAUAAAACUAAAUAAUCAACUCAAAAUUAACUAAUAAAAUGCACUAAAAAAUACGUAAAAUAAACUCUUAUCAAAUACCCCCACACUUGAAUCAUUGCUUGUCCUCAAGCAAUAUAAAAUUCCAACCAUCAAUGAUCCAAAAAUUUAAAAUAAACAUAUGUAGUAUUUCAACUCCAUUUCCUUGAAUCAAGGUAAAUAACCCUUAUGUGAUCUUUCCAUUAAGUUCAAGUACUCAUAAUAUCAAGCAAAGAAGAGCCAAGUAUACCAUAAUUUUACCAAUUCAACUCAACUUCUUAUUUUUAUCUAAUUUCGCAAGCAAGCAACUCCUAUAGUCAAUAAAGAUGCUAACUAAUCUCAUGAUCAACUUCUUAUUUUUCUUAAAGAGGGAUUUAAUUUACUUCUUUUUUUUUUUUUUUUGAUAUUUUAAGGGUUAAAUAUUGCUUAAGUUGUGAAAAAUGCCUUUUGACGCGAAGAUCAACAUUUUUAGAUGCAGAUCCCCGGUUACUCAACAUUUCACAUACUCAAGUUGCUUUGCAUACUCUUAAUUCAAGUACCUUUUUACGCGAAUGUCGACAUUUGUAGAUGCCAACCCCCGGUUACUCGGUACGAGAAUCAUUGGAGUAGAAUAACCAUUUUUUUUUUUAUUUUUUUUAACAAUAUAUAAUAAAAUUCCCUCUAAGAGUAAUCAUGAGAAGAGUAUGACACUUAUUAACCAUAUUAAUUUCUUAUCUUAUAAAAUUAGAUAAAAAGAAGAAUUUUCAUCAAAUAUACAAAAUGUAGGCAUAAUUUUCUCCACUUUACUAGAUAUACUUUCCUAUAGAUGUAAAAAUUAUAAUCACAUAAAAAUCAUUUCCAAAUUUUAUGAGAAAAGAAGUAUCAAAACCGCAUAUAUUUAUUUCAAAAGGAUAAGUGACAAAAUUUUAUUUAUUUAUUAUAGUUAAUAACAUAUAUAUGUAUAAGGUUUUGGAAAAAUUUUGACAGAGUCUCCCCUUAAAAGUGGACUAAAUCUCCCUGCCAGCAACCACAAGAAACACCAUUUAAGCACAAGAAUUAUAUCAAACACAACUAAAAUCACAAGUACCACACAUUUCUUCCCCCACACUUAGAAUACACAUUGUCCUCAAUGUGUAGGGAAAGAAAAGAAAAGAAACAAAAGAAAGGAACAAGUGACUCCCCAAGUGAGAUGACUGCAGUCCAGUGAAGCCUUGAAUCAUGAGUCAUCGACUAAGAUUUGUGAGGUGGGUAGAAGAGAAGAAAAAAAACGCGCCUGAAAAAUUAAAAAGAGAGGAAAAAAUGAAGCUGAAAUCGCGUUUCUGAAGGCUAUAUUCAGACACACAAAACGCGACUAAAAACGCGCCUUCAACUCGCGUGUUUGAAGUCGCGUUUCCUGCCCAAAUCUUGCAGGAAUGAAAACGCGACUGUGUUGGAAAACGCGACUUCGAGUCGCGUUUCUGAAGUCGCGUUUUUGAGUCUUGAUCCAGGCUUGAAAACGCGAAUUCCAUUAAAACGCGACUUUGGGUCGCGUUUUGAAGGCGCGUUUUCUUUUCUGCAGGUGCAGAAUUGAAAACGCGAUUCCUAGAAACGCGACUUGUAGUCGCGUUUGCUUUGAAAACGCGUUUUCUGCUUCGAUUUUUAGCAGAAUUUCAACUUUUGAAAAAUUACAAAAGGUACCCCAAUGACUCAAAAUGCAUCAUAGAUCAUUUGUUUGCCAAUUUUAAUGGCUGGAACAAAUGUAAAACAUUAAAAACAUGCAUUUUACCCCUUUAUAAUGAAUCAAAAACACCUUUAACGCAAAUCGAGGGGUUGAGUUGUUUGAUCAAAGUUCGCCUUUUUUGUACUCAAUUGGUCUUCCUUGCCUUCAAUUGCCAACCCUACAUUACAAAAACAACAAUUUAGCUAAAACAUUGAUUCAAACCGCAAGAUCACACCAAGUUAACAAAUAUAACCUAAAUAUUGGGUUGCCUCCCAAUUAGCGCUUUUGUUUAUAGUCGUUGGCUCGACUGAAAAAGUUGAAUCACUUUAGAGCAUUAAAGAGAGAUUUUCUCCCCAUGGGUCGAAACUCCCGAGCCAAUCCACCAUGUGGUGAACCAUGCAUUGAUCUUCAUAGUCCAAUUUCCUCAAAUGCCAAGGAGGAAUAUUAGACUUGUCAUAGAGAGGCUCAACUUCACCUUGGAGUGGAUUUUGCUUGUCUUUUCUGAAUUGGCUCAACUUUUCACCAUUUUCUUCAUGGAAUGGAGAAUUUAUUAAGCCAACUUCCAUCCUUAUCUUCUCCUCCUUUGUUCCUACACCAUGAAAGUUAGUACCAAGGACAUUUAUAAAUUUAACUUCUUCGGUCCUUUCUUGGUUAACCUUUUCAUCAUAUGGCAUAUUAGAAACAAGAGCAGUAGGCUCUAUAUUCCCUUCUUUAUUUUCCAAAUUGAAUUCCAAUUCCUCACCAUUAACCCGUAAUAUAAGCUUACCUUUUUCUACAUCAAUCAUAGUUCGUGCAGUGGCUAAAAACGGUCGUCCUAGAAUAAUUGGCAUUCUCACAUCUUCUUCAAUAUCUAAGACAACAAAAUCCACAGGUAUUAUAGAUUGUCUUACCUUUAUGAGCACAUUUUCCAAAAUACCCAUGGGACGUGUGAUUGACCGAUCCGCCAAUUGCAAUGUAAUAUUGGUAGCUUUUAGCUCUUGAAGUCCCAAUCUCCGGGCAACCGAUAACGGCAUAAGUGACACACUUGCACCUAAAUCACAUAAAGCAUUAGAAAAAUGCAAUUGACCAAUAGUGCAAGGAAUAGAAAAACUUCCCGGAUCUUUCAAUUUAGGAGGGAGUUUAUUCUUAAUCAAUGCACUACACUCUUCCGUUAAUGCUAUCAUCUCAUUAUCUACAAUUUUCCUCUUCUUUGACAUGAUGUCUUUCAAGAAACGUGCAUAAGAGGGAAUCUGUGUUAUAGCAUCAAUGAAAGGAAUGUUAAUGUGCAAUUGUUUAAACAUUUUGAAGAACUUUUCAAACUCCCGAUCCUGUCCAUCUUUCUUCAACCUGUGAGGAAAAGGUAUCACAUUAGAAUUUAAUUUGGGAUGAAGUGCAUCAAUAUCAAUGAUAACAUGAUCAUUUUGACUUUCUUGCUCCCCUUCAAUUGCUUGCUUCUUGUCUUUUUCACCACCUGAAUUUUCAAAAUCGAAUCCCUCAACCGUUUUACCGCUUCUAAGAAUGAUUGCAUUGACAUGCUCUCUCGGAUUCACUUCGGUUUUACUUGGUAAUUCACCAGGGUUUCUAUUGUUGAUCACAUUGGCAAUUUGACCAAUUUGAACCUCCAAGUUUCUGUACAUCCCAGCUAAUUGGUCCAACCGCCCCUCAACUCGCUCGAAUCUAUCCGAAGUCACCUUAGCAAGUUUUUCCACCGCGAUCUCCCAACUUGGUUUAGUUUCAGCCUGUGGUUGCCUUGGUUGAAAUCCCGGCGGAUUGGUUGGCCUUUGUUGAUUGCCUUGAUCUUUCCAUCCAAAGUUUGGAUGAUUUCUCCACCCCGGAUUGUAAGUAUUCGAGUAGGGAUUAUUUGGAGCAUUUCGGUUGUAAUUAUUGACAAAUUGUACCUGCUCAGAAUCAACACACUCAUUAAUAUCAUGUUCACCUCCACAGAAAGAGCAACAAGCUACGUGUGCAUUAGAUGAACUUGGACCAACUCCACCUUGUCUACUUAGCAAUUUCAUCACAUUAUUCAUUUGAGUACUCAGCAUAUUGAGAGUGUCCAUUUCUAUCAUACCUGCGUGACGUCUCGUAUUACCUCUUUCAUUGGCCCAUUGGUAGUUAUUUGCUGCCAUUUCUUCUAUCAAAUUAUGAGCCUCUUGGGGUGAUUUACCCAUUAAAGCUCCACCUGCGGCUGCAUCAAUAAUAGUUUUAGUGGAGAAAGAUAAACCAUUAUAAAAGGUUUGUAUAAUCAGCCAUUCGGGUAGUCCAUGGUGUGGACAUUUCCGUAACAAAUCUCUAAACCUUUCCCAUGCUUCAUAUAAUGAUUCUCCUUCCAUUUGACUAAAACCAGUGAUAUCCAUUCUUAGCUUAGCAGUCUUACCAGGUGGAAAAUACUUAUUCAAAAAUGCCCUUGAUAAAUCAUCCCAUGUGGUAAAAGUGUUAGGAGCAUGAGAGUGUAACCACAUUUUUGCCUUAUCUCUUAAUGAAAAUGGGAACAACCGUAACCUUAUAGCAUCAUCACUAACUCCAUUCAUUUUAAUUGUAUCACAUAUUUCUAAGAAUGUAGCUAAGUGUGAGUUAGGAUCUUCUACAGCAUUACCUCCAAAUUGAGAUUGUUGAACCAUUUGGAUAAGUGAUGGCUUAAUCUCAAAGUUGUUAGCAUUUACCGUAGGCCUUGCUAUGCUCGUUUGAGAUCCUUGUGUUCCCGGUAGAGCAAAAUCUCGUAGAACUCGCCUAUUUGCUUCAUUUUCAGCCAUUUCUUCCUCAAAUGGUAGAUCUAUUGAGAUUUCCUCUAUAGGUUGCCAAAUCUCUUGUUCCUCUUGCUGUGGUGGAUGCCUCCUUUGUCUACGUAGUGUCCUCUCAAUUUCUGGAUCGAAAUGUGUAACUUCCCGAGACGCCCGGUGCAUACACUACAAACAGAAAUAAGAGAUAUUAUGCAAUUUCAAUUGUCAAAAACUGAUUACAAUAUAAGAUUAAAUAUAAUCUAAAAAAAAUAAAACUGUCUAAAUUAAUAAAGAUGAUUAGGCUCUAAUAUUGCCGCUCCCCGGCAACGGCGCCAAAAACUUGGUGGGUUUUCACUUUAAGUGCAAGUUUAAUUCCGAAUUUACACCCGUUGGACUGCAAGUAUACAGGUCGCAAUUGUAGUACGAGAUGUGUAUCGGGUCGAUCCCACGAGGAGCAAUUUAAAACAAUUAUUAGAUACUAAUUUACUCUAUUAUUUAGACUUACAAUUAAUUUGAGCAGAAACUUCAGAUUUUAAUUCAACUACAAAAAUUCUUAAAUAGAUAAAUGCAAUUUCACAAUAGGAGUAGAAUUCACUAAAUAUUAAGAUCUAGGGAUGUAGAUUCCACUUAUGACACAAAAGAUCUAAAAUGAAUUAAUUCAACACUUGUUACUGCUCUUGUUUAACCAAGGAUUCAUUUCCAGAAAUACCAAAAUCACAUUCUCAUGAUAAUAAUGGGUUAAAACAGAUUAGUUUUUCCUAAUCUCUUGGUAAAUACUAAAUCUGUUCUUAUUCACACAUGAAAUGCAGAUUUCAUCCACUUGAAUGUAUUUCUAUUCUCAUGAAUAUACUACUCAAGCUCUACUUAUGUCAUUCCAUUAUUUUUACCAUUUCUCAAUGAGUAAAAACAACUAUAAACCUGCUAUUGGUGAUCAAGCAACAAGUAAUCCAACAUACACAAGUAGAUAAGUUAAUACAAGACAUAACAAGCAUAAAUCACAAUCACUUCAUAUCAUUUGGCCAUAAGCUUCAUCUACUCCCUAGAUAAAGGAAAUUAGCUACUCAUGAAUGAUGAAACACUCAUAACUUCAUUAAUGCAAAUCAUCAUAAAUUUACAAAUACAAAAAGAGUAAAGAAAGUCUUAGCCAAGAUAUGGUGAAGCCUUCCAAAAAUCUCCUUGUCUUGAACUUAGAUGAUUACAAGAUGAAACCUCAAUUGUCCCUUGCAAGUACCUAGCUAGAGAGACUAUGUUUUUCUGUCAGAAACUAAGCUACGAAUGGUUCCCAGAUCUCUCCCCAUAUCUCUGCAUAAAAAAACACUCAAAUGCUCCAUUUUUCCAAGUCAAAUUCUAUCCUUUGAUUCCCAAAUCUCCACUUUGUUAGCAUAGUCAAAAACCAAUAUUUUUGACUUGAAAAUAAGCCACUUUUCUUGCCCUUUUGUCUUCUGAAGCAUGUGCACCGAAUUCCCUUGCAUCUUAUAGCUGGAAAGUGGUAUGAACACAAGAGAAUUGGCUGAGUCAAAUUGCAGAAUUUCGGCUAUAAAACGCGCCUACACAAAACGCGGUUACAAGUCACGUUUUGUGUACUCGCGUAUUCACUUUGGCCUUAAUUCAUCUGCGAUUUUCUCUAUCAUAAAGGCCGAACUAGCUUUUGUGCAAAACACAAAAGUUGUAGCCCUUUGAGUUAGCUUUUCAAUGCUUCAAGAAUCAUCCAAAUCGGAGCUUUGUAGCCUGAGAUAUGAUCGAAAUACUGUCACCUGUUCAAACCUCUGUUUUAACUUCCGACCACAGGGUGCAGCUUCUGUAUUCCAGCUUUUUGUCCAUGAAGAUGGCAGAAAUGGAUUUCGAUGUCUUCAUACGAAUUGUAGGUCUCUUUCUUAGCUUUAAAAUGGUAUAAAGAUCACCUCAAUCCGAUAUGUGUAGCUCCAGAUAUGGUCAAAAUACUGAAAAGUGUCAAAACUGACUUGUAUUGCAUUUCCUCACUUGAACGUUUUUCACUUCAUUCUUCUUGUUGCCACUUAAAUUCAUCACCAAAUCUCUAUUUUUCACCUCAAUUGACCUCCUUUGGUGAUUGAUUCAUUAUUCCUGCAUAAAAAUGAAGUUUUUACUAUUAAAAUCAAUAGAAAUGCAAUAUUAUCCACUUUUACCAAAAAUAUAUAAUUUUACCAAAAACCUCUUUAUUUUAAUUAUAAAACUAAAUAAUCAACUCAAAAUUAACUAAUAAAAUGCACUAAAAAAUACGUAAAAUAAACUCUUAUCAAUGUUGUGUACAAAGUGAUUUAAAAAAUAUUGGCCAAUAGAUUAAAGAAUGUUUUAAGUCAUUGCAAUAGUAAAAAUCAGUUAGCUUUUAUCCUAGGCAGGCAAAUUCUUGACAAUGUUAUUUUGUCUCAUGAGUACUUGCAUUACAUGAAAAAUAAGAAACGAGGACAGAAUGGUUUUAUGGCUGUGAAGCUGGACAUGUCCAAGGCCUACGACAGAGUGGAGUGGAAAUUCCUAGAUGCCAUGAUGGAAAAGAUGGGCUACUGUACAAUCUAGAGGACUUGGAUAUGGAGUUGCCUCUCCUCAGUUACAUACUCCUUCAAUAUUAAUGGAGUACCAAAAGAGUUUGUAAUUCCAGAAAGAGGAAUAAGACAAGACGACCCACUGUCACCUUAUCUUUUCCUUUUAUGUUCAGAAGGGUUCUCCAAUUUAUUGAAGCAAGCUGAGGAAGAUAAAAGGAUCUCAGGGAUGAAGAUAAGUAGGACUGGACCAAGCAUGACUCACUUAUUUUUUGCUGACGAUUCAUUGAUCUUUUGUAAAGCUGAAAGAGAGGAAACCAGGGAACUCAUUCAAAUUUUGAGGAAGUAUGAGAAGGGGUCUGGUCAAUCUAUAAACCUGGAAAAGUCCUCAGCGUUUUUCAGCAGCAAUGUGAGUCAUCAGAGGAAAGGGGAAGUGAUACAAAGCCUAGGCACUAUUCAAGUGGCUACUCAAGGAAAAUAUCUGGGGCUCCCUAUGAUGAUAACAAGAUCUAAACAGCAAAUUUUUGGAUACAUUAAGGACAGUAUCAGUAGAAGAAUGAAUAGUUGGAAGAACAAGUUGCUCAGCCAAGGAGGGAAAUAAGUUUUAUUGAAGACAGUUUCCAUAGCAAUGCCAGUUUAUACAAUGUCCUGCUUUAAACUCCCUAACAAAUUGUGCAAAGAAGUGACCUCCAUUUUUGCUAACUACUGGUGGGGAGAAAAUGAUGGGAGAAAUAAGAUGCACUGGUGCUCAUGGGGGAGAUUGGCUAAAGAGAAAAAAGAGGGAGAUUUGGGAUUUAAGGAUUUGCAGAACUUCAACAAAGCCUUGUUGGCUAAACAGGUCUGGAGACUGAUUUCCAAACCAAAUCUUUUAGUCAGCAAGGUCUUGAGGGCAAAGUACUUCAAUAGGGACUCAAUCUUUAAGUGCAAAGUCCCAAAGUGUGCUUCUUGGAUUUGGCAAAGUAUGAUGAAUGUGAGAGAUUUUGUGCAAAAUGGAACUAGAAAGAAGAUAGGCAAUGGCAAGGCUACCAACAUUUGGGAGGAUAAUUGGAUCCCAGGAAAUAAGGAUGGAAAAGUCACAUCUGCAAGGCCUUAGAAUUGCAACGUCAGAAGAGUAGAUGAGAUGAUCAGUGGCUUUAGAUGGAGGAAACCAUUGGUACUUAUAACCUUUAACAGAAAGGAUGCUGACGAAAUCCUGGAUAUCCCUAUAAGUAUCUCAGGAAGGGAAGACAGCAACUACUGGCUACAUAGUGGCAAUGGCAUCUAUACGGUCAAUUCUGGAUACAAACCAUUGAGAAGAGAAACAACCCAACAUAUAGGAAAAAGAGCUGAUGAGGCAGAAACGAGCUUAGCAAACUCCAAUGGAAAGCAAUAGAAGUGGUUGUGGAAGCUGAAAGUCAAAGCAAGAUAAAACACUUCAUUUGGAGGAGUUUAAAUGGGCUACUUCCAGUUAAUGCUUUGGUGUUUUAUAGAACACACCAUGGAGAUCCAAUAUGUGAUGGCUGUGGAGAACAUAAUGAGUCUAUUGAACAUAUGUUUUUUCAAUGCAGCACAGCUCAAGAGGUAUGGAAGAUGGCCCCAAUACAGUGGGAUGGGUUAAUUGGACAAACAGGAAAUUUUACAGUUUGGUGGACUGCAAUGCUGGAAGCCUCAUGUAGGAUAGAGGGGAGGGAGCAUAUAGAGCUAACUAUGAAUAUCCUUUGGCAAAUAUGGAAAAGGAGAAAUGAAUGGAAGUUCAAUGCUAAAUGAAAGCACCCUUGGAAAACAGUUAACAAGGCUCAACAGGAAUGACAAGAACAAGCCUCAGCUUGGAGUAAGGAGACAAUGAUCCCUGACGAUGCUGGAAAAGAAGGAGAGGAAGUAGAAUCAGUAGAGAUACGAAGUGAUGAAAUGUAGAUCAAUAUAGCAACUAGUGUGCAGGAACAGACCAAAAGGAUUGGUACUGGGAUUUUAGCAACUAACCACAGCCAUCAGGUGGUGUCAGCCUGGGUACUAAUUGAUAGGAAAGCAGUAAAUCAGUUGCAGACUAUAGCAGAAGCUAUGAAGAUGGCCAUUAUAAAGGCCAGACAUCAUCAAUGGCAGAAAAUUACAGUCCAUGUUCCCAGCCUACAGCUACUGAAAGUGAUUACGUCGGGAGUGGCUAAGGAUAUCAAAAUAUCUACUUUGGCUGAUGAUAUUAACAACCUCAGAUCAUUGUUCCAGAAAUGCUCCUUUUGUCUAGAUAGAAGAUUAAAUAAAAGAUGUAAUUUGAUUAGUGAUUAUGCCUUAGGCAUAUUUCAAGAUGAGGAAUGGAUCAACCCUCAAUGUGUCUAACACUUUUGUAUAGAACUUCUUGAGCCUUUGCUCAUAUAAGUGUACAUCUUUUGCCAAUCAAUACAAAAACUACCGUUGAAAAAAAAAUUAAAUGAAAUAAAAAAUAAAAAGUUUAAUUAGAAUCGCUAGUACCCAUUUAAGACAAUUGUGCUGUAAUUCACAUCUUAUUUUAUCCAAAUACGCUCAAUAUCACUAAUGAAAACUUAAGCGACUAAAAUGAUCAAAAUUUUCAACAAUAGGGACUAAAAGAGCAAAGUCAAAACUAUUAAAUAAUGGUAAUUUGAUUUUAACCCUUUUUCAUUACUGAAUUUUCGUCAAAUGUCCUUAAUGCACCUAAUAUCAGAAAUUUUGAGAACCAAAUUUAUUGUGGCCAACAUGAGACUCUAAUUUAGCACAUAUGCUAAAAAUUCGAGACUAAAACUACAAUUCACUCAGUUUCCAAAAGAAAAAUCUAUACCUUUUUUGUUUUAUUUUUGUGCGCACAUGUGAUUUUUUUUCUUUUGUUACCUUUGAUAUCACACAAUGGUCCAAACCAACUGACAUAUGUUAAUAGAUUCAAUUGUUAAAAUGACAUUAUGAAUUGUUAGAGUGGUAAUAUGUAGGAAAAUUUUGUUCGGUAGAAUUUUGGGUGGAAGGACUAAAUCAUUUAGUUUAAAUUACAUUUUAGUAAACUAAGUAAAUGGAAGAAUUAGGUUAUAAAACCUCAUUUAUACCCAAAAAAAGAGGGGGGAAAAAUAAAUAUAAAUCUCAUUUGCCAUACAAAUUACAAUCCAUUAACUCAAUGGAAAACGUGACCAUUGGAAGCUACGACAACUUAUCGCCAAACAUUGCAUUAGUAAGCCAACUUGCAACUUGUGUCUCCGGUGACAUAAUAUAAUUGCUGAAAAGACCACUUAAUUCUUGUUGUCUUGAACAAUGGGUCAUCUUUAAUUCUCCUUUAUCAUGUUGCCGAAAGAGCACGCACUAAUAUUAAGUUGAGCAAUGUUACUAUUUUAAGAAAUAAAUUAACAUAGUUUUUACACGGCUAACCUUGUUUGAUUCUUGUCAUAUGUAAAUUAGAAAUCAAGUGCUUCAGUAAAAAAGUAGCUACCUUGGCUUUUUAUCCUACUUUGGAAAAUUACUCAAAUUUACCAAAUUUGAUGGUUAAUAUACUUGAGUUUUAGCAUUUUAUUUAUGACUAUUAUUGUUUUCAGACUUAAAAGUUUUUUAUUUAAAAUACAAACAGGAUAUAAUGUGGCCAAAUAAGGAUAAUCCGGCAUUUUCUUGUCCUCAACACGUGGCCUCAUCUUAUCAAUCAUCAUAUUCGUCCAUAGAAACUGAUGCUCAAAGUUUUGUUUCGCGAUUAGUCAUUUAACUCAUUUAUCAUGUAUUCAUCCAUAGAAAUUGAUCUCAAAGUUUUGUUUCUUUACCAUUAGUAAGAGUACAACAUAUUAUUAGUUUACUUGCCGCUAGAGCUUUCUUAGAUUCAUGUUGUAAAUGGAAAAUUUGCAUAAAAAUUUUGGUUUUAUUUAUGGUGUAGGAGAGUUGCUCCCAAAUACAAUCAACUCCUAAUGACAAAGGGGAUACUAAACCUUUUCCAAGUUUGAGUAUUUCCUUUCUUUAGAUUGAAUUUUGAUCAUUUAUAUAGAUUCGACUCAUUUGUUUUGAUUUUACCUUCUCCCCUAACAAUCGUAUUAUAUUCAAUCAUUUGUACCUCAAAUGAAAAGUAAAUGUAAUUAUUCUUUUGACAAACAGGUUUGUAGAAUUGCUGGGCGAAGUGCAUAUAUCUUUGGAAAAGAAGAUCCAGGGAAUUGCUUGAGAAGAUGCACGAACUAGAAUUUUUGUUCAAAGUUAUUAAUGUCUUCAGUACAACGUUUGGUGUUGAUUCUUAAUGUAUUCAAAUUCUAAUGGGAAAAAUUAGACCAUUAAUGAGAUACCAAAAACAAAAAAAAUUCGAAGUCUAAUGCCAUUCAGAUAUAAGUUUUUUUGAUCGAAUGAAUCACCAGGUAGGUUGUAUAAAGGGCUGCCGUUGUUUUGUUUUGAUCAAAUGAAACAUCAAUAACUAGUUUUAGGUUAAAACUAAUAAUAAACUCUUGUUCAAAUUACUAUAAUAUUAGAGUACUGUUAUGGAAAUAUUAAAAAAAUAGUAGUAUUACUAAUUACAAGAGACGUUCGUAACAUUUAUAGCUAGUUACUUUGGAUAUUUAGCUUAGAAAAGAAAAGAUGGGAAAUGUUAAGUUAUGAAAGAAAAGAAAAGAAUAGAAAGGAAGAGGAGAUUUUAAUGUUGUUUGAGAAUUUUAGAAGGAAGUAGAAUGAUUUUCAAUAUAUAUACCAAUAAAAUUUCAUUCAAUAGUUUUGUGACAGGGUGUCGAGUCUGUGCAAUAAUAAUUACCUACUCCAGAAAAAAAUACAAAUUUUGUAUAUAGCGGUGAGUAGGGUCGAAUCCACAAGGAUUGGGGAUAACUUAUUUAUUUUAGAGUUUGAAGUAUGGGGGAUUUUUGGAGAAUAUAAAAUAACUAAUUAACUAACUAAUAAAACAAAUAAUAGAAAUAAACAAGAAUUAAUCAAUAGCCAAUAUGACUCUAGCCAAAGGUGCAACUUUUCAGACACGGUCCAUUCAACUGAUCAUUGAUGCAAAGAUAAUUCAAUUACUCAUUAAUAGAUUGGUUAUAGUUGUCAUACACGCGAUGAACAACCAGCCUUUCCUUAAUUUCUCGAUAGUUAAAGUACGACCGUUAACUAUUCCUCUAACCAAGAAAUAACCCUAGGUACGACCGUAGGAUUUAAUUCCCCAAUUGCAUUAAGAUCUAGAAAAGCCCAACCCUAACCAACAAACACGCUACGAGGGUUUGUUUAAGUUAGAUCAUACGUUUCCCUAACAUGAAACCAAUCACGCUAGUCGCCACUCGUAUUAAUCAAUUGAACAAUUACGAAUUCAAUCAAUUAAUUUGGCAUUAGAUCAUUAAGUUAAUUUGAAUAUCGGGCCCUUGACAUUCAAAUAACAUAACAAGCAUAAGCAAUUAAAUCAGGAAACGCACAAAUACCAAUAAAUAAAGGAAAUAAGUAAAAUAAUUAGAUCUCACAGAUGUUCGGAACCGAGUCCUCAAAUUGACCUUCGACUAGAUGAGAAAUUUAGCCACGCCUCAUGAGAAAAUCUUCCCGUAAUUUAACUGAGGUCCAGGCCAUCAAAGGAGCCAAGAAAGAAAAGAAAACUAAAACUAUCCUAAAAGCCUCCUAGAACUAUUAUUUAUAGCUUUCUGUACGUUUGUUCCUUUUUAAAGCCCAAAGAUGACUUAUGCUUCAUAUCCGUGGUCCUCGCCGAAAUUGAGAGUCCAAGUACUCAAAAGAAAGCUCUGCCAAUUCCUUGUAUUAUGUUUUCUCUUGGUAGGAGGACUCUUGGUCAGCAAAAAAAGGGAAUGGAAGUCCGGUUCUUCUCAGCAAUGUGGGCCAGGUCUGUGAAGUAUUUAGAAGUCUCCACUUUCUCCAGAAAAUACCUCCUUUUUUGUAGUUUUCUGCUCCACUCCCUAAAAUUAAGUCCAGAUACCAAAUAUAAGUAAAUAUUAAUAAUUAAAACAAUAUUUGGCAAGGACAAAUGGGAAAUUAAUAAUAAAAUAAUCAACAAUUAACACCCUAUCAAUUCCCCCCACACCUGAACCAUGCUUGCCCUCAAGCAUGAGAACAACAAUUGAACACCAAAAUUUGACAAUGGCUGUUGCUCCAACUACCGUAUUGCCAAGAUAUCCAGAAAAACAUAUAUCAAGCAUCACAAGUUAAGAUCCAAGAAAAAUCAUCCCGGUUAGCUUUCCAACCACCAACUCCUCCAAUUUAAAGCAAACUAAUCUAAGAAAAAGGAAUGGUUUCUCACAUUUAUCAACAAAUGGUCCAACUAUUAACCAAAUCUCGACAUUAAGAUCACAAAUCGGCAAGCUGACUUAUUCACAUACUAACACAAUCUUUAUUUUAUUUUAUUUUUCUUUUUGUUUUGUUUUUGUUUCUUUUUCUUUUUUUUUUUUGAGUAACAAAAGACUUAGUCUAUAGCCCUUAGAGCCUUUUGACGCGAACUCCAACAUUUGACAGAUGGAGCAGCCCGGUUACUCAGCUCCAAUCGCUACAGGACCACGCACUCAUAACAACUACUACCUUUUGACGCGAAAAUUGACACUUUAGGUGAAGAUCCCCGGUUACUCAGUAGUAACCACUAGCGGAGUACAGUCAACUCUUAUUUACAACUAUAUAGCACAAUAACUAAAAAUAACAUAAAAAUAACAGCAGCCAGCCUCAAAUUUUCAAAUAUGGAGAACUAAAAUUAAUAAUUGGACCAAUUCACAUGAAAAAUGCCAACAAUCAUUCUCUAUGCCUAGAAAAGUUAACCAAAAAUUAAAAAAGUCAAGCAAUUACUGAUAUUCACCAGAGAGAUGUUCCUAAACUCAACCACAUCAACUUGAUACCCUUUUAUCACUAAAACUUGGCAAUAUCAGAAUUAGAGACAACAAUCCAACAUUAAACUUGGUAUUCAAAUAAAACCUAAUCACGAAUAAAAGAAAUAAACGAAAAGGAGAUAAAUAUCAAACUAAAAACAAAGGAAAAACACCUAAAAGUCGAAAACUGGAAAUACUAGCACCCAAACUGGUCCCCCCCACACCUAAUUCACACAUUGCCCUCAAUGUGAUAAACUAACAACAAAAGGAAGGAGAAAGGCAACGGUACUUCCCUGAAAUUGUCAAAACAAGGGUGGGUCGGGCGGAGUGCUGCCAAAUUCUGCGCCAUGUUAUGCAAGUCGACGUCAAUGUGGGUCACUCGAGUCUCCAGUCUCUCAACUUGCAUUCGGAGUUGGACCCAAUCGUUAGCCCCUGGGUGGUCCCCUGCUUAGCCAAAUGCAAUAACAAUACAUCCCAAAACCGCAACAAGUGUUCCAAUGAAUUUAGCAAUUGAAAUGAAAAAGACAAAAUACUCCCACACAAGGCAAAUAGAGGCAACCUACUUCAAUAAGCAACGGAAAUGGCACAGGAGCCGUAUAAUGCACCAAUUAAAUGCAAUAAACCCCAACCAAAGGCAGCUCAAUAGAUUCCAGGUAGAAAGUACCAAAUGAUACUCAAUUGACACAAAAAACGAUCCCAACAAAGCAGCAAGAUCGAAGGAUACUCAGUCACAGAUGCUCAAUCAUAUCGAAAUAAGAAAUUGUAAGCAAAUUAGCACAACCAAUACCAUUGGUGCAUGCACAGGAAAGAAGGGAACCACAUGGCCAACCCAAUUAAUAAAAUGCACAACCGAGGCACCCCAAAGGCUAGAAAAGUACCCUAACAACACAGCAAAUUGAAUGAAUAUGCACUGGGUCUCCAAUUCAGUCAAAAUAAGAUCAAGGGGCACGAUAUAGAAACUAACAAAGCAGAACUCAAGUGAUACCAAUAGGGACCCCAACAGAGCAAUGAAUUCAACCAAUUGGAGCAAGUGAAACUCAACAAAUGUCACUAAUUGGACAUUCAAUUACCCACUUCAAGCGACCAAACCUUAAGAAUUUUGAGAAUCCCAGCAAACGGGCAAUUCCAGCAACCACCGAUUAGAAUUCGAGAAAAUUUAAGAAUUGUAAGUAACACCGCAACCAGUACCACUGGUGUAUACACAGGGAGGAAUUAAAUCAAACGGCCAACAAUUCAAUAAAUAUCAGAAAAUAUCCCUACAUAUGGCAGCAAUUAAACCCAAAUCUGUCCAAAAUUUACCCUAGAAAAUGCCCAAAUCAACACAUUCUUUUAUCCAUCAAGAAACCCAAACACAAAAGCUCAAAUUCCAGCAAUAGAAGAACCAGAAAAUACUAAUCGAGGUUGAAGAUUCAAUACCUUCACCUGUCAAUUUUGACAGGUGGGAAGGGCGUGGUUGUGGGUAGCGUGACAGGUAGGGAGGCACGAGACCGAGGGUGGAGCGAAGGAGACCACAGCGAGCGGCGUCGAGCGACGUGAAGCUGGUGGCAGCUGCUGGAUGGAGAGCGACAGGGAGAAAGGUGCGGCCUGCGGCUGUCGCGCCUGGUGGCGCGCGCAAGACAGCGGAGAAAGGGAGAGCUGGUGGAGGUCGCAUGAUCUGGUGAUGGGCGAGCUGAGAUGGAGGCGCGCAGUAGGGAGGCAGGCACGUCCAUGGGCUGUGGGUAAAGUGGAGAGAGGGAGGGAGAAAAGUGAGUUGGGGCGGCGGUGCUCGCAGCUAGUGUCGCGCGAGGAGACGAGCGGCGGCUGCGGCGAGCUUCAAGCGGCGCGCGGUGCUGUCGAGGCGGAGGUGGAGCUGGUGAGCUCGAGGUUGGCGGGUGAGAGGUGGCGGCGACGUGCGAGGUAGGGAGGGAGGCAACAGCGUGAAAGAAAAAGAAGAAAAAGAGGGAAACACAUGAGAGCGGCGGAGAAGAAGAAGAAAAGGAAAGGGAAGAAAGAAAAGAAAGGAAGAAAGAAAAAAGAAGAAAGAAAGAAAGAGAAAGAAAAGAGAAAAAGAAAGGAGAAAAAAAAAAUAAUAAUAGCUAUUGGUCUAUUUUUCUCUUUUUUUUUGUAAAUUUUUUUUUGAAUUUAAUUUUCAAAAUUUGAAUUUUUGAAGAAAACACAAAACUGAAGGUUUAAAAGGAAAAUAAUUUUUUUUUGAAUUCAUGUUUUGGGUCGUCAAACACCGCGUGGGCACGCCAAGAUUGGUAAAUGUCCACUGACCUCAAGAGACACAAACAACGCAUGGUCACGCCAAGAUUAUAAAACGUCCACUGACCUCAAGAAUCACUAACAUGGCGUGGGCACGCCAAGAUUAUAAAACGUCCACUGACCUCAGGGAUCACUUACAUGGCGUGGGCACGCCAAGAUUGCACUUCCUGCCACAGUGGAGAAAAAUAUGAAGACCGACUGCUACCCAAAUGAAAAACAACAAAACGAAAGAAUUGAACAAUGAAAAACAAUAAAAUCAAUAUUUGGGUUGCCUCCCAAAAGAGCGCCUUUCUUUAAUGUUUUUGGCUAGACAUUGUCAUGUUUGUUCAGGGAGAAUAAAAUCUUGUGGCUCGUUUUAGUUUUUCAUCCUCUAUAUAAUCCUGAUAGCCCUCGUAAAUAGAGUAAUCCUUAAUCACACGAGUUACGAUCUUCCAUGAACUAGUAGAUGGCACCAAACCGGUCAACAAUAAUCUGGAUUCUUCACUCAAUCCUCCAUCACGCGCAUUUAUUGGUUCAACAUAUUUUGCCAUUACCGCUCUUAAGUUAUUCCUGUCAUGAAAUUUAAAAUUUUCUGGUAUAAUAAAAUCAAUCUCAAUAACAGGAGUUGAAGAAUAGAAGUCAGGAAAAUAUUGAUUAAGGAAUGGAGGAGAUGUCACCGCAUUUGAAAAUUGAUCACUGGAUUUAUUCACUUGAACGAGUUGAUGUUGGGGUCUCAUUUCUUGCACUUCAACUUCUUUUUCAACUGCAUUUUUAGAUCCAUUUUCUUGAGACUCUUGUAGCUCCAUGUCACUUGUCAGAAUAAUUGCACUCUCAUCUUCUUCAAGGUCGACGAUGGUUUGUGAGGACAAUUCUUCAUAAUUUGAAAGUCUUCCUUGGACUUGGAAUUCUAGGCGGUUAACUGCUAUCAUUAAUUGAUUGACUUGCGUUUGCAAUGAUUGCACUUGUCCCCAUUGAUUCCUCAUACUUUGUAGGUUAGAAUUUGUCUUUUGUUGAUUAGCAAUUAACUGCUUCAUCAUUUCUUCUAGAGAUAGAUCUGGCAUGGAUGAUGGUUGUUGAGACUCUUGCUGUUGAAAAUCCAUCGGCCCAGUUGUAUAAUUGAAAUUGGAAUCAUCCCACCAUCCUUAAUCAUACCCAUUUGAAUAAGGGUCAUACCACGUUUGAUACUGAGGUGAAAAAUUUCCAAAAGUAUCAACUGGAGCACUUAGGUUAUUUUGAAAUGCGGGGCAUAUGUCGGUUGAAUAACCUGAGAAAAAAUAACUUCCACAAUUUGCAACAGCCAAUUGAUCAUUAGAAAAAACAUGAGUCUCAUAAUCCUAUUCAGGAAUAAAAUCCAGUCUAUCAUCAAAAUAUGGAAUACUAGCAACCAUCAACUAUAUACAAAAAAAAAGAGGAAAAUAAAUAAAAAAAAAUGAAAACAAGAUGAACUAAAAAAGAAACAAAUUAAUCUGGCACCAGUCCCCGGCAACGGCGCCAAAAAUUGACAGGGUGUCGAGCCUGUGCAAUAAUAAUUACUUACUCCAGAAAAAAAUACAGAUUUUGUAUAUAGCGGUGAGUAGGGUCGAAUCCACAGGGAUUGGGGAUAACUUAUUUCUUUUAGAGUUCGAAGUAUGGGGAUUUUUGGAGAAUAUAAAAUAACUAAUUAACUAACUAAUAAAACAGCUAAUAGAAAUAAACAAGAAUUAAUCUGUGACAGCCCAACCUUCCCCUAGGGCGCACCAAAGGGGUUAGCGGACUGCCUGCCCAACUCUCGCCAGGACUAACGGUGCAGUUUAGAGCGAUCUAUUGCGUUCCGGAACUUACAAACGCGCGUAAACAAGUCAAAAUGUCCAAAUAAAAAAAAUGAAACCGGAGUCGGCCAUGAGUAGUAACCGACCCGUCAGAACCCAACCAAAUAUUAAGCAAACAUUCACAUCUUGAACUUUAGUAUUUACAAUUCCAAGGUGGCAUACAAAAGUAUUCAAAAGUGGAUACAUGUAUGGUUUGCCAAAACAAAAGAGAAACGGACCCAAAAGUACGUUUAAGGUUUCAAUAAAUGAGCUAUACAAAAGAUAUGUCCAAUUAGCUCAAUUCGGCAACCAAAUAUCAAUUGCAGUCCAAAAGUAUUUAUUUUCCUGUAAGGAAAACAAAAGGAAUAGAGUGAGUUAAUUGCCCAGUGAGAUAAUACUACUCAAGCAACCAGGUUCAUAGAUGCAUCAAGUUUUUCAAUCCAAUUCAUCAAAAUUAAAUAAAGACACAUAUCAAUAAUGAUGAUAAAAGGAUACGGGCGGCUUUCAAGAGCCCUUUUCCUCGUUUGCAUUCUUGAUCGGAUCUCAUUGACUCUCCGUCAAUGUUUAAGAGUAACCAACCGUAGACUUCACUUUACUUCCAUCCCUUCCACCUAACAUUCCCCUACCGGGUCCGAACUCCAAACACUUGCACUGUGGUAUUACUCGAGUAUACCGGAAUCGAGAGUCUCUCAUACUACAAGAUUCCAUAACAGUCCCCAAGGUGCAUUAAUUGGCACGACCAAGCCCUUGCCGGCUCGAUUCAAUCAACUACCAAUGGUGUUGAGCUCAAUGGUAACAAUCAUGGUCGUUGGAUACUCGUCCAAACAACACCAAGUCAAGUACUUUCAUUUCAUGUAACAUUUUAUAUAACAUUCCAAUAACAUGAUAAACAAUAAGUGAGAGUGAUAAAGUACGCUCUCACUUCAAUCAAUUAACAUUCAACUCAUCAAGUUCAAGUAUCAAAGCUAUAUAGUAACACACAAGUGAGUAGUACACUCACCAAGCUUGCAAAUGGUGUUUCAUGCACUUCCGUCAAAAGAACGUCGUGAACCACCGUCACGCUCUAAAACAUGCAAACAAGUACAAUGAGACUCGAUAACGAGUCAUAAACCAAUACCAAACACGACCCCUAUAGGGUUCCAUAAGCAUAUACAAGCAUUAGGGAAAAUCAGAAAAUCCGGAAAUGGAAUUAGCUUUAUCUCUGAAAAAAACAGUUUUUGACCUCAUUUUGCGGUAAUGGCACCAAUGGCACUACGAUUAUCGGAUGAAGGUCCAAGACCCACUGUUUCGAAACUAAGAGAUAGGGCUACAAUGUUAUAGAAGGCAACUCUGUCCAGUUUCGAGUGUAACACGGUAAAAAAUGCAAGAUGCUACACUAGAACCGGAAAAAUAGAUUCACAAAAUGCAUUCUAGUACAAACAUCAUAAAACAGCCUACAUAAGUCCAAAUCUAGAAAUUCCAAAGCCAUCUGAAAGAUAAGAAACAGGGAUACAUUUCAUCAGAAGACCUCAACAACCAAUUCAGAAGCAUUCCUAACCAAAAUAACCAAUUACAGAAGUAAUUCCCAAAUUCGGAUAAAACCAGGACAGCAAGGGUAAUUUCGACUUUUCUCAAGCUACACUACUCCAAUUGACCUGAAAUUUUGCAGGCACCUUUAAAAUAUCAUUUUCUACAACUUUUAUGUUUUAACCCAAAACCAAUUCGGCCUCUAACCAUGAGCUACAAAACUGGGCAGAUGUAUAAUUUUGAAACCCUAGUUUUUUCAAUUUUCUUCCAAAACAGAAAUUACUUGCAAUUAACCACUUUUUCCACCUCCUUGAUCCCUUACACACCAUUUCCAAUCAUCAUAUAUAGCCACACAAUCACAUUCAUAUUAAAACAGAAAAAUCCCCAAUAAUUACAAAACUUCAUCAAUUCAACCAAAAAUCACAAUAUAAUCCAUAAAGUUGCAUCUUAUACCACCACUAAGCAUAAAUUAAGCAUCAUUAGAGGGAGGAGAGUGGUUCUUCAUAACUCACCUUAGAACCAAGAGAGAGAGAGCAACAAGUCCUCUUAGCUUUCCAAACAACUCCACCAAACCCCACACAAACACUCACUUAAGGUUUUCUAUGGAACAAAAGUAAGAUUAAGUGGUUGUUUUGAUGAUUUGGAGCAAGAUGAAAUCAAGAACUUGGAGAGUUUCUUUCUUUCUUCUUGAGAGAGAGGGCCGGCUUCAAGAUUGUUAUUUUUGAGGAUUUUUGGGUCAAAUUUUGAGUUAUUUUGGUAAAAUGGUAAGAGAAUGAAUAGUGGUCAAAAGUAGUAAUGAAUCUCUAAGUGACACUUGUCAUGACACUUGUCCCUCUCAUUAAUUUUAUGCCUAACUUUUUUUGUCUUUCUCACACCUAUGCAUUUGGUACCUCUAAAUAUCUCAUAACACCCGAUAAAUUAAAUCCAGUAUCCAAAACUUAACCUCACUGGCCGAAUUUUUCUGAACUUUUCUCACUAGCGGGUCCCAUGUCCGAUAUAUACUCUUAAUUUCUCAAAACCUAUUCGAUACUAGAAAAAUCAUCUAAAAACUAUAUUAACUCAUAAAAAUUAUCAGGAAAACUUUCUAAUAACGAAAAUGCAGAAAACAUGCCAUUUACGCGGAAAACCCUAGAAAAAUUAUGAAGAAAUUACGGGUUCUCACACUCUCUCCUCCUUAAAAGAAUUUCGCCCUCGAAAUUUCUCACCUUAACUCCCGAAAAGCUCAGGGUAUUUCUUUCGCAUUUCUUCUUCCACUUCCCAGGUAGCUUCCUCUUCCCCAUGAUUUCUCCACAGUAUCUUUACCAACGGAAUCUGCUUGUUUCUUAGCUCUUUAACUUUCCAGUCAAGCACUUGGACAGGUUUUUCUUCGUAAGCAAGCGAUUCGUCUAUGUCGAUCUCCUCUGGUUGUAAGAUAUGGGAGGGGUCGGGAUAGUACUUCUUGAGCAUCGAGACGUGGAAGACGUCGUGAAUUUUAGAGAGACUUGAAGGCAGCUCCAGUCUAUAUGCUACCGCACCUAUCCUCCGCAGGAUCUUGUAAGGUCCGAUGAACCUCGGUUGCAAUUUCUUUCCUCUACCCGCCGUGACACUCCGUAACGGUGUAACCUUGAGGAAAACACGGUCUCCAACUUCGAACUCCAAGUCUUUUCUUCGGUUGUCGGCGUAACUCUUUUGUCGGCUUUGAGCAGUUUGGAGUCGUUGCCGUAUCAACUUGACUUUUUCUCGAGUCUCUUCCAUCCAUGGAAUAGUGGUUGGAUCUAAUACCUUUCUCUCGCCAACUUCAUCCCAAUAAAUUGGUGACCGGCAUUUUCGUCCCUAUAAUGCUUCAUAUGGAGCCAUUUGAAUCGACGAAUGGUAGCUGUUGUUGUAUGCAAACUCUACUAAGGUCAUGUGUUGACCCCAAUUGCCUCUAAAAUCCAGAAUGCAAGUCCGUAGCAUGUCCUCGAGAGUUUGGAUUGUUCGCUCUGAUUGUCCAUCCGUCUGAGGAUGAUAGGUCGUGCUCAAGUUGAGUUUCGUUCCUAGAGUUUCUUGGAACUUCUGCCAAAAUCGAGAUACGAAACGUGGAUCUCGAUCGGAGACGAUACUGACUGGCACGCCGUGUAGCCUUACGAUCUCGUCCAUGUACAAUUGGGCUAACUUGUCCAUGGAAUACUUCAUGUUUACCGGCAGGAAAUGGGCCGAUUUGGUUAACCGGUCGACGAUUACCCAAAUGGCAUCGUGUCCUCGUUACAUUCAUGGCAAACCUGAAACGAAGUCCAUGGUGAUGUUUUCCCACUUCCACUCGGGUAUCUCUAGGGGUUGUUACAAGUCUGAUGGUUUUUGAUGCUCUACUUUCACCUGUUGGCAAACGAGACAUUUUUGCACGUACUGAGCAAUUUCCUUCUUCAUAUUGUCCCACCAAUAGGUUCCUUUCAGGUCCUGAUACAUCUUGCUAUUACCCGGAUGAAUGGUAUACUUGGAUCGAUGGGUUUCCUCUAGAAUCUCUGUUUUCAAUGAUUCAUCCUUAGGCACCACUAUUCGGUUUCGGUAUUUUAAAAUACUCUCAGGACCAAAAUUGAAAUCAGUAGUUUCUCAUUUUCCCACUUUCUCUCCCCAUUUCUGCACUAGUGAAUCUUCCUUUUGAGCUUUUUUAAUUCUCUCCAAGAGAGUGAAAGUCACUUAAUAUUGCCAAAAAUCACCUUAUGGCUCCCAAGGCAGGGUUUCCACUCACAAACCGACUCGAGUAAAUUCCACUCUUUAAUCAUUAACCCGGCUACUUGCGCCUUGCGACUCAAAGCAUCGGCCACUACGUUCGCCUUUCCUGGAUGGUAGUUGAUGGUACAGUCGUAAUCCUCCAAAAAUUCUAUCCAUCGUCGCUGCCUCAUGUUCAAUUCCUUCUGUGAGAAGAGGUACUUCAGGCUUUUGUGAUCGGAGUAAACCUCAAAGGUUACCCCAUAUAGGUAAUAUCUCCACUUUUUAAGAGCGAAAAAAAUGGCAGCUAGCUCCAGAUCGUGGGUUGGAUAGUUCUGCUCGUGGGGUUUCAACUUCCUAGAGGCAAAAGAGAUCACAUUACGGUUCUGCAUUAACACGCAACCCAGGCCUUCUCGUGAGGCAUCAGUAUACACAACAAAUCCGUCCACUCCGUUUGGCAGGACUAGCACUGGAGCCAUGGUCAAUCUUUUCUUUAGUUCGUGAAAACUCGUCUCGCUUCGGGCAUUCCAAAGGAACCGACCAUGUUUCUUUGUCAAGUCAGUUAAGGGACCGGUCAGUUUGGAAAAGUUCUUGAUGAAACGCCUGUAAUAUCCAACCAACCCUAGAAAGCUACGGACCUCGGUGGGAUUUUCUGGCCUCUUCCAAUUAGUCACAGCCUCUACUUUCGUCGGGUCAACUGAAAUACCCUCUUGAGAAAUUACGUGCCCCAAAAAAGAAAUUUUCUCCAGCCAAAAUUCGCACUUGCUGAACUUGGCGUACAAUUGAUGAUCUCUUAGGGUUUGUAAGACAAUCCUCAAGUGCUGCUCAUGCUCUUCACGUGUCUUGGAAUAGACUAGAAUGUCGUCGAUGAAGACUACAACAAAUCGAUCCAGGUAUGGCUUAAAAAUCCUAUGCAUUAAAUCUAUGAAGGCGGCAGGAGCAUUGGUUAGUUCAAAGGGCAUAACUGCAAACUCGUAAUACCCAUAUCUCGAGUUGAAGGCGGUUUUCGGAAUAUCCUCCUUCCUGAUUAAUAACUGGUAAUACCCUUGGUGGAGAUCUAGUUUUGAGAAAACCACCGCUCCUUGCAACUGGUCAAACAACUCAUCUAUGUGGGGCAGUGGAUACUUAUUUUUCACCGUAAUAUUAUUCAGGCCCCGAUAAUCGAUACACAUCCUCAAUCCACUGUCCUUUUUCUUCACAAACAGCACAGGGGCUCCCCAAGGAGACCCACUCUUUUGAAUGAAUCCCCGCUCCAAAAGAUCCUGUAAUUGCAAUUUUAGCUCCUUGAGCUCAGCAGGAGCCAUUCGGUAUGGUAUUUUUGAGAUAGGUGAGGAUCCCGGUAGCAGGUCUAUUUUGAAUUCAAUCUCUCUUUCCGGAGGCAGAGCUACUAGCUCAUCAGGAAACACGUCCGGAAAUUCCUUCACUAUGGCCACGUCCUCCACUUUCAACUUAUCCGUGGCGGUAUUAAUCAGAAAGGCUAAAAAUUCUUGUGUCCCUCUACUUAGCAAUUUCCUAACUCGAAUGCCCGAAAUCAAAGCAGAUGAGGCUAACCUACCCCUUAUAUCCAACCUUAUGGUUGCCUCACCAGGGAUGCGGAAUUCUACCACUUUUAUUUUACAAUCCAGUUGGGCAUUAUACUUGGCUAGCCAAUCCAUACCUAAUAUCACAUCAUACCCUUUGAGGACUAAGCUUAUCAAGUCCCCUAACAAUCUCUUCUCUCCUACCCACACUUCACAAUCCUUAUAAACCAUACUAGUAACCAAACGUUGAUUCCUCGUAGGUGUACUAACUUCUAGGUCGUAUGGUAAACUAGCAGGUUUUAUAUCGACGCCACACAUGAAAUCAGGGUUAACGAAGGAAUGAGUGGCACCAGAAUCAAUUAAAACUUUGGCAAAGCGGUGGAAAAUAGGGAUCGUACCUUCUACGACCUCCGAGGAAUCUGGGACCUGUUGGGGUUCUAAGGAAUACACUCGAGCUGGCACCUUAGGUUUGGACCCAUCUCCCCUAACUGGUCCAGCAUUGGUCUUUGGCGUGGUUUGAGCUCCCUUUUCGUCUUGCUUUAAGAGUGGACAGGUAGCAAACUUGUGGUCUGCGCUUCCGCAACCCAGACAUUUACCUCCCUUCUUCCAACAAUUAUCUUCAGAGUGAUUCGGCUUUCCGCAGUACCCACAAGGCCCACGGGACGCCGAACCUGAACCCUUCUGGAAGUUUCUGCCUUGGCCUCUCCUGGCUGAGCCACCCCUGGACUGAGCCCCUCUGCUUGUACCUGACUGUCGUCCACCUCCAGCUCCGCGUCCGAACUUGGAGGGGGUACCUUUAUCCCCUUGUCCAGAGCUGCUUCUAGAAAAACCCCGCUUUUUCGCCUGAAAGUUUCGUACUUGUAAUCUGGCACUCUCUACCCGUUGGGCCUUCUCAACGGCCUCGCUAAAAGCAUUGAUUUGAGCCACUGCGAGGUCCUUUUGAAUCUCCACGUUUAGGCCCUGGAUAAAACGCCUAAUUCACCGUUGCUCCGUCACAAUCAACUCAGGCGCAAAUUUGGACAGGCGGGUGAACUGGCUCUCGUAUUCCGCCACCGAUUGAGCUCCUUGGCGAAGUCGGAUGAACUCAUCUUCCUUCCUCUCCUGAACCAGAGGAGGGAAGAAUUUCGCAUUAAACUCUCUCAUAAAAUUUACCCAAAUCUUGGGCGUUUGUUCCCGUUCCCAUUUUUGCCGAAUGACAUUCCACCAGGAACGGGCCGCCCCUUCCAACUGGAAAACGGCAAAAGUCACCUGCCGUUCUUCGGUAUAGUGCAGGGCAGCGAAAAUAUCGACCAUCUUUUCGAGCCACCUUUCGGCGACAUCCGGAUCGGGGUCCCCAAUGAACUUGGGUGGAGCAAACUUUUGGAAUCGUUCAAGAGCUCUGUCUUCGCUCUCGACAUGAUUGCCAGGGUUUGAAUUCUGGCCUUGUUACUGCACCACUUGUGCCAACAGGUUGGUCAUUUGCUGCAUAGCGGCAGCAAUCUGUACAUUGGGGUCAAUUCUCGGUUCAGGAUUGGGUCCAGAGGAAGUUUCCCCAGCACCCCGGUCUGGCGUAGGUUGCCUAUUCCCGCGCCCACGCCCCCGUCCACCAUGUGUGCCUUCCAUAAGUUCUAUUUGAUCUAGACAAACGUACUAGAACAAUAAAAUGACAAUGCAUGUAAGUAAAGCCCAAAAACUUUUAAAAACAUAUAUAUACAUUCCAAACAAGGCACACAAUACACAUAGCAACAAGCAGUCAAGUCAAGUACAAACAUGGACAAUCCACGAGGGAAAAGCCCCAUCAAAAGAAAUAUACACGUAGCUAAUCCAACGUACAAAACGAUUAGCUAAGGCUCUUUCCCUAUCCCUAUAUACAGAAACAAAACUAUCCAUAACCUAGGAGUCGUAACCUAGUCCGACGACGAGCUAGUAGACCCACCCGACGGGGUAGAUCCAACCCCAGUCUCGGGCCCCGUACAUGAGUCCUCGUCGCUCACGCCCUCGACCACGUCAGUACAGAGGUUCAGGAUCGAGGCAGCUCGAACCUUCACCUUUUAGGCUUUCUUAGCCUCGCGAUCACGGACUUCCCUAAGCUGAGUGCAGAGGUCAUCCACCCUAUCCUCUACCUCUAGCACGUCGUACUCCAAGCCCUUAAUACGCUCGGCCUGUCUCUCAUUGACCGCCCUAAGUUGGGUCACAUCGGCCUCAAGUCGAGCAUUAUCUGCGGCUAACUCGUUACGCUCCUCGGCCACGGCCAACACUAGAGCGUUAGGGUAAGCAUACUUAUGUCGGCACUCACACCGUCUGAGGCGGUUAGCCGGGAUCCAACGAACUACGGCCCUUCCUGGCCGAAUCUGGUAUGGGAUCAUUGGAAGCGCUUCACGAGGUCUCUCGCCCGGAGGACUAUCACUAGGCUCACCCUGUCCGGCCAUCCUACACCAAAAGAGCAAUUAACCAUAAAUAAAUUUAAAAGCCAUAACAAAGAACCCUCAAAUCAAGCAAUUCUAAUACACCCAGGCCAAUUCAAACCUGGCUCUGAUACCACCUGUGACAGCCCCACCUUCCUCUAGGGCGAACCAAAGGGGUUAGCGGACUGCCUGCCCAACUCUCGUCAGGACUAACGGUGCAGUUUAGAGCGAUCUAUUACGUUCCGGAACUUACAAACGCGCGUAAAUAAGUCAAAAUGUCCAAAUAAAAAAAAUGAAACCGGAGUCGGCCAUGAGUAGUAACCGACCCGUCAGAACCCAACCAAAUAUUAAUCAAACAUUCACAUCUUGAACUUUAGUAUUUACAAUCCCAAGGUGGCAUACAAAAGUAUUCAAAAGUGGAUACAUGUAUGGUUUGCCAAAACAAAAGAGAAACGGACCCAAAAGUACGUUUAGGGUUUCAAUAAAUGAGCUAUACAAAAGAUAUGUCCAAUUAGCUCAAUUCGGCAACCAAAUAUCAAUUGCAGUCCAAAAGUAUUUAUUUUCCUGUAAGGAAAACAAAAGGAAUAGAGUGAGCUAAUUGCCCAGUGAGAUAAUACUACUCAAGCAACCAGGUUCAUAGAUGCAUCAAACUUUUCAGAACAAUUCAUCAAAAUUAAAUAAAGACACAUAUCAAUAAUGAUGAUAAAAGAAUAUGGGCGGCUCUCAAGAGCUCUUUUCCUCGUUUGCAUUGUUGAUCGGAUCUCAUUGACUCUCCGUCAAUGUUUAAGAGUAACCAACCGUAGACUUCACUUUACUUCCAUCCCUUCCACCUAACAUUCCCCUAUCGGACCCGAACUCUAAACACUUGCACUGUGGUAUUACUCGAGUAUACCGGAAUCGAGAGUCUCUCAUACUACAAGAUUCCAUAACAGUCCCCAAGGUGCAUUAAUUGGCACGACCAAGCCCUUGCCGGCUCGAUUCAAUCAACUACCAAUGGGGUUGAGCUCAAUGGUAACAAUCAUGGUCGUUGGAUACUCGUCCAAACAACACCAAGUCAAGUACUUUCAUUUCAUGUAACAUUUCAUAUAACAUUCCAAUAACAUGAUAAACAAUAAGUGAGAGUGAUAAAGUACGCUCUCACUUCAAUCAAUUAACAUUCAACUCAUCAAGUUCAAGUAUCAAAGCUAUAUAGUAACACACAAGUGAGUAGUACACUCACCAACCUUGCAAAUGGUGUUUCAUGCACUUCCGUCAAAAGAACGUCGUGAACCACCGUCACGCCCUAAAACAUGCAAACAAGUACAAUGAGACUCGAUAACGAGUCAUAAACCAAUGCCAAACACGACCCCUAUAGGGUUCCAUAAGCAUAUACAAGCAUUAGGGAAAACCAGAAAAUCCGGAAAUGGAAUUAGCUUUAGCCCUGAAAAAAACAGUUUUUGACCUCAUUUUGCGGUAAUGGCACCAAAGGCACUACGAUUAUCGGAUGAAGGUCCAAGACCCACUGUUUCGAAACUAAGAGAUAGGGCAACAAUGUUCCAGAAGACAACUCUGUCCAGUUUCGAGUGUAACAAGGUAAAAAAUGCAAGAUGCUACACUAGAACCGGAAAAACAGAUUCACAAAACGCAUUCUAGUGCAAACAUCAUAAAACAGCCUACAUAAGUCCAAAUCUAGCAAUUCCAAAGCCAUCUGAAAGCUAAGAAAUAGGGAUACAUUUCAUCAGAAGACCUCAACAACCAAUUCGGAAGCAUUCCUAACCAAAAUAACCAAUUACAGAAGCAAUUCCCAAAUUCGGGUAAAACCAGGAUAGCAAGGGUAAUUUCGACUUUUCUCAAGCUACGCUACUCCGAUUGACCUAAAAUUUUGCAGGAACCUUUAAAAUAUCAUUGCCUACAACUUUCAUGUUUCAACCCAAAGCCAAUUCGGCCUCUAACCAUGAGCUACAAAACCGGGCAGAAUGUAUAACUUUGAAACCCUAGUUUUUUCAAUUUUCUUCCAAAACAGAAAUUGCUUGCAAUUAACCACUUUUUCCACCUCCUUGGUCCCUUACACACCAUUUCCAAUCAUCAUAUAUAGCCACACAAUCACAUUCAUAUUAAAACAGAAAAAUCCCCAAUAAUUACAAAACUUCAUCAAUUCAACCAAAAAUCACAAUAUAAUCCAUAAAAUUGCAUCUUAUACCACCACUAAGCAUAAAUUAAGCAUCAUUAGAGGGAGGAGAGUGGUUCUUCAUAACUCACCUUAGAACCAAGAGAGAGAGAGAGAGCAACAAGUCCUCUUAGCUUUCCAAACAAUUCCACCAAACCCCACACAAACACUCACUUAAGGUUUUCUAUGGAACAAAAGUAAGAUUAAGUGGUUGUUUUGAUGAUUUGGAGCAAGAUGAAAUCAAGAACUUGGAGAGUUUCUUUCUUUUUUCUUGAGAGAGAGGGCCGGCUUCAAGCUUGUUAUUUUUGAGGAUUUUUGGGUCAAAUUUUGAGUUAUUUUGGUAAAAUGGUAAGAGAAUGAAUAGUGGUCAAAAGUAGUAAUGAAUCUCUAAGUGACACUUGUCAUGACACUUGUCCCUCUCAUUAAUUUUAUGCCUAACUUUUUUUGUCUUUCUCACACCUAUGCCCUUGGUAUCUCUAAAUAUCUCAUAACACCCGAUAAAUUAAAUCCAGUAUCCAAAACUUAACCUAACUGGCCGAAUUUUUCCGAACUUUUCGCACUAGCGGGUCCCACGUCCGAUAUAUACUCUUAAUUUCUCAAAACCUAUUCGAUACUAGAAAAAUCAUCUAAAAACUAUAUUAACUCAUAAAAAUUAUCAGGAAAACUUUCUAAUAACGAAAAUGCAGAAAACAUGCCAUUUACGCGGAAAACCCUAGAAAAAUUAUGAAGAAAUUACGGGUUCUCACAUAAUCAAUAGCCAAUACGAGUCUAGUUAAAGGUGCAACUUUUCAGACACGGUCCAUUCAACUGAUCAUCGAUGCAAAGAUAAUUCAAUUACUCAUUAAUAGAUUGGUUAUAGUUGUCAUACACGCGAUGAACAACCAGCCUUUCCUUAAUUUCUCGAUAGUUAAGGUACGACCGUUAACUAUUCCUCUAACCAAGAAAUAACCCUAGAUACGACUGUAGGAUUUAAUUCCCCAAUUGCAUUAAGAUCUAGAAAAGCCCAACCCUAACCAACAAACACGCUAUGAGGGUUUGUUUAAAUUAGAUCAUACGUUUCCCUAACAUAAAACCAAUUACGCUAGUCGCCACUGGUAUUAAUCAAUUGAACAAUUACGGAUUCAAUCAAUUAAUUUAGCAUUAGAUCAUUAAGUUAAUUUGAAUAUCGGGCCCUUGACAUUCAAAUAACAUAACAAGCAUAAGCAAUUAAAUCAGAAAAUGCACAAAUACCAAUAAAUAAAGGAAAUAAGUAAAAUAAUUAGAUCUCACAGAUGUUCGGAACCGAGUCCUCAAAUUGACCUUCGACUAGAUGAGAAAUUUAGUCACGCCUCAUGAGAAAAUCUCCCCAUAAUUUAACUGAGAUCCACGCCAUCAAAGGAGCCAAGAAAGAAAAGAAAACUAAAACUAUCCUAAAAGCCUCCUAGAACUAUUAUUUAUAGCUCUCUGUACAUUUGUUCCUUUUUAAAGCCCAAAGAUGACUUAUGCUUCAUAUCCGUGGUCCCCGUCGAAAUUGAGAGUCCAAGUACUUAAAAGAAAGCUCUGCCAAAUUCCUUAUAUUACGUUUUCUCUUGGUAGGAGGACUCUUGGUCAGCAAAAAAAGGGAAUGGAAGUCCGGUUCUUCUCAGCAAUGUGGGCCAGGUCUGUGGAGUAUUUAGAAGUCUCCAUUUGCUCCAAAAAAUACCUAAUUUUUUGUAGUUUUCUACUCCAUUCCCUGAAAUUAAGUCCAGAUACCAAAUAUAAGUAAAUAUUAAUAAUUAAAACAAUAUUUGGCAAGGACAAAGGGGAAAUUAAUAAUAAAAUAAUCAACAAUUAACACCCUAUCAUUUUGUGAGGAUAAAAUGGGUAAUUUAAAAAAGUUUUAUAAGCUUCCACCAGUUUUCCUUUGCUUUCCCCCCCCCUUUUUGGUAAAAAAAUUUUUUUUUUGCAUUGUUGCAGCACUUGGCAUCCUUCAAAAUCCUUUUGUUUCUUUUCUUUUCUUUUCCACCUUAAUUGAAAGUCCCAAACGUAAUAAAAUUCACUUUCUGUUCAAUUCCAUUGGAAUCUCAACUCCCAAACUAGCUAUGAAGGAUAAAUUAGAAAAAAAAAAAAAGAAGAAGAAAGGAUUGGAAAGGAUCCAAAUUUCUAUCUAAGUCGUUUGAGAGUUUAAAAAAGAAAAUAAGGUAAGUAGUUUCUUUUGUUUGGGAAUUGAAUACAAAUGAAAAGAAAAGAUUUUUAAACAAGUAACUUUACAAAUAUAUCCUUUCUAUAAAGUGAAAUGAGAUGUCUUGGUAAGGGUUUUAUAACGAGGGACUCAUCGAGAAUUAAAAUUUUUUAUAUCAGGAUUUUAAGAAUAGUUUUGUCAUCUUUGAAAAUUUACUUAAGACUUCCACACUUUCCUUCCCAAUUUUAUGCAGAAAGUUUUCCUUUACAAGGAAAAAGAUGAAUCUUUCCAAAUCUUUUCUUUUUUCUUCACAUUUUUGCUCCCAAACAAUGUAAAAACUUAUUAUUAUCCUUUCAACUAGGGAGGGACUUGUGAUUUAAGAUAAUUAAUAAUUAUUGUUUAAUAUUUUGUAAUAUAGGAACUGGAGUAUGAUGAUUUUAUCAUGUGAUUUUAAUAGAAAAAUUAUAAGUUACAUAGUGAGUCAAUAAAAAUAAUGUGCAAUGAGAUAUCCUUAUCGUUAUACUAUAUAGGAAUCUGUUGUGAUCAAAUGUUAUGUUUAAAUUUCAAUUGUAAAGAUAAGGGUAGUUUGAAAAUGUAAGAAUGUUUGAAGUGCAAUUGAAAAGUAUCCAAAGGUCUCUUCUAAAAUUUAUCCAAAAUGAUAAAACAUUUUAAAGUAUCAAUUGGACCCUUCAUCUCUCGAAUCUAUAUAUGUUCGUGAAAGAUCCCUAAAGCAAUGCUUCUGAUUUCUCCCUUGACUUAAGCUCAUCCUGAAUUAUCAAGUCAAGUUUAUCCAUCAAUCACUUUGCGUCCAAUCUAAUCUAAAAUAAAUUUAUUUUUGACUAACUAUUUAUAUAAUUUGGUGGGCAUAAUAUGACUUAAUCACAUGUUUCUUACAGAGAUAAUAAUGCCCAAAAAUGAUAGAUAGAUAAGAAACUUAAGUGGUCUUUUUCAAAGUUUUGUAGAAACUAUUCAUAUUUGGUGUUUUUUGCUAGGGGCAUUUCUUUAUAAUCUCAUAAAUAAGUUCAAAUCUGCAUAAUUGUUAAAGAUCUGAAUUAAAACUAUCUUGAGUAUAAAAAAUUGGUGAAAAUAAUAUUUUCUAAAUUUGAAAUUGUAGAAAAUGGUAACUAAAAUCAGAAGAAAUUCCUCAUAUGAAUUCGAAUUGCAAACUAUAGAUAGAAACUACUUAAUGAUAUUUUCCAAUGUUUACUUGUAUAAGUAUCCAAUAUAGCAUCUCUACUUGAUUGACUCGUUUGAACUAUGGAUAAUAGUUGCUUCAAUCAAAUUAAGAAAUAUUAUUUAUCAUUGUACAACAUACAAUUAUGAGUAAAUGAAUUGAUAGGGUGUUAAUUGUUGGUUAUUUUAUUGUUAAUUUUCCCCUUUAUCCUUGCCAAAUAUUGUUUUAAUUAUUAAUAUUUACUUAUAUUUGGUAUUGGACUCAAUUUCAGGAAGUGAAACAGAAAACUACAAAAAUGAGGGACUUUUUGGAGAUAAUUGAGACUUCAAAUAAGCCACAGACUUGACCCACAUGGUGAUAUACGCGGACUGCAUUUCUUCUGCUAAUUGGGAGUGUCUUGAGUACUUAAGAGUCCUAAGAGCAAUGAAAGACGAAAAAGAGGAGGAGACAUCAAGAGGCCUUGCCUUUUGUACUUUGAUUUGGAAUUGGAAUCUGCGGCGGGGACCACGGAAAAGCAUUAGUCAUUGGACUUUGGAAGGAAAGAAACGUAGGAAGCUUUGAGAGUUGUUUUUGUUCCUUAUUUGUGGGGACCACUGGAUAGAUAGCUUUGGUCAUCUUCCUUUUGGCUAUAAAAAGACAAUUGUAAGAAAGGCUACGGAGACAGCUUUUAGCAUAAUUUUAGUUUUCUUUUCUUAGCUCUUUGGCAUGGUUGUUCUCCAUUAAUGGAGGACUAACCUCUUAAUUCUAGUCAAGGGGACAACUGAAGACUUGGUUCAACAAUUACUGUGAGAUCUAAUUUAUUUUAAUUGCUUCCUUAAUUUAUUGGUAUUUAUAUGUUUCCUGCUUUUAAUUGCUAUAGCUCGUGUGAGUGAUUGAAUAGAUGCGCAAUAUUUAAUUAUUCACAUAGGCUAUUUUGCUAAAUAGGGAUAAUUGAAUCCGUAAUUGUUCGUUAUCUUUAUCUCAGUAGCAACUGGCGUAAUUGGGUUUAUGUCAGGGGAACAUACGAUCUAACUUAAACAAACCCUCGUAGCGUGUUUGUUAGUUAGGAUUGGGCCUUUCUAAUUAUUAAUGCAAUCUAGAAAUUAAACCCUACGGUCGUACCUAGGGUUGUUUUUGGGUUAGAGAAAUAGUUAACGGUCGUACCUUAACUAUCGAGAAAGUAAGGAAAGGUUGGUUGUUUAUCGCGUGCAUGGCAACUAUAACUAAUCUAUUAAUAAAUGUGGAAUUAUCUGUGAAUCAAUGAUCAGUGCCUGAACCAUUUCUGAAGUGUACCCUUGGCUAGAGUUUCCCUUUAAUUAUUCCUCUUAAUCAAUUAUUUUCUGCAAUUAAAUUAUUUAGUUAGCACUUAAUCCAAAACCCCCCAUACUUUGGACUCUAGAAGAAACGAAUUAUCCCCAGUCCCUGUGGAUUCGACCCUGUUGACCGUUAUAUACAGAAAUUAACUUUAGUUGAGCAGGUUUUUAUUAUUGCACAGGCUGACAACCUGUCAUGAAUUAAUACAAUGCAGUCAAAAUGGUACUGUAGCUAAAGCAUUUGAACUCAUCAAGUUUCACCACAAAUUCUUUUAGAUAGCAUAAAAAGUAAAUUUUUUGUAUUUGAAACUAUAUAAAUAAUAGAAUACAAGAAGGAGAUCAUAACAUGGAAAGCAAAUAGAGUGCAAAUGACAUUUUAGUACUAUGUAACAUGAUUAAUUUUCUUUUUUAGUUUCAAUGAAGUACAAAAUUCUAAGUUAAUAAAUUUUAUAAUCAUAAAAUUUCCAAUUAAAAUAAACACAAGCUGAAUUCCAAAUCAAAUUACAUGAAAUAACUACUUGAACCAUAACUGUUGGAAUGUAGUCAACAGAUCCCUGGAGUCAAGAACAAUAGGAGAAAGUUCAUGAGAAAUAAGGAUAUUUGACUUAAAUAAAGAGAUAAUACCUUGACCGAGGAGGAGAAGAUGAUAAAAUUGCUUUUCUUAUUAUUUUAGAAAGUGACAACAUUAUCUCAAAUUGUACUUUGAUUAGAGACAGAAUCUUUGGGAUCUACUAAGAAAAACAAUACAAUUAGUCAGUUUUUGAAAUUAGAAGUAUCAAAAAGCAAAUUAUAUGGAGUUCUUGAAUAAACCAAUCAUCAGAAAAAAAAAAAACUACAAUCAAAGAAGACAAGUUCAAAGAACUCACCUCAAUUUAAAGGAAAAGCUACGCAUUCUACCAAAUAUUUAAUAGCCAUAAUAAAACCAAAUGGGUGAAACCGAAAAAGAAGAAAAGGUAUCGGCUAAACAUGGAGGCAUAAAUAUGAUAAUAAUUGUUCAGAUAAUAAUUAAGUUAAUUAAUUGUAAUUAAAAUCCAAUUAUGUAAACAUCCAAUUAAUUCCUUAACAGAUGAGAAAGGUUUCAGGAAAUUGGAAGGUUUGGAUGUUAGUAUAAUAAAUGAUUAAAGGGGCUUUUAUGUAAUUCUAUCAAAACACAAGCUUAAUUUAGUUGUAUUUGAUACUCAACUUGACACCAAACAUUAUAACAUACCAAACAUGCCCCUAACCUUAAAUGUCUAAAAAAUUAUAUAAGUAAUUAUAGUGAAAUUAAAGCUAUAAUAACUUGUACUCAAUGUUCUAAUUACACUUCAAAUACUCUCAUAUUUCCAAAAUAAUCUCACCCUUGCGGUUGAAAUUUAAAAAUCUUCUUUGUCCUAAACUCGUUCUUACACAGUACGAGGAAACCUUUCUUUUCUUUUCCUUUCCUUCCUCUCAAACUAGCUCACGACGUCUGUAACGAUACACUACUGUUCUAACUCAAUAAUACUGAAAUUGAAACGCUAAUAGACUCAGAAAAGAAUGGCUGAAAAACUCGGGACACCGAAAACAGAAGAAAAAGCAAAAGAAUUGGCAGAAGAAGCAGUGAAAUUGGAACUGAAAACCAAGCAGGUGCUGAAGUCCUGGUGCAGCAUUCCUCGGUUUGAUUACAACUCCCCUUCUUCUCUCCUCAAUCAUUCCCACUCCGGCUUCCUCAUCACCUGCCCCGUCAGUAAGGCCUCUUUUCUCAUCUCUUCUGUGCAGCAAGUUAUGUUCUUUUUUACUCCUGUUUUGUUAUUUUUGUACUUUAUUCGCCUUUUUUUUAAUGUAAUUUGCAUCUGGGUUUUUGAAAAUUUUCAAUUUGAUUGUUUGGGUUAGUCUGGGCAGUGUGGUGAUUGAUAAAAAUGCUUCCUUUUUUUAUGUAGAGAGGGAGAAGAGGUAACGAAUUAUGCUGGUUUUGUUUCUUGUCAGUUCUUGGGAAUAAUGUCAAAAUAAGGAAAUUUUAGACAUAAAGAAAAUUCAUGCUGACUUGAGAAUCAGGACAGUUGAAUUGGUUUACUGAAGUUGGUUCGGUGGGAUUCUUAAUUUCUUGGCAAGGUUGGGAACUUGGGGUUUUUGUAGGUGAAUAAGACCAUAGCGGCUUGAAUUACCGGUAUAAUGUGUUUGCAGCUGUAAUUGUUUUGGUUUAAGAUGAAGAGUAGCAAUGUUAUGGAAUAGAUGUUUGAAUGAUUAAGCAUAAGUAAACAGCAAAUGGGAUGGCAACUAAUAAUAGAUAAAACUCUGAAGUUUGGAGAACUGGGUGAGCAAUGCAGAAGGUAGGUGCAGGCAUGUUUUGUUGUUCAAACGCAUUAGCUAUUAAGGAAGGGGAAAAAACAAAGAAACUAAGGUUGUUUUCCAUUUUAAAUGUGAUAAAUGAAUGGAAAUGAAGUGUAAUGCUAAUGGUCUUCAUUUGUGAGAAAAAUGGCAAAAGAAUGCAGUCAACACUGUUUCCAUCUGUUGAACUUAGUUGAGGAAAAACGUUUAUCAUUUUUGGGUUCUAAACUUGAUUAAGAUUUCAGUUGGCGGACAAACAGAAGGAUAAGAUGUCAAUUAUCCUGCCAAUAGGUUAUUAACAUCUGAGUCUAGUAGCUAGCUUUAAAUUUUUUUGCUUAUGAUCUUCCACUUCACCUAUUUAUUUGUAAUUAGUGCAUUGCUGGGUCACAGAUUAAUAUGGUUUAUUCCUUGUUUACAUGUCUUAUUCACCUUGCUUUGCUCACACUCUGUCAUUUGUCACUUGGUUCAACCAAGUGACCCCGCUUAAGUCUGCUGUGCCUUCUUGAGUAAAUGACAUGAUUCGUCAUCCACAAUGCAACACUGGUUAACUUCUUUAUCACCUAUAGCUUUCAAGUGUGUAUAUAUGAAUGAGUUCCCAUUUUCUUUGAAUUUGAAGAGGCAUAUGGAUACAUAGUCAGCUUAAGCUCGAGUACUUAUCUCAUACGGGUUAAGGAAAAAUUCACCUUACUUAUUCGGAAGCUUUGCAUUGUUUUCUUUGAAAAUAAAAUAGAAACAAUAUAUAGAAGGUAUGCAAUAUUUGGUACUGUAAGAAAAAAAAUUUAUAAAUAUAAAAGCAAUUUAAUAAGGGUAUGAUUAUAUUUCUCUAGGGAGGAGAAGACCAUGAAUCCGAAUUUGUAAGGCAUUUUAGACAUCAGAUAUUGCAUGCGUGAAUUAUAUACCUGAUUGCCAAUCAUGUAGCAUAAGGUCUUAAGAAAUAGAUAUGUAAGCAUCAUUUUUGCUUUUAAAAAUAGAAAGGCAUUCUUUGUUGCAGCAGCAUUGGAUAAUGGUCUUUUGGCCACACUUAAAGGAACUUAUAUAAGCAUGAGAUGUUGCACUCUUCUAGGGCUAUAAGGAACCAAAUAAUAGGAGGACAAUUUAGAGUUUGUUUAAAAACUUGUGGCAGACAACUUUUAUGAAUUGUUUCUGGAUAUAUUUACACCAGAAGCCAAGCACUGCCGCAGCUUAUCACCAUGUGAAAGAAAUGAAUGAGUAUCAGUCAUAUUUGAAGUCCCCUCCAAAGCCUAUAUCAUUUUUGUGUGUAGCAAAAGGGAGACAAAGAGUGAACCAACUUGGAGAAUGGAGAGGUGUGCAUCUGUUCCUUGCAAGAUUCUAUUCUUUUUACUUCAUGGAGUUUUUAUAAAAGCUAUGUGUACUGAAUGUUUUCUUAGGUCUUCAAACUGAUUUUGAUACAUUGAUACAUGUAUGCAUUCUGUUCUUUUCCUUAUGAAUGCCACCACUAUUCACAAUUGAUGCAACCAAUAAAGAGUUUAAGGGAAUAUUAGAUUGAAAUAUUCUUGGGAACUUGGCCGAAGAUUGAGUUUACCCACUUCGAAGAUUGCAUGCGUGAAUUAUAUACCUGAUUGCCAAUCAUGUAGCAUAAGGUCUUAAGAAAUAGAUAUGUAAGCAUCAUUUUUGCUUUUAAAAAUAGAAAGGCAUUCUUUGUUGCAGCAGCAUUGGAUAAUGGUCUUUUGGCCACACUUAAAGGAACUUAUAUAAGCAUGAGAUGUUGCACUCUUCUAGGGCUAUAAGGAACCAAAUAAUAGGAGGACAAUUUAGAGUUUGUUUAAAAACUUGUGGCAGACAACUUUUAUGAAUUGUUUCUGGAUAUAUUUACACCAGAAGCCAAGCACUGCCGCAGCUUAUCACCAUGUGAAAGAAAUGAAUGAGUAUCAGUCAUAUUUGAAGUCCCCUCCAAAGCCUAUAUCAUUUUUGUGUGUAGCAAAAGGGAGACAAAGAGUGAACCAACUUGGAGAAUGGAGAGGUGUGCAUCUGUUCCUUGCAAGAUUCUAUUCUUUUUACUUCAUGGAGUUUUUAUAAAAGCUAUGUGUACUGAAUGUUUUCUUAGGUCUUCAAACUGAUUUUGAUACAUUGAUACAUGUAUGCAUUCUGUUCUUUUCCUUAUGAAUGCCACCACUAUUCACAAUUGAUGCAACCAAUAAAGAGUUUAAGGGAAUAUUAGAUUGAAAUAUUCUUGGGAACUUGGCCGAAGAUUGAGUUUACCCACUUCGAAGAUUGCAUGCGUGAAUUAUAUACCUGAUUGCCAAUCAUGUAGCAUAAGGUCUUAAGAAAUAGAUAUGUAAGCAUCAUUUUUGCUUUUAAAAAUAGAAAGGCAUUCUUUGUUGCAGCAGCAUUGGAUAAUGGUCUUUUGGCCACACUUAAAGGAACUUAUAUAAGCAUGAGAUGUUGCACUCUUCUAGGGCUAUAAGGAACCAAAUAAUAGGAGGACAAUUUAGAGUUUGUUUAAAAACUUGUGGCAGACAACUUUUAUGAAUUGUUUCUGGAUAUAUUUACACCAGAAGCCAAGCACUGCCGCAGCUUAUCACCAUGUGAAAGAAAUGAAUGAGUAUCAGUCAUAUUUGAAGUCCCCUCCAAAGCCUAUAUCAUUUUUGUGUGUAGCAAAAGGGAGACAAAGAGUGAACCAACUUGGAGAAUGGAGAGGUGUGCAUCUGUUCCUUGCAAGAUUCUAUUCUUUUUACUUCAUGGAGUUUUUAUAAAAGCUAUGUGUACUGAAUGUUUUCUUAGGUCUUCAAACUGAUUUUGAUACAUUGAUACAUGUAUGCAUUCUGUUCUUUUCCUUAUGAAUGCCACCACUAUUCACAAUUGAUGCAACCAAUAAAGAGUUUAAGGGAAUAUUAGAUUGAAAUAUUCUUGGGAACUUGGCCGAAGAUUGAGUUUACCCACUUCGAAAAAUGGGUACCCCUUUUAGGAUCUCGAGUUAUUUAUUAGAAGUUUAAGUUCUACAUAUUUCAGUAGGCUUAAAAUUUAUGGUGCAUUAGUAGCUUAUGGGUUUUUAUGUGCUAUGGGUACUGGGUAAACUGACAGUGGAGGGCACUUCAGUCAUUGUUUGAGACCAUGGGCUCAUACAUUGACUUUGAUGGAAGGGUUCUUAAUUGAAAUGUUGCGAUUAGUCGCCUCAAGUUCCUGCCAUAAGAUAUUCUGGUCCCUGGGGCUGAAGUCCAGUACAUAUACCUACUGCAUGUUCCACCAUACCCGCAGUUAGACACCCAGGUAUUUUAGACCAUCCAUGAAGGAGUUAAAGUUAUUCAUUGGUAAAUUUUUUAUGCAUGGCUAUUCUAUGUAAAUGGUUUUCUCAUGAAAACUGGAGGAGAACUGGAGUCUGGUCUAGCUCGUGCUGAUAUAUCAUCGUUCUUUACGGUUUUUUUUCAUUAAUUUGUACAAAAUCUGAUUGAUUUUUGGCACUUGUGAUCUUAGAAGAGUGCAUCUUUCAUUAGAACUUUUUUCUCUAAUCAGGUUCCAUCUUGAUUGCUGUAUUAAUUUAUGAAAUAUUGGUUAAAAGCGUGACAGUUAGGACAAGAAUAAUCAGAAAUUGGUUGUACAACAGAUGGUCCAGGGCUAGAAUGCGAGUUUGGGAGCAAUUCUGACAUAAUUGUUAGCAGUGAAAUUGCAGUUAAAUGAAUUGUAGUUCUUUAAGACAAUAGCUUGUGAUUUUUAGAUACUCAUGCAUCCAAACUUGUGCAGAAUCAGCAUGAAUGAUAUUUCUUCACCAUCUUUUUUUGGGGGGGGGGGGGGUCUGAUUGGAUUCAUUGAAUUUCAUAUGUAUGAACCAUCUCAAUGGGAAAGCCUGCUUGCAUCUAGUGAGUGUAAAGUGUAGAAAUCAGCUUAGUGUCCUGUCACCUGUAACUGCAGUACAUUUUCUUACGUCUUGUUGUGUAUGUAAAACUAAAUAAGUUAAUUCAAGUCAUAUCAUGUUUAUGUUCUGUGAGAUGUUGACCAGUUAUAUGGUAAAAUAUACUUUUCAGUAGUCUAAAUGCUGAAGGUUUUGAAAGUUUGGAUGCGAAUAUGUCAGCUAAGAGGAGAAUAUCUGUAAGUACAGAGGAGGAACCUGGCAAUAGUAUGGAGAGGAAAGAUGUAGCCAAUGACUUUGGAGAACCUAGUGAUAGUUUAACUCUGGUAUUUUAGGUUAUGCACAUGCUCCUACAGACAGUGCAAAUUACCAUGCAUAACUACCUGAAAUUCCUCCCUAGGGCUUGAUUAUCAAAGUUACAGAAAUCAUGUUUAAAAAAUAAGUUUCAAAAUGCACUAAGAUAGAGGACAUAUUGCUCAUUAAUUAACUUGAAUAUCAAACAAAAUAUGAUCGUGUUUCCUCUAUUCAGAGAGGAUUAAAAGAUAAAACCCAAAAACAAGGAACUUAAACUAUGUCCCAAUUUUGGUCUGUAGUCAGUUUGGCAGAGAACUUGAAUCGGUUUGGCAUGUAGUCAACUUAUCACAGGCUGCUGGUGGUGGUAAAAUCCGUGCUUGGAAACUCGAGCAGCAAAUGCUGGCUUUUAGCUUAGGGGUAACUUUUGGUUCCUGUAGAUCCCUGAUUUAUGGCUUGGGAGGAUUGUAUUUCCACCUUACUGAAGAUGGAUCUAAUUAUGUCAUGAAGCCUGACAAUGAAGAGGAUCACACGGUUUACUUCAACAACACCUCCAAGCCUGCGAACAGGUGGUUCAAAGUUCCUCCCAUGAUUGCAUGCAGAUUUUUGCCCACUCACCAAGCAAUCAGUGGUAGCAAAAUCUAUGUCCUUAUGGAAUGGAAUGAGGUAGACGAUCCAUGGGGGGAGUAUUUGGAUCUGUAAUCUAACUAAUCCCAAUGGCAUCCUCUUGAGCUGUAAAUUUCCUUUUGGUGAACCUCCUGUUGAAGGAUCUCUCUCUCCCUCCCUUGGAACAAAAAUUUGAUCCUCAGUGCUACAUCCUGUUUCGUAUCGGUGCUGGGGAUCAAGUUGUUAUCGUGUGUUUUGACGCGGAAAUUGACAAAAGUGUUCAAGGUUUGUUGAGGAUCGCGAUUGGUUCAUUAUUAUCCCUUGUGUGUGGAAGGGAAUUACUUGUUCACAACUUUUGGCGUCAGUGUUUUUGCCUAUCACGUAUUUGACAGGAGUUUAUUUGAAUGACCUGCUCCGUUCUGUAGUAAAGUCAAAAGGGUUGCCUGACCAUUAUUUCCCUCCUCAAGAGUAUGGUCAUAGUCCAAUGCCCUUACUGUGAAUUGGCUCAAAUAAGUUUGCUAACCUUUGGCUCGUGACUGUGGGGGAAAAAACCACCACAUUGAGUGUGUUCACCACUUGACCAAUCGACGAGGAGGAGUGUCCCCCUUCCCCUCCUUGGGAGGGAAAGAAGGAAGAUUGUACUUCUUAUGCGAAGGAGAUAUGGGAAUCUGGUUUUGUUGCCAACAUUGAACUAGAUGGAAGUCUUGAACUCGAGCUAGGGGAGCAUGUUCAUUUCUAUAUUGACCCUGGUGCUGUAGUACUUCCCUCAACCUGAAGCAGAUGUGCAUAUGUAGUGGUCCUUGGAUGUUUGAUCAGUUGUUGUUUAGUAUACUAAAGGACUUCCAAACCAACCAUACUGUAUGUACUAAAGCAUCUUUACUUCUUUUUUCUGGUUAGUAUACUAAAAGUUGGUUUUUUUUGCCAACGAGGAACUAGAUGAGAGACUUUGAAGUCAAGCUAGGGGAGCAUGUUAAUUUCUUUAUGACCCUGUUGCUGUGGUAUUUCCUCUGCCAAAAGUAGAUGACAAGAAUAAGCAUAUGAGGAUGUGUAUCUAUAUAUGGUGAGAGACUUCAUAAUAUAAGGAAGCACGGCUAGCCCAUUGAGAUCAUUUGCCAACAUGCAAUGCAUACUUCAAGAAUAUGAGAAAUUAACUAUAUGUUUAUCUUCACUUUGCCCAUCCAAAUCCAAAUCCUGUACUCUUCCUACAUCAGUUUGUAUCUGAAUCGCAUGGAUUGAAACAGGUUCCAUUCCAAGCUGUGUUCAUCGCAACAAUGUCAAGUUGUGAUAUAUAAUUAAUGGCAAGUUUUAGCUCCAACUUUCUGAUAUAUAAUUAAUGGCAAGUUUUGAUGUCUGAACCUCCAACUUUCUGUUGUGACCUAUAAUUAAUGGCAAGUUUUAGCUCAGCGCUUAUUGAAAAUCACAAAGAGUUGCUUAGAGUUAUUCACUUCCAAAAUCGAGGAUUCAAAUUCAAUUUAGGAAAACAUCCCGGCAUUUCAUAUCAUGAUGAAACAGAGUUUACACAUUACAAGUUCAGGAUCACAAGCGUGGUUGGUUGUUUUGCAGAAGCGAUAGAACAAGUAUGUAUAGCUGAAAAAAAAAAAAAAAAAGAAAACAACAAGCUAACGGUCUUAUUUGUUUUCAUCAAUUUUUUCCCCUUCUCGUGUUUCGUUUUUUUUUCCAUAUUUCUCUUUUCAAGUCAAUUGUCUUAUUUUUUUUAUUAUGUUUCUUGAUUGCAACUUUUUGGGUGACAGAGGAAACCUAUGCAUGAGUACAAGUCAAAGAAAGUUAAAAAAUGCAAGUAACGUAUUAUAAUUUCCUUUUGAGUAAGGUGGCUGUAAUUUCACUUCAAUAGAAAGGAAAUAAGUUGUGAAUGAGUUUGGACAGUGUUUUGUGAUAUCAUUUUGCAUGUUUUCUGUGGAUGCUAUCAGUCAGGUAAUUUCUGGCAUUAGAUAUGUUUCUAUUCUGGGGACUGAAGGCACUUGCAUGUGCUUACCAAACCUGUUUAUUGACUAAUGGCACAUUAAUCUCUGGUUAAGGUUGAGACCAGGGCAAAAUCGCCCUUAGCUUCUGAAAAAUUGUUUCAUUUGCAAAUUCACAAUUGAGAAAAACCAGCUCAAGAAUAAAAUCAUAUAUAUAUAUAUUCUACAGGCAUGCAUUUGAGAAAAAUAUACAUACAAAUUGAGAAUUUAGAAGGAAAAAAAGAUGCAACUGAACCUUCAAGUUUGGACAUUGAAAGGUGUUAUCGAAGCUUCACUAAUUUCACUAACUUCAUCUUUUAUGCUUCGUACACUUCAGGAUUAACUUAGUGAAGACUGCCUUCUUUUCACUUUAGUAGGCACUCUCCUCUAUUUCUUACCAAACCAGAACAUGUUUGAUGGAGGUAACUUUGAAAAGAAAAUCUAAAUAUAUAUAUAUAUAUAUAUAUAUAUAUGUACACUUUUGAGGAUUGAUGUUGAUUAUUGAUAUUUCAUGAUAUGAUUUGAUACAAAUAUGACAAGCAGUAGAAGGGAAAAGGCAAACGAGAACUCAAUGAAACAGAAGGGAAAGCUAGUAAGCGUACUUUGAAGAGAUAGCGCUGAGAACUGCAAGAGUUGUCUUUUAACUUCUCCUCUUAGAGGAACUUCGGUUCCCACCGAUCGCUAAUCCAGUAACCAGUGCAAACUUCGGGGAUUUGAGAAAUUAUCUGAUAAUCUGCACUUUGUUUAUCCAAAUUCUGUACUUUGUGCAUUAGCUCAUCAGACAUAUCAAAGAACCCGAGAAAUUGAAGUCCGGUCAAGGUUUGGAUGCCCGAAGGUAACUCCUGCAUCAGUUUACAACCAAUUAAUUGCAGAUUUUUGAGACUAGGCAUUGAUUCCUCUUCCACUGUCACCCAUUUCAGCCUUUUCAAUUGCAUUAGCUCUAAGCGCUGGAGUUUUCGAAAUCCUCCAACCUUGAAACAUAAUGUCUCCCCUUCAUAAGCACAAUAGAGAGUAAGUAAUACCAGAUUGGGCAAAUGUCCGAGGGAGCCUGUUAUAUUCUCAUCUUCUCUCAACCUACUGUUAAACAACAUUAAGGUUCUCAAGGAUUGAAGUGAUGUCACCCAUUGCGGUACUCUCUCUAAACGGCCCUUCAAUUUCAGACGUAUGAGGAAUUCAUGUUUUGGAAAGACGGAAUGUUGGAGAUCAAGGGUUUCAUCUUCUUUAAUACAAGAGAUGACCAACUCUCGAAGGUUGGUCAACCUCAAGAGGGAGGAGAGCAACUCCUGUCCAUCUCUUCUCAGCUUUGUAAUGGAUAAUCGCCGCAGCUGUAUGAGCUUUCCAAUCUCCCUUACUAUUGUAUCACUAUCUGCUUCUAUAUUAGUCAGAUUUUCCAAGCAAAUAAGCUUUCCAAUUCCAAAUGGACAUUUACAGCCCCAAAUUGCAUACUCAUUUGAAUAAUCUCCCCAUCCGCCAAAGCUAAGAGAACGGAGUUUUCGUAGAUUUAGAAUUUCCACAGGCAACUCUGUUACAUUGGUUCCUUCCAGAUUUAUAGCUUCAAGGUUCUGAAGCUUCCCAAUAGAUUUGGGAAUAAUUUUAACUCCAGUUCUUGCAAGAUUAAGAUACCUGAGAUGAAAUAGUUUGAAGACUUGCUUUGGAAUGCUGUCCAAUUCAGCUCCAUGCAAAUCCAACACCUUUAGCAACUUGGGAUCACCACUUAAGAACUCGGAUAAAAAUGUGGUUGUGAGAGGAUCUUCAUACCCAAAUAUUACCACAGACCGAAGACACUUUAAGCUACUAAAUUCUUGUGGAUCAUCAGUGAAGUUGUGGAUUGCUAGGUGUCGAACAUUUUUAGGCCCUCUUGUGUAAUAUCUGGUGGCUACAGUCGUGAAGUCCUGCUCUUUAGAUUUUGAAACAAUGAUUUCACGCAGAAAAUCAUGAAGACCACAUGUAACCAAUCUGCCUUCGGCAAAUGAGGAUUUAACUUGGAUUAAGCUUCUGUUGAUGAGUUCUUUCAUAUAUCUCAUAGCAAUAUCAGUGGAUGUUAUUCUUUCUUUCUCUUCUACAAAUCCUAGUGCAAUCCAUUUCAGAAUUAUAUCAUCCACAUCAAUUGGAUAAUCUUCAGGGUAGAUGCUUAGAUAUAAUAGACAGAUUUUAAGAUAGUGAGGCAAAUCAUUGUAGCUAAGUAAGAGUACCCUUUUGAUUCUGUCAAGCUUACCACUGCCAUCUGCCUCGCCACCAAAAUCAUGAAGAAUCAUCUCCCAUUCAUCUGUCUUUUCCUUGUCCUUAAGAGCCAAAACACCACCUACUGCAACAAUUGCAAGUGGUAGGCCCUCACAUUUUUUCAAUAUUUUUUUAGCAACUUCUUCUAGAUUUGGAGGACAGUCAUUGCUCUGAAAUGUUCUAUUGCAAAACAGAGUCCAAGACUCUUUAUCAGUAAGAGGUUUCAUCUUAUAGAUGAAGUCAAGUGAUCCUAAACAGGACGCAGAAGCUACAUCAGCUAUUCGUGUUGUCAAUACAACACGACUAGUGAUAUUACAGUCAGGCAAUACACAUUUGAUAGCUUCCCAGGCAUCUAUACUCCACACAUCAUCAAGGACAAGAAUGUACCUUUUUUCCUGGAGGAAGUCUUUGACAAAUUCACUCAGCAUAAGAACAUCCAUGGAUUCCACUCGGCGAGGGACCAGCUGUCUGAUUUCAUUGAACAACUGUUGGAUCAGGUUCUUGAUGAUGUCAUUCAACUGAAAAUUUUGAGAAACAGUUAUCCAGGCAUGGCUCUGAAAUUGUUUCUUCACUGCAGCGUCAUCGUAGACUUUUUUCACCAGGGUAGUCUUCCCGAGUCCCCCCAUUCCCACAACCGAAACUACUUUCAAUUGGGAAUGGUCAUCAAGGAUUUUUGAGAUGAGCUCUGCUUUUGGCUUAUCAAUCCCAACAAGUCGAGCUUCUUCAAUGAGGAGUGAUUGAGAACGAAUAUCAAAAUCAGCAUUCACCUGACGAGAAGUGCUGAAGCCUCUUUCUUGAGUACCAUAUAGGAACUGGUACCUCUGAUGCCUUGCUGAAAUCUCUCCAACUCUGCCCUUGAUGUCUUUUAUCUCCAAAGAAAUUUGAUGGCGAGCUUUCAAAUUCUUUAUUGAGUUAUAGAUCUUUCCAACCUUACCACAGAAUCCAUCCUUGUAGCCACGAGCAAAGCGGAAGGUAAAAUCAUCGAGAACAUCCUCUGUAUCAUAAGCAACUUCUCGAACCUGCUUUAGCCAUUCUUGGAGUUGAGAAUCAUUGUCUUCCUUUGCUUCAGCUUCUUUGAGGAAAGUCUUUAUGCUCCCGAGUUCAUCUUUGAUGAAUUGAACAUCUGAUUUAAGCCCCCCCAAAAGUGUGAUCUCUUGGGAAAGCAAGGUUGAGAGCUGUUUAAUCAAAAAACCUACAACACUCUCUGCCAUGAUGCUCAAUCAAAUUUCUCAAGACUUGAGUCACUUGACAGCGGCAAAUGAUCAAUAGAAAAAGGAAGGAAGGUACCUUAUUGCUGCUUUUUGUGAUGCUGUCUCUUCCAAUAAUGCUUUCCAGAGUGCAACGGACAAUUCAAUAGUCUCCAUGGGCCAUGGUCAAAAGUUUCCCAUUUAUUUUUGCAAGUGGCCUUCCCUACCCACAGGCCACACCCAUCUAUAUAAUUCAUAUUUUGGGAAUUUUUAAAUCUUUCUAUGACUGCUAGUCUGCUACUCAAAUUUUUCCAAAGGGAGAAACGCGGUUUUGUUACUCAAUGUUUGACUUGUGUAUCAAACUGAUUCCGAAUGCUUUAGCCAAAAUAAAUUUAUUCUCCAAAUUUUUUUUUAUUUUGACUUUACAUUUUUAGUUCCUAAUGUUUGAAAUUUUGAUCAAUAUGGUCCCUUUAGUUUCAAGUAGUUAUAGCCAGGGGCUUGAAAAUGAAAAAAAAAAAAAGUGAAUUGAAUUAAAGAUAUGGCAAAUGCCUUCAUAAAUCCCUAUAAAAUUUCAUAAAAACACUUUAUGUCAACGCAAUAGCAUCGUUAACGUUGAACUUAAAGAGUUUUUUUUUUUUUGAGUAAGUUACAAUCGUAUGACAAUAGAUAUACAUAAUAUAUAAAAUAAAAAGAAAGGAGAAUUCUAGUAUUAAUAUAAAAUUUAUUAGCAGUCAAACUAGUCUACUACACAAGUUCUUGCUUGAAUUGCGCAUAGCGUUCUUAAUUUGUUAGAGUUAGGAAUUGUAAUUAUAAAAACUAGUAACAUAAAUACCAAUAUGAAGUGUUUUUACUCAUUAUGGUUAAUUAUCAAUUAAUUACUAAUAGUAUAAAACAAUGGUUUCGUAUAUUAUACCAAAUUUGAGACUGAUUUUGCAAAAAGGAAGAAGUACAUGAGACAUUAGUGACAUGAAUAAAUGAAAUAAAAAAUAAAAAGUUUAAUUAGAAUCGCUAGUACCCAGUUAAGACAAUUGCGCCGUAAUUCGCAUCUUAUUUUAUCCAAAUACGCUCAAUAUCACUAAUGAAAACUUAAGCGACUAAAAUGAUUAAAAUUUCAAAUAAUAGGGACUAAAAGAGCAAAGUCAAAACUAUUAAAUAGUGGUAAUUUGAUUUUAACCCUUAGUCAUUAUUGAAUUUUCAUCAAAUGUCCUUAAUGCACCUAAUAUCAGAAAUUUUGAGAACCAAAUAUAUUUGGCCGAACAUGAGAGACUAAUUAGCACAUAUGCUAAAAUUGGAGAUUAAAACUACAAUUCACCCGGUUUGUAAAAGAAAAAUCUACACCUUUUUUGUUUUAUUUUUUGUGCACACAUGUGAUUUUUUUUUCUUAUUUUUCACUUUUGAUAUCCAAACCAACGAACAUAUGUUAAUAGAUUCAAUUGUUAAAAUGAUUUUAUGAAUUAUGAGAACAGUAAUAUGUAGGAAAAUUCUGUUGGGUAGAAUUUUGGGUGGAAGGACUAAAUCAUUUAGUUUAAAUUACAUUUUAGCAAACUAAGUAAGUGGAAGAAUUAGGUUAUAAAACCUCAUUUGUACCUAAAAAAAGAGGGGGGAAAAUAAAUAUAAAUCUCAUUUUGUUAUGAAAUAACAAAAAAUAUGGAUGUCCCUUUGUAUUCCCAAGGGGAUUAAUUCUUUAUUUAUGACUACAUUAUGUAUAGAAGUUACAAUCCAUAAAUCUAAUCAUGUAGUGGAGAAACCGUUUCAUAGGUUUCUUCAUAUUCUUGUAGUAGUGGGUGUUUAAUAGGAUUAAUGUACCUUUAAUCUUGUAGUACCUAUAUAUAGAGGUACAUUGACACCCUUUGUAAGGACUUUUGUAUUAGUUGGAAUAAUAAGAAUAUCACUCUCCAUUUCUCUACAUCUUUCUCUAAUAUCUCCAUUUAUACUAUAGUAGUUUAUUAGUUUUACAAUACGUUAUCAGCACGAGUCUUUACUUUUGAGCAAAAGGUGAAAACGGAGGCUCUACCUUGAACAAAAGUGAAACACAAGAUUUUGCCGAAAUUCUGCUCGCAUUUCUUCAAGUAAAUUCUGAGGUAAAUUUCUAACUCACAAACUUAUUUCAAUUUCUUAUGGCUAAUAUUUGAAUUAUCGCAAAAAAUACAAGUGCCUAUUGCUGAGCAAUCACUAAACACAAACAUAUACUGUUUGAUACCUUUGAGGUAAUAUUUCUUCUUUUAAUUCUACUUAUUUACAUUUAGAAUUAUUUGUUAUAGAUACUUAUAUUUUGAUGCAUUGAGUUUUGGAGAUGCUAUUAUAGAAAAUCAAUUAUAUUUGAGAAUCUACUUGUCCUUUGAAAUAUUUAAAGAAAAAGAUUCGACCACCUGAAGAUGGUCGUUCUUUAAUGAAAAUAUUUGGCCACUAGAAGAUGGUCAUUAUUUCAAAAGCCUGGUAUGACAAAUUUACCUAUGGCUACAAGAACAUAAUUUUGCAAUUUUCAGAAUUACUUCUCAGUUGAAAUUGUGUCGAGAAAAUUUUACUCAUAAGAUAUAUUGAAAAUGAUAUUCUCCACAAUUGAUUUCUCUAAUAUGCUCCUGUAGUAGCAAUAUUAAAACCAAAUAUUGUAGUAUAUUCACCAGCAUCAACCAUAACUAGUAAAUUGAAAUUUAGUCACAUUCACUUCUGGGAAUGGACUAGAAUUAGCAUACAAUAAGUACAAAAUACUUUUCAAAAUUUCUCUUAAUACCGCUUUAAUACCUUCCGGGUAUAUGCAGUUUGGUGGAUAAAAAUUUCACUUUUCAAAUGCUUAAUUUGUAAAUCAAUGCAGAAUUUUGUCUUUCCAAAAUUUUUGAUCUCAAAUUCUUUCUUCUAAUAUUCAACACUAUUUUGAAUCUCUUCAGGAGUUCCAAUCAAAUUUAGAUCAUCAACAUAUACAGCAAUUAUCACAAAAUUUGAUCCAUUUUUCUUGAUAAAAACACAUGGACAUAUUGGAUCAUUGGUAUCCAAAUAUUUGUAAAAAUUCUUGGGCUACUUGCUUUACACCUUCAGGUGUUUGGACUACAAGUCCAAAAACUUUUCUUUUAACCAAUAAAUCCAAUUCAGAUUGGAUCGUAUCUUUUCACUUUGAACAAUCAUUUCUAUACCGACAUUCAUCAACCAAUAUAGAUUUUAUGAUCCUCAUCAACUUCUAUAAUAUCAAGUGCUAUAUUUCAUUAGGCUCCAAUUAAAUUUUCUAUGAUUUCAUUCUCUUCAGGAGAGACCUCUUCAGGAGCGACCUCUUCAAGAGGUUGAAUUUUGUCAUGACAUUUAUUUAAUCUUCAGAGAUAUAUGAAAUCAAUUUAUACCUAAUUUAGGUAGGCUGGCCUUAAAUUUAUUUAUAGCACUUGUCCAUGUCCUUCAGGGAUAUCAAUUUUAAUGAGAGUAUUUCCUGCAGGAAUAGUUGAUUUAAUGACUCUUCUGGAGUCGGUAAUAUAUCUGACAAUUGGUUUGCAGUUUUCUGCAAAUGAAUAAUUUUUUGAACUUCUAAUUCACAUUAUUUUGUAUGAGGAUCGAGGAAAUCCAAUUUUUCAGAUGAUUUCCUUUCGAUUGAUUUUUUCCUCCCCCUAAUGUCGGGAAUCAUAGCUCAUCAGAAUAAAUAAAUCAUCCAAUAGAUCACCCAUCAAUAUUUUACAAUAUUUAACCGUAAAAGGUGAUUCAUACCCAACAUAAAUUUUAAAUUUCUUUCGGAGCCAUAUAUAGUAUAAAGGGGGUAUGUAUAAAUACUUGUCGGAUCUCAAACAUAAAGAUGAUGGGAAGAUAUUGGGAAGAUAAAAAGGUGUAUUGAAAAUUGUAAAGAUGAUGUAAACAAAUAAAAUUGGGGAAAUAUGAAGCAAUCCAAACAAACCAAUAUUGGUUUGUUUGGAUUGCUUCAUAUUUCCCCAAUUUUAUUUGUUUACAUCAUCUUUACAAUUUUCAAUACACCUUUUUAUCUUCCCAAUAUCUUUUUAUCUCACAUACAUCACAUCACAAAAAGUGCUACAGUAAAAAUAUCUCAAAUAAUCUCAAAUAACUUACAAUCCAAACAGACACAAUCAAUUAUCACUUUUGCUAUUCAUUGGGAUCAAUAAACUUCUGGUUUACUGCAGGUGAUAAUUAUAAAUCAAAUAACAAUGAAGACAACUAUAUCGAUAACCAUUUCUCUCUCGAAUGAUUAUUAUGAUAUAAUUAACCUUUAUCUCACUUGAUUUCUAAACAUGAUCUCUAUUAUUGUCUCAUUUAGUGUCUCAAUUUGAUAUUCAUUUCGACGGAUAUUCAAAUUCAAUAAUUCUUCGAGACAUGGUAAAAAAUAGUGCUUUAUUCAUGUUAAACUUUUCUCCUACAUGGAGAAAUAUAGCGAUGGCUCUUCCGGAGCUUUCAAUCACUUAAACACUACAACUGAUUGUGUUUGUCUCUUUUGUUGGAAAAUAGUAUAUAUACUAGCAUUUAUUAAUGAGACACAUAUUAUUGUCACCAUAAUUCUUAUGGGACAAAUAUCAUCACAAUAAUCCUUUGAUCCCAAAUAUUUAACAUCCAUUUCUUCUUCAGGAAAAAAAGUCAAUUACUAUCAUAAAUUAAAUCAAUCAUUAUACACCUUCAGGGCGUUUAAAGAAAUUGGCCAUGUGAAAAUGCUAUUAUAAUUUUGAUUCGUCAAAUGUACUUCGGGAUAUUUAUCUAGAGGAUUCUUAUUUUCUUGUUCUCAUCAUUAUUAUCCCACUUCAAGUGGUAAUUUUUUCUCUUGUUAUGGUAAAAUACAUAUUUACCAAAAUCAUAGUCAUGGCAUCAAUCAUAACUAGUAAAUUGAAAUUUAGUCACAUUCACUUCUGGGAAUGGACUAGAAUUAGCAUACAAUAAGUACAAAAUACUUCUCAAAAUUUCUCUUAAUAUUGCUACUACAGGAGCAUAUUAGAGAAAUCAAUUGUGGAGAAUAUCAUUUUCAAUAUAUCUUAUGAGUAAAAUUUUCUCGACACAAUUUCAACUGAGAAGUAAUUCUGAAAAUUGCAGAAUUAUGUUCUUGUAGCCAUAGGUAAAUUUGUCAUACCAGGCUUUUGAAAUAAUGACCAUCUUCUAGUGGCCGAAUAUUUUCGUUAAAGAACAACCAUCUUCAGGUGGUCGAAUCUUUUUCUUUAAAUAUUUCAAAGGACAAGUAGAUCCUCAAAUAUAAUUGAUUUUCUAUAAUAGCAUCUCCAAAACUCAAUGCAUCAGAAUAUAAGUAUCUAUAACAAAUAAUUCUAAAUGUAAACAAGUAGAAUUAAAAGAAGAAAUAUUACCUCAAAGGUGUCAAACAGUAUAUGUUUGUGUUUAGUGAUUGCUCAGCAAUAGGCACUUGUAUUUUUUGCGAUAAUUCAAAUAUUAGCCAUAAGAAAUUGAAAUAAGUUUGUGAGUUAGAAAUUUACCUCAGAAUUUACUUGAAGAAAUGCGAGCAGAAUUUCGGCAAAAUCUUGUGUUUCACUUUUGUUCAAGGUAAAGCCUCCGUUUUCACCUUUUGCUCAAAAGUAGAGACUCGUGCUGAUAACGUAUUGUAAAACUAAUAAACUACUAUAGUAUAAAUGGAGAUAUUAGAGAAAGAUGUAGAGAAAUAGAGAGUGAUAUUCUUAUUAUUCCAACUAAUACAAAAGUCCUUACAAAGGGUGUCAAUGUACCUCUAUAUAUAGGUACUACAAGAUUAAAGGUACAUUAAUCCUAUUAAACACCCACUACUACAAGAAUAUGAAGGAACCUAUGAAACGGUUUCUCCACUACAUGAUUAGAUUUAUGGAUUGUAACUUCUAUACAUAAUGUAGCCAUAAAUAAAGAUUGCUUAGAUAUUUUCAGCACGAGUCUCUAUUUUUGAGCAAAAAGUGAAAACGGAGACUCUACUUUGAACAAAAGUGAAACACAAGAUUUUGCCGAAAUUCUGCUCGCAUUUUUUCAAGUAAAUUCUGAGGUAAAUUUCUAACUCACAAACUUAUUUCAAUUUCGGAUGGCUAAUAUUUGAAUUAUUGCAAAAAAUACAAGUGCCUAUUGCUGAGCAAUCACUAAACACAAACAUAUACUGUUUGACACCUUUGAGGUAAUAUUUCUUCUUUUAAUUCUACUUAUUUACAUUUACAAUUAUUUGUUAUAGAUACUUAUAUUCUGAUGCAUUGAGUUUUGGAGAUGCUAUUAUAGAAAAUCAAUUAUAUUUGAGGAUCUACUUGUCCUUUGAAAUAUUUAAAGAAAAAGAUUCGACCACCUGAAGAUGGUCGUUCUUUAACGAAAAUAUUCGGCCACUAGAAGAUGGUCAUUAUUUCAAAAGCCUGGUAUGACAAAUUUACCUACGGCUACAAGAACAUAAUUCUGCAAUUUUCAGAAUUACUUCUCAGUUGAAAUUGUGUCGAGAAAAUUUUACUCAUAAGAUAUAUUGAAAAUGAUAUUCUCCACAAUUGUUUUCUCUAAUAUGCUCCUGUAGUAGCAAUAUUAAGAGAAAUUUUGAGAAGUAUUUUAUACUUAUUGUAUGCUAAUUCUAGUCCAUUCCCAGAAGUGAAUGUGACUAAAUUUCAAUUUACUAGUUAUGGUUAAUGCCAUGACUAUGAUUUUGGUAAAUAUGUAUUUUACCAUGACAAGAGAAAAAAUUACCACUUGAAGUGGGAUAAUAAUGAUGAGGACAAGAAAAUAAGAAUCCUCAAGAUAAAUAUCCCGAAGUACAUUUGACGAAUCAAAAUUAUAAUAGCAUUUUCACAUGGCCAAUUUCUUUAAACGCCCUGAAGGUGUAUGAUGAUUGAUUUAAUUUAUGAUAGUAAUUGACUUUUCUUCCUGAAGAAGAAAUGGAUGUUAAAUAUUUGGGAUCAAAGGAUUAUGGUGAUGAUAUUUGUCCCAUAAGAAUUACGGUGACAAUAAUAUGUGUCUCAUUAAUAAAUGUUAGUAUAUAUAUACUAUUUUCCAACAAAAGAGACAAACACAAUCAGUUGUAGUGUUUAAGUGAUUGAAAGCUCCAGAAGAGCCAUCGCUAUAUUUCUCCUUGUAGGAGAAAAGUUUAUCAUGAAUAAAGCACUAUUUUUUUACCAUGUCUCGAAGAAUUAUUGAAUUUGAAUAUCCGUCGAAAUGGAUAUCAAAUUGAGACACUAAAUGAAACAAUAAUAGAGAUCAUGUUUAGAAAUCAAGUGAGAUAAAGGUUAAUUAUAUCAUAAUAAUCAUUCGAGAGAGAAAUGGUUAUCGAUAUAGUUGUCUUCAUUUUUAUUUGAUUUAUAAUUAUCACCUGCAGUAAACCAGAAGUUUAUUGAUCCCAAUGAAUAGCAAAAGUGAUAAUGUUUGAGAUCCGACAAGUAUUUAUAUAUACCCCCUUUAUACUAUAUAUGGCUCCGAAAGAAAUUUAAAAUUUAUGUUGGGUAUGAAUCACCUUUUACGAUUAAAUAUUGUAAAAUAUUGAUGGGUGAUCUAUUGGAUGAUUUAUUUAUUCUGAUGAGCUAUGAUUCUCGACAUUAGGGGAGGAAAAAAUCAAUCGAAAGGAAAUCAUCUGAAAAAUUGGAUUUCCUCGAUCCUCAUACAAAAUAAUGUGAACUAGAAGUUCAAAAAAUUAUUCAUUUGCAGAAAACUGCAAACCAAUUGUCAGAUAUAUUACCGACUCCAGAAGAGUCAUUAAAUCAACUAUUCCUGCAGGAAAUACUCUCAUUAAAAUUGAUGUCCCUGAAGGACAUGCACAAGUGCUACAAAUAAAUUUAAGGCCAGCCUACUUAAAUUAGGUAUAAAUUGAUUUCAAAUAUCUCUGGAGAUUAAAUAAAUGUCAUGACAAAAUUCAACCUCUUGAAGAGGUCGCUCCUGAAGAGGUCUCUCCUGAAGAGAAUGAAAUCAUAGAAAAUUUAAUUGGAGCCUAAUGAAAUAUAGCACUUGAUAUUAUAGAAGUUGAUGAGGAUCAUAAAUCUAUAUUGGUUGAUGAAUGUCGGUAUAGAAAUGAUUGUUCAAAGUGGAAAGAUACGAUCCAAUCUGAAUUGGAUUUAUUGGUUAAAAGAAAAGUUUUUGGACUUGUAGUCCAAACACCUGAAGGUGUAAAGCAAGUAGCCCAAGAAUUUUUACAAAUAUUUGGAUACCAAUGAUCCAAUAUGUCCAUGUGUUUUUAUCAAGAAAAAUGGAUCAAAUUUUGUGAUAAUUGCUGUAUAUGUUGAUGAUCUAAAUUUGAUUGGAACUCCUGAAGAGAUUCAAAAUAGUGUUGAAUAUUUGAAGAAAGAAUUUGAGAUCAAAAAUUUUGGAAAGACAAAAUUCUGCAUUGAUUUACAAAUUAAACUUUUGAAAAGUGAAAUUUUUAUCCACCAAAUUGCAUAUACCCGGAAGGUAUUAAAGCGGUUUUAUAUGGAUAAGGCACAUAUAUUAAAUACUCCAAUGGUCGUCAGAUCAUUAGAUCCUAAAAAGGAUCAUUUUAUAUCGCAAGAGGAAGAUGAAGAGAUACUUGGUCCUGAAGUACCAUAUUUCAGUGCAAUUGGCGAAGAAUAUUGGAAUGCGACGAUUAAAAGAUCUCAAAUAAUGUUUGCAUCAGGGGCAGAAAUUAAUACACAAGAAUAGUGUACUCUUUUUCCUUCACUAGAGUUUUUGUCCGAUGGAUUUUUCCCUAGUAAGGUUUUAACGAGGCAUAUUCUUUGUGUAAUGGACAUCCAAGGGGGAGUGUUAUGAAAUAACAAAAAAUAUGGAUGUCCCUUUGUAUUCCCAAGAGGAUUAAUUCUUUAUUUAUGGCUACAUUAUGUAUAGAAGUUACAAUCCAUAAAUCUAAUCAUGUAGUAGAGAAACCGUUUCAUAGGUUUCUUCAUAUUCUUGUAGUAGUGGGUGUUUAAUAGGAUUAAUGUACCUUUAAUCUUGUAGUACCUAUAUAUAGAUGUACAUUGACACCCUUUGUAAGGACUUUUGUAUUAGUUGGAAUAAUAAGAAUAUCACUCUCCAUUUCUCUACAUCUUUCUCUAAUAUCUUCAUUUAUACUAUAGUAGUUUAUUAGUUUUACAAUACAUUUGCCAUACAAAUUACAAUCCAUUAACUCAAUGGAAAACAUGACCAUUGGAAGUUACGACAACCUAUCCCACACAUUGCAUUAGUAAGCCAACUUGCAACUUGUGUCUCCGGUGACAUAAUAUAAUUGCUGAAAAGACCAAUUAAUUCUUGUUGUUUUCAAGAACGGGUCAUCUUUAAUUCGUCUUUAAUCACAAUGCCGAAAGAGCAAGCACUAAUAUUAAGUUGAGCAAUGUUACUUUUUUAAGAAAUAAAUUAACAUAGUUUUUACACGGCUAACUACAUAUUUGUUUGAUUCUUGUCAUAUGUAAAUUAGAAAUCAAGUGCUUCAGUAAAAAAGUAGCUACCUCGGCUUUUUAUCCUACUUUGGAAAAUUACUCAAAUUUACCAAAUUUGAUGGUUAAUAUGCUUGAGUUUUAGCAUUUUAUUUAUGACUAUUAUUGUUUUCAGACUUAAAAGUUUUUUAUUUAAAAUACAAACAGGAUAAAAUGCCGCCAAAUAAGGAUAAUCCGGCAUUUUCUUGUCCUCAAUACGUGACCUCAUCUUAUCAAUCAUCAUAUUCGUCCAUAGAAACUGAUGCUCAAAGUUUUGUUUCGCAAUUAGUCAUUUAACUCAUUUAUCAUCGUAUUCAUCCACAGAAAUUGAUGUCAAAGUUACCUUUCGGAUACCAUUAGUAAGAGUACAACAUAUUAUUUGUUUACUUGUCACUAGAGCUUUCUUAAAUUCAUGUUGUAAAUGGAAAAUUUGCAUAAAAAUUUUGUUUUUAUUUGUGGUGUAGGAGAGUUGCUCCCAAAUACAAUCAAACUCCUAAUGACAAAGGGGAUACUGAACCUUUUCCAAGUUUGAGUAUUUCCUUUCUUUAGAUUGAAUUUUGAUGGUUUAUAUAGAUUCGACUCAUUUGUUUUGAUUUUGCCUUCUCCCUUAACAAUCGUAUUAUAUUCAGUCAUUUGUACCUCAAAUGAAAAGUAAAUGUAAUUAUUCUUUUGACAAACAGGUUUGUAGAAUUGCUGAGCGAAGUGCAUAUAUCUUUGAAAAAGAAGAUCCAGGGAAUUGCUUGAGAAGAUGCACAAACUAGAAUUUUUGUUCAAAGUUACUAAUGUCUUCAGUACAACGUUUGGUGUUAAUUCUCAAUGUAUUCAAAUUCUAAUGGGAAAAAUUAGACCAUUAAUGAGAUACCAAAAACGAAAAAAAUUCGAAGUCUAAUGCCAUUCAGAUAUAAGUUUUUUUGAUCGAAUGAAUCACCAGGUAGGUUGUAUAAAAGGCUGCCGUUGUUUUGUUUUGAUCAAAGGAAACAUCAAUAGCUAGUUUUAGCUUGUUUUGUGCAAAUUACUAUAAUAUUAAAUAUUAGAGUACUGUUAUGGAAACAUUAAAAAAAUAGUAGUAUUACUAAUUACAAGAGAAGUCUGUGACAUUUAUAGCCAGUUUGGAUAUUUAGCCUAGAAAAGAAAAGAUGGGAAAUGUUAAGUUAUGAAAGAAAAAAAAAAAAAGGAAGAUGAGAUUUUAAUGUUGUUUGAAAAUCUUAGAAGGAAGUUGAAUGAUUUUGGAUAUAUAUAUCAAUAAAAUUUUAUUCAAUAAUUUUGUGAGGAUAAAAUAGAUAAUUUAAAAAAGUUUUAUAAGCUUCCAUCAGUUUUCUUUUGCUUUCCGCCCAUUUUUGGUCAGAAAAAAAAAAUUUGCACUGUAAAUAGCACUUGGCAUCCUUCAAAAUCCGUUUGUUUCUUUUCUUUUCUUUUUCACCUCAAUUGAAAGUCCCAAACGAAAUAAAAUCCACUUUCUGUUCGAUUUCGUUGGAAUCUCAACUCCCAAACUAGUGUUAUGGACCUCUGUGACGAUACUACUGUUCUAACUCAAUAAUACUCGGGACGCCGAAAACAGAAGAAAAAGCAAAAGAAUUGGCAGAAGAAGCAAUGAAAUUGGAGCUGAACACCAAGCAGGAGCUGAAGUAAGGCCCCUCUUCUCAUCUCCUGUGCAGAAAGUUAUGUUCUUUUUUACUCUUCUGUUUUGUUAUUUUUGUGCUUUAUUCGCAUUUUUUAAUGUAAUUUGCAUCUGGGUUUUUGAAAAUUUUCAAUUUAAUUGUUUGGGUUAGUCUGGGUAGUGUGGUGAAUUGAUAAAAUUGCUUCCUUUGUUUAUGUAGGGAGGGAGAAGAGUGCAACAAAAGAAGCCAUGUCAAUUCUUGAAAAGGUAAUGAAUUCUGCUGGUUUUGUUUCUUGUCAGUUCUCGGGAAUAAUGUCAAAAUAAGGAAAUUUUAGACAUAAAGAAAAUUCAUGCUGACUUGAGAAUCAGAACAGUUGAAUUGGUUUACUGAAGUUGGUUUGGUGGGAUUCUUAAUUUCUUGGCAAGGUUGGGAACUUGGGGUUGUUGUAAGUGAAUAAGACCAUAGCGGGCUUGAAUUACCGGUAUAAUGUGUUUGCAGCUGUUAUUGUUUUGGUUUAAUAUGAACAGUAGCAAUGUUAUGGAAUAGAUGUUUGAAUGAUUAAGCAUAAGUAAACAGCAAAUGGAAUGGCGACUAAUAAUAGAUAAAAUUCAUGAAGUUUGGAGAACUGAGUGAGCAAUGCAGAAGGUAGGUGCAGGCAUGUUCUGUUGUUCAAAUGCAUUAGGUAUUAAGGGAGGGGAAUAAACAAACAAACAAAAGUUGUUUUAUGUUUUAAAUGUGGUAAAUGUAUGGAAAUGAAGUGUAAUGCUAAUGGCCUUCAUUUGUGAGAAAAAUGGCAAAAGAAUGCAGUCAACACUGUUUCCAUCCGUUGAACUUAGUUUAGGAAAAACGUUUGUCAAUUUUGGGUUCUAAACUUGAUUACGAUUUCAGUUGGCGGACAAACAGAAUGAUAAGAUGUCAAUUAUCGUGCCAAUAGGUUAUUAACAUCUGAGUCUAGUUGCUGGCUUUAAAUUUUUUUGCAUAUGAUCUUCCACUUCAGCCAUCUAUUUGUAAUUGGUGCAUUGCUAGGUCACAGAUUAAUAUGGUGUAUUCCUUGUUUACAUGUCUUAUUCACCUUGCUUUGCUCACACUCUGUCAUUUGUCACUUGGUUCAAUCAAGUGACUCCGCUUAAGUCUGCUGUGCCUUCUUGAGUAAAUGACAUGUUUCGUCAUCCACAAUGCAACGCUGGUUAAGUUCUUUAUCACCUAUAGCUUUCCAGUGUAUGUAUAUGAAUGAGUUACCAUUUUCUUUGAAUUUGAAGAGGCAUAUUGUUAGGACCGGGCCAGGAAAUAGACAAACUCAAGUUAGCACAAAGUAGGCGGUAUAACCGACCAUAUAAUAGAUAGGCGGUAGAUACCAGCCAUAUAAUAAUUAGGCGGUAAAACCGACCAUAUAAAGACGGAUAACAAAGCAAAUAAAAGACACAGAAGAUUUACGUGGUUCGGUCAAAUUGACCUACGUCCACGGGCGAGGGAGGAGCAAUAUUUCUACUAUGAAGAAGAAAUACAAAAGCCGUAGGAAAGUGGUUCCUAGGCCAAUAGGCACUUACAAAAGAGUUUAGAAAAUAUUCCUAAACUCAAAACAAGAGAGCCUAAAAUAUUUGACUAAAUGGGCUAAAUGACUCAAGAAGCUAAUAGCCCAUAUAACUCUCUUGAGUGGUGCUCUUAAACUUCUCAAAGGCCUUCUCUAUUUAUAGGAAAAAAAAAAAAUUCUGGCCUAACUAUGUAAGUCGACAAAAAAAGGAAAAGGCUAGCAAAAUCAGACUAAAGUGAAUAUGCUUCAGCAUCCCGUGGUCUAGCUACAUAAGUCGACCAAAAAAAAAGGCGUGACUAAAGUGAAUUUGCUUCAACAUCCCGUGACCAGAUGUUUUUCACGGGUUUUCCCUACCGGGAGUCUCAGCCCGGUAGUAUGGUAAGUUAAAAAAAAAUUCAACUUUGUAAUCUAGCCGUUCAUUUGAAUGGCUAGAUUUCCACCGAGGGUCUAUAUAAACAAACCAAGCAGCAAACUUCACCCCGCACCAUCUCAUUUCCUGAUUUCUGACUCUCCCAUCUCUAUCUCCCUUUCAAUAAAUUCACUUCACUGACCGAUAGAAUUGGCCAAAGUUCCGCCAGAUUCAGGAGUGCCUGAUUCUGCGGGGAUGCUGAAGCAAAUUCACUUUAGUCACAUUCUGCUAGCCUUUUUUUUUUUUUGUCGACUUAUGUAGUUAGGCCAUGGGAUGCUGAAGCAUAUUCACUUGAGUCAGAUUCCGCCAACCUUUUCCUUUUUGUCGACUUAUGUAGCUAGACCAAGUUUCUUUUUUUUUUUAACUUUUUGUAGGUGGGAGCCCGCCUGACAGCCAGUCAAAGAAAAACUUUUGACUCUCUGCCGGGCUUUUCUUUUACUGGCCUAAAAAAAAAGAAAUUGUGUCAGUGCCGGGCUGAUAGAGCCGGCAGCCAGUCAAAAGUUUUUCUUUGACUGGCUGUCGGGCGGGCUCUAAGUGUGCGACAUAAGACUCUAAGUUUGAUACCACACUCCUGGCAGCCAGCCAAUAGUUUGAUAUCACAUUCCUGUUAGAACUCUUAAGUGUACGACUUUUCAUUUUUUUGCCAAUAUUCUAAGUAAUUAGCCCAUUUUUCAUUUCCUGUCAGGCUACGGACUCCAUUUAUGUACCGGAUUGGAGAAUUGAUUCAGAAAUUUGGGGGAAGAAGAUUUCAGAGAGAAAGAGAAAAGAGAUGAAGGAGAGAGCGAGGGAAAAUAGAGAGAGAAAGUAGGAGGAAAAUAAUGAAAAUUCUGUUAAAUCUGUUGGAUGCUUUUCUGGCCAAUCAAGAGCCUACAAAUAGGACAGCCAACCGACUCAAUUAAUUCUUGUAACUGAAUCUGUUAAUGCUUCCUACGGCGUCGUUCCUUUUAAUUCCAGCUAUGCGACGUCGUCACACUUAUUCUGCCCUAUCCGACCUAAUUUGCACAAUUGAAUGAAAACGGUAUCGUUUGGUACAAUUUGGGCGAAAUAUUAAUUCCCUGACAUUGCUGCCCCCUUUAAACAGUCUUGUCCUCAAGACUGGAACUGAGGAAACUGAGUUUGGAUGAAGUCUUGAUCUUCCACGAAGCCUCAUCUUCACUUAACUGACACUAUUUGAUCAAGUACUGAAUCACAGUUCGGCCCUUUCUCAUGAUCACCCCUGCUUAAAAUGCGCUCUGGAAUCAGUGCACACUGAUCAUCUAAGUCAGGUUCAGGCAAAGUAGCUGCAAAGGAAUGCAGUGGCCCUAACUUCUUUUUGAGCAACGAAACAUGAAACACUGGAUGAAUGCGCGCCCCUGCAGGUAAUUUGAGACGAUAAGCAACUGAUCCAACCUUCGCUUCAAUCUGGCAGAGAGUUUGAGACACCUUCUUAUAGCAACUGUCUGCUGCCUAUAAGGCUGCAGUUUUAGGAAUACCCAAUCACCCAUUUCGAAAGUCCUUUCCGUGCGUUUCUGAUCUGCGAAAUGUUUCAUCUUUGCUGAGCUUUUGCUAAGUGGUCUUUAAUGCUACUGGAAAUUCGCAGCCUUUCCUGGAGAAGUUGUGAGGCUGCUGGUAUAAUGGUAUCAUGGUGGGGACCUAAGGGUAAAGGGAUAGGUUUGUAACCAUACAAAGCUUCAAAAGGAGUCAUUUGUAGGCUGGAGUGAUAAGAGGAAUUGUACCACCAUUCUGCUAGAGGUAGCCACUUGUGCCAGUUGUGGGGAAAUUCCCCAGACAUGCACCUCAAGUAAUUCUCUACACAUUGAUUAAGUCUCUCGCUUUGUCCAUCUGAUUGCGGAUGAUAAGCAGAACUGUAUCUUAAUUCUGUCCCUGCUAGUUUGAACAAUUCUUGCCAGAAGGCACUAGUGAAAAUUCUGUCUCUGUCAGUUAUAAUAAUUUAGGUAGGCCAUGCAGUCUAAAAAUAUUGUCAAGAAGAGUUGAGCCACCUGCUUGGCAGUAAAGGGAUGAUGUAAGGCCAGGAAUGACCCACCUUGGAUAGCCUAAUGAUCACCACCACCACUGUAUCAUAUCCCUGAGAUGGUGGUAGACUCUCUAUGAAGUCCAUAGUGAUGUGAGUCCAAGCCAUUCGAGGAACAGGUAAUGGUUGUAGCAGUCCAGGGGAGGAAACAUGCUCUGACUUAAAUCUCUGACAUAUGUCACAUUCUUGAAUAUACCUUACGACCUCUUGCUUCAUGUUAGGCCAGUAGAACAAACUCUUCAAUCUCUGCCAGCACCCUCUUUGUCCAGAAUGCCCCCCAAGUGCAGAAUCAUGCAGAGUUUGAAUCAAUUUGCCUCUCAAUCCAUUGCUGGAUCCCACAUAAAGUCUGCCCCCGUACUUUAAUAGUCCAUUGUUCCAUUCAUACUGGGGUUGAGCAGCCUGAUCUAGCAAUAGUUGGGAAAUGAUGCUCUGGCACUGAGAAUCAGAGUUAUAACUCUCCUGAAGUUCCUUUAUCCAUAAUGGUUUAGCGGUAGUGAUGGCCAAACAGGAUCCUUGUUGUCCUGUCUGAUCUGUGUUCCUUGCAUGCAAUUUGGACAGUACAUCAGCUACUCUAUUUUCAGCUCCUUUUUUGUACUAAAUCUCAUAAUCCAGUCCCAAUAAUUUGGCCAACCACUUAUGUUGCAGGGUAGUGGUGAGUUUCUGUCUAGCAGGUACUUCAGGGACUGAUGAUCUGUCUUAAUAAUGAAAUGAUACCCUAUCAAGUAAUGUCUCCACUUGGUCAUUGCUAUCACUAAUGCCAAUAGCUCUUUUUCAUAAGCUGACAGUCCCAAAUUCUUUGGUGAUAAUGCCUUGCUCAGGAAGGCUAUAGGAUGGCCCUCCUGCAUCAAGACUGCUCCAAUUCCCUCUCCACUAGCAUCAGUCUCGAUAGUGAAAACUUUGUGAAAAUCUGGCGGUGUGAGCACAGGAGCCUUACACAUGAUGCAUUUCAAUGACUUAAAAGCCUCUUUUGCUUCACUGUUCCAAGCAAAUUUAUCCUUCUUAAGUAGUUCUGUGAGUGGUUUGCAGAUGAUCCCAUAGUGUUGAAUGAAUCUCCUGUAAUAUCCAGUCAAACCCAAAAAAUCCCUCAGAUAUUUCACUGUCUUAGGCAUGGGCCAGUUCAUGAUACUCUCAAUCUUAGCUUGAUCCAUGUAAACCUCAUUUUCAGUUAUAGUAUGGCCCAGAUAAUCUAUCUUUUCCUGUGCAAAGGAGCAUUUGGAUCUCUUGGCAAAAAGCUGGUGCUGUCUCAGGAUAGAUAGCACUAUUUUCAGGUGAUCUAAAUGCAACUCCAAUGUGGGACUGUAAAUCAAGAUAUUGUCAAAGAAUACCAAGACAAAUUUCCUUAAGUAAGGUUGAAAUAUCUGAUUCAUAAGGGAUUGAAAUGUUGCAGGUGCAAUGGUGAGGCCGAAUGGCAUUACUAAGAACUCAUAAUGACCACAGUGAGUUUGAAAAGCAGUUUUAUGAGCAUCCUUGGGUUUGACCCUAAUCUGUGAUAAUCAGAGGUGAGAUCCAGUUUGGUUUUGUACUUUGACCCUGCCAACUCAUUGAUCAGCUCAUCUACAUUUGGUAUAGGAUACCUGUCCUUAAUAGUCAUCUCAUUCAAACGCCUAUAAUCCACACAGAAACGCCAUGUUCCUUCUUUCUUUUUAACCAGUAAUACUAGUGAUGCAAAGGGCUAUUGCUAUGGAUAAUGAUCCCAUGCUGCAGCAUCUCACUAACUUGUUUCUCUAUUUCGCCUUUUUGGGAGUGAGAAUAUCUGUAAGGUUUCAUUUUAAAAGCUUGGAGUUAGGCUUUAAGGGAAUCUCAUGGUCUACUGUUCUUGUGGGGGGCAACUCAGUGGGGGUCUGGAAUACAUCAUCAAAUUCUUCAAUGAUCUGCUGUACCUCAGCAGGCAUAGCAAAUUCCUCAGAUAACUUUUGUUGUCCCAGCUAAGCACAUCUGUUUCUUAUACUCAAUGAAAUGUCUCAGGUCACUACCUCUGAUCAGAUCCAAGUCACAAUCUUCUGCCUCCUCUCAGUUGCACUACUUUCCCUUGGUUAUGCAGGAGAUAGUCAACUGAUAGAAGUCAAAUGUAAUAGGGCUGAAGUGAGUCAUCCAGUCUACCCCCAGUAUAAUAUCCCACCCACUCAGGUCCAUAACUUUGAGAUUAAAGCAGAACUUAUGCUGGCCAACUUCCCAGGAAGCUUUGGGGCAGAUGGCCUUGCUAGUCACACAGGCUCCAUUGCCUACAAUCACAGAAAAUGGUUCCACCAAUUGGUAUGGUUUGUCAAAUGUAAUCACCUUCUCGUGCUGAUAUAACUGUCAGAACUCCCAGUAUCCACUAAAAUGAGCAUUUCUUCUCCAUCCAUCUUCCCUACCAAUGUUAUUGUCUUCCUCUUCAUGGCUUCUGACAAUGCAUACAAAGACAUUUCCAUGAUUUGACCUGGAUUACCAGUGGAUUCAUCUUGCUCCCUACAGCAUCUUCAAACUCAGGUUCCUCUUCAUCCUCAGUCACCAGAAGGUUUAAAUGACCAGCUUUACACUGAUGCCCUUGUCCGAACUUCUCUCCACACUUGAAACAAAGUCCUUUAUCCCUUCUAUAUUGUAACUCUUGUGCUAAGAUUCUCCUAGACUCAGAUCCAGGAGUGGGAACUGUGCUUCCUUUGAAAGGAGUGUUCCCGAAGCUACUGGUAGAGGGCACUCUGUAGUGAAAAUUGUGGUUCUGGUGCUGAGAAGAAUUCCUGGCAAUGCCCAACCUGUCUUCGUGCAUAAUCUUUCCUCCCUCUUUGAAGGUCCUGGUUUGUAACCUUAAUGCCUCUUCUUAAGGGCAGCCAAUUCAAAGGCUUCUGACAGAGUGGCAAGUUUCAGCAUCCGUAUCAUAGUUUUGAUUUCUUCCUUAAGCCCACUGAUGAAGCUAGACACAAAAUAUUCCUCAUCUAGGUGCUGAUUCCUAAUUAUCAUGAGAGUCUUAAGUUCCUCAAACUUUUCCUUGUAUUCCUCUACUUUGCUAGAUUGCCUCAGCUUAUUGAAUUCCUCCACUACACCCUCCCAUUUCUACUAUCAAACCUCUUAUACAGCAGAUCCUCAAAAGUUCUCCAAGUUAUUCCUGGUCGUCCAAUUUAAUUCCCUGAAACCAGUUAUCAGCCCUCCCUUCCAGAUACAUUUCUAUUACUUCUACUUUCUGAUCCUCAGGGAUCUGGUAACUCAGGCAGUAUUUAUUACAUUUUCGAAUCCAUUCUCUAGGGUUCUCACCAGCAAACAUGGGUAAAUCAAUUCUAGGAGGAUUUGGUAUUGAGAUCUUACUUGUUUCCUUCCUGACGGUCUUGUUGAAGUCAGUUCCUACGGCAGCCUCUGAUUUAGUGGAGGCGUUGGUAACAGAGGAGCCUGCUCCAUUCUUGUUCUGUCCUCCUCAGAAAUAGCCUUAUCUUUAUUAAUCAUUGCUCUCAUGAAGGCAUUGAACUCUUGCAUCAUCUCCGCUAGCAAGCCUUCCAUCCUCUUGUUGUUUUCUUCUAGCUCCGUACGGAACUCAGUCUGUAGUUGCUGCUGUUGCGACUGCGAAGACUGUAGACUUUCUACUACUAGUUGGAUUCUGAUUUCUUGCUUUCUGAUUUGCUCAUCUAGUGUCUUGAACCUGGUGCUUUCCGCCAUAGCCUCCUGAUGUUGUCCAAGAAUCCUGCCUACUCUGAUACUAAUUGUUAGGCUACGGACUCCAUUUAUGUACCGGAUUGGAGAAUUGAUUCAGAAAUUUGGGGGAAGAAGAUUUUAGAGAGAAAGAGAAAAGAGAUGAAGGAGAGAGCGAGGGAAAAAUAGAGAGAGAAAGUAGGAGGAAGAUAAUGAAAAUUCUGUUAAAUCUGUUGGAUGCUUUUUUGGCCAAUCAAGAGCCUACAAAUAGGACAACCAACCGACUCAAUUAAUUCUUGUAACUGAAUCUGUUAAUGCUUCCUACGACGUCGUUCCUUUUAAUUCCCAGCUAUGCGACGUCGUCACACUUAUUCUGCCCUAUCCAACCUAAUUUGCACAAUUGGAUGAAAACGGUAUCAUUUGGUACAAUUUGGUCGAAAUAUUAAUUCCCUGACAGUCAGGUGCCGGGCUGAUAGAGCCCGGCAGCCAGUCAAAAGUUUUUCUUUGACUGGCUUUGACUGGCUGCCGGGCGGGCUCUAAGUGUGCGACACAAGACUCUAAGUUUGAUACCGCACUCCUGCCAGCCAGCCAAUAGUUUGAUACCACAUUCCUGUCAGAACUCUUAAGUGUACGACUUUUCAUUUUUUUGCCAAUAUUCUAAGUAAUUAGCCCAUCUUUUGCAAUUUUUUUUUGGUCGGGAUUCAAAACUCAUUUUCAGUUGUUUUUAUCAGCACAAAACGAAUACACAUGCUCUCAAAUUAUUUUUCAUAUAUCAUUUUCUAGGUGAUGGCAAGCUUAAUCAUGACUUUAAUAGCUUAGUAAUGACAUAUUCUUUUUUAUUUUGCUGAUGAAAUCUUAAUUCCUAAACAAAUAAGUUACAACCUCCGAACAUGUUUCAUGUUGAUCUUUUUAUAUAACAUACAAUCUCAAAAUUUAUAUAUAAAAACAAUGAAAUCCAAAUCAAAUCGCGACUGUGAAGAAACAUCACUCUCAUGAAAGCUGUUGAACAAGGGUGGAGAAACAUCAAGAUCAAAUCUACAAGCACAAGACUUUUGACUCAAAUUCGGAAGUUUAUCAAAAUAGCUACAGAUUUGUUUUCUAUUAGCUUCUUUGUGAAAACACUAGAAUAGAAGUCUUAGUAAUUUGGCCUUAGGCAACUCUUUAGAUAAGAAAUGGUUCACUUCCUGAAAACUCAGGUCUCAAAAGAGCUCAAUCAGAUGAGCAGAAUUAUGCCUGUGUAUCUCAAUAUUUUCUGAAAUUCCGGAUCCUAGGCCAGGACCAAGGAGACGAGGAGUAGAUGAUUUGUCUUACAUUGUCCGGAAUUUAGCACCGUUAUCCAACUUUCUCGACUAUGUAGUUGUAAGUAUCAAGAAAGGAUGCUCGGAGGCAACCAGAUGAUGAUUUCAAGUUGGAAGAAUUCAACCCAAGUACACAAAAGACAGGAUACAAAUUAAGGGCAGAUUUUAUUUCAAUCACAUUCAUGACAAUCCUCAUUUGGAAGAAGAACAAAAUCUAGUAGUACACAAGAAACUGCUGCAAACAUCUGGUAGAGCUAAUCUGAAAGUAUCUAAGCUAAUUUGAUACAAACUGGCUGAGGUACUCAUCAAGUGUGGUGUAUUUAACAUCAGGAUAGAGCUCCGUUGCCUCCAUGCCAAAAGAAGCCUUGAUCUCAAAGUUGGCUAUUUCUCCCUUCACGAAAAAUGUGUAUGCCAAAGACAGGAGCAAUUUUAAUGGCAUUGAAGCCUCUGGGAAAGAUACAAGAAAAGAGAGAAAUUUGAUUAGAACGCGGAAUAGGUCUUAAUAAUAGUAGGUGCUAUUGUAUUAAAAUUAGCAACUUGUGCACUUUUUCUUAUUGUUAGAUGACCUUGAAUUUUCUUAAGAACUUCGUCCCCUGGAACGUAGAUCUUUUCGAGGGUCUUGCCAAUUUUCUUUUCCCACAAUGAUACUGUUUCGUUGUAGGACAAAGUGUUGGCAGGGGGUGUAACGUACACACUCUUGUUCAGAGUCCUUAGGUCAUCUGCUGCUUUGAUGGUGUAUGUAGCAAUGUCUUCUUCCUUGGUGGAAACAAAUGCAACGAAACAUAAAAUUAAGAACGAUGAACUCUAAAACAUGAUACUAAACCAACCAAGAAAUGCAGCAGACAAGCUCCUUUCGGACACCUUUUGGAUUUGCAUCACUAAGAAUGACAAUUUUGUCUUUGGGAGGACUUGCAGAGCUAGAGUCUCCAAAGUUGUUGAGGAUAUAAUUCAAGUAACCAGCAAAUCCGUUAGAUACUAAGUAAGUGUAAGGUAUCCCUUCUGCCUCAAUAGCUCUGCGGAUCUCAACCUUGGUCCUGCAUAAGCUAGCAGCAGGCUCAAUAGCAUGCACACGAUCCACAUCAACCCCAAAUUCAGAAGGUAAAAAUCUCUGAAACCAAAUACUGCUCCUUCUUUAAUAUGGAAGUCACAACUCACAAAGGGAUAAACGCAAAAAAGAAAAAUCAAGAAAGAAUUUGUAACCCUGUAUUGUGCUUACUUUGAUGUUUCCAGCUUCUUUAAUUGCUGCAAUAAUCUUAACUUGAUGAGCUACCAGAUCUCCCCCGACUGCAGAGAUCACUAUGUCAACUUGUUUGAUUGCAUUUACCAACUGCUGAUGAUUGUGUAGAUCUCCCUGUUCAGUCCAUACAUACAUGUAGUAGAUAAUCACACCAUACCACAAUAACAAUAACAAUAAUAUCAUUAUCCUUGUCCCUAUGCCUAUAACACAAUCAUGGCCAUAUCCAAUCAACAAUUAGCAUGCUUAAAUUAUAAGGUUAAAUUUAGAUCCUACCUUGGUCAUGAAAUUGUAGUCAAUAGUAAUCUUUAGUCGCAGUUUAACCACCUGCAGUCACAAACAUCGGAUUUUGGAAAUAUAGUUAGAAGAUGUAAAAAGUUUCCUAUGGAUAUUCAUAUGUAUGUAUCAAGUAUUCCAUAAUGAAAUUUCCAUAUUCACACAAUAGCUAUUGAGAAAAUAUUGCAGUAGAAAACUCACAAUUUUUAUUAUAUUAGCUAAACAUCCAAAACUCCAGAAAAAGAGAAAGUAAAUGAGCAUACCUGUCUAAACACCCACAAAAAAAAUUUGAGCACAUGCACUUGAAGCAACAUUCUUCAGUAUUAAAAGCCUCAAUUAUUAUAGUUGAAGAGCACUACAAUUAUACUUGUAAUGAAUUGAAAAUAUGAACCAAAAUCAAUCAUGUUCAUUAUUAAGUGUUUCCUGAACCAAUUAUCUUUAGCAUUACGACCCUCUAUUAUUGUAGUUAUAAAAGUUAUCCAACAAUUAUAAAAGAAGAUGGAGAGUAUUGCAAUUACAUUUGUAAGUGGUUGAAACACCACUUAAAUGCUUGAUAAUCAUGUGGAAUAUAAGCCAAUUGUAAAUGGGAGGACACAAUAGUCAAACCCAACUCAACUAUACAUUAUAAUGUUGCACGUUUGGCUUAAUCACUUGUAUUUGAUUUUUUUCCUACCUAAAUUAUCUCUAAAGAUAAUAGAUGAAAAUUUUUCAACAAUCACUUACAAACUCCUUUUUAUAUAUAUAGGAAACAUUACAAUGUGCUAGGAAAAAAUGAAAAGAACAACAUUAUUUUCUUUUUAUAUAUUCAUCGUAUACUGGUAGAAGCUGUACUCAUAGGCAUUUGGUACAACGAAUCCGGACAAUGCAAUUAAUAUAAUUGAUAGGGAAAAUCGUUGAAAUCGUUACUCACAUUUUUGUAAAAUGAUUUUUUUCCGUCUCGCAUUCUAAAAAAUUGAUUUUACGUCUUUUAUAAAUUCAUAUCAGUUAAAUUUUGUCCCUACCUAGGUUUCCAACUAAUUUUUUCCGGAAUUCACCACGUGCCCUGCAUGUGAUCAUGUUUGAGGGAAAAAUUGUCAAAUCAUAUUUCACAUAAUCUGAUUGAUAGUCCUUCACAUUUAAUAAAAUGAAUUUUUUCAUCCCUUACAUUUCACAAAAUCACUAAGAAAAAUCCUCGAUGACAAUUAAAAUGUAGCAAUAAUUGUUAGGAGGAUUAAAAAGUAGAAGCCAUGAGGACACCUUACUCAAUCAAACCAUAGCUCGGGCAAUGUCAUUCCAUCAAUUUUGGUUUAUCAUCUUUUAAUUCCAUGAAAUUUGUUUUUUUUUUACACUUGUAAUGUUAUUAUUUAUUCAUUAUACUUUGAUUUCAUAAAAUCAAAAUAGCUAAUCUUAGUUGAUCAUAAUUCAGACAAGUUUGGAGCACGUGCACUUUCUAAAUAAGAAUAAAUAUCCUGUUAUGCUUUGAAUGACAUAGAUGAAAUUUUGGUUUGCUAAGUUGGAAAAAAAGGUAUCUCUCACAGACAAUCCAACAAUACAUUCUUUGGUAAUUCUGAAUUCCAUUUUGUGUUGUUCCAAUUAAUUGUCUCUAAAAAUUAUAGCUAUGAGGCUAAAUAAAACCAGCGGCAGAGGAGAAAUUGGCAUGGAAAGACAAUCUUGAGAUUGUCAUGAGAAUGACAAUCAAAUUCUUACAAUCUUGAAGUGUACGAAUUUGGCACAUUUAAAUUGCCAACGAAAAAUGGAUAAAUCAUGGCAAAAUUUGAUACAAGAACAUGAUCGUCUACAUGAAACCCUUCACUUUCUUCCUUCUUUUUUUGCUUUGGGUUUUGUUUUGUUUUCUAUAUUUCUCUUUUCAAGUCGGUGGUCUUAUUAUUAUUUUUUAUAUGUUUCUUGAUGCAACUUUUUGUGUGAUAGAGAAAAGUGUUAUAAUUUCCUUUGAGUAAGGUGACUGUAAUUUCACUUCAUUAGAAAGCAAUAAGUUGUAAAUAAGUUUAAACAGUUUUAUGAUUAUUUUGCAUGUUUUUCUAUUGACAUAUCCCUUUUUUUUUUUGAAAAAUUAUUUCAUUUGCAAAUCCACAAUUGAGAAACUAGCUGAAGAAUAGAAUCAUAUGUAUUCUAUAGUCAAGCAUUUGAGAAAAAUAUGCAUACAAACCGAGAAUUUAGAAGGAAAAAAAAUGCAACUGAACCUUCAAGUUUGGACUUUGAAAAGGUGUUAUCGAAGCUUCACUAAUUUCAUUAACUUCAUCUUUUAUGCUUCGUACACUUCAGUAUUAACUUAAUGAAGACUGCCUUCUUAAUAAAGACCUGCUCUAUUUCGUUCAUUCCAAGUCCUACAUUAGGGUUUUUCGAACGUCACGUAGCAUCCACCUAACCUACCAUAUAUAUAUAUAUAUAUAUACUAACAAUUAUUAUUCUCUUUUAUAUUUAUAUAAUUUUUCUAUUUAAUCUUACAUAUUACCCCUUAUAUUAAUAUCUUAUCAUAUCUUAACGAGUACACUAUGAGCAUCCGUUAGACAGAUCAAUAUUUAAAUAUUUGCUUGGUACUCGUAGGUCAUCUAUGUCACUACUUGUAGAUCAUCGUAGAUAAUCUAUAUCACUACUUGUAGAUCAUUUGUAUUACCGUAUGAGUUAUAAGACUUCUAUUGGUUAUCUUUGGCCAAUAUAAAGAGGCUAAGCCUAUCCUAUCCCUGCAAGCCUCCCUUUACUCACCCCAGUUCUUUAACCCAAAUUUAAUGGUUAAAGUUACUCAAUUAUAUGAUUUUUCAUGAUCUUUAAACUCAGUUACAUGAUUUUCAUUAUUGGCUAAUAUAGUACAAAAGAAAAGUAGUACAAGAAUUAGUACUACUUGACUCCCCCUUCUUGGACCACACUUGCAAAAGAAAGAAGAAACAAAAAGUGGAUUGACCCAAAAACAAAGAAGUAAUUUAUAAGAUAUGCGAGAUGUAUGUGUAUCAAUCCCAAUCAUAUAUUGAACUUAAAAAUAGAGGUUUAAUUUUUUGUGCUUAAAUCGUUUGAUGUACGAGAUGAAUGUAGUGUUUCAAUUUAUUAUUUAUUUACUACUCUCUUUUUGACUUAUCAAAACUUGAGAGACCAUCCCACAUUUAGGACAAGAACACCUUACUAGUAGUAGUGACUAAUUGUUUCUUUCUGGCAAAAAAGUUUGGGUUUCAAAUCUUGGAGAGGAAAAUUUCUAAAAUGAAAAUGAAGAAAAUUAACAGCCGAAGCCGAUAAAAUGACUAGAUCCAAAACCUGCAUUAAAUUCAAUGGAAAAAACUCUAAAAACUCUUCUCUGGCUCGUCCCUAACUAUUAUAAGUAAACUGUUCCAACAGCGCAUUAUAUAGGACUUGGAAUAAAUACCUGCUCUAUGUUUGAUGGAAGUAACUUUGAAAAGAAAAUCUAAAUCUAUUUUUUUUUUUUGGUAAAUAUCUAAAUCUAUAUAUGUACACAUACACGUUUUUGAGGAAUUGAUAUUUCACGAUAUGAUUUGAUACAAAUAUGACAAGCAGUAGAAGGGGAAAAGCAAACGAGAACUCAACGAAACACAAGGAAAAGCGACGUCGUACUUUGAAGAGAUGAGUUAACUGGAUACCAGUUAGCAUUGAGAACGGCAAGAGUUGUCUUUCAGCUUCUCUUCUCUUAGAGGAACUUGGGUUCCACCGACCGUUAAUCCAGUGACCAGUGAAAACUUGAGGGAUAUGAGAAAUUGUCUGAUAAUCUUCACUUUGUUUAUCCAAAUUCUGUACUUUGUGCAUCAGCUCAUCAGACAUAUCAAGGAACCCAAGAAAUUGAAGUCCGGUCAAGUUUUGGGUGCCUGCAGGCAACUCCUGCAUCAGUUUACAACCAACUAAUUGUAGACUUCUGAGACUAGGCACUGAUUCCUCUUCCACUCUCACCCAUUUCAGUCUUUUCAAUUGUGCAAGCUCUAAGCACUGGAGUUUUUGAAAUCCUCCAACCUUGAAACAUAAUGUCUCCCCUUCAUAAGCACCAUAGAGACUAAGUGAUACCAGAUUGGGCAAAUGUUCGAGGGAGCCUAUUACAUUCUCAUCUUCUCUCAACCUACUGUUGAACAACCGUAAGGUUCUCAAGGAUUGAAGUGAUGUCACCCAUUGCGGCACUCUCUCUAAACGCCCAUUCAAUAACAGAGAUGUGAGGAAUUCAAGUUUUGGAGAGACGGAAUGUUGGAGAUCAAGGGUCUCAUCUUCUUCAAUACAGGAGAUGAUCAAAUCUCGAAGGUUGGUCAGCCUCAAGAGGGAGGAGAGCAACUCCUUUCCAUCUUCUCUUCUGAGCCCUGUGAUGUCUAAUCGCCGCAAUUGCGUUAGGCUUCCAAUCUCUCUUACUAUUUUAUCACUAUCUGCUUCUAUACCAUACAGCUCCUCCAAACAAAUAAGCUUUCCAAUUCCAAGUGGACAUUUACAGCCCCAAACUGCAUAGUCAUUUGAAUAAUCUCCCCAUCCGCCAAACCUAAGAAAACGGAGUUUUCUUAGCUUUAGAACUUCCACAGGCAACUUUGUUACAUUGGUCCGUCUCAGAUUUAUAGCUUCAAGGUUUUGAAGCUUCCCAAUAGAUUUUGGAAUAAUUUUAACUCCAGUUCUUGCAAAACUAAGAUACCUGAGAUGAAAUAGUUUGAAGACUUGCUUUGGGAUGUUGUCCAAUUUAGCUCCAUCCAAAUCCAACGCCUUCAGCAACUUGGGAUCACCACUUAAGAACUUGGAUAAAAAUGUAGUUGUGAGCAUGGUUCAAAGUCACGGUCGCGGUUGUGGUCGCGGCCGGAACGUUCCACAUCGGUCUCGGCAUAUCGGUCGCGGUCUCGGUGAGACGCAAAUUUUAAAGUAUUUAAUAUUCUAAAAAUUGUUAAUAAUAUAAAAAAGUAUGCUAAAUAAAAAUAAUUAAAAAAUAGUAAAAGAAACGGCCAAGUCAAUCCGUCACGGUGUGACUCGGCUGAUUUCUCGUCUUGACUCGGGAUAACUCGGAGUGACUCGGUGUGACUCGCUGAGUCAAUCCGUCACGGUGAUGACUCGACCGAUUUCUCGGCGAGUCAAGUAUUUCGGUAUCGUUUCGUCACGAUAUCGUAUCGGUAGGGGUCGAGACGGUGACGACUCGGCCGAGUCGUCUCGGUCUCGGCCGAGACUUCGAACCAUUGUGAGAGGAUCUUUAUACCCAAAUAUUACCACAGAUCGAAGACACUUCAAGCUACUAAAUUCUUGUGGAUUAUCAGUGAAGUUGUGGAUUGCUAGGUGUCGAACUUUUUCAGGCCAUCUUGUGUAAUACCUGGUGGCUACAGUCGUGAAGUCCUGCUCUUUGGAUUUUGAAACUAGGAUUUCACGCAGAAAAUCGUGGAGACCACAUUUAUUCAAUCUGCCAUCGUUCAAUGUGGAUUUAACUUGGAUUAAGCUUCUGUUGAUGAGUUCUUUCAUAUAACUCAUAGCAAUAUCGGUGGAUGUUAUUCUUUCUCUCUCUUCUACAAAUUCUAGUGCAAUCCACUUCAGAAGUAUAGAUACCACAUCAAUUGGAUAAUCUUCAGGGUAGAUGCUUAGAUACAAUAGGCAGCUUUUAAGAUAGUGAGGCAAAUCAUUAUAGCUAAGUAAGAGUACCCUUUUGAUUCUGUCAAGCUUACCACUGCCAUCUGCCUCGCCACCAAAACCAUGAAGAAUCAUCUCCCAUUCAUGUGUCUUUUCGUUGUCCUUCAGAGCCAAAACACCACCUAUUGCAACAAUUGCAAGCGGUAGGCCCUCACAUUUUUUCAGUAUUUUUUUAGCAACUUCUUCUAGAUUUGGAGGACAGUUAUUGCUCUGAAAUGUUCUAUUGCAAAACAGAGUCCAAGACUCUUUAUCAGAAAGAGGCUCCAUCUUAUAGACGAAGUCAAGUGAUCCUAAACAGGACGCAGAAGCUACAUCGGCUAUUCGUGUUGUCAAUACAACACGACUAGCAGUAGUGCAGUCAGGCAAUACACAUUUGAUAGCUUCCCAGGCAUCUAUACUCCACACAUCAUCAAGGACAAGGAUGUACCUUCUUUCUCGGAGGAAGUCUCUGACAAAUUCACUCAGCAUAAUAUCAUCCAUGGAUUCCACUCGGCGAGGGACCGGCCGUCUGAUUUCAUUGUACAACUAUUGGAUCAGGUUCUUGAUGAUGUCACUGAAUUGAAAAGUUUGAGAAACAGUUAUCCAGGCAUGGCUCUGAAAUUGUUUCUUCACUGCAGCGUCAUCGUAGACUUUUUUCACCAGGGUAGUCUUGCCGAGUCCCCCCAUUCCCUUAACCGAAACUACUUUCAAUUGGGAAUGGUCAUCAAGGAUUUUUGAGAUGAGCUCUGCUUUUGGCUUAUCAAUCCCAACAAGUUGAGCUUCUUCAAUGAAGAGUGAUUGAGCACGAGUGUCAAAAUCUGCAUUCGCCUGUCGGGAAGAGCUGAAGCCUCUCUCUUGAGUACCAUAUUGGGACAGGUACCUCCGAUGCCUUUCUGAAAUCUCUCCAAAUCUGGCCUUGAUCUCUUUUAUCUCCAAAGAAAUUUGAUGGCGACCUUUCAGAUUCUUUAUUGAGUUAUAGAUCUUUCCAACCUUGCCACGGAAUCCAUCCUUGUAGCGACGAGCAAAGCGGAAGGUAAAAUCAUCAAGAACAUCCUCUGUAUCAUAAGCAACUUCUCGAACCUGCUUUAGCCAUGCUUGGAGUUGAGAAUCAUUGUCUUCCUUUGCUUCAGCUUCUCUGAGGAAAGCCUUCAUGCUCUCGAGUUCAUCUUUGAUGAAUUGAACAUCUGAUUUAAGCCCCCCAAAAGUGUGAUCUCUUGGGAAAGCAAGGUUGAGAGCUGUUCAAUCAAAAUACCUACGACACUCUGCCAUGAUGCUCAAUCAAAUUUCUCAAGAGUCGGUUUUCUUAUCAAGGAAAUUUUGAGAGUUGUUCCAAAAUUCAGAAAAUAUGCUGUUUUUCUUUUUUUCUUUUCUUUCUUUUGUAGUACACAGGAUGUGGUUUAUAUGAGCAAUCAAAUUCUAGAAUUUUAUGAAUUUGACAGAGUAGCUAUUCAAGAAUGAUAUGAAUUUGGGAACAUAUGCAUUUUUUUUUGGUCGUAUAGACGAUGAGUUUUACUUGGCACUUUGAUAGUACAAUUAUUGUCGAAAGCUCGCAAGCUACAAUUAAUGAAAAAUGCAGUUUUUUGUUUUCUUUGUAUAUUUUUUCAAUAUUGGUCAUUGAUCAAUUAUGUACUAACCAAUAAGAAUAAUCUUUGUACUAACCAAUUCCUAAUAUAACAAGAGAAAUAAAUAAUUCACGGAUUUUUUUAACCAACCAUUGAAGGUCUUGGAUUCUUAUCCUAAGCCGACAGGCCAAGAGUUCACAGUGGCAAAUGGUCAAUGUAAAAAGGAAUGGUUGUGAUGCUGUAUCUUCCAAUAAUGCAAGGGACAAUGAAAUAGUCUCCAUGGUCCAUGGUCAAAAGUUUCCCAUUAAUUUUUGCAAGUGGAUUUCCCUGUACAAGCAUAUUGAUCGUCAAUCGGACGACUCAGUCAAUGGAUGCUCUCUGACGGGUAUUUUACAUACAUGCAAGCUAAAAAAUACCGAAUUACACCCGUUCACUGCAAGUAUACAGAUCAACUAGUAGUUUAGGGUAUAUAUCGGGUCGAUCCCAUAAGGAAGAGUGAACAAUUACCGGUAUUACUAAAGCUUCUCUAUUAUUUAGACACCUUACUCAAUCAAACCAUAGCUCGGGCAAUGUCAUUCCAUCAAUUUUGGUUUAUCAUCUUUUAAUUCCAUGAAAUUUGCUUUUUUUUUUAAUUGUAAUGUUAUUAUUUAUUCAUUAUACUUUGAUUUCAUAAAAUCAAAAUAGCUAAUCUUAGUUGAUCAUAAUUCAGACAAGUUUGGAGCACGUGCACUUUCUAAAUAAGAAUAAAUAUCCAUUUAUGCUUUGCAUGACAUAGAUGAAAUUUUGGUUUACUAAGUUGGGAAAAAAAAGGUAUCUCUCACAGACAAUCCAACAAUACAUUCUUGGGUAAUUUAGAAUUCCAUUUUGUGUUGUUCCAAUUAAUUGUCUCUAAAAAUUAUAUCUAUGAGGCUAAAUAAAACCAGCGGCAGAGGAGAAAUUUGGCAUGGAAUGACAAUCUUGAGAUUGUCAUGAGAAUGACAAUCAAAUUCUUACAAUCUUGAAGUGUACGAAUUUGGCACAUUUAAAUUGCCAACGAAAAAUGGAUAAAUCAUGGCAAAAUUUGAUACAAGAACAUGAUCGUCUACAUGAAACCCUUCACUUUCUUCCUUCUUUUUUCGCUUUGGGUUUUGUUUUGUUUUCUAUAUUUCUCUUUUCAAGUCGGUGGUCUUAUUAUUAUUUUUUAAAUAUGUUUCUUGAUUGCAACUUUUUGUGUGAUAGAGAAAAGUGUUAUAAUUUCCUUUGAGUAAGGUGACUGUAAUUUCACUUCAUUAGAAAGCAAUAAGUUGUAAAUAAGUUUAAACAGUUUUAUGAUUAUUUUGCAUGUUUUUCUAUUGACAUAUCCCUUAUUUUUUUUUGAAAAAUUAUUUCAUUUGCAAAUCCACAAUUGAGAAACUAGCUGAAGAAUAGAAUCAUAUGUAUUCUAUAGUCAAGCAUUUGAGAAAAAUAUGCAUACAAACCGAGAAUUUAGAAGGAAAAAAAAUGCAACUGAACCUUCAAGUUUGGACUUUGAAAAGGUGUUAUCGAAGCUUCACUAAUUUCAUUAACUUCAUCUUUUAUGCUUCGUACACUUCAGUAUUAACUUAAUGAAGACUGCCUUCUUAAUAAAGACCUGCUCUAUUUCGUUCAUUCCAAGUCCUACAUUAGGGUUUUUCGAACGUCACGUAGCAUCCACCUAACCUACCAUAUAUAUAUAUAUAUAUAUACUAACAAUUAUUAUUCUCUUUUAUAUUUAUAUAAUUUUUCUAUUUAAUCUUACAUAUUACCCCUUAUAUUAAUAUCUUAUCAUAUCUUAACGAGUACACUAUGAGCAUCCGUUAGACAGAUCAAUAUUUAAAUAUUUGCUUGGUACUCGUAGGUCAUCUAUGUCACUACUUGUAGAUCAUCGUAGAUAAUCUAUAUCACUACUUGUAGAUCAUUUGUAUUACCGUAUGAGUUAUAAGACUUCUAUUGGUUAUCUUUGGCCAAUAUAAAGAGGCUAAGCCUAUCCUAUCCCUGCAAGCCUCCCUUUACUCACCCCAGUUCUUUAACCCAAAUUUAAUGGUUAAAGUUACUCAAUUAUAUGAUUUUUCAUGAUCUUUAAACUCAGUUACAUGAUUUUCAUUAUUGGCUAAUAUAGUACAAAAGAAAAGUAGUACAAGAAUUAGUACUACUUGACUCCCCCUUCUUGGACCACACUUGCAAAAGAAAGAAGAAACAAAAAGUGGAUUGACCCAAAAACAAAGAAGUAAUUUAUAAGAUAUGCGAGAUGUAUGUGUAUCAAUCCCAAUCAUAUAUUGAACUUAAAAAUAGAGGUUUAAUUUUUUGUGCUUAAAUCGUUUGAUGUACGAGAUGAAUGUAGUGUUUCAAUUUAUUAUUUAUUUACUACUCUCUUUUUGACUUAUCAAAACUUGAGAGACCAUCCCACAUUUAGGACAAGAACACCUUACUAGUAGUAGUGACUAAUUGUUUCUUUCUGGCAAAAAAGUUUGGGUUUCAAAUCUUGGAGAGGAAAAUUUCUAAAAUGAAAAUGAAGAAAAUUAACAGCCGAAGCCGAUAAAAUGACUAGAUCCAAAACCUGCAUUAAAUUCAAUGGAAAAAACUCUAAAAACUCUUCUCUGGCUCGUCCCUAACUAUUAUAAGUAAACUGUUCCAACAGCGCAUUAUAUAGGACUUGGAAUAAAUACCUGCUCUAUGUUUGAUGGAAGUAACUUUGAAAAGAAAAUCUAAAUCUAUUUUUUUUUUUUUGGUAAAUAUCUAAAUCUAUAUAUGUACACAUACACGUUUUUGAGGAAUUGAUAUUUCACGAUAUGAUUUGAUACAAAUAUGACAAGCAGUAGAAGGGGAAAAGCAAACGAGAACUCAACGAAACACAAGGAAAAGCGACGUCGUACUUUGAAGAGAUGAGUUAACUGGAUACCAGUUAGCAUUGAGAACGGCAAGAGUUGUCUUUCAGCUUCUCUUCUCUUAGAGGAACUUGGGUUCCCACCGACCGUUAAUCCAGUGACCAGUGAAAACUUGAGGGAUAUGAGAAAUUGUCUGAUAAUCUUCACUUUGUUUAUCCAAAUUCUGUACUUUGUGCAUCAGCUCAUCAGACAUAUCAAGGAACCCAAGAAAUUGAAGUCCGGUCAAGUUUUGGGUGCCUGCAGGCAACUCCUGCAUCAGUUUACAACCAACUAAUUGUAGACUUCUGAGACUAGGCACUGAUUCCUCUUCCACUCUCACCCAUUUCAGUCUUUUCAAUUGUGCAAGCUCUAAGCACUGGAGUUUUUGAAAUCCUCCAACCUUGAAACAUAAUGUCUCCCCUUCAUAAGCACCAUAGAGACUAAGUGAUACCAGAUUGGGCAAAUGUUCGAGGGAGCCUAUUACAUUCUCAUCUUCUCUCAACCUACUGUUGAACAACCGUAAGGUUCUCAAGGAUUGAAGUGAUGUCACCCAUUGCGGCACUCUCUCUAAACGCCCAUUCAAUAACAGAGAUGUGAGGAAUUCAAGUUUUGGAGAGACGGAAUGUUGGAGAUCAAGGGUCUCAUCUUCUUCAAUACAGGAGAUGAUCAAAUCUCGAAGGUUGGUCAGCCUCAAGAGGGAGGAGAGCAACUCCUUUCCAUCUUCUCUUCUGAGCCCUGUGAUGUCUAAUCGCCGCAAUUGCGUUAGGCUUCCAAUCUCUCUUACUAUUUUAUCACUAUCUGCUUCUAUACCAUACAGCUCCUCCAAACAAAUAAGCUUUCCAAUUCCAAGUGGACAUUUACAGCCCCAAACUGCAUAGUCAUUUGAAUAAUCUCCCCAUCCGCCAAACCUAAGAAAACGGAGUUUUCUUAGCUUUAGAACUUCCACAGGCAACUUUGUUACAUUGGUCCGUCUCAGAUUUAUAGCUUCAAGGUUUUGAAGCUUCCCAAUAGAUUUUGGAAUAAUUUUAACUCCAGUUCUUGCAAAACUAAGAUACCUGAGAUGAAAUAGUUUGAAGACUUGCUUUGGGAUGUUGUCCAAUUUAGCUCCAUCCAAAUCCAACGCCUUCAGCAACUUGGGAUCACCACUUAAGAACUUGGAUAAAAAUGUAGUUGUGAGCAUGGUUCAAAGUCACGGUCGCGGUUGUGGUCGCGGCCCGGAACGUUCCACAUCGGUCUCGGCAUAUCGGUCGCGGUCUCGGUGAGACGCAAAUUUUAAAGUAUUUAAUAUUCUAAAAAUUGUUAAUAAUAUAAAAAAGUAUGCUAAAUAAAAAUAAUUAAAAAAUAGUAAAAGAAACGGCCAAGUCAAUCCGUCACGGUGUGACUCGGCUGAUUUCUCGUCUUGACUCGGGAUAACUCGGAGUGACUCGGUGUGACUCGCUGAGUCAAUCCGUCACGGUGAUGACUCGACCGAUUUCUCGGCGAGUCAAGUAUUUCGGUAUCGUUUCGUCACGAUAUCGUAUCGGUAGGGGUCGAGACGGUGACGACUCGGCCGAGUCGUCUCGGUCUCGGCCGAGACUUCGAACCAUUGUGAGAGGAUCUUUAUACCCAAAUAUUACCACAGAUCGAAGACACUUCAAGCUACUAAAUUCUUGUGGAUUAUCAGUGAAGUUGUGGAUUGCUAGGUGUCGAACUUUUUCAGGCCAUCUUGUGUAAUACCUGGUGGCUACAGUCGUGAAGUCCUGCUCUUUGGAUUUUGAAACUAGGAUUUCACGCAGAAAAUCGUGGAGACCACAUUUAUUCAAUCUGCCAUCGUUCAAUGUGGAUUUAACUUGGAUUAAGCUUCUGUUGAUGAGUUCUUUCAUAUAACUCAUAGCAAUAUCGGUGGAUGUUAUUCUUUCUCUCUCUUCUACAAAUUCUAGUGCAAUCCACUUCAGAAGUAUAGAUACCACAUCAAUUGGAUAAUCUUCAGGGUAGAUGCUUAGAUACAAUAGGCAGCUUUUAAGAUAGUGAGGCAAAUCAUUAUAGCUAAGUAAGAGUACCCUUUUGAUUCUGUCAAGCUUACCACUGCCAUCUGCCUCGCCACCAAAACCAUGAAGAAUCAUCUCCCAUUCAUGUGUCUUUUCGUUGUCCUUCAGAGCCAAAACACCACCUAUUGCAACAAUUGCAAGCGGUAGGCCCUCACAUUUUUUCAGUAUUUUUUUAGCAACUUCUUCUAGAUUUGGAGGACAGUUAUUGCUCUGAAAUGUUCUAUUGCAAAACAGAGUCCAAGACUCUUUAUCAGAAAGAGGCUCCAUCUUAUAGACGAAGUCAAGUGAUCCUAAACAGGACGCAGAAGCUACAUCGGCUAUUCGUGUUGUCAAUACAACACGACUAGCAGUAGUGCAGUCAGGCAAUACACAUUUGAUAGCUUCCCAGGCAUCUAUACUCCACACAUCAUCAAGGACAAGGAUGUACCUUCUUUCUCGGAGGAAGUCUCUGACAAAUUCACUCAGCAUAAUAUCAUCCAUGGAUUCCACUCGGCGAGGGACCGGCCGUCUGAUUUCAUUGUACAACUAUUGGAUCAGGUUCUUGAUGAUGUCACUGAAUUGAAAAGUUUGAGAAACAGUUAUCCAGGCAUGGCUCUGAAAUUGUUUCUUCACUGCAGCGUCAUCGUAGACUUUUUUCACCAGGGUAGUCUUGCCGAGUCCCCCCAUUCCCUUAACCGAAACUACUUUCAAUUGGGAAUGGUCAUCAAGGAUUUUUGAGAUGAGCUCUGCUUUUGGCUUAUCAAUCCCAACAAGUUGAGCUUCUUCAAUGAAGAGUGAUUGAGCACGAGUGUCAAAAUCUGCAUUCGCCUGUCGGGAAGAGCUGAAGCCUCUCUCUUGAGUACCAUAUUGGGACAGGUACCUCCGAUGCCUUUCUGAAAUCUCUCCAAAUCUGGCCUUGAUCUCUUUUAUCUCCAAAGAAAUUUGAUGGCGACCUUUCAGAUUCUUUAUUGAGUUAUAGAUCUUUCCAACCUUGCCACGGAAUCCAUCCUUGUAGCGACGAGCAAAGCGGAAGGUAAAAUCAUCAAGAACAUCCUCUGUAUCAUAAGCAACUUCUCGAACCUGCUUUAGCCAUGCUUGGAGUUGAGAAUCAUUGUCUUCCUUUGCUUCAGCUUCUCUGAGGAAAGCCUUCAUGCUCUCGAGUUCAUCUUUGAUGAAUUGAACAUCUGAUUUAAGCCCCCCCAAAAGUGUGAUCUCUUGGGAAAGCAAGGUUGAGAGCUGUUCAAUCAAAAUACCUACGACACUCUGCCAUGAUGCUCAAUCAAAUUUCUCAAGAGUCGGUUUUCUUAUCAAGGAAAUUUUGAGAGUUGUUCCAAAAUUCAGAAAAUAUGCUGUUUUUCUUUUUUUCUUUUCUUUCUUUUGUAGUACACAGGAUGUGGUUUAUAUGAGCAAUCAAAUUCUAGAAUUUUAUGAAUUUGACAGAGUAGCUAUUCAAGAAUGAUAUGAAUUUGGGAACAUAUGCAUUUUUUUUUGGUCGUAUAGACGAUGAGUUUUACUUGGCACUUUGAUAGUACAAUUAUUGUCGAAAGCUCGCAAGCUACAAUUAAUGAAAAAUGCAGUUUUUUGUUUUCUUUGUAUAUUUUUUCAAUAUUGGUCAUUGAUCAAUUAUGUACUAACCAAUAAGAAUAAUCUUUGUACUAACCAAUUCCUAAUAUAACAAGAGAAAUAAAUAAUUCACGGAUUUUUUUUAACCAACCAUUGAAGGUCUUGGAUUCUUAUCCUAAGCCGACAGGCCAAGAGUUCACAGUGGCAAAUGGUCAAUGUAAAAAGGAAUGGUUGUGAUGCUGUAUCUUCCAAUAAUGCAAGGGACAAUGAAAUAGUCUCCAUGGUCCAUGGUCAAAAGUUUCCCAUUAAUUUUUGCAAGUGGAUUUCCCUGUACAAGCAUAUUGAUCGUCAAUCGGACGACUCAGUCAAUGGAUGCUCUCUGACGGGUAUUUUACAUACAUGCAAGCUAAAAAAUACCGAAUUACACCCGUUCACUGCAAGUAUACAGAUCAACUAGUAGUUUAGGGUAUAUAUCGGGUCGAUCCCAUAAGGAAGAGUGAACAAUUACCGGUAUUACUAAAGCUUCUCUAUUAUUUAGACUAUCAAUGAAUGAUAAGAAAUUUAACCUACUGCACUUAUACAAGAAAUUAACAAAUAAAAGCUCCUUAGGUUGUGGUAUCCCUAACUACUCAUGCAAGUGUUAUAUUUGGAUCAUUGAGUACUACAUCUAGGCUAAUUAUGGUGUAAUUUUCUUAUGCAUUUGAAUCCUACUUUCGUAGUGAAUCAAUUAUACUUAUAACUAAUCCAUACAUAUUCUCAUGGUUAUGAAAUUAGCUAUAAGUUCAUUUCUUCAGUGAAAUUACAUGAAAUGAAUCACUAAAAACCACAUAGGUGCACCUCUACUUUCGUGAGUGUACUCCCUAUGUUUAGCACUUCUUGAACUAAUGUUAAAUCUCAAUUUUCAUUGUAGAAAUAACACCUUAGAUAAUCACAAUUAAUGGUACCAGAUUAAUCAUGAUUUUAAGAGCUAAAAUACUAAAUAACUUGCUCAAAUCAUAGCAAUCAAAUAACCAAAUAAUAAACACUAACAAUCAUAGAAAGUUCAACCAAACCCAAGGUAUAAACUUUAAAGACACAUAAAUAACAUAAAUUCCAGAACUUGUAUAUUAACUAUAUUUAAGAAUCCAAUACAAAAGAUAAAGAGUUGGAGAAGAGAUAACCCAUGUCACUUGAGCUUUAACUUCUCUUUCUUCAUCUCCAUUUUCAUCCUAAUCUAGAUAGUAUACAAGAAUGGAUGAACUACACUUACUACACUAUCCUACACUAAGGAAAUGGAAGAACUACAUUUCUGCCUCUUCAAGCUUCUCCCGUAUGCUCUGCAUGUCCUGGUUGCUCCCUAUAUAAACUGCUCCAAAAGCUCCUUUUCCAUUGGUCCAAACUUGCUGCAUUUGAUUUCCAAAUCUGAAAUUGUUAAGAUAGUCAAUAGCCAUUGUUUUUGACUUGAAAAUAUGCCAACUUUCUUGCCCUUUUGUCUUCUAAAGCAUGUGCACCGAAUUCUCUUGCAGAUUGUAGCUGGAAAGUAGUCAGAACACAAGAGAAUUGACUGAGCAAAAUUGCAGAAUUGCGGCCGGAAAACGCGCCUACACAAAACGCGGUUACAAGUCACGUUUUGUGUACUCGCGUAUUCACUUUGUCCUUACUUCAGCUGCGAUUUUCUCUAUCAUAAAGGCUGAACUGGAUUUUUUGUAAAACACCAAAGUUGUAGCCCUUUGAGUUAGCUUUCCAAUGCUUCAAGAAUCAUCCAAAUCUGAGCUUUGUAGCCUGAGAUAUGAUCGAAAUACUAAACACUGGUCAGAGCUCUGUUUUCCACUUUGGACAGCUGAGUUGAAUUUCGGUAUUUCAACUUUUGGACUAUGAAAACGGCUGAACUGGACUUUGAUGUCUUCAUACCAAAUGUAGAUAUAUCUCUUAGCUUCAAAAUGGUACUAAGAUCACCUUGAUCCGAUCUGUGUAGCUCUAGAUAUAGUCAAAAUACCAAAACGUGUCAGAGUUGUCAAAACCUGACUUUUCUUGAUUCAAAUUGCAUUUUUUCUUUUUACACUUCAUAUUUUAUUUUCACCACUUUAAUCCAUCUUCAAUCAUCCAAAUAUCUUCUCAAUGCACUUCAUUUGAUGAUUGAAUCAUUAAACCUACAAAAUAUGAAGUUUUUACCAUAAAAAUCCAUAAAAUGCAAUGUUUAGCCAUUUUAACAUAAAAUGUAGUUUUUUUACCAAAACCUUAGUUAUUUUAGUUAUUAAACUAAAUAAUCAAACCAAAAUUAACUAAUAAAACACACAAAAAAUACGUAAAAUAAACUCUUAUCACUCUCGGUCCCAAAUAAAUGCUCAAUCAAACUGAUGAAGCAUCAUGUUCUAUUUCCUCAUAAAUUCAUAUGCUGUUUGUUUUUUUUAAAAAAAAAAUUCUGAGUGUCAACUACAAUUAAAAAAAAUGUUGGCAUUGAAAAGGGACAAUAUAUCACUGGAAAAGUUAUUAAAAUUAAAUCUUUAAAUGACUGAAAAAUGAGAUAUAUACAGAAGUGGUAGAUAACAACUGGAAGAGGCUCAUGCUACGAGUGCAGUGAAUCAUUAGUUUUAGUAUCAAAAACGAUGGUGAUCUAUCGUCAUUCUUGACGGUUUGUUUUUCCAUUAAUUUGUACAAAAUCUGAUUGACUUUUAGCACUUUUGAUUUUAGAAGAAUGCAUCUUGCAUUAGAAAUUUUUUUCUAAUUAGGUUCCAUCUUAAUAGCUGUAUUAAUUUAUGAAAUCUUGUUUAAAAGAGUGACAAUUAGCACAAUGAUAAAUCAGAAAUUGAUUGUACAAUAGAUGGUCUAGUGGCAGAAUACUCGAGUUUGGGAGCAAUUCUGACAUAAUUGUUUGAUGUGAUUGUUAGCAGAGAAAUUGCAGUUAAAUGAAAUCCACUUAUUGAAGACAAUUGCCUUUGGCUUUUAUAUACUUAUGCAACUGAACUUGUGCAGAAUCCGCAUGAAUGAUAUUUUUCACCAUCAUACUUUUUUUUGGGGUUUAGUUGAUCUGAUCGGUUCAUCCAAUUUCAUAUAUAUGAAGUAUCUCAGUGGGAAAGCCUGCUUGCAUCUAGAGGGUGUAAAGUGUAGUAAUCAGCUUAGUGUCUUGUUACCUAACUGCAGUACAUUUUCUUACAUGUGUUGUGUAUGUAAAGCUAAAUAGGUUAAUUCAAGUUAAGUCACAUUUAUGUUCUGUGAGAUGUUGACCAGUUAUAUGGUUAAAUACUCGCUGCAGUAUUUCAGAUCUUUGAGUGGUCUAAAUGCUGUAGGUUUUGAAAGUUUGGAUGCGAAUAUGUCAGCUAAAGGGAUGACAAUAUCAGUAAGUACGGACGAGGAACUUGGCAGCAGUAUGGAGAGGAAAGAUGCGGCCGAUGACUUUGGAGAACCUGAUAAUAGUUUAAGUCUGGUAUUUUAGUUUAUACACAUGCUUCUACAGAUAAUGCAAAUUAUAAUGUAUAUCUACCUGCAAAUCCUUCAAAUAUAUAAGUAUCUGUAAAUCUACAAAGAAAAUGAAGAGGCUAGGGAUUUGUCUGAAGAAUAGGUAAUAUGACUUAUAUGCAUGAAAUAAUAAGAACAAGUUUAGUUAAAAAAAAUAUGUUACUAUAAAGAAAGGGAAUGAGAAGUUAAUAGAAGGGGAAGGGCAAAGAAAAUACCUUAUGAUAGCUCCAUCCCUGUGACAUACUUAUUUAGGCUAGUUUGAGUUUGUGUAAGGCUCUAUUACUGCCCAUACGCAUAAGCUCUCAACCAACCCCCCCCUCUUCUUGAAAAAAAAAAACCUUUAGCAAAAAUUUUCUGUGUACCCACCCAGUUUGCUACAAAUAGUUUAUGUGAGAGGUGUGUAUCUGUGAAAGUUUUGGCUUCUUAAUACAAGAGUAGAGUUCAAGGCAAGAUUUGGUGGAUUGCAGGUUACAAAGAAUUGCUGGAGAAAAAUUGUGCAAUCCAAAAUAUUAGAAGGCAGAGAAGAGAUGAAAUGGGAUUUCCCUCUAAAAAACUAACAGAUAGCUUCAUUUCAUUAGAAAUUUAAUUGUGAGUGCAUGAACAAAAAGUACUCUAAAAAAGUCGUACAAGUUUUAAGAACUCGUGUUGUUUUACUGCCUAUUGUUUCUUUCAACAGCCCUAUAUUGUUGUACGGUGUGAGAACUGGAGAAGAACAACAAACAAGUCUUUUCUUUAUCACAAAAGAGAUGAAAGAAUAAGAAAGAUAUUGUAAUUCGGUACUUACAAUAAAAACAUGUAGAUAUCAUGGUGUCUUAGCUUCCCCAUUAAGGUAGAUAGUGGAGCAAAAUAUCUUUGACCACACAGUACAUUCAGCUAGCUAGGGCUUGAUUAUUUAGUUAUCUAUGAGUAUCAAAAUUACUGAAAUCAUGUUUAGAAAAAAAAGUAUAAAAAAUGCACUCUAAGAAUAGAGGACAUAUUGUUCAUUAAUUAACUUGAAAAGCAAACAAAAUAUGAUUGUGCUUCCUCUAUUCACAGAGGAUUAAAACAUGAAUUUGACCAAAAAAACGAAGAACUUAAACUAUGUACCAAUUUUGGUAUGUAGUCGGUUUGGCAGAGAAUUUGAGUUGGUUUGGUAUGUAGGCAACUUAUCACAGACUGCUGGUGGUGGUGGUGGUGGUAAACUCCGCGCUCGGAAAAUCGAGAAUUAAAUGCCAGCUUUAGGCUUAGAGGUAACUUUUGGUUCCUGUGGAUCCCUAAUUUAUGGUUUCGGAGGCUUCCAUUAUUUUCCUCCUCAAUAUCAUGGUCAUAGUCCAAUGCCCCUACAGCAAAUUGGCCCAAAUAAGUUUGCUACCCUUUGGCUCGCAACUGUGGGGCAAAAAUCACCACAUUGUGCUAGGUUGAGCGUGUUCACCACUUCACCACUUGAGGAGGAGGAGCAUUCUGCUACCCCGGGAAGAAGGAAGAUGAUUCUUCUUAUAGGAAGGGGAUGAAGAAGGAAUCUUGUUUUGUUCCCAACAUUGUAUUAGACAAUAGUCUUCAACUCGAGGUAGAGGAGCAUGUUCAUUUCUAUAUUGACGCUAUAGACGCAAAGACAGGAUACAAAUCAAGGACAGAUUUUAUUUCUAUCGUCAUGACAAUCCUCAUCUGGAAGAAGAACAAAAUCUAGUAGUACACAAGAAACUGCUGCAAAAAUCUGGUAGAGCUAAUCUGAAAGCAUCUAAGCUAAUUUGAUACAAACUGGAUGAGGUACUCAUCAAGUGUGGUGUAUUUAACAUCAGGAUAGAGCUCCGUUGCCUCCAUGCCAAAAGAAGCCUUGAUCUCAAAGUUGGCAAUUUCUCCCUUCACGAAAAAUGUGUAUGCCAAAGACAGGAGCAAUUUUAAUGGCAUUGAAGCCUCUGCGAAAGAUACAAGAAAAGAAAGCAAUUUGAUUAGAACGUGGAAUAGUAGAUGCUAUUGUAUUAAAAAUUAGCAACUUGUGCACUUUUUUCUUAUUGUUAGAUGACCUUGAAUUUUCUUAAGAACUUCGUCCCCUGGAACGUAGAUCUUUUCGAGGGUCUUGCCAAUUUUCUUUUCCCACAAUGAUACUAUUUCGUUGUAGGACAAGGUGUUGGCAGGGGGUGUAAUGUACACACUCUUGUUCAGAGUCCUUGGGUCAUCUGCUGCUUUGAUGGUGUAUGCAGCAAUGUCUUCUUCCUUGGUGAAAACAACUGCAACGAAACAUGAAAUUGAAGAAAAAAUUGAGAACGAUGAACUCUAAAAGAUGAUACUAAACCAAUCAAGAUAUGCAGCAGACAAGCCCCUUUCGGAUACCUUUUGGAUUUCCAUCGCCAAGAAUGACAAUUUUGUCUCUGGGAGGACUGCAGAGAAAGAGUCUCCAAAGUUGUUGAGGAUAUAAUUCAAGUAACCAGCAAAUCCGUUAGAUACUAAAUAAGUGUAAGGUAUCCCUUCUGCCUCAAUAGCUCUGCGGAUCUCAACCUUGGUCCUGUUUAAGCUAGCAGCAGGCUCAACAGCGUUCGCACGAUCCACAUCAACCCCAAAUUCAGAAGGUAAAAAUCUCUGAAACCAAAUACAGCUCCUUCUUUAGGAAUAUGGAAGUCACAACUCACAAAGGGACAAACGCAAAAAAUAAAAAUCAAGAAAGAAUUUGUAACACUGUAUUGUGCUUACUUUGAUGUUUCCAGCUUCUUUAAUUGCUUCAAUAAUCUUAACUUGAUGAGCUACCAAAUCUCCCCCGACUGCAGAGAUCACUAUGUCAACUUGUUUGAUUGCAUUUACCAACUGCUGAUGAUUGUGUAGAUCUCCCUGUUCAGUCCAUACGUACAUGUCAGUUUCUAUAAUUUCUUGAAAAAAAAUUGAAACAGUAUUUAGACAACGAAGAAAGAAAUAACAGCACACAUGAAGAAAUAUGACUCCCAAACUCUUGAAACUCUCGAUGAUGGCUGCCCUCUUAGGAUCUGAAAUUGUGCUUUUCUGAGUGCAACGUUGGGUGCCCUGCUUUUUUGCUUGCUUCCACUAAAUAUUUCCCGAUGUUUCCAGUGCCCCCAAUGAUCAAAAUCUUGCUUUUCACAUCCAUUUCCAACUCUAGGAUAGUAAAGUACUGUAUGGAAACCGUAAAUCGAUGAGCUGAACAGAUGCAGAAAUGUGCCUAUAGGCUGCAGCUUCGUGCACGGUUAAUUUAUAGAGGAAAAAGUAUUGAAACUGGCAAGCAACGCUGUCGCUGCAGUUUCCUUUUGAUGCUCUAUUGGCUUCUGAAAUUUCGAAAAUGCUCCAAGAACCAAUCAACGGAAGUUAGACAGUUGAACAUUAUCACGAGGUUUCCUAAAAAAUCAUAGCACUAACGGAUUCUUAUUGGCCAAGAUGCGCAAUGUGUAGGGGUGCUUGGCAAUUGCGAAAGAGAAAGGUGGCCAAAGUCAAUUGAAUGUGCUUGUGAAACUACUCAUAUGGGAGAUUUAGCGGUAGGAUUUCGCCCCUGAAUCAGUGAUGACCAAACCUGAAGUAAGCGCUGAUGUUAAACAAAAUGUUGAAGCGAACAAAAAGAGCAUAAACUUAGCACUAAACGUUAAACAAUGUGCUAGAAAAAAAAAAUGAAAAGAACAACAUUAUUUUUGAGGGGAAAAUUUGUCAAAUCAUAUUUCACAUAAUCUAAUUGAUAGCCUCUCACACUUUACAAAAUGAAUUUUUUCGUUCCUUACAUUUCACAAAAUCACUAAGCAAAAUCCUCGAUGACAAUUAAAAUGUAGCAAUAAUUGUUAGGAGGAUUAAAAAGUAUAAGCCAUGAGGACACCUUACUCAAUCAAACAAUAGUUCGUGCAAUGUCAUUCCAUCAAUUUUGGUUUAUCAUCUUUUAAUUCCGUGAAAUUUGCUUUUUUUUUUUACUUGUAAUGUUAUUAUUUAUUCAUUAUACUUUGAUUUCAUAAAAUCAAAAUAGCUAAUCUUAGUUGAUCAUAAUUCAACCCCAAAUUCAGAAGAUAAAAAUCUCUGAAACCAAAUACUGCUCCUUCUUUAAUAUGGAAGUCACAACUCACAAAGGGAUAAACGCAAAAAAGAAAAAUCAAGAAAGAAUUUGUAACCCUGUAUUGUGCUUACUUUGAUGUUUCCAGCUUCUUUAAUUGCUGCAAUAAUCUUAACUUGAUGAGCUACCAGAUCUCCCCCGACUGCAGAGAUCACUAUGUCAACUUGUUUGAUUGCAUUUACCAACUGCUGAUGAUUGUGUAGAUCUCCCUGUUCAGUCCAUACAUACAUGUAGUAGAUAAUCACACCAUACCACAAUAACAAUAACAAUAAUAUCAUUAUCCUUGUCCCUAUGCCAUUAUAACACAAUCAUGGCCAUAUCCAAUCAACAAUUAGCAUGCUUAAAUUAUAAGGUUAAAUUUAGAUCCUACCUUGGUCAUGAAAUUGUAGUCAAUAGAUAAUCUUUAGUCGCAGUUUAACCACCUGCAGCCACAAACAUCGGAUUUUGGAAAUAUAGUUAGAAGAUGUAAAAAGUUUCCUAUGGAUAUUCAUAUGUAUGUAUCAAGUAUUCCAUAAUGAAAUUUCCAUAUUCACACAAUAGCUAUUGAGAAAAUAUUGCAGUAGAAAACUCACAAUUUUUAUUAUAUUAGCUAAACAUCCAAAACUCCAGAAAAAGAGAAAGUAAAUGAGCAUACCUGUCUAAACACCCACAAAAAAAAUUUGAGCACAUGCACUUGAAGCAACAUUCUUCAGUAUUAAAAGCCUCAAUUAUUAUCAAGUUGAAGAGCACUACAAUUAUACUUGUAAUGAAUUGAAAAUAUGAACCAAAAUCAAUCAUGUUCAUUAUUAAGUGUUUCCUGAACCAAUUAUCUUUAGCAUUAAGACCCUCUAUUAUUGUAGUUAUAAAAGUUAUCCAACAAUUAUAAAAGAAGAUGGAGAGUAUUGCAAUUACAUUUGUAAGUGGUUGAAACACCACUUAAAUGCUUGAUAAUCAUGUGGAAUAUAAGCCAAUUGUAAAUGGGAGGACACAAUAGUCAAACCCAACUCAACUAUACAUUAUAAUGUUGCACGUUUGGCUUAAUCACUUGUAUUUGAUUUUUUUCCUACCUAAAUUAUCUCUAAAGAUAAUAGAUGAAAAUUUUUCAACAAUCACUUACAAACUCCUUUUUAUAUAUAUAGGAAACAUUACAAUGUGCUAGGAAAAAAUGAAAAGAACAACAUUAUUUUUCUUUUUAUAUAUUCAUCGAAUACUGGUAGAAGCCUGUACUCAUAGGCAUUUGGGUACAACGAAUCCGGACAAUGCAAUUAAUAUAAUUGAUAGGGAAAAUCGUUGAAAGCGUUACUCACAUUUUUGUAAAAUGAUUUUUUUCCGUCUCGCAUUCUAAAAAAUUGAUUUUACGUCUUUUAUAAAUUCAUAUCAGUUAAAUUUUGUCCCUAUCUAGGUUUCCAACUAAUUUUUUCCGGAAUUCACCACGUGCCCUGCAUGUGAUCAUGUUUGAGGGAAAAAAUUGUCAAAUCAUAUUUCACAUAAUCUGAUUGAUAGUCCUUCACAUUUAAUAAAAUGAAUUUUUUCAUCCCUUACAUUUCACAAAAUCACUAAGAAAAAUCCUCGAUGACAAUUAAAAUGUAGCAAUAAUUGUUAGGAGGAUUAAAAAGUAGAAGCCAUGAGGACACCUUACUCAAUCAAACCAUAGCUCGGGCAAUGUCAUUCCAUCAAUUUUGGUUUAUCAUCUUUUAAUUCCAUGAAAUUUGCUUUUUUUUUAAUUGUAAUGUUAUUAUUUAUUCAUUAUACUUUGAUUUCAUAAAAUCAAAAUAGCUAAUCUUAGUUGAUCAUAAUUCAGACAAGUUUGGAGCACGUGUACUUUCUAAAUAAGAAUAAAUAUCCUGUUAUGCUUAGAAUGACAUAGAUGAAAAUUUUGGUUUGCUAAGUUGGGGAAAAAAAAAGGUAUCUCUCAUAGACAAUCUAACAAUACAUUCCUGAGUAAUUUAGAAUUCCAUUUUGUGUUGUUCCAAUUAAUUGUCUCUAAAAAUUAUAGCUAUGAGGAGGCUAAAUAAAACCAGCGGCAGAGGAGAAAUUUGGCAUGGAAUGACAAUCUUGAGAUUGUCGUGAGAAUGGCAAUCAAAUUGUGAUAGUAAAUUUGCACAAAACAAAUAACUUUUAUUAGUUAUUGUAACUUGCUAUUUAAAUAUUAAAUCUUAUUAGAUUUUUCAGCAAAAAUUACCAUUUUUUCCCAAAACUUAACAUUUUUUUUAUAUAAAACAUAUGAUUUCUCAAGAAAAACUUAUGACUUCAUUAACAAAUCUUACCACUUUUUUAGUAAAAUUUCGUAUAUCAUUAACAAAAGCCUUUCUAUUUUUCGAACAAAACUUCCCUUUUUUUUUUGACAAAACUUGCUACUUUUUCAAACAAAAUUUAUGACUUUGCUAAUAAAAUUUAACAUUUUUUCAUGUACAAUAUGCCAGUAAAGAUCUAAAUAAUUAUAAGGUUGAUUACUACUGCCAAAUGGGAAUUGGCUGGAGACUUGAAUAGAACUGAAUAAGGACAGCUGUAGUACAGAUGAAUAAGUACCAAGAAGAUGCCCAAUUGGAUGUUAUUUGGCCCCGGAUAUUUGAUAAAGCUACCCCAGAAUCCCAGAUGGGUGGUUCAUUUAAAUGUUAGUAGAAAUUGCUGAUAAAGAUGACUACCUAAAAGUCUUCAUGGAAAAUUGACCGCCUACACCUGGACACAAAAUAUUGGAUAGAGGAUCCCGGCUCCUGCUCUCGAGCGAUGUAUAUAUUUUGUUUUUCAUCAGACUUAUCAGUAUGAACCAGUCCAUCGACAACUUGAGAUAGGGAUCGUUGUCAGGUUAACUGUCUUGAACGAUUUUUGUUAAUGUAUUGAAUAAUAAGUUAGGUCGUCAAUGAAAGUCCCCAUACUGCCGUGGGAAAAUCCGUAUGUUUUGUGGGAAAAAAAUCCUUGGAGACAUAUUCGAGAUUCAAUUAAUGGAAAUGUUCACUCGCUAUCAGUUGGUUGAUUUACUGAUUUACGCUACCGUAGAACUUCCACCCUCUUUUUUGUAAUUUAAAUUAAUAUAAAAUGUUUGAUAGAAAAGCACCAAACCAAUUGAAAAUUUGUCAAAUGGGAAUAACAAAUGUUUUGGGGUUUGGACAAUUUUCGUCUUUAAAGUUUCCCUGAAGGCAUAUUUAGUCCUACCCAUUUCCAAAUUUUCACCAGUUCUGUAUAUUGAUGACAAAUCAAAUAAUUUGGCACCAAAAAAAAAGUUUGACGAAUAAUGAAUUAAGUCUUGUACACUAUUAAUGUAAAUAUUUUUUAAAGAAAGAUGACAAAAAUUAGCAAAUAUAUGGGGUAUAAUAUGAGUAUUUACUAACUAUUCUUAAAAGAGGGAAAGAAAAGAAAAAAUUAGAAAAACUUAUUGGAAAAGUUUCCUUGAUAUCUCAAAACAAUUGCCAAAAUAGAAAAACAUAUUUUAAUAUUUGAUUUGGAUAUGAAUUUUAUCGAAGGUAAUCAAUAUAGAAGUGCAUGUAAAAACCAUAGUAUGGAAAGAGAUGUGAUUUUUUUGAGCAUCUCUAUAUGUUUUUUAUCUUUGUCUUUCAACAGUGGUGGAAAGAAAAGAGUACUAGAGAAUUUUCUAUGACUUUUAUUUUCCCUCUGGGCUCUGGUUGUUGCCCUGUGAUAGUGGCAAUAGAGGCAACCUUGGUGGUGGUUGUGGAGGUAGAAAAAUGGUAGCGUUCGUGAAUUUUGGUGGCAGAGAGAAUAAUAUAAGACAACUUUUUUUAAAAAAAAAUGGUAAUUUAAAAUUUUUUAUGUGAAAUUUGUGUCUUUUCAAAGAUUGUAUUACCAAAACAAUAAAUACAAGAGUGGUCAGCAUAAUUGUUGAAUUUAGAGGGCACUAGGUGAAUCUUAGAAGCGGUUUCAAAAAUUUUUCCCUUUUUUAUUCACUUUAUCCUUGUGACAAAUAGAAAUACAAGGUAUUUACCACAUAUUUUUGUCGCUUUUAAGUUAGUUUAUUUUAUUUCUAUAAAAUUUUUUGAAUCUAUAAUGUACAAAUUUUGUGGCAAUUUUGAGGAAAUGGAGAAUGAGUAUUUAAUGUGAGAGAAUAAUUAAGUUCACAUUGUGUUGCGUAAAAAAAAAAAAGAGGAUCAGGUUGUGCUCCAAAUUAAAGAAUUACAUAAUGUCUUUGAUUUUACAAACUCUCAUAUUUGUAUUAAUCACUUAAAAAUGUUGUGAUUUAAACGCGCUUUUUAUAGGUGAACGUUAUUAAAAUUACUUUUUACCUCCCAAUUGAACAUGAAUACAAAAAAAAAAAAAAAAAAAAUAUUGGGUUGGAAGUCAUUGCUCAUUAGGGAAUGGCAGCAAUGGACUUCACAUGAUUUGCAGAUGAACCACCAACAAAUGAUGCGGAAAAUAUUCUGGACUUCCAGGCCUAUGAAUUUUCGGCUGCCGAAAUCCGUCAUUGGCCCAACCUGAACAAGGCUCUACGUAAUCCUACUGUGCAACACUCAACUUCACGGGCCCUAAGCUCUGUGUCAAAACUCCUCAGGUAAUCAUUUUGUCCUUCUUUUUUUAAAAAAAAUUUCUGUAGAUAAAUAGAUAAAAUGGUAACCCAUGAAAAUGUUGGAAACGGGCCUCACAAGUAGAAAAUGCAUCUAGUUCAUGCUAGUUUGUGUAAUUAUUGGAAUCACUGGGUGAGACACACACUCUAUGUGUGCAUAUAUUUUAGGAAAAAGUAAAUAAUGAAAAAGAUAUAAAACAACAAACUAGUUAGAGCAAAAGAAUUGAUUAUAGAGUAUUGGGAUUUUUUUAAUUGAAGUUAGCGGGAAGACUUGGAUAUAUAUAGUAGUAGUGGAUAAGUACGGAACUUAGAAGUAGCAGUUAUGUCAGCAUGGAUGGCAUGGAGUAUGAGAUGGCAAUAUAAUACUUCAUUAUGCAAGGAGAAAAAUUGGAAUAACAAAUGAUGAUAGAAAUUUUUUAACACAAAUCACAACUAUUUGGCAAAAAACUCUUGAAAAUACUUGCAAAACCUCUUAUAUUAAAUUGCGCAUAAUUAGUAACAUAAUUUUAGAGUACUAGAAGAAGGGAGAGGGAUGGAUUGGAUGGUAAGAGGGAAGGGAGUACAAAUAAGAGAUCCUGGGUUCAAGACUUUCUACUUACAUUAAAAUAAAAAAAUACAAUAAAAAUAAAAUAAAGUAAGAAAAUCUCUAGUUUGAUCAAACAAUGUUACAAUGGCGCAACAGUUUAAUUUGUUAUGAUGGGAAGUUUUAAAGAAGUUGACGGUCGGUUUUUUUCUUCUCUACUUUUGUAGAUUGAAAAGCGUAUUUUAGGAAAGUCAAAGCAAUAUUUUGCUAAUCUUGUUUUGGUUUGUUUAUGUAAGCAUUAAAAUAUGAGAGCUAAGUGUGAUUCUUGAUGCCUAUUGCUAACUUUUGCAAUUAUGUUAUACCUCAAAGGGGUUAAUUUCAUAGAAUAAUACUUUCGUGUAAAAUUCUAUGGAUCUUUGCACCUAUUCAGUGUCAUUGAUUUGCAGAAAAAUGUGAGAAAGUCACUUCAAAGAGCAGCUCUUGAGCUAGUUAUGGCAAAAAAUUCAUCUAUCAGAGUUGCCAGUCUAGUAUCUUUGGUUUUCCUGGAUAUCAAUGGUGAUAGAAGCUGCUUCUGGGAGAUAUGGACCUCAAGUUCUGUCCAAUUCUUUCCUCUACCCUUGAUCAAAGCUACUCUUACUCAAGGUCACAGACAAUGGCGAUGUUGAAGUUGAGAAUUGUUAAUAGUAAAUUUUGAGGUAAAUAGGGUCUUAAACUCUGCAAUUUAUACAAGAUAUUGGGCAACCCCUUUUUUCUUUUAAAUGUGUUUAUGAGCAUCAAAAACAAGUGGGUUGAAGAUGGCAGUGAAAUUGUGAAGACAAUUUUGGUUAAAGAUUGGGAGUCAAAUUAUGCUCUACUAAAUUGUGAAAUUUGAGAAAUGAAAACAAAUAAAGUGAAUUCAAGAUUGAUUUCUGUAUUGCUACAUAUUUUCCUGACAAAUCGAUAAUCCAAAAUAUAAGAACUAUUUUUCUGGAAAUCAUUUUGCUUUUUUUAUUUUUUGUUUUUUAUUUUUUUGUAAGCGGGAGGACUCGAACCCGAGACCUCUCACUUACACUCCCUCCCCCUAGAAAUCAUUUUGCUUACCUUACUAUUUUCCGUUAUUAACCAAACCAUCAAGAAUUUAGCAUUUCUAAGGAAUUGCAAAGCCAACAGCAAAACAUGGAGUCAAGCAUAUGUUCUAAUUAUUCUGCAUAAUUUUGUUUAGUUUAUGGAAGUCUCUUGUCAGGCAAAACAAAAUAAUAAAAUUUUUUAGGCAAACUAUUAUAACCUUUAUAGACAUACAAUCCAUCGCAAAUAAAAGGAGGUCUAAUUUUCAUAUUACAUCAGCAGAUGCCAAGCAAAACUGAAAAACAGCAAGCACUCAAAAUAUUAUAAUCAUACAAAACACAGUAAAAUUACAACUGCUUCUCAAAUCACCUAGAAGAAAUUGCUCAUCCUGAGAGCCAAACAACAGCAGCAGCAAGCACUUGAAUGAUUGUGGGCCUAGCAGAAGUGUACGAAUUUGGCAUGAUAACGACCACAUCAUACUACAUUUAAAUUGCCAACCAAAAAAUGGAUAAAUCAUGGCAAAAUUUGAUACAAGAACACGAUCGUCUACAUGAAACCCUUCACUUUCUUCCCUGAAUCGGUGAUGACCAAACCUGAAGUAAGCGCUGACGAACAAAAUGUUGAAGUAAACAAAAAAAAAAGAGCAUAAACUUAGUAUUAAACGUUAAACAAUGCGCUAGAAUCUCUUCAUUUGCUUCGAUACCACAAGAAAAAAAAAUGAAAAGAACAACAUUUUGUUUAUAUUUCAUCAUAUACUGAUAGAAGACUGUAUUCAUAGGCAUUUAAUCCAAACAAUACAAUUAAUAUAAGUAAUAGACACAGUUUGCUUAGACAAUUCAGAAACUAGUCAAGGAAUGGAGUCAAUCAAGAGAUUUAUUAAUUUUUUUGUCACAAUCUAUGGAUGAGGAUGGAUUUAGCCAUCAAUCUCUCAUGUUUAAGGGUCUCUCUCUUUUUUUUUUUUUUGAAUUUCUUGCUCAUUAAUUUUUGUUGGGGCAGGUGGUGUUUUGAGCUAACUUAUGUGCAUUUUGGAUUAAACCAACUUCCAACCCUUAAAUAUUCAUCCCAAGGACAUAAUUAAAGAUGGUAGAGCUUUGCUAAUUAAAAAUCUAGUUAAUUUGUUUAAUAUCCGACUUGGUAAGCUUGUCCAAUUAGUGCUAAACCCUUAGGGCAUGUUAAUAUAUAUUUACAAGGCACUGUGCAGUGUGCACUAGAUCAGCCUUGGGCAUGUCCUAACCUAUGGUCAAUGUGAUUUUUGAAAGCUAGAUCCUCAAAUGAUCAUAUGUAGUCAAUUUGUUCAUUUAACUUCCAACGUAUUUUACUUAUAGCACUAGGAGGUGUACACCGCGCGUAUGCCUAGUUUUGCUCAAUAAGCUAAUAAGAAUCUAGAAAAUAGAAAAAAACGAAAUCGAAAAGUAUAAUAAAGGACAUAAUAGACUAUAGAUGUAGUAAAGUUAUGACUAAAAACAGAUAAUAAGUAGAUUGUAAAUCGUCGGUGUAGCAAAGGUACAAUUAAAAAUAACACAAGAAGUAGAUUGUCAGUCAUUAAUCUUGAGAUUGUUGAUGUUGAGGUUGUCAAUAUUGAGAGCUUCAUCCAUAGGCAGUGAUUAUUUCAUGAGCUACAUAUCUGGUCAGUCUAAAUCUAGAAGGAGAAGGCUUGAUGUAACAUAUAACUAUAUUUCCCUGUAGAGUAGUCAGGAGAUGUUGAGUUAAAUCUACAUUUUGGUGGAGAUAAAAAAAGAAAGUACUAUAAGCUGUCGAAGAAAUAGAAGGAAACAGUUAUUACAUUAAAAGAAAUGAUAAUCACUCCUGUCUGUAAAUAGUAGAGCUUUAGUGGCCUCCAAAUAGCUAGGCUGGUCAACGGGUCGGGUCUAGACCCGGAUCCGGACCAGAUCCGUGAAAUUAUUGCGGGUAUGGGUAGGGAUUUAAUUCCGUUUCCCGGAUCCGGAUCCGUUUUGUCAAACAAAAAAACGGAUCGGAUACGAAAUAUAGUAUUCUGACCCGUAUUAGACCCGGAUCCGGAUAUAAAUGAAUUAAUAAUUUAAAAAAUAUAUAUUUAUCAAUAUAAUUUGAUUAAGGUGAUGUAUUUGAAUAAAGUCAAUUUGAUUUCUUUUUUUAUUUGGUUUUUUCUUUGCAUUAGUUAGAAAUUAGUUUACAAAUAUAUUUUUUUCUCAUUUUUAUUAGAAAUUAGAAAUUUUGCUAAAUUUGUUUGGGUAGACCCGACCCGGAUCCGGGACCCGCCGGAUCCGGAUCCGGAACAUAGAAUAAAAGACCCGUCGGAUAAACGGGUCGGAUCCGGGCCCGGUAUAGUAAUUCGGGUCCGGAUCCGGAAUAAUGAAUUCCGGCCCGAACCCGAUCCGUUGACAGCCCUACAAAUAGCCUUGAUCAGCUUUAUCCCUCUAUAAUCACCACUCUCAUAUGGCUUCUGAAUCAGUUUUUGCCACCUAUAACAAGCAGUAAACAAAUUUCAGCAAAUGGGAAGAGCGAGGGAACAAGCUCAUUUGCAUUAUAAUGUUGAUUAAAAAAAUAACAAUAAACAAAAAAAAAAGAUUUGGCCAUCUUUAACUCUUUGAACAAUUUUUCUAGGAAAUGUGACGCAAAAACUGAAUAGUAACUGCUUGUUUUUAAAUCAUCUCGAGCAUCAGCCAUAAAAUUGUCAAAAAAAAUAAUAAUAAUAAGCUCACCAAGCCUAGUUACACCAUGGUUCAACAUGCAAGAAGCAAAGUAGGUUAUAAAGGUCUUCCAACUUGUUCUGCAGCAAUUGAUAAUGACCUUAAUUGAUACAUGCUAGACAAUAGCCAGUGGUUUAAUAACAAUCAGGAAAAACAUUACUCGGGCACUUGUUCAACUAAUGCCAGAAUUCUUUGCUGCUGCCAUACCUGAAGAGGGGUACCAGUAAGACACCACAUGCAAUAGGAUGACAAUUUGAAGGCAGCCUGGGCACCUAGAGUUUUAGAGGACUUGAUGGUAUGAGCUUCAUCCAAAACCACUCUGUACCAGUCAACUCUGUGGAAAAUGCUAUUCUCCCCAUCCUGUGUUGAACAUAUAAAAUAGUAAUCAUUAAAAAUGUUUCAACAGGGGAAAAGAACAAGCAGCAUUAGCAAUUGGAUUUAAGUGGUGGAAACUAAAAAAAUGGAAAUGGCCAGCUUUUCAUUCUUAUAAGCUGCAAGUAAAUGGAUUUCGGUGGUGGAAAGUAACAAAAAAUGGAAAUAGCUAGCUUAUAUUCUUACAAGCAGCCGUUAAGACAUUGUAUGUGGUCAAGAUCACAUUAGGUUCAGCAAUCACUCUAGGGUCACUGCUCCGAUCCCCACCAAAAAAGACAGAAACGGAGAUGCUAUCUGGCUUUGAGUGUGUUUCAAGUUCAUCCUGUUCAUUCAGUAAAUUCUUAUUCAGAGAAGACGACAGUAUAUCCUUGUGCCUAUCCAUUAACUAACAUACGAUCAGAAAAUCAGUAAUGCAGUUUCAGAACAAUGUAGCUAAACCUAUUCAGAAUGCAUACAAACUCAGAAAACUUUGUUAUUCUGGCUGAAUCAAAUAUAUUAUAGGGACUCACCUUCCGCUGGCCAAGCAACGCCAUAGGACGAAUAAUGAGGGUGCUGCCUUUCACUUUUCUAAAAGGUUUGAGAUCAGAUUCCUCUUUCUUUUUCUUGAUGUACUCUGUAUCACCCUCACUUUUGGCAAUCGAUUCUUAAUCCUCAGGGUACCUCUGCCUUGCCUUGCAAGAAUCAGAGCAAUAGUCAUCACAGUUUUCCCAAGCCCCAUUGCAUCUGCCAAGAUCCGCAGAAUAUUCAGCUUAGAAUAUAUAAUAAUUAACAUUGAUACUCAAAUGGACAGUCAGUAACAGUAGCAAGAGAAACUUGCCCCUCCUCUUGCUAUCUGUGUUGCUAUUGGAAAUUGUGUUGCAGCUUCCCAAGAGAAAAUGUUAACAUAUACUGUGGGAGCCCUCCUGAAACAAAUGAUCAAAUAACUCCUGAAACAAAUGAUCAAAUAGUAGCAUAAUCAAGCUUAAGGCAGUUAAUGCUCAAGGAUUUUAUAAGCAGCUGCUCUUUUUUUUUUUAAUAUUUCAAGGACAGAAAUACAUAUUCAUCACAUAUACGAUACUCCAACAAGGAUGAAACGUUUUUGGCCCCUUUCAGAAUAACCUACAUAUCAACUAACCUGACUGCGUCGUUCUUGUCGGCAUAACAUUUGUAUGAUCCUUCGUUCGAGUUGCAAAACCAACAGGAAUAUCAGAUGAUUUGCUGGUCCCAUCUUUGUUAGUCGACACAUCAUUUAUUAUUUGAGAAUGAACCACCAUAUUUUUCUGAAUCGAUGGGAUAUCUGCAAUGGCAAAUCCUAAUAAGGUGCCCAAAAGACACAACAUUAUCUUAGAAGUGGAGAAGAAUUUUUUUUAAGUACCGGAGAUUGAACAAGAAAAGCAAGCAAAAUAAUUGGUACAUAUAAUAAUAUUUGUAUCUUGAGAAGUACUAGAAGACUGGAGAUUCAAUGUAGUAGAAGAAUAAAUACAGUCAUUUAACGAGCAAUUCAAAAAUGGACUCUGCAAAGAACCAAGAAUUUUAGAAUUCAAGUUCCGCGUAGGUUCAAAGAUGUUAGCUGUAUUUUAACAUCAAGCACCACAGGUUUGUUCAUUGUCUUAAGAGAUCGCAAUGUUAACUUCUGAAACAGGAGACCAUGCCUUAGACAAUGCAUUUCCAUGCCUCCGCUUACAAGGUUGGUCAUUAGGUAAGGAAUCAAAAGAUAGAUGUCCUUUUUUUUUUUCCUUUUUCUUCCUUUUUCCAGCAUUAGUUUCUAUCUGACAUUUCUAACGCUGAGCUCUGUCAUUGAAUGGAGUUGCUGCAACGUGCAUAAAUAGACGGCCUUAUUUUAUUAAGAAUAGUUUAUGAAAGACAACGAUACUAAAGGCUGAAUAAGAAAAGCAAGAAGAAUGAUUUGUUGGAUGCAGUAAUAUCUCUAUCUCGCGGAAUGCUGAAAGAUCAGGGAUUCAAUGCAAUAGAAGAGGAAACACAGUCUCUGGACAAACGAUUUAAAGACGGAGUGUUCAAAGAGUUAAGGAUUCCAGAGUUUGAGUCCUUUAAAGAUUGAAGUAUGUAAUUUUGUUGACAUUUUGAGAAUCACAAGUUUGUUCGUUCUCAUUGAAGACUGUAAUGUUAUCUAAGAGGUCAGGCAAUCCUUUAGGUAAGACUUCUUUAUGACUGUGCUAAGAAGGCUGAUCAUUAAUAGAAGGCCAAACGUUCGGCCAAAGAUGAGAAGACACAGUUUUUUUUCCAGCACUAGAUUCUGGUUGACCUUUUGUAACCUGAACUAUGUCAUUCAAUGGAGCUGCUGUAAUGUGCAAAAAUAGAUGGCUUCAAUCGUAAAUGGCACAGAAACGUGAAGCCAUUCAAAGAUAAUGAUCUGACACAAGGCUAAAUAAACUAACAGAUACAGAAUAGACGAGUAAAAUACUACAACGGCACAUAUACCUCGAGGAGUAAAACCACAGCCUUCAAGAGUAGCUUGCUAUCGCCCUCAAGAGUAGAACCAGGAAAACAAACACCGGCUUCUAUGCAACCAAACAGUACCCUAUGAACAUAAGAGCGUGAGGAUUUCUCCCUUUUUUUCCAAAAGCCUGGCUUCAUGCCUCCGACAUGAAAGUGCAGCCUUCUCACUCUGUGACAUUUCAACAUACCAUUUUUGACGAAUAGUAUUUCUAUCCACCUGACUUAAAUGACUAAGAACCAUCAGUCCAAAAAAAAAAAAAUCAGCCAAUGGCAAUUUACAAUAGCCACCAAAAACUAUAGUCGAAUGAUUGUAAAGAAGAACAAAAACAACAUUUACGAAUUGCUGUAAAGAACAUAAGAUAUAUGAUACAAUGAAAUAAAAAACAUGCAUGCAUACCAGCUCUAUUGCCAAAAAGUAAGAAGCAAAAAGAACAGAGCAUAAAUUUAUUAAACCAUGCAUGGCAACUCUUACAUGCGAGUUAACAACUAUUACGCAGAGGUGAUACUCAUGCAUGAACUAAAAACGGAAAAGCAAAAGUGGCAACUAAAUAAAGAAUGUACGACAAAAGGAAAAAGCAAACAAGACAAAUAAAUAAGCAUCUGACCUGCAACAGAAUUCCUGUCCCAACAAAUGACAAAGGAUUAGCUUCAAAGAAGGCCCCUUGCAAGAAUCAAAAGGCCAGCGAAUUCUACAAAGAAAGGCAUACCAUACGGAUGUAAAACAGGCAAUCACAAGAAUAGAAAGAAAAACUGAAAACAGAAAGAAAAAGGCAGGAAGUUUAAAAUGAACUCGCCACAACGGCAAAAGCAUAUACCAACAGCAGUUAUAAAAAAAGGAGGAAAAAACUUGAAGUCAGUUCAUAAAAAAGACAACGUUACAAAAGCGCUUAGAUAACAAUAGUCCAAAACACAUAAAUCCGUAGCAAGAAACUCACCAAGGCAAUUUUCCUAAAAACUCAUCCAAGCUGUUUUUGUCCCAAAAAACUGCAAAAAUCUCUUCUAAACUUGAAAAUCAAGAAGGCUACCGAUAAAUAAAAAUAGUUCAAGCAAAAAAACAACAAUAGGCUAUUGAUUUAAAAAAUCAUUGAUAAAAACUAUUAAACAUAACCUCAAACCUGAAAAAGAUGCCUCCUUUAUCAUUGAUCCCUUGCUCUAUUGGGAAAAAACAGAAAAACCCACAACACGGUUUCUUCAGAAAACAAAAAAAAAAAGUACAAAAGAACUCGGGCAUAAGAAAGUGCAGGAAUUAGAAGAAUCAAAACUUUUAAGCAUACAGAAUGCACUUUAGAAAAGGAAACAAAAGACUUGCAAGAUGUCAUCAGGUUGCCGGAAGUAAUUUCCAAUUUGUCACCUGCAACAUAGAAAUAUGUAAAUUAGACAACUACAACCCAUUUAAAAAAAAAAAAAAAUGAGGGCUAGAGAAGUUCUGCAAAGGAAGAAACAAGAACCUUUAAAAGUAUAUAUAUAAACCAUCUUUUUUGGCUUAUCAUUAUUCUCUAUCAGAAGACGAAGACAAAGAAAAGAGAAAGAGAAGAAGGGGGCUUUCUCGUCGGAGAUGAAGAAACGAAAAGAAACAGAGAGAGAGAGACGAUGAACAAAGAGGGAGAGAUAAAAGAUGGUUCUGAUCCAGUAGGUGUGACCAAAAAGGCUGACAGUCGGUAAGGUGGGAAAGAGAAAUAGGCCCAACCACUGUGUUUGAAAAAGAAAAAGGACUAUUACUACUAUUAUCACUUUCUUUAGUGGGUUGGAUGCAAGCAAAAAGACUCGGUGGCUCACAAACGGAAUUCACAUCCCAAUUUCCAACCAUCAAGUCACGUGAGCAGCUGGAGGACGACAACAUUUCAGCAAAUCAUGAACUGGCACGUCAUCAAAACCACGCACCCUUGGAGACUUUCCUAAGCACUUAGUCUACCUUAGGUUGAUAGGUUGAUGAAGGGCAUAGAUUGUAAAAUAUGGUAUGAGUAUAACAUGAGGUAUAUAUAUGCAUAAAAGAUUUAUUUUAAAAGGUACGAUUAAAAAUUUGGCAUGUUCGGCAAAAUUACUCAUAUAAAUUUGUACGUGUAUAGUACGAACAUAUUUGAAAAUUAUGGAACUAAAAAUAUAGAUAAAUUUACUAUAGUUUUCAAAGAAUAUGCCAUUUCUAUACAAAUCUUUAACUUAUUUUAAUGUAUGAGAUGUUAAAUUUAUUAAAAUUUGGUUAUCAUAUUAUUUAAAUAUGUAUAAAUCUACAAUUGUUACAUUAUAUGUUGUUCUUAUUUUGUAUAUAACUCAUGAACAUGUCAUUAUCAUUAAAUUUUAAUUUUUUUUAAAAAUUGAAAUAUAAUUCAUGAAGUAUAAUAUAUAACAAAAAUUUAUUACGUGUUUCAUCUAGUUAAUUGAAAAGUAUGAGCAUUUUUCAAAGUAUUUUUGAAAUCUAGGAAAUAUGAAGUUUUUUGAAGGGCAAAUUACAUUUUAUCCCCUGUGGUUUAGUGCUUUUUUACAUAACCCCCUUAUGGUUUCAAAAGUUAUACAUAACUCCCUCAUGGUUUGGACUAAAGUGUCAACGUAACGGAAAUAGUCAUUCGUAACGGAACUUUUGAAAAUAUUGAAAUUACCCUUAUAAAUACAAGAUACACUAACCAUGUAUGGUUUUUAUGUUUUACCAUAUAACCCCUUUAUAGUUUAAUAUUUUAACAUACAACCCUCUUAUGGUUUUCAAAAUAUACACAUAACCCUCCGUGGUUAAUAAAUAAUUUUCAACUUUAUAUAAGAGUAUUUUUUGAUAUUUUAGAUAACUCCGUUAUGAAUGAUCAUUUCCGUCACUUUGACACUUUAAUCCAAAUCAUAAGGGGGUUAUGUAUAGUUUUUAAAACCAUAUGGGAGUUAUGUAAAAAAACAUUAAAUCACAGGGGGUGUUUGCCCUUUUUUGAAUUAUACAUAAGAAUGAGUAUUAUAUAAGUAUACUACAAAUGCCCUCUAACUAAGAGAAAACAACAGGAACAAACUAACAUCUUCAAAUCAUUUGCACGUAUUACAUCCCUUCUUUCUUCAAGUAUACCUACCCAUAUUAAUAUCCUACCAGAAAAAAAUCAAUUCAGAUUAAUAUUCUACCCAUAGUUUUUUCUAUUUUUUCCCACUAAUUGCCCAAAUAAAUUAUUGUGGAUAUAACAAAAUGGUUGAUUAUUGUAGAAUAUAAUAAGAUGUUUCCACCACUUGUAAAACCUACCAAAGAAAUCCAUAUUCUAAAUUUCAAAUUUUUGCCUACUAAGCAUUUCAUCAUACUAAAAGAAAAAAUUACUAGGCAUUUCAUCAUACGGAGGGUACUAUAUUUGUUCAUGUUACUCUACAAUCAAGAUUAACAUGAUAGUUUUUUUCUAGUCAAUAAGAUCUUUGUACAAAUUGCUAUGUAUUAGAUUAAGAAUUAAUUUUGUAGAAAUGAAGUUCCGAGUGAAUUUACUUCAUUAGACUAUAUGCUCCUCAUUUGCUAAAAAAAAAAAAAUCUCUCAAGGAAAAACAUAUGGAUUUAAGAUGUUAAAAGCAGGGGAACAAAUAAGGUAAAGAACUAGUUUUGUACCAUGGAAGUUCACAUACAUUAAACAUAUAAUUCAAAAAUGUGUUUACACUUUAAUCAGGGAAAAUAAAAAUUAUUUGUUACAAAAACUCGAAAGAUUGGGCCCCUAAGACUCCGCUCAAUACCCAAGUAUUAUAUAUAUAUAUAUAUAUAUAUAUAUAUAUAUAUAUAUAUAUAUAUAUAUAUAUAUUAAAUCCAUCCCGCCCAAAUUACCUUUGGUCAUGGACAGCCCAUUGAAGUUUGGGAUCAUUUGCCACCAUUACCCUCACUUGUUCAUUAGCUCAAUAGAUAUAUUGUAGAGUGAACCCAAAGGUAACUCUUCCAUCAGUUUUACUUUACAUGGCCUGUGGUAUCUGAAUCGCAUGAAAUGAAAAACAUGUUCCAAACUGUGUUCUUUGCAACCCUGUCAAGUUUCUGUGUUGUGAUAAUGGCCAGAUUAAGGUAGCUCCUAUUGAAAAUCACAAAGAAUUGCUUAGAGUUAUUUACUUCAAAAAUUGAGGGAGGAUUCAAAUUCAAUGUUGGAAAACGUCGAUCCCAGCAUUAACGGCGUGUUCUCAACCCUGUUAAGGUAGCUUCUUUGGGGUAAAAUCAGAUAAAGAUCUUGCAUCCCUUAUUUUCUGCUAAUUUUUUCAUUUGUAAAUUCAAAAUUGAGAAACUAGUUCAAUAAUAACAUUAUAUUUUUCAGGCAUGCAUUUCUGAGAUCAAGAAUCAAAUUUCAUUUGAGAAAAAUAUGCAUAGAAUUUCGAAGAAAAAUAAAUGCACACUGAACCUUCAAGUUCGGACUUUGAAAGGUGUUAUCCACGCUUUACUAAUUUGACUAACUUCAUCUUUUGUGCUUCAUACACUUCAAUAUUAACUUAAUGAAGACUGCCUUUUUUUUUCUUUUGCAGAUGCUCUGUUCUAUGUCUUAUUGAACCAAAACAAGUUUGAUGGAGGAAAGUGUCAAUCACAGCCCAAUUACGUUAAUUCGUCCAUACCCACCCACUAAUAACCCACCCAAAACAGCCCACUAAUUUUAAAUUUUUAUUGUAAACUUAACACCUUAAGGCACUGACGGCACUAGCAUGUGCUUACUAAACCUGUUUAUUGACUAAAGGCACAUUAAUCUGUGGUUAAGGUUGAGAUGGGGCAAAAUCCCUUAUUUUCUGAAAAAUUUUUCCAUUUGCAAAUUCACUAUUGAGAAACUUGCUGAAGAACAAAAAUCAUAUGUUAUAGGCAUGCAUUUCUAAGAUCAAGAACCAAAUUUCAUUUGAGAAAGUUGUGCAUACAGACUGAGAAUUUAGAAAAAAAGAAAAAAAAAAGAAAGAAAAGAAAUGCAACAAGAACCUUCAAGUCUGGACUUUGAACUUCAAAAGGUGUUAUACAUACAAACUAAUUUCACUAACUGCUUCAUACACUUUCAAAUUAACUUAAUGAAGACUGCCUUCUGUUUUCUGUAGUAGGUGCUCUGAUCUAUGUUUUACUUAACCAGAGAGAGUUUGAUGGGGCCAACUAUAAAAAGGAAAUCUAAAUCCAUAUAUAUGAACACAUACUAUUUCGAGGAAUUGAGCUAUUUCAUGAUAUGAUUUGAUACAAAUGUAAUAAGCAGUAGAAAUGAAAAGGUUAACGAGAGCCCAUGAAAUAAAAGGAAAAGCUAGUAAGCAACCUGAGACUUAUAGAAGAGAUGAGUUGACUGAAUAUCAGAUAAUGUUGAAAGCUGCAAAGAGUUGUCUCUUAGCUUCUCUUCUGUUAGAGGAACGUGCCUUUCCACUGACCAUCAAUCCAGUGACCAGUGAAAACUUGAGGGAUAUGAGAAAUUGUCUGAUAAUCUUCACUUUGUUUAUCCAAAUUCUGUACUUUGUGCAUUAGCUCAUCAGACAUUUCAUAAAACCCAAGAUAUUCAAGUCUGGUCAAGUUUUGGAUGCCCGAAGGCAACUCUUGCAUUAGUUUGCAACCACCUAAGCGCAGAUUUCUGAGAUUAGGCAUGGAUUCCUCUUCCACUCUCACCCAUUUCAGUCUUGUUAAUUGCACAAGCUCUAAGCUCUGGAGUUUUUGAAAUCCUCCAAUUUUUUUGAAACAUAUUGUCUCCCCUUCAUAAGCACCAUAGAGAGUAAGUGAUACCAGAUUGGGCAAAUGUCCGAGGGAGCCUGUUACAUUCUCAUCUUCUCUCAACCUACUAUUGACCAACCGUAAGGUUCUCAAGGAUUGAAGUGAUGUCACCCAUUGCGGUACUCUCUCUAAACGCCCCUUCAACAACAGAAUUGUGAGGAAUUCAAGCUUUGGAGAGACGGAAUGUUGGAGAUCAAGGGUCUCAUCUUCUUUAAUACAGGAGAUGGACAACACUCGAAGGUUGGUCAGCCUCAAGAGGGAGGAGAGCAACUCCUUUCCAUCUUCUCUUCUCAGCUUUCUGAUGGCUAAUCGUCGCAAUUGCGUUAGCUUUCCAACCUCCCUUACUAUUUUAUCACUGUCUGCUUCUAUACCAUACAACUCCUCCAAACAAAUAAGCUUUCCAAUUCCAAGUGGACAUUUACAGCCCCAAAUUGCAUACUCAUUUGAAUAAUCACCCAUUCCACCUAAGAAAAGGGAACGGAGCUUUCUUAGCUUUAGAAUUUCCAUAGGCAACUCUGUUACAUUGGUUUCCAUCAGUGACAAAACUUCAAGGUUUUGAAGCUUCCCAAUAGAUUUUGGAAUAAUUCUAACUCCAGUUCCAUUGAGACUAAGAUACCUGAGAUGAAAUAGUUUGAAGACUUGCUUUGGGAUACUGUCCAAUUCAGCUCCAUCCAAAUCCAACACCUUUAGCAACUUGGGAUCACCAUGUAAAAACUUGGACAAAAAUGUAGUUGUGAGAGGAUCUUCAUACUCAAAUAUUACCACAGACCGAAGACACUUUAAGCUACUAAAUUCUUGUGGAUUAUCAGUGAAGUUGUGGAUUGCUAGGUGUCGAACUUUUUCAGGCCAUCUUGUGUAAUAUUUGGUGGCUACAGUCAUGAAGCCCUGCUCUUUAGAUUUUGAAACAAGGAUUUCACGCACAAAAUCGUGGAGACCACAUGUAUCCAAUGUGCCAUCGUCCCACGUGGAUUCAACUUGGAUUAAGCUUCUGUUGAUGAGUUCUUUCAUACAUCUCAUAGCAAUGUCGGUGGAUGUUAUUCCUCCUUUCUCUUCUACAAAUCCUAUAAAUCUAUAUAGUUUUAUAUAAAAUUGAAAAUGAACAGAAAGUAACUCCAGUCAUAUCGAAUGAGCUAAAUGCACUCUAAGAGAGCGUUGUAAUGAAGCUAUAAUAUUUAUUUAAUCAUUCUACUAUUUCAUGUCUGCCCACAAAAUUCCCUAUAAUUUUACAAAAAGUUGUUCCUCCCCUUCCCCCUCCCCCUCCCCCCAAAAAUUUACUCCAUACUUGAAUAAGUGCAAUACAAGCAUUUCAAAUAACGAUUCUAUGAAGACUCCUUUACGUCAAAUUUUUACUUUACAUAAAAUUAUAGUGGGGAUUAUGUGAAUAUUUUGAAAGGUUAUACUUUAAAGGAAUCAUGUAGUGAUAGAAAAAAAAAAUGUAGUGAUAGACAAAACCACAUGAAGUACAUAGUUAUCGAUCUUGUUUGCAACUUGUUUUUGCAAUGCAGCACUAUAACUACCAGAUUAUAAUAUGAGGCAUUUUCUUAUUCCGCUGAAAGGUUUUCAUAUGUGAAUUUACUAUCAAGAAACUAGCUUCAAGCGUCUUUUUCUUCUGGCACGGAAGUUAUGAGAUCAAAAAGAUGUUCAAAAUCAUAAUCUGAAACUGAAGUCCGGCUUCCAACUCUAAAAUGAGCAAUGCUUGUAACUUCAUACAAUUUCUAACAGUCCUUAGCAUUUGAGUUUUUAGGCACAGAAUCUGCAAAAUAAUGAUGACAUUGACCAACAUGUUGCCAAAGAUUAAAAGGAAAAAAAAAUUGAAUGAAGAUGCUUUAGAAGAAACGGACGAUGAGAUUCUGGUCAUGGGUUAGUUAUACCUGUCAAUGGAUUAAAACAAUUUGAUUUUGGCCGUCAGUUAUUGGAAUUUUUCAUCAAUGGUUCUAUAUUUGCCUAAAAGGCUAAAACCACAAACUUUGUGGAGAACAUUUUUUUUUUGGUCAAAAUAUUAAGGAUCAUUUUGGUGCGCAAGCUAAACAUUAGGGACUAAAACUUCGUUUCUUCCUUAUUUCACUAUCUCUUCUGUGAUUUUCUCAAAAGAAUAAACCUUUUGAAUUGAUUUUUUAAACAAUCGAAAACAUCCUUCUUGAACUUAUUUUUUCUUUCUUUACAUGUGGAGAAAGAACUUGAUUUAAAAAUGGAAAGAAGAGAAAUGUUUGAAUAACUUCUAUUUGUGUUAGGCUUAAGUUCUUUUCAUCAAUUUUCUAAACUACCAAUCUCAAUUAAAAAGAAGACACUUCUUCAAUAAACCCUACUAAAACUUGCAUACCUAGUAUUAGUAUUAUAUAUUUAGAUAUAUAAUUAUAUAUAUCAAAAUAUGAAUAUUAUAUAUAUACAUAUUAAAGGGUCGAGCCUAUAUCGGGUUUGACCCUAAUAAGACCCAAACUCUGUUCACAUUUAAUUUCGAACUAAUAUUUAGAUCCAAUUUCAAUCCAACUCAAUGAAAGGUCAGACUCAUUAGACUUUUUCUCGGAGCCGAAUUCAAACUGACUCAGCCCCAUUGAUAGUCCUAGAAGGAUUGCCUUAGAUUUUCCUGCUAAUCCGCUUCCCUCUCAAAAUGAGUAAGAAAGGGAUAAAACAAUAAUUACAUAUAUAAUACCAAAUUUGAGACCAAGUAUACCAAAGGGAAGAAGUAUACGAGACAUUAGUGGCAUGAAUAAAUGAAGUAAAAAAUAAAAAAUUUUAAUUAGAAUUGCUAGUGCCAAUUUAAGACAAUUGCAUUGUGAUUCGGGUCUUAUUUUGUCCUAAUACCCUCAAUAUCACUAUGUGAAAACUUAAGCAACUAAAAUGAUUAAAAUUUCAAACAUCAGGAUCCAAAAGUACAAAGUCAAAAUUUUUAAAUAACGGUAAUUAAAUUUUGACCGUUAGUCAUUGCUGAGUUUUCGUCAUUGUAGAAUGUAUCUACUACCAAAAACUUUGAGAACCAAAUUUAUUUGAUCGGAACAUUAAAGACUAAUUUAACGCUUAUGCUAAAAAUUGGAGACUAAAACUACAAUUCUCCCUUUUUCCAAAAGAAAAAUCUACACCUUUUUGUUCACACAUGUGAUUUUUUGUGCACACAUGUGUUUUUUUUUACCUUUGAUAUCACACAACGGUCCAAACCCACUGACAUCGGUUAAUAGAUUCAAUUGUUAAAAUGACUUUGUAAAUUGUGAGGGUGGUAAUAUGUAGAAAAAUCCUGUUUGGUAGAAUUUGGAUAAAAGGAGAGUGCAUUUGAUAAAAUUAAAGUUUGAAAAUUGAAGUAUGAAUUUCAUUAAGUUAAGUUGUUAAAUUGUUAAGUAUUAAGUCCUAUUUGAUAACUCAAUUUAAUACUUAAAGUUAAUGGAUUUAGAUAUUAACAUGUUCAAACGCAUUUGAUAACCAAAAAAUUGCACAUCUGAAUUAAUUAAAUGACACCCACGAAUGUCAGCUAUUGAAACAACUCGGAAGCAAAGCGAAGCAAACAAAAACAAUUGUUGAAAAUUCAACUCAACUCGCAUGAGAGGCUGGAGACAAGGAACUAUCAGCACCGUAAGCAGAAAGGGCUAGAGUUUCACUAAGGGGUCAUCGAGCUAGGUCAGAAUCCUCAACUUAGGGUUAAGGUAGACUGAAUUUUUUAGGCAAAAUUGGCUUCAAAAAAUAAAAUGGCACUAAAUUUUUCAGGUAAAACUUGCACCAAAAAAUAGGUGAUAAGUUAUUCAUUUGUCACUUAAUGUGAUAUAUACUUAAAUGUAUCAUAUUUAGUACUUAACAAUUCAAUAAAUUAAUGAAUUUAGACUUUAAAUUUAAUAUUUCAUUUCGAUAUACACUCAAAUAUAUCAUAUUUAGUACUUAAACAUUUAAUAGUUUAACGGAUUCAGACUUUAAAUUUAAUAUUUUAUUUUGGGAGCAAGUUUUGCGUAAAAAAUUUAAUGUCACUUAAUUAAUUUCGACAUUCUAUUUUUGGUUAUCAAAUGCAUCUGAAAAUGUUCAGAUCUGAACCCAUUAAGUUUAAGUGUUAAAUUGGAUUAUCAAACAAGAUCUAAAUCAUUUAGUAUAAAUCACAUUUUAUCAGUAAAGUAAGUGGAAGAACCAGGGUAUAAAACCUCAUUUGCCACACAAAAGUGGGGCCAAAUAUAAAUAUAAAUAUCAAUUGCCAUACAGAUUGCAAUCCAUUAACUCAAUAAUACUAGGAAUGAAACACCGAUAGACUCAAAAAAGAGUGGCUUGAAAAUUUGUGACAGAAAAAACAGAAGAAAAAGCAAAAGGAUUGGAAGAAGAAGCAAUGAAAGUGGAACUGGAAACCAGGCAUGAGCUGAAGCCCUGGGAGCAGCACUCUGUUGUGAUCAGUGAUCACCAUUCCUCGUUUUGACUACAACGCCUCUUCUUUUCUCCUCAGUCAUUCCCACUCCGGAUUCCUCAUCACCUGCCCCAUCAGUAAGGCCUCUCAUCCCAUCUCUUCUGUCCAGAAAGUUUUUUUUUUUUGUUAUUUUUGUACUUUAUUGGCAUUUAUUUAUGUAAUUUGCUUCUGGGUUUUUGAAAAUUUUCAAUUUGAUUGUUUGGGAUAGUCUGGGCAGUGUGGUGAUUGAUAAAAAUGCUUCAUUUGUUAUGUAGAGAGGGAGGAAGAGUGCAACAAAAGAAGCCAUGUCAAUUCUUGAAAAGGUAAUGAAUUCUGCUGGUUUAGUCUCUUGUCAGUUCUCUGGAAUAAUGUCAAAAUAAGUAAAUUUUAGCCAUAAAGAAAAUUCUUGCUGACUUGAGAAUCAGGACAGUUAAAUUGGUUUAGUGAACUUGGUUUUAUGGGAUUCUUAAAUUCUGGGCAAGGUUGGGAACUUGGGGUUUUUGUAAGUGAAUAAGACUGUAGCGGGCUUGAAUUACCGGUGUAAUGUGUUUGCAGCUGUAAUUGUUUUGGUUUAAGAUGAAGAGUAGCAAUGUUAUGGAAUAGAUGUUUGAAUGAUUAAGCAUAAGUAAACAGCAAAUGGGAUAGCAACUAAUUGAUAAAACUGAUGAAGUUUGGAGAACUUGGUGAGCUAUGCAGAAGGUAGGCACAGGCAUGUUGUGUUGUUCAAAUUCAAUAGGUGUUGAUGGGGGAAAAACAAACAAACUAAAGUUGUUUACCGUUUUAAAUGUGAUAACUUUUUGGAAAUGAAGUGUAAUGCGAAUGGUCUUCAUUUGUGAGAAUAAUGGCAAAAUUAUGCAAGAACAAUAUUUCCAUCUGUUGAACUUAGUCUAGGAAAAAUGUUUAUGAUUUUUGGGUUCUAAACUUGAUUAAGAUUUCAGUUUGCAGACAAACAGAAGGAUAAGAUGUCAAUUAUCCUGGCGAUAGGUUAUUAACAUCUGAGUCUAGUAGCUGGCUUCAAAUUUUUUUGCUUAUGAUCUUCCACUUCAUCCAUUUAUUUGUAGCCUGUGCAUUUUUGGGUCACAGAUUAGUAUGGUUUAGUCCUUGUUUACAAGUCUUAUUCAACGUGUUUUGCUUACACACUGUCAUUUGUCACUUGGUUCAAUCAAGUGACUGGUUAAGUCUGCUGUGCCUUCUUGAGUGAAUGACAUGAUUCGACAUCCAAAAUGCAGCACUGGUUAAUCACUCACAGCUUUCCAGUAUAUAUAUAUAUAUAUAAGAGUUACCAAUUUCCUUGAAUUUGAAGAGGCUUAUGGAUACAUAGUAACCUUAGCUUAAGCUUGAGCACAUAACUGAUGCAGGUUAAGCACAAAUUCACCUUACUAAUACGAAACCUUUGCAUUGUUUUCUUUGAAAAUAAAUCAUAAACAAUAGAUAGAAGAUAUGCAAUAUUUUCUGCUGUAAGAAAAUUUUUUUAAAUAUAAAAGCAAUUUAAUAAGUGUAUCGCUAUAUUUCUCUAAAGAAUGACAUGGUCUUAAGUGAUCAUAUUUCUGGAAGGAGAAGACCAUUAGUCCAAUUUUGUUAGGCAUUUGAGACAUCAGAUAUUAUAUGCAUGAAAUAUAUAGCUGAUUGCCAACUACCUAUUUUGAGUUCUCAAGAAAUAGAUAUAUAAGCUUCAGUUUGCUUUUAACAUCAAAAAGGCAUUCUCCAUUGCAGCAGCUUUAGAUAAUUGUCUUUCAUUCAUACCUAAAGGGACUUGUAUAGGCAUGAGAUGUUGCACUCUUCUAGGGCCCAAAUAAUAAGUGGACAAUUUAGAGUUAGCUUAAAAUCUUGUGGCAGACAACUUGUUUGGAAUUGUUUUUGGAUAUAUUUACACCAGAGGCCAAGCGUUGCUGAGGCUUAUCACUAUGUGAAAGAAAUGAAUGAGUUUCAGUUAUAUUUGAAGUCCUCUCCAAAGCCUGUAUCGUUUUUACUUCUUGGACCUCUCUUGUUGCAAAGGGAAGACAAAUGAUGAACCAACUUGGAGAAUGGGAAGGUGUGCAUCUGGUGCUUGCAAGAUUCUAUUCUUUUGACUUCACGGGGUUUUUAUAAAAACUGUGUGUGCUGAAUGUUUUCUUAGGGUUUCAAACUGAUGUUGAUAUAUUGAUACAUUAUGCGUUCCAUUCUUUUUUUACGAAUGCCAUCAAUAUUCACGACUGAUGCAACCAAUGAAGAGUUUAAGGGAAGAGUAAAUUUUAAUAUUCUUGGGAACUUGGCUGAAGAUCCAAUUUACCCACUUUGAAGAAUGGGUAAUCUUUUUAGGAUCAAGAUUAUUUAUUAAAAAUUUAAAUUCUACAUAUUUCAGUAGGCUUAAAAUUUAUGGUGCUUUAGUAGCUUAUGGGUAUUGGGUAAACUGACAGUGGAGGACACUUCGGCCGUUGUUUGAGACCAUAGGCUUAUUCAUUGACUUUGAUGGAAGGGCUUUUAAUUGAAAUGUUGGGAUUCAUCACCUCAAUUUCCUGUCAUAAGAUAUUCUGGUCCCCAGGGCUGAGCUGAAGCCCAGUACAUAUUGCAUGUACUAUUGCACACACACCCCACAGACCCAGGUUUGUUAGGCCAUCCAUGAAGGAGUUAUUUAAGUUUUUCACUGGUGAAUUUUUUAUGCAUCUUUGUCUUGGAAGUGAUGUCCUAAACCUUUGUGUCAUAUGUGGCUUUCUUCCUGACUUUUUACUCUCAUCUUCCAUUGCAUGUGGUAGUUUCUUUUCCCGUCCUUGAAUAUACACCAAUGUGAAAGUAAGAGUUCAACCUGUCUUCCCCACUGUCAAAUAACAUUCAGUGUUAAAAGCUUGUGUUCAAAUUUUGUGUGAAUGAGUUUGCUGCUUUUAAGACUAUUAGUUAAAAGAGUUCAGGACAAUUUUUACUGAUCAGCAGCCUGUGUACGUCAGAAGCUAUUUUAGUGUACUUCUAAUGGAUUUCAAAAGCUGGGGAAGUGCUUUGUUAUCUAGGCAUGGGUCUUAAGCUUGAAGCAUGCUCUGUGUUGUUGGAAUAGCGAGUUGCUGAAUUUGUGCGCUAAAUAGGGCUCUAGGAUACAAUUGGUGCAGAAAAUUAGAACAGGAGUAGGGAAGAAGAAAUUUAGAAACCGUUGCGUCCAUGGGGAUACUAUUUUGUACCAGUUCUCCUUUUCAAACUGCCAACAUAGAGAUCUGAUACAUCACUCCUACAGUGGACAACCUUGCAUAUUCUCCAAAUCUCGUGUUAUUUUCAUAUGCAUCAAUAACUAUCUGUAUUCUUCUACUUCCAUCAGUUGCAAGUAUAGAAGACUUUUAUAUCCUGAUUGCUGAUUGAAACCUGAAGAAUUCCAUGACAACAGAAAUAUCUGCGACCAAUCGAACUAUUGACUUUUAAAGAUGAGAAUCCCUCUGAAUCCUCCUAUAGAGAUAAAAGAAUUAUGUGUCAAAUAUAGAUAAUCUUUUCUUGCUGGCUAUUCUAUGUAAAAUGUUUUCUCAUGGAAACUGGUGGAGAAAUGAAGUGAGUCUGGCUAGCUGGUGGUGAUCUAUCGUCAUUCUUUACUUUUUAUUUUCAUUAAUUUUUUACAAAAUAUGAUUGACUUUUAGCACUUUUGAUCUUCGAAGAAUGCUUCUUUCUACAACUUUUUGGCUGACCCGGUUCUUUCUUGAUAGCUGUAUUAGUUUAUGAAAUCUUGGUUAAAAGAGUGACAAUUAGCACAAGGAUAAUCAGAAAUUUAUUGUACAACAGAUGGUCCAGGGGCAGAAUACUCGAGUUUGGGAGCAAUUCUGACAUAAUUGUUUGAUAUGAUUAUUAGUAGAGAAAUUGCAGUUUAAUGAAAUGUAAUUCUUGAAGACAAUAGCCUAUGGCUUUUAUAUACUUAUGCUACUGAACUUGUGCAGAAGCAGCAUGCAUGAUAUCUCUUCACCAUCUUUGUUUUUUAUAGAUGAUCUGAUUGAUUCAUCCAAUUUCAUAUAUCUGAACUAUCUCAAUGGGAAACCUACUUGCAUCUAAAGGGUGUAAAGUGUAGAAAUCAGCUUGGUGUCUUGUUACCUGUAAUUGCAGUACAUUUUGUUGUGUAUGUAAAACCAAAUAAGUUAAUUCAAGUUGCGUUUAUGUUCUGUGAGAUGUUGACCAGUUGUUCGAUUAAAUAUGCUUUGCAGUAUGUCAGAUCCUUGAGUAUUCUAAAUGCUGAAGGUUCUGAAAGUUUGGAUGAGAAUAUGUCAGCGAAGAAGAGGAGAAUAUCUGUAAGUACAGAGGAGGAACUUGACAACAGUUUGGAGAGGAAAGAUGAGGCCGAUGACUUUGGAGAACCUGGUAAUAGUUUAAGUCUGGUAUUUUAGUUGAUACACAUGCUCGUACAGAUAAUGCAAAUUAACAUGUAUAACGACCUGCAAAUUUACAAAGAAAAUGAAGAGGCUGGGGAUUUGUCUGUAAGAACAGGUAAUACGACUUGUAUGCAUGAAAAAAUAAGAACAAGUUUAUUAAAACAACUAGAGCCAGAAUCUAAUGGAAGAUUCUGAACUGUUUUUGUCAGUGGCUGUUUGGCUUCUUUUCCUUUUGGUUCUGAGCCCGAGACUCCACAACUAGAGCAAAUUUUGCCCCAUGGCAUGUCCUGCUUGGCAUGGUUAUAUUUUUCAUGGCAAUAUUGAGUGCUGUGACCGACUUGAUUGAGAAAUUCAUCUUCACGGGCUUAAGAAGAGGGCAAGAAGCAUUGAUAGUCAACUUCCCUGGCCUGCUCAUCCUCCCCUUUGGAGUAUCUUUAACUUCACUGUAAUGUUUGAAUUCGGCCGAGUAUACUAUAUAGUUCAUGGGUCAUGUCCGGCACCAAAACAAUGCCUAGAAAUAUAUAAUCUUCUGCAAGUAGUUGAAUGAGAGUUUUGAUCUUGCAUCACAUACCCUGUUUGCAUUAUCAUCUUUCAUCACAUAAAACCAUCGUAAUUGAGGAAAAUUUGAACUUUUGAUUGAAAAGCAAAGAACUAUAUGGAGAUUUUCACCAAAGAUGCCAGUUGUAACCACGUCUGCAGGCUAUCACCAACAGCCAGGAGACCGUGCCACAAAUUCCAAAAUCAGUAACAUUACCUGAAAGACAUACUUUCCUCUCACCACUCACAGAAUUUCUAAUCUACACAGGACUUCAAAUCAUAUGUGAGCCCACAGUUCUAUAAAAGCUUGUUCAUUUAAUUAAACUGUAGCAAUACAAAAUUGCAUUAGACUGAUCCUAUAGAAUUAUCCCUGCCAAGAAUUGCAAAAUUAGAAAGUAAUCAGCAUCACUUUGCUCUAAACAUCUGUUCUGACUAAACUGGUGCUGCAAAUCUACCUAUAGCACACGAAUUUGGGAAAGAAAUUCAAGAUAUGAAGGCCACUCUACAGUCAGACUUCGGCCACACCAAAUAGUACAACUUGUGUCUGAAGUAUCAAUAGCGUAACCUUUUUUCCGUAUCAUAUUUUGCCGAUAUAAACUACACAUGUAUGAAAGAUCAGCAUGAGAUAAAAGACAAUUCAGGUGACUCAAUGAACAGAAGAGAACCAGCUUAAAAGUUCCUGUCAAUUUCGAAUGCCAAACUUACUAGUGAAUGUUGAUUACUUACAGUAAAAACGGUUCAUUGGCAGCUCUAACACAUGACAGAUUUAUGUGAACAAGUAUACAAACUCUGAAAAAGUAAAGUGCGGUUGUAAAACAGGGCAAGGUAAAAGAAUGAAAGAAAUGCGAUUGGAUCAUAACCCGGGAUAGAUGCUAAAAUCCAGAUCAACUAUGAAAUGAAGACCAGAAAUUCAGCACUAUGAAGAAGAAUGAAAAAAAAAAGAAGCAAAACUCGCAUUCACCAACCUUUCAUAUAUAAUCUGCACAGAAGGAUUUUGAGAACGUACGCUAAGAGCUGCCUUCUAAAGCAUAAAAAAAAAUCCCUCCUCCUUCAUCCGGACUUGGGACCGGCUGUGUGAUGUAUUGUGUCAACAUAGAUGGAGUUAAAAACUUCAUGUCUCUAGUGCCAAGCAUGAUAAGCCACCUCUUCGCGAUCAUAGACAAGUCACCUUGGACAAUGAAUACCCCCUAUGCCAUUGAAUGCGAGGAAAAAUUGACGAGUACUCCCACUCAAAAACAUGUAGAGCAGGCUGUAUCAAAUAGCAGUAAUUGGUUAAUUCCCAGUCUUCAGCAUGUGUGAGGUGUGAGGAUCUCAAAAUUGCAUUAAUUUCUGAAAAUUAAAAUCAAAAUAUUAUUUAAAUGUUGAAAUUAUUAAAUAAUAUGUAUUUAUAUUUAAUAAUGUGUAUUUAUAUUAUUAAUGAUGUUUUCACUUAUAUAAAUGUUAUAUUUUAAUUUACAUGAAUUUUUAAAAAUUUAUUUGACGGUUCGCGCUCGGCUAAGCAUUAGGGUGAAUUUUUGCGCACUGACGUGCAAUGUAGCCCUAAGUUGAAAUGUAGGAUAUGUAGAGGUUAUAAAAAUGUACAACUAAGCUGAGGAUGUGUUAAAUGGAGAAUUCUUACCGGUAGAUAAAAUUCUCGCGCGUAAACGCGAUUCAAUUCAAAAUUUUCCACCAUUAUUAGCAUGCCCAAAAGUCAAUUAGACUACUCCCUAGACUACCCCAAGUUUUCUCCCAUCUUGUCACCAGCUACCACCCUUUUCUUACCCCUCUAAACUUCCGCUCCUCUGCUGCAAGAAGAAGCAGAAACCGCUGCCUUCCAAGCUCCAACAGCCUCUCAUCUUCAGCCACUCACACCCAGUCUUCAAGCUUCCAUUUUCAGCUUCCACCUCCACUUCUUGCUGCUGUCCAGAUCGAGCAAGAGGAAGGAGAGGAUCGUUGUUGCUGCUGCUACUCUCGCUGCUCCUGCCGCUGCUACUACUGCUAGGUUGUUCGGACCAGGGUGAAGGAGAAAAAUCAGCUUCCUAUUUCUUCCUUCCACCAACCACAGAACCACCUCAAGCUCACCAAAAACCCCAGAACCCCAGCCCUCUUCAUCUUCAGUCGCUGCUGUGCUGCUGCGGUGACUGGCCAGACCGAGAGGGAAACAGAGAGCAAGGGAGCCGGCUGAUCCUCUGUGGUUCUAGGAGCAACUUGAGGAACUAGACAAUACAUUUAGCUAGUAAACAACCCACUUGAAGGUAACAAACUCCAGCUUAGCACCUUAGCCAAAAAUUUCAGAUUUUGCAGCUUGUGGUUCUUGAAAUGUUAACUUGCGUUGGUGAAACUUGUUGGGUUGCUGAACCUCUAAGCUAAUGACUGAUGAAGCUAGAGGUGUUUUAUGUGUUUAUAUGUGUGUUUUGUGGUGGGUAAAUGUUUGGGAAAUUUUAAGAAUGAAAAUGGAAAGCUGGCCGAAAUGGGAAGGCAAAAUUCCAGCUUGGUUACCGGUUGUUGUUUUGCAAUUUUUACUUAGGUAAUGAACUGGAUUGCUUGUUGGGAGGUUAGACUAGUUAGUUGUGAUUGUUAUGGACUUAAAGUAUGACUUAUAAGUUGAAAAUGGUUAAGCAAAAAGAGGAGAAAAUUCUGCUCUGCUAUAGCCGCACAAACAGGCUUGAUUUUCUUCCAUUGUUACCCGAAUUCUUGAGCUGGAUUUUGUGAAGUUAUUGGGCUAUUUAAAUCAUGUAUAUGUUCACCUAUAUGUGUAGAGUAGUUUUGGUGAAAAUGCAGCUUUGGUACAAUGGAAAAUUUCAUUGAAAAAUCAAAGAGAAAAAUGACCUUUGAGCUACCCGAAAAUUCUGGAAAUUUUCCAGAUUUUGGUCGAAUUUUUGGGGGUUGAUUUCGACAAAUUUGUGAACUAUUUGGGCUGUAUACAUGUUUACCAAUAUGUGUAGUAUUGUUUGGGGAAAAAUGUAACUUUUGGGUAGUUGAAAAGUUUUGGACAAAUUGAAGAGGAAAUGGACUGCUUGUACCGAAUGCACUUGAAAAUUUUCCCGGCUUUGCAUGAGACAUGUUGAAUAAUUUUCACGAUAACAUGAACCCAAUUUGACUUGUGUUUAGUUAAGGGGUGCGUAUAGCUCAAUUUGGGGACAAAAUCUAGUAGAGUUUACGUUCAAAAAAUGGACCAAAAUUUUAUUCUUCACGAGGCUACCCAAAACAGAAAUUUUGUUUGAAAUUAGAAAUGAUUUUGACGUUUGGAUUUCGUUUUGGUUAAAUGUGGACUAAAUCUGUCCCAAAAAUGUUUUCUAGCAUUAAUCUUUGUUACUAGGUCCACUUCGAGUCAAUAACCUUGAAUUUUAUUAGACCAAAUGCCCUAUUUCAAGAAGUAUGCCAAAUCUGGAAAUUUUCUUGAAAACUCAAGUUUUGGCCUUCAUGAAAAUCUUGGAACCAAGUUGGUCAAUGGAAUUUGGCAAACUUAAGGAGUUUCUAUUUUAUAGAAAUUCCAACGACUAGUUUUACUUGGUUUAUAUGAUUUCCUCUUAAAGGAAUUUCCGAAGAUAUUUUUGGGGAAAAUUAGAAGGGAAAAUUCCUCUAAAUGGGUAAAUGUGAUUUUUCUCAACCUGUGACACCAAAGUGGUGUUAAUUGCUUAUAUGACUCUAGAACUUGGUUAUUGAAAUAUUUGACGAAUUUAGCAAGUUUUUGGUUUUAAAGAAACCUCAAAAUUUAAUUUCACUCGAAAUUUGUGGAUUUCACUUUGAGAAAACGAUUAAUACUAGUUUGGGAUUUUUGAGUGAAAUUAAAUGCUAGUUGACUCGAGUUAAAUUCGCCAACUCAAAAGUGGAAAUUUAUGUGAAAUAUUUGUAUGAUUUUAGGAGUUGGUGAAGAGCACAAUCUCGAUCAAAGUUUGGAAUUCUAGACUCUUCACUUGAGGUGAGUGUCUCUUGCAUGAAUCGUGUUUAACUGCUAGUUGAACUACUUGUUAAAAGUACUUGCUAGAGAUAUCAUGAAAUGUUAUAUGCUAUGUGAUUGCGUGAAAUGCCACAAGUACAAGUGUUGCAAUGUCGAUUGGAGCGUGGUCUCGUCGACUAAAUAAACCAAACGGAUGCACGUACCACGCUCUAUUAGAGUGGGAGGUACCUCUCUGCUGUCUUGGUAAAAGUGCUUGCAAUAUUCGUGUUGGAGUCGGGCCCGAAAAUAAGGGGGAAGACGUUGCUAGGAGAUGUGUAGAUUAGGGAAAAUGUCUACAUGGAGUUUAGGUAGUGAAAGUUGACGGAGUGUCAACUACUAUAAAUUUUCUGAUCAAGUGCGUGGACUUUGGCUCCUGAGAGCCCCGUAUCCUUUUCUUGUCAUGUUGUUUCGCUUUCUUAAAUUGUUAAGUGCUUACUUGUCUAUUUGUACUUGUUAAAUUGCCUUAUGUGAAUUGCAUGUUUCGAGGCACCACUGAGCUAUUGGCUCAUCCCUUCCAAAUUGUUUUCCUUGACAGGUUCUGAAAUGCAUGAAGUCUUGGAGAACUAGAACAGAAAUGUUAUAUUUUGAAUGCCCACUUUUGUAAUUGUACUUUUGGAAACGUUAGUAUCUUUUGGAUGAUUUUUGUGUUUUUGGGAAAAUGUGAAUCCUGUGGUGCUUCUGUGCCCUGGAUUAGGAACUUUAAAUUGUAAAUUAAGUUGAAUUUAAGUAUACUAAGCUCGACGUUUUCGUUGGUACUUGGAAUUGUGUUUUGGGCUGUAUAAGUUGAAUUGUAUGAAUUAUUUAAGUACGUGACUUGCUCGAGAAGUAAGGUUUAUUUUCGAUUUAUAUUUGGUGAAAUUAGUUAAUAGAGUGUGUGAGUCCUAGCGAGAGCUAGGCAGGCGACCCGCCAACCCUUUGGUUCGCCUUAGGGAGAAGUGGGGCCGCCACAUGAGGGAUGAAAUGUCAUCUAGCCUAGUAAAGGGAAUUUGUUCGAGCAUAACAAUUUGAUAUGAAUUCAGCACUAACUGGCCCAUAUGACAAUUAUAUUAAAGAAAGAUGGCGUGCUCACAGGAGUUGGGUUAAAAAUGUCCAAAAGACUUGUCUCAACUUUUCAUCCGAAACCAAGUUUUUUGGUUUAAAACCCCAAUAUACCUAAAAGUCGAAGGUCCAAGUGAGAUCUAGGAUUGCUCACCAGAACCAGGGCGUUAACAAUGGUAACGACAGUGGUUGGCCUGCACUAUAGUUGCGGUGGGGUUCCCCCCAUUGUCCCUCGCUGUGUGAGUGCAAGGACUUGGCUGCAGCUUGUUAAUAGAUUUUGUUUUUCGACUGCAAAGCUGUCCCUCUUGUGGCAAUUGCAAUCCCAAUUUUUUUCAGAAGCACCCUUUUUUUUGGUGCUAUUUUGUGCUCUUUUUGCACUUAUUCUUUUUUAGGUCUCCUGAGAUUCCAACUGGCUCACUCAGGAGAUGUUUGGCACGGGAACCACAACUGCACCCUCACUUAUUAUUUGGUAUAGCGAGACUCCAGACUUGACUUACUCUGCAACAACCGAACAGGGAGCCACAACAGAUACAUGGCGCUAACCUGCCCGUGAUUGCUUUAUCGCCUCACCAACUUAUUAAGUAUAUUAAGAUGUCAACUCCAAUCACUAGGCGCAGACUUCAAGUUUUAACUCAUACUUCUUUCAGUUUCUAAGCCAAGGUAGAAAUGGAAAGAGGCCAAUUAGUAUUUCAUUCACAUCAAAAGCUACACCGUCGCAUUAUCACACAAUUACAGGGCUAGUUGUUAUAAGUGCAAAGGUGUGUGAAGUAGCUUUAGACAGAUUCCCAAAGUAUAGCUAACUUUGAUGCCUGAAAGUGGAAGUACCUAUCAUUUUCACCUCUGGUAUUUAGGCACAGUUAUAGGGAACUCACUUAGACAUACUAAUAGGAACUCAAGUGAUCAUCAGUAGCUAUUAAAAUGUUCACAAACAGUUAAAAAGUUAAGAAGAUAGCGUUUAUAGGCAGGCUAAAUAGGGCAAAAAAGAAUCAAGUGCUGUUUAAUUAGCAAAAGGACAGAAAUUUAAGUAUUGAUCGUGUAGAGUAUUUAUGAGACAUUAAAGCGGCAGAUUUAAAAUUAUGCAUUACCCUUUUUUCCUUUUGAAAACAAUAACACCUCAUGCAUAGUUGAUAGAUACGUGUUCGGUAGAGCUAAGCGAAUUUUCUAUUUUUGGGGAAAAAAAAAGACAUUCAAUGCUUUUUUUUCAUUUUUUUUUAAAAAAAUUCUUUCCCUACUAAUAAAAAAGUAAAGGAAUAAAGAAACCAAAAUCCUUUAGUUUUUUGGAUUUUUUUUUUCAAUUUUUCGUUCUUUACUUGCAAAUAAAAAAGUAAAAAGGAAACCAUGAUCAUUUUUCAAUUUUGUUUUUUGUUCUUUGCUUGCAAAUAAAAAAGAAAAAAAAAGAAACGGAAAUAUUUUUUUCACUUUUUUGAUUUUUCAAUUUUUUUAAAAUGCUUUUUCUACUAAAAAAAGUAAACAAAAAAAAGAAACCAAAAUAUUUUUGCGCUUUUUUGGAUUUUUGGAUUUUUUGGAUUUUUUUUGUUUUUGUCAAUGUUUUUUGUUUUUUGCUUGCAAAUAAAAAAGAAACGAAAAUCUUUUUUCACUUUUUUUAUUUUUCAAUUUUUUUAAAAAAUGCUUUUUCUACUAAAAAAAGUAAACCAAAAAAAGAAACCAAAAUAUUUUUGGGCUUUUUUGGAUUUUUUUGGUUUUGUCAAUGUUUUUUGUUUUUUGUUUUUUGCUUGCAAAUAAAAAAGAAAAAAAGAAACGAAAAUCUUUUUUCAAAUUUUUUUUUAAAUUCUUUUCCUACCAAAGAAAAGUAAACAAAAAAAAAGAAGCCAAAAUAGUUUUCUGCUUUUUUGGUUUUUUGUAUUUUUUUUGGUCUUUUUUUCAAUGUUUUUUGUUCUUUGCUUGCAAAUAAAAAAGAGAAAAAAAGAAACGAAAAUCUUUUUUCACUUUUUUGAUUUUUCAAUUUUUUUUGAAAAUUCUUUUCCUACCAGAGAAAAGUUAACAAAAAAAAAGAAGCCAAAAUCUUUUUUGCUUUUUUGGAUUUUUUGAUUUUUUUCAAUGUUUUUUUAGCAAAUAAAAAAGGGAAAAAAAAGAGGAAACCAAAAUCUUUUUUUAUUUUUUGUUUUUUCAUUGUUUUUUGAAAUUUCUAAUUCUCUUCCUAGCUAAUAAACAAAUAAACCAGUGAAAGAAAUUGAAACUUUCAAACCUGUUGUUGCGCUUUGCCCGCCAAAUCCUCAGCAACUCUAGAAAGGGUCCUCAAGUUCAGUUUCACGAUCGUAUCCACAAAGGCACACGUCUCUUCUUUCGUGUUGGCCUCGGCCGCAUCAAUCACGUACGUCUCCACAACCACCGUCUCAUCGCCGCCGUUGGGGUGUAGGCUCAUGAUCGAGCGAUAAUUCGACAACCGGUGGUCGCCGCUGACAAUGCUGAACCCAAAGAUGCGCUGAUCAUGAUCAAGAAUCUCCAGCCGCUCGAUGCUAUAGGAGGCUGGAAGUCCUGACGCGACAUCCACACGGCGUAAGCAUCUGACUUGGUUCGCCUGGCCAUCUAUGAUUCUGCAGGAUCUCACGAACGGCUUGUAGCGUUGAGGAUUUUCAAAGUCGGAAACCAGAGCCCAAACGAUGGAGGCAGGAGCUGCGAUAGUUUGGAACAAAGUAGAUGAACAUUCGUUCGGCUGCAAAACAGGGUUGUGGUCGCUGGAAACGGUUGGGGGAAGCUGAAAAACCAUGGUUGUGGAAGGGGGCGUGGGAGGAAAUUUUUUAACAAUAUCUUCAAUGAAAACGAUGAAGGAGUUUCUCUUCUGUGAGGAAGUUAGAUGAAUAGUGACUGUGUAUUUAUAGGCGUAGGAGAAAUUGCUCCAAUUCCUAAGAGGAGAAGGAUUAUUGCCAAAAUAAGGAAGGAUAAGGAUUAUGAUUUCCUAUGUGGAAAAGGAUUGGAUAUCAGGUGGCAGUGGCAGUUUGGCUGGCGAACCAUCUGUUCUGCUAAAUUUGGGUUGAUCGAAUUACGCCAUUAACAAUUGGAUAAAAUAUAGAAAAGCCCCUUAAGGUUAAGUGAACAUACAAAAAAACCCCCUAUAGUUUCUAAGCAUACACUAUGGUAACUUAUGGUUUGAACUAAUUUAAAAAGUGAUAGAAAUCGUUUGAAUUAACGGGUUUGAAAUACACGCGCUUCUUUUGCGAGUAUUUAUACUGGAAAUAAAUAAAUUUUCAAUUGAUAUACAUAUUAUACUCCUAGAGUUAUAAUAUAGAAAAGCCCCACCUCCCCUUCCCCCACCAUGAUUAAUCAAACCUACAAAAAAAACCUUUAUAGUUUCAAAUCAUACAAUCCAAUAUCUCAUGGUUUGAAUUAAUGUGAAAAUCAGCAAAAAUCAUUUGAAUUAAUGAGUUUGAGGUAACUUGACAUGAAAAAUAAUUUUUUAAAUUCAAAUUUUUAGUUGAUAUACCUAUUAAACACCUUAGAACUCAUAAAGUUUUCAAAAAAUAACCAAAAACUCCCAAUAUAACUCAUCUUUAUUUCUAUAUAUAAAAUAAAUAAAUAAAUAAAAAUUCUCAAAUAAAACUCAUCUUAUUUCUAUACAUAAAUAAAUAACUAGAAACUUCCAAAUACAGCUUAUCUUAUUCCUAUGCACAAAAUAAAUCAAUCAAAAUUACAUGUAACCAUGGGGGGUUUUUCCCACAGAUUGGUUUAAUCACAGGGAGCUUUUCCCUGAGUUUGCUUAAUAGGAUGGUUGUUAGAAGGUCUUUUAUUGCUUAUAUAUAUUAGGGUAAUUGUGUCAUUUCAUCUACCUCCGCUAGUUUUGACGAUUUCCAUUACUAUCUCAAAUUAGUUCAAACCAAGAGAGGUCAAAAUUUAUGAUUUGAAAUCAUAAGGGACUUUUCUGUAGGUUAGCUUAACGACUGGGGACUUUUUUGUAUUUUACCCUACUUUUAAAGAUUGAACUUUUUCAUUUUUUUUUCUUGUUUUAUUAGAAGCAUAUAUGUUACAAGUUUGAACAUAACAAUUCAAUAUUUUGAUUAGAGAUCUAUUUUUGGGAUAGUUUAAGUUAUAAAAAAUAAUAUAUUUGUAGAAAAGAAGUCAAUUUGUAGUAGUGUGCCAAUAUACUGGCUUUUUUGGAUUGCCAUUCUCUGGACAAAAAUCUCAUAUAUUUUGGGAAUAUUCCCUUGAUACAUUUUUUCAAUGAUCUUUUUACUUUAUAUAAAUCACAUCUAAAAAGGUGUUACAGUAUACCCUUCCAGAAAAUGCAAUCCAAACAAUAUACUUCCAUGAUCAAUCAUAGUAGUAUUGAGAUUAGGAACCUUUUUUGCAGUUAGAAUAAAAAAAUAAAAAAGAAAAAUAGAACCUAGACAACAAAAUCGAUUAGGUGACUUGACUCUCAUGAUUACUUGACAUAAUUCUAAUCAAGGUGAAGGUAACUUGUAGUAUUUUCGGUAAUUUAUUUCAAAGGUCAAAAGGUAGUUUGGGUACAAAAGAAUACGAGUACUAAACUAUAGGUUUAAAUUUAAUUUCAUUUAAAUAAAAAAUGGAAGGAUUUAGGCCUGUCAAUUGAGCCAUCUGAAGUGAGGUUUAACAAACUCAGAUUCGGCUCAUAUAGUUAGUACCACUUUUGGAUUUCGAAUUAUGAGAUUUGAAGUGAUAAAUAUGAAACUCAUGCUUGACUCACAAAAUAUUCGGAUUAUAAGUUUAAUUCUGACUAACUCAAGCUCACUUAAAACUCCUUAAUUUCCUUAAUAUAAUUACUAUAAUUGUUAAGUUUUAAACUAAUUUAAUAUCCACAGAACCACAGAAUUAAAACUAUAUAGGAACCGGUAACAGUUCAUUAAAAAGUAUAUAAAACCAAGAAUUUUUCAACAAUCAUAUAUCCAAUUAAUUCAAUAUACAUGAAAAAUAGUAAUAAAACAUUAUCAACAGUCAAUACAUCUUCAAAGGUCCUCAAUUUGCUCAUACUAAGAUUUGUCCUUCUAAUUCUUUUGAAAUUCUUUUAUAUAUUUAAUAUUCCUUAUAUAUAUUUUUUGACAAAUAACUCAUAAGUAUUAGUAUUAUAUAUUUAGAUAUAUAAUUAUAUAUAUAUAUCAAAAUAUGAAUAUCUUAUAUAUGAUUAUAUAGAUAGAUGCAUAUUAAAGGGUCUAGCCUAUAUCGUGUUUGACCCUAAUAAGAUCCAAACUCUACUUACAUUUAAUUCGGGACUAAUGUUUAGACCAAAUUUUAACCCAACUCAAUCAAAGGUCAGGCUCAUUAGACUUUUUCUCGAAACCGAGUUGAAACUGACUCGGCCCUAUUAAUAGUCCUAGAAGGAUUGCCUCAUAUUUUCGUGCUAAUUCAUUUCCCUCUCAAAAUGAGUAAGAAAGGGAAUUUGGGGAUUAGAUGAUUAGAGUGGGGGCUUGCUUACUUGGAUAGGUUAAUUUGGUAAUUUUGAUUAUGUGUGUUUUAUUAGAUAUUAGCAAUAUGUGAAUUUGCCAAAACUUAUGUCUUUAAGAAUUUUAAAUCUUUCUAUUAUUACUUCUCAAAAUUUUCCAAAGGGAGAAACACAACUGGUCUCUAAUGUAUCAGCAAAACAAAUAUGGUCUCUAAAUUUUCUGAUUUUAACUUUACAUUUUUAGUCCCUAAUGUUUGAAGUUUCAAUCAAUAUGGUCUCUUAAGUUUCUUGUUAUAGUUAGGGGUUUUAAAAUAAAAAAAAAGGUGUGAAUUGAACUAAAGAUAUGACAAAUGUCAUCCUAAAUUCCUAUAAAAUUUCAUAAAAACGCUUUAUAUCAACAUAAUAACAUUGCUGAACUAAAGAGCUUUUUUUCUUAAUAAGUUACAAUCAAAUGACAAUAUAUACAUAAUAUAUAAAAUAAAAAAAGGAAAAUUCUAGUAUUAAUAUAAAAUUUAUUAUCAUUCAUGCUAAUGACCUGUGCAUAUAGGCCUUAAAUUGUUAUAGUUAGGAAUUGUAAUUAUAAAAACUAGCAAACAUAAAUACUAAUAUGAAGUGCUUUUACUCAUUAUGGGUUAAUCAUCAGUUAAUUGCUAAUAGUAUAAAACAAUAAUUACAUAUAUAAAACCAAAUUUGAGACCAAUUAUACCAAAGGGAAGAAAUAUAUGAGACAUUAGUGGCAUGAAUAAAUGAAGUAAAAAAUAAAAAAGUUUAAUUAGAAAUGCAAGUACCCAUUUAAGACAAUUGCCUUGUAAUUCGCAUCUUAUUUUAUCCUAACACCCUCAAUAUCACUAUUGAAGACUUAAGCGACUGAAAUAAUUAAAAUUUCAAACAUUAUGGUCCAAAAGUACAGAAUCAAAAUUGUUAAAUAACAGUAAUUAGAUUUUGACCUUAGUCAUUGUUGAGUUUUCGUCAUUGUUGAAUGUACCUACUACCAAAAGCUUUGAGAACCAAAUUUAUUUUUUUCGGAACAUUAGAAAUUAAUUUAGCACAUAUGCUAAAAAUGGAGACUAAAACUACAAUUCUCCGUUUUUCCAAAAGAAAAAUCUACACCUUUUUUUUGUUUUAUUUUUGUGCACACAUGUGGUUUUUUUUUUCACCUUUGAUAUCACACAACGGUCCAAACCGACUGAAAUUAGUUAAUAGAUUCAAUUAUUAAAAUGACUUUGUGAAUUGUGAGGGUGGUAAUAUGUAGAAAAAUUUUGUUUGGUAGAAUUUGGGUAAAAGAGAGGUGCGUUUGAUAAAAUUAAAAUUUGAAAACUGAAGUUUGAAGUUUGAAUUCCAUUAAGUUAAGUUGUUGAAUUGUUAAGUAUUAGGCCUUAUUUGAUAACCCAAUUCAACACUUAAAAUUAAUGGAUUCAGAUAAUAACAUGUUUAGACGCAUUGGUAACAAAAAAUUGCACAUUCGAAUUAAUUAAAUGACACUGAAUUUCCUAGACAAAACUUGCUCCAAAAAAUUUUGGUAAAGCUAGUAACAUAUAGUUCAAAGUUUUGCUGUUUUUUUUUAAUUUCAAUUUUUUGCAAAAUUUCCUAGUGUUUAAAUGGGUAAAUCAUAAGCUUUCCAUUGAGUUGUUCUAUGCUAUACCUUACUAUUUUGAAUUAGGACCAUGCAUAUGGUUUUACAUAUUAAAAGUGAUCAAGGACAUGAGACAGGAUUUGCGGAAAUGGAGUUUAGUCGUGACAUGUGUCGAGCCUGUAUAAUAAUAAAUACUUACUCGAGUAAAAUAUAAAUUUUGUAUAUAGCGGUGAGCAGGGUCGAAUCCACAGGGACUGGGACUGGAAAAACUUCAUUUCUUCUAGAGCCCAGAGUACAGGGAAUUUUUAUAAAAUUGGGAAUAUUAAACAACUCAAAUAAAAGGACUAAAUUACAAUCAAUUGAAAUUGAAUCAAUAAUAAACAAACUCUAGCCAAGAAAUGACUUCAAAGAUGGUUCACUCAAUUGAUCACUGAUACAAUAAUAAUUUUAUUUGCUCACUAAUAAACAAGUUAUAAUUAUCAAAUAAGUGAUGACAAUCAACUUCUCGUUACUGUAUUGGUGAUUAAAGUACGAUCAUUAACCACUGCCCUAAUCAAGAAAUAACCCUAAGUACAACCUUAGAGUUCUAUUUUUCAAUUGCUUUAACAAUUAGAGAAAUCAUGUUCUAACCAAAUAACAUGCUACGAGAGUUAUGAGUUAUUUUAAAUUAAUCCAUAUGUUCUCCUGACACAAAUCCAAUCAUGUCAAUUAUUACUAGUUUAAAGCAAUUAAACAAUUACAGAUUUAACUGCACUAAUUGGUUUUAGGUUACUAGAUUAAUUCAAAUACCGGACCCUUGAUAUUCAAAUAACAUAAUAGGCAUAAGAAAUUAAACCAGGGAACAUAUAAAUACCACUAAAUAAAAGAAAUAAAUAUAAUCAAUUUGUUCUCAUAAUUUUAAUUGAAUCAAAUCCUCCAUUAUUUCUUGAUUAGAAUGAAUAGCUUAGUUCAUGUCCACCGAAGAAAUCGCACGGGAAAUAGUAGAAGUAAUUUCCACGGCCAUUCUUCAAAUAUGUGAUGAAGUCCAGAGGAAAAGAAAAAGAAGAACAUUGUUUCUUAUUUCUUCUUACGAGAAAAGCAAAAGUCUCGGGUUAAUCUGGCUUUUUCACGAAAGAAAAGAAUGACAACGAUGAUGUUUUGUUGCAUCGUUCCCUAUCUCUGCUACAACUACUACUAAGAAACAAAGUCUACAUCCUAAUAAAAUUAACCAAUCUUUUUCAAGAGGUGGUAAAAGAUAGAUAAACUAGUAUCCUAAUAAAAGUAGAAGACUAUCAUUCGGUCGAAAGUUUUGAUUAUUGCGACCUCAAUUUAAAAUUGGAGACCAUGUGCCAAAUCCCAAACUUCCCAAACAUGCAAGGUUAAACUUUGACGGUCCACGCUAAUUUGCAAAGAAGUUCCAUUAAAAAUUACAUCUUUAAUUUCUUUUUGCUCUAGAUCCUCACAAUUAUCACCAAUUACUAACUAUAAGUAAAAUCCAUCAAUUAAUGCAGUAUUGACUAAAAUCAACCAUCAAUUAAUGCAAUAUUGACUAAAAUCAAGGGGAAAAUAUUCAUAAAUUUAAUGACAAAAAUUGCAACUUAUCAGUCGGGUGACUUUAAGAAUUUUUUUUAAAGUGUAAGUGGAAGGUUUCGAAUUCAAGAUAUCUCAUUUGUACUCCUCUCAAAUGAAAUCUCUCUCCAUUUUUCACAAUACAUAUGUAGAUGGAUAACAUAUGUUUCACAAUACAUAUUAAUAGAUUAGCUUUUAGUUUCUUUUUUUCUGUCAGACGAUUUACUCUUGGUUUUGGCUCAUGUACGGCAGGCUAUUAGACCUUUUUGCUUUUUACUUUUCAUUCCAAUACGAAGACGAAACCCCAAAAAAGAAAAGCAAAUCUUUUCAUUCGUUCCUUCGUUAAUUCAUCUCUUCCAAUUCUUUGGCAAUUGUGUGGAUGGAAUCAAUCAAAUCACGCGAGAGUGACACGAUGAGAAGCGGCUAGGUUUCUCCUCUACCCAAAGGUCGACGCAAAGGCGCGGUUCAUAACAUAUGUGAGAUUUAAUCGAAUUUUCAUUAUUUCAUCCAAUUAGUUACUAUUCGUGCGUUUCCUGGAUUAAUUGUUCAUGGAUAUUCUAUUAAUUGAGUAUCAACGGCUGGAUAUUUAAUCUAAUCUAAUAGCCUACUGCCACGUUAAUUGAAUUGAAUCCGUAAUUAUUCGUUUAGUUGACAACUAGUGGCAACCACCAUAAUUAGUUUUAUGUUGGGAAAAAGUAAGAUCUAGUUUAAAUAAACCCUCUUAGCGUGUUUAUUGGUUAGAGUUAGGUUCGUCUAACUUUAAUGCAACUAGAUAAUUAAAUUUCUACGGUCGUAUCUAGGGUUGUUUUCUGGUUAGAGAAGCAGUCAAUGGUCGUACCUUGACCGUCGAAAAAGUAAGGAAGAACUAGCUGUCAGAGCUUGUUGAUGGCUACAACCAACCUAGUGACAAAUGAAUGAAAUAUCUUUGUAUCGAUGAUCAUUUAAUUGGACCGUGCCUGAAAAGUUGAUCCUGUGGGUAGAAUUUUAUUAAUUGCUAUUUUUAGUAAACUGUACUUGUUGGGUUAGCUUUUGAAUUUUGUUUAUUUUAUUUUCAUUUUCAUUCCAUUAAAUAUCCCUCAAUUUUGUUCUAUUGACUUGGAAAGAAACAACUUCCUAUCCGUUCCCUGUGGAAUCGACCCUACUUGUUAUUGUAUGCAAAUUUAAUACUUUUAUAGACAAUUUUGGUAUAUCGGAUCAUGCAAACUGUUCGGAAAAAGGGUGAAUCAAGUAACCUAUUGCACACCUGCUCCAAUACUUGGAUUUGUUCUAUAAUUAAUUGUGGGGGUAACUAGAACUUUUUAGUAAUUAUUAUUGCACAGGCUCGACACCUGUCAAUUUUUGGCGCCGUUGCCGGGGAACGGUGUUUUGGUUAAUUUUGUUUCUUUCGAAAUUAUUUUCUUUGGAUUUGUCUGGCAUUUUUCCAGUUUAUGCCUCGUUCUUCUCGUACAGGCGAAUUGAUUUUCGAUUUGGAAGUAGAGAAGACUGUGCGCCGAACUAGGAAAGAGAUUAGACAGCUCAGAGAGGAGCAAUCUAGCAUUGCAUCUCAGAGACUGGAUCCAGGGGUUGAGUCAACAGAUUCCAGUGGUGAUAAUUCAAGUGACCCAAGCGAAGAGGACAUACCUAUGGCGAAUGCAAGAACACUAAGGGAGUUGGCUGUUUCGAAAUUGACCCAGCAGCCUUUGUACAUUACAUUUCCAACACUAGCUGAGAAUACCUCCUUCGAACUGAAGUCAGGGUUAAUUCAUCCCUUACCCUCAUUCUAUGGCCUCUCGGGUGAGGAACCCCAUAAAUACAUCCAGGAGUUCGAUGUGGUAUGUUCUAGUAUGAAACCUUCAGAGAUUACUGAAGAACAGAUCAAACUUAGCGCAUUCCCUUUCUCCCUCAAGGAUGUAGUGAAGGAUUGGUUAUACUACCUACCAACGGGUAAUAUCAUAACAUGGGCCCAACUGAAAAAGAAAUUUUUGAAGAAAUUCUUUCCUGCGUCCCGGGCUGCAAGUCUGAGAAAAGAGAUAUGCAACAUUAAGCAGUAUCCCGGGGAAUCCCUAUAUGACUUUGGAAAAGGUUCAAUAAGUUGUGCACUAGAUGCCCACAGCAUCAAAUUAGUGAACAACUAUUGAUUCAAUACUUCUAUGAGGGACUUCAGUCAUCUGACAGAAGUAUCAUUGAUGCUGCGAGUGGAGGAGCAUUAGCGAACAAGAUGCCGAGAGAAGCAUGGUUGCUUAUUGAAACAAUGGCAGAGAACUCUCAACAGUUUGGCUUCCGUGAGAGUAACCCUACCCGUAGGGUCAAUGAGGUGGAGACGACAUCCAUUCAGCAAUAGCUGUCGGAGCUAACAUCUUUUGUUCGGCAAUUAGCUGUGGGGAACGUGCAUCAAGCAAAGGUCUGUGAAAUUUGCACAAACGUGGGUCACCCCACUGACUCAUGCCCUAUUUUGCAAGAGAAUGGGGUUGAACAAGUAAACAUAGCUGGAGGCGUGCCCGCGCCUCGUAAACAGUACGACCCAUACUCGAACACGUACAAUCCGGGUUGGAGAGACCACCCCAACUUCAACUAUGGGAACAGGUCACAGAAUUCAUUCUCAAAUCGUCCACCAGGAUUUCAGCAACCAUGGCAACCAAAGCCUCAACCUUCGUCCUCCAAUUCAGGAGGCUCUUUGGAGGAUAUUGUCAAGAGCCUGGUCACGAGUACUGCUCAGUUCCAACAGGAAACUAGAUCGGGUAUGAAAAAUUUGGAGAUUCAAAUAAGUCACAUGGCAACUGCAAUUAAUCGCUUAGAGUCCCAAGUUUUUGGAAAAUUGCCAUCGCAACCCGAAGCAAAUUCCAAGAAUGUAAGUGCUAUGACACUGAGGAGUGACAAGGAAGUGGAGGGGUCUAAGGCCAUGAACCUAAAGAGUAAAAGUGAAGAAGAGAUAAAAAAUGAGAUUGAAGAAGAAGGGUGCGUUCGCGAAGACCCUAAGGUAAAAUUUACUCCUUCAACUCCUAUUAAAUCUAACUUACCUCCUUUUCUUUGCAGGUUGGAAAAGACAACGAAGCAAAAUAAGGAAAAGGAGAUUCUAGAGGUGUUUCGAAAGGUGGCAAUCAAUAUCCCUUUGUUGGACGGGAUCGAACAAGUGUCAAAAUACGUUAAAUUCUUGAAAAACUUGUGCAUCGACAAGAAGAAGUUGAGGGGGAAUGAACAAAUUGUGGUAGGUGAGAACGUUUCAGCGAUUUUACAAAGGAAACUACCACCUAAAUGCGAAAAUUCAGGUACGUUUAUUAUCCCUUAUAAGAUUGGACAUUCUAAUAUCGAAAAUGCCAUACUAGAUUUAGAAGUUUCUAUUAAUGUGAUGCCUAAAUCAUUGUAUGAUUUCCUAAAUUUAAGACAUUUAAAAGAAACAGGGAUAAUAAUUUAAUUGACUGAUCGUACAUUUGCUUAUCCGGAUGGGAUAGUUGAGGAUGUUUUAGUGCAAGUGGAUGGAUUAAUUUUUCCUGCUGAUUUUUAUGUGCUUUACAUGGAUGAUAGAAGUGUCCCAAAUCCAUCACUCAUUAUAUUAGAAAGGCCAUUCUUGAGUACUGCCCAGGCUAAAAUUGAUGUUAGUAAGGGUACUCUCACGAUGGAAUUUGAUGAAGAAAUAGUUCACUUUAAUAUUUUUGAUACAAUGAAAUAUCCUGUUAACUCUCAUUCUGUGUUUGCUAUUCAUGCUACUAAUCCCUGUGUGCAAGAAUUUCCUGAGUUUGCUUGUAGGGGUAAAUUCAAAGUUGUUGCGAACAAGUAUCAUUGAAUGAAAGCAAUUCAUGAGGUGAAAAUGGGUAGAAAAUUAAGAAAAAAUGUUGCACUCAAUAGCUAUUUGGAUCCCGAAGGAGGGCCACCGAUUACAAGAAAAAUUGAAUUACAUCCAGAUUGAAGAGUGGUGCUUAAUGUCUAGCCAAAGACAUUAAAAAAAGGCGCUACUUGGAUGGCAAUCCAAGGAUUUCAAUUGCGUUUUAUUUCAUAUUUGUGUGUUCAAGAUCAGUGGGUUUAGAUUCCUAUUGACAAACAAUCUGUAAUGUAGGUCAAGGGUGUUUCUGUGGAGUUUUAUUCUGGGUUGGGGGCAAAAAUUUGUGGGUCGCAUGUUACAAGGCGUGCCUGCGCCUUGUACUCACCGCACAUGGACAUUUGUAAAAUUUGGUGAACAGAAGACCUCGACCUCCAAGGCGUGCCCACGCCGCAGAGCAGAUCGUAUCGGAUAUAUUACACCACGAUAGACAGAAGAUCUCGACCUCCAAGGCGUGCCCACGCUUUCUAACCUUUGCGACAACGAAAGUCAAAAAAAUUUGACCAGGACCCUCUCUAACCCCACUUUUCUACUUUUUUCUUUUCUUGUCUUGUCUGGUCUUUUCAAUUUCUUUUGUCUUAGUUUCUACUUUUCAAUUUCCUUUGUUUUGUCUUAGUUUCAGUUUCUUCUUUUCCUCUUUUCUUGUUAGUCCGCUGUGCACAACGCGCUGCCGCGGCGCACUCCUCCUACCAUGGUCCUCCUGCUAGGGAUUCCCAAUACCGUGCCGUCCAAGAUUCUAUCCGUGAAUCAGGUGUUGGAUUGGAUGACCGUUUUACAGCGCUGCAGGUUUACGUCCGUAUUCAGACAGAGAAUCAGGCACCUUUCCUUGCUCAUAUUGGAUUCCAGCCGCCUCAUCCGCCUCCUCCUUAGUGGUUCGCUACGUCAUCUCGGCUGUCAGGGAAGUUUCGCUCCUUUAUACUUACAAUCCAUUUGUCUUUGCUACAUUGAGGACAAUGUAGAUUUUAGGUGUGGGGGGAUGGUUUCUAUUAUUUCUUUUUGCUUAUUUCUUUUUGCUUGAAAAAAAAACACAAAAAGAAAAAAAAAACAAACAAAAAGAGAAAAAAUGAAACAAACAGAAAACAAAAAAAAGUAGUUAGUUGAUUUCUUUAGUUCUACAAUUGUUAACUGCUAGAACAUGUUGCUAUGAUGGAUUGCACAAUCAGGGUGCACGGGUAUGUGGUCAUAUAUGCUAGCUAUGCAUUUUGGUUUUCCUUGGCAAUAUCGUUGAAUGUUGAAUAUGUUAGAUUUGACCCAUUCUUGAAACUCUUGGGAGCUUUUGAGCCAUGCAUGAGCACAUUAUUUUUGUCUGUUUCGUUUGUAUUGUUGAGUGGGUAUCACACAUGGUAUUGGCAUUCUAAAACUUGCUAUUUUAUACAUGUCGAGGCUACAUUUUGUUGAACUGGAGGCAUUUGAAAUGAUAAGGGCAUUUAGGAUCUAACCUUCUUUAACUUGCUACAAACCAUGGCUUUAUCCUGUUUCCCAAUAGUGAACCAAUUUGAGCUUUUAUCCUUCUCCUUUGUUUGUCAGCUGUGUUUAAUAACCCAGAACCUUUUUAGACUUUCUUGUUCAACCUUAUGUCGUUAAGAGAUGUUUGAAUUUCAUUGUUUGUGCAAGGCGAAUAAAUAUAGGGUCGCAAGUGUUGUUAGAAUAGAAGUUGUAUGGUGCUGGUUCUGUGCAUCUGAGAUCGAAAAGAGGAAAGAAAAAAAAUGAGAAAAAGAGAAAAAAAAAAAAGCAAAAAAAGCUAUCGGCAAGCUGGUGAACAGAAGACUCUGGUUUACAGGGCGUGCCCACACCUUGCAAGCUAUUUCUUUUUUUUAAAAAAAAAACAUGGAGGACAAAAAGAGUUUAGACACUUGCACAGUGGGUAUAGCAAAUGGAAAUGUCUUGCUUGUGAAAUUUUUCCGGUAAAGCGUUGUGGUUAUGUAGUGAAUAUUGGACAUUCUCUUGACACAUUACACCAUAUCUUUACCUUUUUAUCCAGCCUUUUACCCAAGCCCCAUUACAACCCUAUUAAAGUCCCAUUUAUUUUUGUAUUGAGUUUAUUUUUGAGUGGUGGAGAUGUGAUAAAUGUGAAAGCCUAUGGUAAUGUCAUUCCGUGAUGUUGAUUUGAGCGUUCCUAGUAUCUAUACAAUUUCUUGAAAAUGAUGAGUAUUACUGUUCAUACUCUUUGGAUAACUACAUAUCCGGUGUGUUCUAACUUUGGCGAUAUUGUCAGGUAGGCGGGAUACUUGUGUUAGUGUAGAUCACUACAUAACCGUUUCUAUCUUGAUUGUACUUCUGAGUUUCAAAAUGCUUGAGAACAAACAUUGUCUAGGUGUAGGGGGAUUUGAUGGAACAAUUAUUGGGCACCUUUUACUCUGUUAUUUGUUCGUAAUUUUGGCUACUUACUGUGCUAAGUAUUGAGAUUUUGCUCAUAUUUGAUAUUUGUGUAAAUCGCUGGCGAUUGGUGUCAAAAGUGAUCUUUCGAUGCAAAAUUCUAGAAGACCCUUUAUUUUAUGGCGUGCCUACACCAUAAACUGAAGAGAUACACCUAAAAGACGGACCCCGCGGGAUUGGUAGAAAAAGUGAAAAAUUAGGAAGUCAAAAGGGCUCAUGGGCCGCGAAGGUGCAGAGGAUUAAAACUCUUCUCCUAGAGGAAGUAGGAAGCUCUGAUGCUUUCUUUCUUUUCGGCGGCUGCUUUGGGAGAAAUUGGCGAAAAGCCAGAUUCACGUGGGAUAAGGAGAUUGGCUUGCAACUUUCUUACGUAUAUCGUUGGGAUAGCAAUCUACGGCGGCUACUGCAAAAGAGAUUUGGCUAAAAAGCCAGAUUCACGUGAUAUUAAUAGAUUAGCUAUUAGUUUCUUUUUUUCUGUCAGACGAUUUACUCUUGGUUUUGGCUCGUGUACGGCUGGCUAUUAGACCUUUUUGCUUUUUACUUUUCGUUCCAGUACGAAGACGAAACCCCAAAAAAGAAAAGCAAAUCUUUUCGUCCGUUCCUUCGUUAAUUCAUCUCUUCCAAUUAUUUGGCAAUUGUGUGGAUGGAAUCAAUCAAAUCACGCGAGAGUGGCACGAUGAGGAGCGACUAGGUUUCUCCUCUACCCAAAGGUCGACGCGAAGGCGCGGUCCAUAACAUAUGUGAGAUCUAAUCUUAUUUUCAUUAUUUCUUCCAAUUCGUUACUAUUCAUGCGUUUCCUGGAUUAAUUGUUCAUGGGUAUUCUAUUAAUUGAGUAUCAACGGCCGGAUAUAUAAUUUAAUCUAAUAGCCUAUGGCCACGUUAAUUGAAUUGAAUUCGUAAUUGUUCGUUUAGUUGACAACUAGUGGCAACCACCAUAAUUGGCUUUAUGUUGGAAAAACGUAGGAUCUAGUUUAAAUAAACUCUCUUAGCGUUUUUAUUGGCUAAGGUUGGGUUCAUCUAGCUUUAAUGCAACUGGAUAAUUAAAUUCCUACGGUCGAACGUAGGGUUGUUUUCUGGUUAGAGAAGCAGUCAAUGGUCGUACCUUGACUGUAAAAAAAGUAAGGAAGAACUGGCUGUUAGAGUUUGUUGAUGGCUAUAACCAACCUAGUGACAAAUGAAUGAAAUAUCUUUGCAUCGAUGAUCAUUUAAUUGGACCGUACCUGAAAAGUUGAUCAUUUGGGUAGAAUUUUAUUAAUUGCUAUUUUUAGUAAAUUGUACUUGUUGGGUUAGUUUUUGAAUUUUGUUUAUUUUAUUUUCAUUUUCAUUCCAUUAAAUAUCCCCCAAUUUUGUUCUAUUGAUUUGGAAAGAAACAACUUCCUAUCCGUUCCCUGUGGAAUUGAUUACUUGCCAUUGUAUGCAAAUUUAAUACUUUUAUAGACAAUUCUGGUAUAUCGGAUCAAGCAAACUCUUCGGGAAUAGGGUGAAUCAAGUAACUCAUUGCACACCUAAGGUCCCUGCUCCAAUACUUGGAUUUGUUCUAUAAUUAAUUGUGGUGGUAACUAGGAUUUUUUAGUAAUUAUUAUUGCACAGGCUCAACACCUGUCAGGCAGAGAAACAGAAGGAUAAGAUGUCAAUGUUAUUAACAUCUGAGUCUAGUAACUGGAAUCUUUUUUGCUUAUGAUCUUCCACUUCAUCCAUUUAUUUGUAAUUAGUGCAUUGUUAGGUCACAGAUUAGUAAGGUUUAUUCCUUGUUUACAUGUCUUAUUCACCUUGUGUUGCUUACUCUGUCAUUUGUCACUUGAUUCAAUCUAGUGACUCCAUUUAAGUCUGCAGUGCCUUCUUGAGUAACUGACAUGAUUUUCAUCCAAAAUGCAACACUGGUUAAGUUCUUUGUCACCCAUAUCUUUCCAGUGUAUAUAUAUGAAAGAGUUACCAUUUUCCUCAAAUUUGAAGAGGCUUAUGGAUACGUAGUUAGCUUAAGCUUGUACAUAAGUUAACUCAUUUCGGCUAAGAACAAAUUCACCUUACUAAUACAGAAGCUUUGCAUUGUUUUCUUUGAAAAUAAAACAAAAACAAUAGAUAGAAUAUAUGCAAUAUAUUUCUACUGUAAGAAAAAAAUUUAUAAAUAUAAAAGCAAAUUAAUAAGGGUAUGAUUAUAUUUCUCUAGAGAAUGACAUGGUCUUAAGUGAUCAUAAUUCUUGGAGGAGAAAAUCAUGAGUCCAAUUUUGUAAGGCAUUUGAGACAUCAGAUAUUCUGUGCAUGUAUUAUAUAGCUGAUUGUGAGUCAUGUAGCACGAGGUCAUGAAUAGUAGAGAUGUAAGCAUCAUUUUUGCUUUUAACAAUAGAAAGGCAUUCUUCAUUGCAGCAGCUUUGGAUAAUUGUCUUUUGUUCAUACUUAAAGGAACUUGUAUAAGCAUGAGAUUUUGCACUAUUCUAGGGCUAUAAGGAACCAAAUAAUAGGUGGAUGAUUUAGAGUUAGCUUAAAAACUUGUGGCAGACGCCUUUUAGGAAUUGUUUUUGGAUCUAUUUACACCAGAAGCCAAGCAUUGCUGAGGCUUAUUACCAUGUGAAUGAAAUGAAUGAGUUUCUGUUAUAUUUGAAGUCCUCUGCAAAGCCUGUAUCGUUUUUAUUUUUUGGACCUUUAUGUGUUGCAAAAGGGAGGCAAAGAGUGAACUAACUUGGAGAAUGCGAAGGUGUGCAUCUAGUGCUUGCGACAUUCUAUUCUUUUGACUUAAUGGAGUUUUUAUAAAAGCUGUGUGUGCUGAAUGUUUUCUUAGGACAUUCUAUUCACGACUGAUGUAACCAAUAAAGAGUUUAAGGGAAGAUUAGAUUUAAAUAAUCAUGGGAACUUGGCUGAAUAUUGAGUUUACCUACUUUGAAGAAUGGGUAACUUUUUUAGGAUCUUGAGGUAUUCGUUAAAAGUUUAAGUUCUACAUAUUUCAGUAGAAUUAAAAUUUAUGGUGCUUUAGUAGCUUAUAGGUAUUUACGUAUUAUGAGUAUUUGGUAAACUGACAGUGGAGGACACUUUGGUCGUUGUUUGAGACCCUGGGCUUAUGUAUUGACUUUGAUGGAAGGCCUCUUAAUUGAAAUGUUGGGGUUCGUUGCCUCAAGUUCCUACCAUAAGAUGUUCUGGUACCUGGGGGCUGAAGCCCAGUACAUUCUUCAUCUUCCACCGGACACGUACCGAGGCACCUAGGUUUGUUAGGCCAUCCAUGAAGGAGUUAAAGCUAUUCAUUGGUGAAUUUUUUAUGCAUGGCUAUUCUAGGUAAACAGUUUUCUCAUGAAAACUGGCGGAGAAAUGGCAUCUGGUCUAGCUGGUGGUGAUCUAUCGUUAUUCUUUAUGGUUUUUUUUCCAUUGAUUUGCACAAAAUCUAAUUGACUUUGAGCAUUUUUUAUUUUGGAAGAAUGCAUCUUGCAUUAGAACUGACAAUAGGUAUUUUGGGAGGAAAACAUCUAGUCACUGUAUUAUGAGUGAACAACUAGUAUUUAUAGGAGUACAAACCUAACAAACUAUUUACAAGAAUAUCCUUACUAAUUUAUUAUUUACAAGAAUACUUAUAUUCUCUUAACACUCCCCCUCAAGUUGGAGUAUAUAUAUCAUAAGCACCUAACUUGUUACAAAUAUAUUUCACCCUAGGGCUCCCUAAACUCUUGGUAAACAAAUCAACCAAUUGAUCUACAGACGGUACAUGAGAUGUCUUGAUGACUCCAUCAAGCAAUUUCUCUCUAAUGAAAUGACAAUCAACUUCAAUAUAUUUUGUUCUUUCAUGAAAUACUGGAUUAGACGCAAUAUGAACAGUCGUCUGAUUAUCACACACUAAAUUCAUAGGCUGUUUAUACUCAAAUCCAAUUUCAAGUAACAUGCUUUUCAACCAAACCAACUCACACACAGUGUGAGUCAUAGCGCGGUAUUCAGAUUCUGCACUUGAUCUGAAAAUAACUGUUUGUUUCUUACUCUUCCAUGAUACUAAAUUACCACUAACAAACACACAAUAUCCUGUGGUCAAUCUUCGAUCUGAGGUAGAAUCAGCCCAAUCUGCAUCACUAUAUCCUUCAAUAUCAGUGUGUCCAUGAUUUUGAUACAGCAACCCUUUUUCACGAGCAUUCUUAAGAUACCUGAGAAUCCGUAUAACAGCAUCCCAAUGACUAGUAUGAGGGGUCUCAAGAAAUUGACUCACAACACUCACUGCAAACGAAAUAUCAGGUCUCGUUACAGUGAGAUAAUUUAAUUUACCCACAAGUUUUUGAUAUUGGCUAGGAUCAUCUAGUAAUGCACCUUGAUCUCCUACUAAUUUCACAUUAGGAUCCAUAGGAGUAUCCACAGGUCGGCAACCUAACAUCCCAAUUUCGCUCAGCAUAUCGAGUACAUUUUUUUUUGACAUAAAUAAAUCUCAUAUUUAGAUUGAGCUACCUCAAUACCCAGAAAAUACUGUAAAUGACCUAAAUUCUUUGUCUGAAAGUUUGCCUGUAGAUUAUAUUUAAGUUUCUGGAUCCCCAUAACAUCGUCACCUGUAAUCACAAUAUCAUCCACAUAAACAACUAAUAAAAUUUUACCAGCAUUAGAAUACCGAUAAAAUGCAGAGUGAUCUACUCCAUAUUUUGUCAGACCGAACUCCAUGACAACACUACUAAACCGGCCAAACCAAGCCUUAGAAGGCCGUUUCAAUCCAUAUAAGAAUUUUUUCAGAUGACAAACCAACCGCGAAUUCUCCCCUUGAACAACAAAGUCAGGAGGUUGUUUCACAUAUAUCUCUUCUUCCAAAUCUCCAUGUAAAAAUGUAUUUUUCACAUCCAACUGAUGCAAUGGCCAAUUAUAAGUUGCUGCCAAAGAGAUAAGAAAACGAACCGAGGUAAUUUUUGCAACAGGAGAAAAUGUUUCUAAACAGUCUAUUCCACACACCUGAGUAAAUUCUUUAACUACCAGAAGAGCCUUCAAUCGAUCAAUAGAACCAUUAGACUGCACUUUUAUAGUAUACACCUAUUUACAACCAACAACAGACUUGCCAGAAGGAAGAGGGACAAGAUCCCAAGUACCAUUUUGUUCCAAAGCAGACAUCUGUUCUUGCAUAACUAAUCUCCAAUCAGGAUGAUUAAGAGCAUGGAUAAUAGACUUAGGAAUGGAGACAGAAUCAAGUGAAGUAACAAAAGAAGAAUAUGAUAUAGAGAGACGAGAAUAGGAAACAAAAUUAGAAAUAGGAUGAGAAGUACAAUGCCUCUUACCUUUGCGUAAAACAAUAGGAAGAUCUAACUCAGAGGAGAGCGUCAUACCUGAAUUUAAAGAUUGAGAGUUAAUUGGUGAAUUGUGUGGCAUAUCAGGAGCUUUCUCAACUAUGGAACGACGAGAAUAAACUUGAAGGUUAGGAUGAGAUAAUCGAGCUAUGGAAUCUAGUGGGUUAGAUAACUCAGGUAAUAAAGAGGAAGGGACUGGUAAAACAGGAGAGGAAAAAGAGGAACACUGGUCUAACUUAUAAGGCAUACCGUGUUUCAUAAAAUAUGGAGUGGAUUCAAAGAAAGUAAUAUCAACACAAGUAAAAAAUUGAUUUAAAACGGGACUGUAACAUCUAUAUCCUUUUUGCGCUCGUGCGUAUCCUAAGAAAAUACACUUAAUGGCACGAGAAUUUAAUUUAUCCAUCCUGGGAGCAACCUGAUGAACAAAACACACACAUCCAAGAAUACGAGGAAGUAAUUUAAACACAGGUUCAUGAAAAAAAAGAAUGGAGUGAGGCAAUUGGCCUCCAAGAAUAUUAGAUGGCAUGCGAUUAAUUAAAUAACAUGCAGUUAGAACUGCAUCACUCCAAAAUUGUUUGGGCACAUUCAUGUGCAACAAAAGUGUCCGAACAACCUAGAUUAAAUAUCCAAUUUUUCUUUUAACAACUACAUUCUGUUGUGGAGUGUGAGGAUAAGAGGACUGAUGAAUAAUACCGGACUUAGUCAUAAAGGUAUUAAAAGAAGUGGAAAAAUAUUCUUUCGCAUUAUCGCUGCGAAGUAUACGUAUAGGCACACCAAAUUGAUUCUUUAUUUCUGUAACAAAUGCACAAAAAAUGAAAUAUAGUUCUGAGCGAUCUUUCAUUAAAUAAAACCAUAUAACUCUUGAAAAAUCAUCAACAAAGAUUACAAAAUAUUUAAAACCUAAUUUUGAAGUGACUCGACUAGGACCCCAAAUAUCAGAAUGAACUAACAAAAAGGGUUCAGAAACCCGUUUAUUGACUCUAGGAGCAAAAGAAACACGAUGAUUCUUUCAUAACUGACAAGACUCACAUUCUAACGAAGACAACUGACUCAAAGUAGGAACCAACUUUUUCAAAUUUUGUAAAGACGGAUGACCUAAACGACAGUGAAUUUCAAGAGAAGAAACAAUAGCAAGACAUGCAAUUGGACCAUUGGAGUUGAGAAAAUAAAUACCAUUAUACUCAUGCCCUCCACCAAUUGUCCUCUUUGUCUUCAAAUCCUGAAUGACAACAAAAUUAGGAGAAAAAGUAACCGAAUACUGUAGAGAUUUAGUGAGCUUACUAACAGACAUUAGAUUAAAGGACAAAUUGGGUACGUAAAGAACAAAAGACAGCGGAAGAGAUGGGUUAAUUUCUACAGUGCCUAGUCCUUUAACUUUAGUGGUAGAUCCAUCAGCUAAAGUAACAUGAGGAAAGGAAGUAGACUCUUGAAAAUUAGAAAAAUUUUUAGAGGUACCUGACAUAUGAUCAGUAGCCCCGGAGUCAAUAAUCCAUGAGUCAUUACCUUUUUGUGCUAAAGAAGUAGAGGGAAGAGAUGCGUGAUUGGUAGCUUGGUACUGUAGGAAUUUAACAUAAUCUUCCUCGGAUAUAGUAACAGUUUUCUGGGACAGAUGUGCUGAAGAACUUGAUUCAAUUUGGUCAGUGGUAACCGCAUUAACAAACCUUUCAACCAUAGCGAAUAGCACGUCAAACAAAAAAGCAAUCAAAAUUCGCGAUGAACAGUACCUUUGAACAGUAAUGCGUGAACAUUACGCGUGAACAGUACUUUUGAACAGGACGCAUGAACAGUACCGAUGAACAGUAUCGCGUGAACAACACGCGAUGACCAAUAUCGCGUGAACAAGACUUUUGAUAGAUGUUUAACCCUAACCCUAGGACUUUUGCUCUGAUACCAUGACAAUAGGUUUUUUGGGAGAAAAACAUCUAGUCACUGUAUUAUGAGUGAGCAACUAGUAUUUAUAGGAGUACAGACCUAACAAACUAUUUACAAGAAUACCCUUACUAAUUUAUUAUCUACAAGAAUACUUAUAUUCUCUUAACAAGAACUUUUUUUCUAAUUAGGUUCCAUCUUAAUAGCUGUAUUAAUUUAUGAAAUCUUGUUCAAAAGAGUGACAAUUAGCACAAGGAUAAAUCAGAAAUUGAUUGUGUAUCUUGCAUCUAGAGGGUGUAAAGUGUAAAAAUCAGCUAAGUGCUGGUAACUGCAGUACAUUUUCUUACAGGUCUUGUUGUGUAUGUAAAGCUAAAUAAGUUAAUUCAAGUCAAGUCACAUUUAUGUUCUGUGAGAUGUUGACCAGUUAUAUGGUUAAAUACUCUUUGCAGUAUUUCAGAUCUGUGAGUUGUCUAAAUGCUAAAGGUUUUGAAAGUUUGAAUGCGAAUAUGUCAGCUAAAGGGAUGAGAAUAUCAGUAAGUACGGAGGAGGAUAUUGGCAGCAGUAUGGAGAGGAAAGAUGUGGCCGAUGACUUUGGAGAACCUGGUAAUAGUUUAAGUCUGGUAUUUUAAUUUAUACACAUGCUCCUAUGGAUAAUGAAAAUUAUCAUGUAUAACUACCUGCAAAUCUACAAAGAAAAUGAAGAGGGUGGGGAUGUGUCUGCAAGAAUAGGUAAUAUGGCUUAUAUGCAUGAAAUAAUAAGAACAAGUUUAUUAAAAAAAAAUGUUACUGUAAAGAAAGGAAAUGAGAAGUUAAUAGGAGGGUAAAAAAAAUACCCUAUGAUGGCUCCAUUCCUGUGACAUACUUACUUAGCCUAGUUUGACUUUGUAUAAGGCUCUAUUACUGUCCAUAUGCGUAAACUCCUCCCCCCCCCUCCUCAAAAAAAAAAACCUUUAUCAAAAAUUUUCUGUGUACCCAGUUUGCUACAAAUUGUAUAUGUGAUAGGUGUGUAUCUGUGAAGGUUUUGGCUUCUUAAUACAAGAGUAGAGUUCAAGGCAAGAUUUGGUGGAUUGCAAGUUACAAAGAAUUGCUGGAGAAAAAUUGUGCAAUCCAAAAUAUUAGCAGGCAGAGAAAAGGUGAAAUAGGAUUUCCCUCUAAAAAACUAAUAGACAGCUUCAUUUCAUUAGAAAAUUAAUUGUGAGUGAAUGAACAGAAUGUACUCUAGAAAAGUCGUUCAAGCUUUAAGAACUCGUGUUAUUUUACUGUCUGUUGUUUCUUUCAACAGCCCUAUAUUGUUGUACAGUGUGAGAACUGGAGAAGAACAACAAACAAUUCUUUUCUUUAUCACAAAAGUGAUGAAAGAAUAAGAAAGAUAUUGUAAUUCCGUACUAACAAUAAAAACAUGUAGAUAUUAUGGUGUCUUAACUUCCCCAUUAAAAUAGUGAAGCAAAAUAUCUUUGAUCACAUACUACAUUCAGCUAGCUAGGGCUUGGUUACUUAGUUAUCUACCAGUAUCAAAAUUACAGAAAUCAUGUUUAGGAAAUAAGUAUCAAAAUGCACUAAAAAUAGAGGACAUAUUGUUCAUUAAUUAACUUGAAAAGCAAACAAAAUAUGAUUGUGCUUCCUCUAUCUACCAGUUGGUAUGUAGUGAACUUGGCGGAGAAUUUGAGUUGGUUUGGUAUGUAGUCAACUUAUCACAGGCUGUUGGUAGUGGUGGUGGUGGUAAACUCCACGCUCGAAAACUUAACCAAAUGCCGGCAUUAGGCUUAGAGGUAACUUUUGGUUCCGGUGGAUCCCUAAUUUAUGGUUUAGGAGGAUUCUAUUUUCACCCUACUGAAGAUGGUUCUAAUUACGUCAUGAAGCCUGACGAUGAAGAGGAUUGCACGGUUUACUUUUACGAUGCCUCCAAGCCCUUCCAAGCUUGAGAAUGGGUGAUUCAAAGGUCCUCCCUUGAUUGCACACAGAGAUUUUUGCCCACUCACCAAGCAAUCAGGGGAAGCAGAAUCUAUCUCCUUAGGAAAUGAGGUAGGCAAUCCAUGGGGCAAGUAUUUGGAUCAGUCGUUUAGCCAACCAUAGCGGUAUCCUCUGAGUUGUAAAUUUCCUUUUGGUGAACCUCCUAUUGAAGGAUCUCUCCCUCCCUCCCUUGGAUAAAAAAUUUGACUCUUAGCACUAUGUCCUGUUUCUUAUCGGUGCUGGGGAUCAACUUGUUCUUGUGUGUUACAAUGCGGAGGUUGACAAUGUGUUCAAGUUUUGUCGACGAUCGUGAUUGGUUCAUUAUUAUCCCUUUUGUGUGGAAGGGAAUUACUUGUUCACAACUUUUGGCAUUAGCGUUUUAGCGUAUCGUGUAUUUUACAGGAGUUUAUUUCAAGGACAUGCUCCAUUCUGUGGUAAAGUUGAGGGGUUGCCUGACCAUUUUUUUCCUCCUCAAUAUCAUGGUCAUAGUCCAAUGCCCCUACAGCGGAUUGGCCCAAAUAAGUUUGCUACCCUUUGGCUCGCAACUGUGGGGCAAAAACCACGACAUUGUGCUAGGUUGAGUGUGUUCACCGCUUCACCGCUGAGGAGGAGCAUGCUGCUGCCCCUCUUCGGGAGGGGAAGAAGGAAGAUGAUACUUCUUUAUAGGAAGGAGAUGAAGAAGGAAUCUUGUUUUGUUCCCAACAUUGAAUUAGACGAAAGUCUUGAACUCGAGGUAGAGGAGCAUGUUCAUUUCUAUAUUGACGCUAUUGAUGUAGUAUUCCCUCAAUCAGAAGUAGAUGUGCAUGUGUAGUGGUCCGUGGUGAGGAAGGUUUUUUGAGUUCAGUUCUGAAAUUGCACAUAUUCAUGGUUGGCAUUUGGGAAAUUGAUGAACUCGGAUGUUUGAUCAUUUGUUGUUUAGUGUACCAAAGGACUUCCGAAUCAACCAUACUGUAUAUGCUAAACAUCUUUACUUAUUUUUUGCUGUUUAGUAUACCAAAGGAGCAUGGUUUUUUGCUGUAGUAUUUACUCCAACAGAGGUAGCUACAAAUUUGUGGAUCUUAAAAAGUGCUUAAGCACAGGGAAUGUAUGAGUUUAAGAUAGCUACAAAUUUGUUUUCUGUGUGCUUCUUGUGAAAACACUAGUAUAGAAGUCUUAGUAACUUGGCCUUAGGCAACUGUUUAGAUAAGAAAUGGUCCACUUCCUGAAAACUCAGGUCUCAAAGAGCUCAAUCAGAUGAGCAGAACUCAGCAAUUCCAGGGCCAAGGAGACGAGGAGUAUAUGAUUUGUCCUACAUUGUCCGGAAUUUAGCUGCGGCCAAAAAGGGAUCCAAAUCAUAAGGCAGGCGGGUAGCACCGUCAUCCAACUUUCUCGACUAUGUAGUUGUAUCAAGAAAGGAUGCUCAGAGCCAACCAGAUGAUGAUUUCAAGUUGGAAGAAUUCAACCCAAGUACACAAAAGACAGGAUACAAAUUAAGGGCAUAUUUUAUUUCAAUCACAUUCAUGACAAUCCUCAUCUGGAAGAAGAACAAAAUCUAGUAGUACACAAGAAACUGCUGCAAAAAUCUGGUAGAGCUAAUCUGAAAGUAUCUAAGCUAAUUUGAUACAAACUGGCUGAGGUACUCAUCAAGUGUGGUGUAUUUAACAUCAGGAUAGAGCUCCGUUGCCUCCAUGCCAAAAGAAGCCUUGAUCUCAAAGUUGGCUAUUUCUCCCUUCACGAAAAAUGUGUAUGCCAAAGACAGGAGCAAUUUUAAUGGCAUUGAAGCCUCUGCGAAAGAUACAAGAAAAGAAAGAAAUUUGAUUAAAACAUGGAAUAGGUGUUAAUAAUAGUAGAUGCUAUUGUAUUAAAAAUUAGCAACUUGUGCACUUUUUUCUUAUUGUUAGAUGACCUUGAAUUUUCUUAAGAACUUCGUCCCCUGGAACGUAGAUCUUUUCGAGGGUCUUGCCAAUUUUCUUUUCCCACAAUGAUGCUAUUUCGUUGUAGGACAAAGUGUUGGCAGGGGGUGUAAUGUACACACUCUUGUUCAGAGUCCUCAGGUCAUCUGCUAUUGAGGAUGCUCACCUCGGCCGCCCCGCAUGCCCGAGGUGAACUCACCUCGUCCGUCAUAAGAGCUCAUCCGUGUUUCGAGCAUAUCCCUUAAGCUCGGCCGGAUCCCUAGUCUACCGUGCAGGUGACCUCGGCACCUCCACCUCAGCUGCACGCUGAUGAUGUCAAGCCACCUGACAUCACCUGGGACCAGUGCUUUAUCUGAAAAGCACUGGAGGCACUUAAUGGCACCUGCACCAUACUCUCCGCCAUCAUACCCAGAAGGCUACAGUGUCAGAGCCAAGCCGCCUGACAGGGAGCAGAGCCGUAAUGGCAGGACAUGGGUCCCACCGGCAUAAGACCUCCGUCCUGCCCUCCACUCUCAUUCUAUAAAUACCCCACACACUCCCAACAAGUAAGCACACUGUUCAUUUGCUCAUACUCUAGCAUUUUCUCGUUCUCAUACUAACUUAAUCGUCGGAGUGAUACCAGGGGAGAAGCCCCGCCAUUCACUUCAGACAAGAAGGUUGACUUCGGACACACGAAUUCAUCUCACCUCAUCUCAGAGAGGACUGAUUUAGGUCGGCUUACUUAUCCACCAAAAAUCACCUCUUCAAUUGGCGCCGUCUGUGGGAACGAGAUUACUGCUAAAAUGAGAUCCACGCGCUCCAGAAGCGGAAGAGUUCCCUCAACUGGGGCUGGGCAGACAUCCGGAGCCCAGCAAGAUCGUAUCUCUGAGGAACAUGGGUCCCAAAGGACCCAGUCCAAUAAUGAGGAGGCCAUCGCCAAGAUGGCCGAGUUUGUCACGGACAACCCCAACAUCUUUGAGGAACUAGGAAGGUACCUCAAGAGGCAGGGAAAAGAAAAAGCCGAGUCUUCCAAGAGGAGACCGACGAAGUCCCCUGAAGUGCCCUCAGGCGAGGACUCCGAAGAUGGGCGUCUAUCUCGGAGCACCUCCAGGCGAGCCUCAUCCAAGGCAACCUUCAAGAUUGCCUCCAUCUCCCGAGCGUUUUCUCGGGGACUACUGGGAAAACGAGCCGAGGACCCACCUCGGCGUCCCGGAGGCCUAGCUUCUGAUUACAUGAGGGCUCCGCCCUUCACUGAUGACAUCAAUGGGGAAAUGGUGCCCCCAAACUUUAAGCUUCCAAAUUUGCACACCUAUGACGGCCGAGGUGACCCCGAGGAUCACCUCCGCGCCUUCAUCUCCGCAUUCCGACUCUACUGCGUCCCCGACGCCGUGAUCUGUCGGGCUUUCCCCAUCUUCCUACACGGGACCGCCCGGAAGUGGUUCUGGAGUUUAGAACCAGGGAGCAUUUCCUCCCUGGAUGAGCUGAUAGACCGGUUCAUCCACCGCUUCGUGUCGUCUCGACCAAUAACAAAGACUUCAGCUUACCUCUUGAACCUGCAACAGGGUCAGGGCGAGUCACUUCGCUCAUACGCCCAAAGGUUCAAUGAGGAGAAUGUACAGAUAGCUGACCAGAACGAGCAGGUAACUAUCGCUGCCUUCACCAAUGGGUUAGUGGCAGGAAUCUUCAACACAGAAAUCCAUCGGCAAUACCCCCGUACACUACGGGAGCUCUGGGAAAGAGUAGACCAGGGAAUCCGAAGUGAAGAUGUAAAUCGCAUGAAGCGAGAAGCCCAAGCAUCUCGUACGGGGCAAGAUCCCCGGAGGAGGAAAGACACUGGCCGAGGUGAACCAGGCCCAAGUGGCACUUCAAACCAACCCCGAGACCGCCGAAGUGUCUUCGACCGGAUCGUGAAAGGCAGAUCGUCCACCUCGGACGCUGAGCUAACGCCCCUCAAUUCGAGCCGAACCCACGUCCUGGCUGUGAUGAGGCAGAAUCAGAUCGGCCGCAACCCUCCCGAAAUUCCGGGGAGGAGAGAUAAGAUGAACUCGAACCUCUACUGUGCCUACCACCGUGAUGUAGGGCACGAGACUGAAGACUGCAAUGACCUGAAGCGGGAAAUCGAAAAUUUGAUCCGGCAAGGAUACCUGAAGCAAUUCGUCCGCAAGGAUGGAGGCUUCAACCGAAGCGUCUCCCACCGGGAGAACCGGGGCCCUCGCCGCGACGACCGACGGGACACGAACAUGCAUUGCCGUGGUCCCGAAGACCGUAGGGAGGACAAGCAGCCCCCACGCGAUGGCUCACCGGGCUACGGCCCCAACAUCGCCGGGGUGAUCAACACCAUCGCGGGAGGACCAACGGGAGGAGACAGCCAGAACUCCCGGAAGCGGACCUACCGCCAGGCCGAGAUGGAGGUGGCCGAGCCGAGCUCUCGGCUGUCCGAGGUCAUCACCUACGGUCCCGCUGACCCCGUUCCUGCGGCCUCCAGCAAUCACGAGACUCUUGUGAUUGAAGUCCUCACCAACAACUACGUAGUCAAAAAGGUCUAUAUUGACCCCGGAAACUCGGUAGACGUCUUGUACUACCGAACUUUCGAAAGUUUGAAACUGACCAGGGAGCAACUCACUCCAGUCAGAACUCCUCUCGUGGGAUUCGGGGGACACGUCGUCCACCCGGAGGGCAUGUUGACCCUGAUGGUAACAAUCGGGCGUCAUCCACGCUGCCGAACUGUGCCUGUCAGUUUUGCGGUGGUCAAAGCAGACUCCCCCUACAAUAUGCUGAUAGGCCGGCCCACGCUCAAUGCCUUGAGAGCCGUAUACUCCACUUACCACCUGAGUUUUAAACUCCCAACAUCUGCGGGGGUGGCCGAGGUGAGCAGCUAUGUGGGCGCCGCCCGGGAGUGCUACCUCGCCACCAUUCAAGCAGCAGUCACCCCCCGGCCCUCACCGAGGUCAGAAGAAAAGAGGCCAGCGGUCCUCUCCAUAGACUGUAUCGACCCUCAGAAGGCAGAAGAGCCCAACAGGCUGGAGCCCGGGGAUGAGGUGGAACUGGUGGUCGUGGAUGAAGCGAAACCUGACCAAGUGGUCCAGGUAGGGGCGGGACUCCCCCCACCCCUGAAAGAAGAAAUGAUCUCCCUGAUCAAAGACCACCGAGACGUCUUCGCGUGGUCCGCGGAUGAAGUGGUCGGAGUGCCACCCGAGCUCAUGACUCACCAACUCAACGUUGACCCACAGGCCCGACCUGUGCGACAGAAACGAAGGCACUUCGGCCCCGAACGUAGUCAGGCCAUAUCGGAUGAGGUCGACAAGCUCUUGCCGGCCAAGAUGAUCCACGAAGUCCAAUAUCCCGCCUGGCUGUCCAAUCCAGUCAUGGUCAAAAAGGACACCGGUGGAUGGAGAAUGUGUGUCGACUUCACCGACCUCAACAAGGCCUGCCCCAAAGAUUGCUAUCCUCUGCCGAGAAUAGACGCCCUCGUCGACGCGGCGAUGGGGUAUGAAAUCCUCUGCUUCCUAGAUGCCUUCAAAGGGUACCAUCAAAUAGGAAUGAGUGAGGAGGACCAAGAGAAAACGGCGUUCUACACCGACCGAGGUACUUAUUGUUACACCACCAUGCCAUUCGGGCUAAAGAACGCCGGGGCAACCUACCAAAGGCUGAUCAACCGACUCUUCCAGAAUCAGAUCGGCCGCAAUGUGGAAGCCUAUGUGGAUGACAUCCUCGUUAAAAGCCUCGCCACUUCAUCCUUUCUGUCAGACGUGAGGGAAGUCUUUGGUGUCCUGCGAGACUCGAGAAUGAAGCUGAAUCCCAAGAAGUGCGUCUUCGGCGUCACCUCGGGAAAAUUCUUGAGGUAUCUGGUUUCCCACCGGGGAAUCGAGGCCAACCCCGACAAGGUGAAGGCCAUUCAGGACAUGUCCCCACCUCGGAACAUCCGAGAAGUCCAACGGCUAAAUGGACGCCUGGCCGCGCUGAAUCGCUUCCUGUCCCAAUCAACUGAGAAAGCUCUGCCCUUCUUUAAGGUGCUCAAGAAGGCUGAUCAGUUUGCCUGGACGGAAGAGUGCCAGGCUGCUUUCGACAAACUGAAGCAAUACCUCCAUCACCUACCCACUCUCGCUUCACCUCGGCUCGAGGAGAAGCUCUACCUCUACCUCUCCGCAGCCGAUGAGGCCGUCAGCGCUGUUCUUAUCCGGGAUGAGGGCACCCAAGUGCCCGUCUACUAUGUCAGCCGAGCUCUCCGCGGACCAGAGACCCGAUACACCCAGGUUGAAAAACUGGUGCUGGGGCUAGUUCACGCCGCUCGGCGGCUGAAACCCUAUUUCUUGGCUCAUCCCAUAUCCGUCAGGACCGACCAGCCUCUCCGAUAGAUACUGGUUCGACCCGAGGCCUCCGGGCGCCUCACUAAAUGGGCCGUCGAGUUAGGGGAGUACGACCUGUCCUAUGAGCCGCGCACCGCCAUAAAAGCUCAAGCCUUAGCCGACUUCUUGGCCGAGCUCACCUUCACGGAAGGUCCGGAGUCCACCUCCGCCUUUGCCGAGGUGUCCACCCCAUCCCUGUGGACAUUGUAUGUGGAUGGAUCCUCUAAUGGGGACGGCAGCGGAGCUGGACUUCUCCUGGAAGGACCUCAGGGAGAAGUGUGCUCUUACGCCCUCCGCUUUGGCUUCCCAGCCACCAAUAAUGAAGCCGAGUACGAGACCUUAAUCGCUGGACUCCAGCUGGCCCGAAGGCUCGGCGCACAACAAAUCGACGUUCGCAGUGACUCCCAACUCGUCGAACGCCAAGUCCUUGGUGAGUAUGAGGCCAAGGAUGAGACCAUGCAACGAUACCUCUCCAAAGUACACCAACUCACAGCGUACUUCGAGUCCUUCGAAAUCCAAAAAAUACCCCGUUCCCAGAAUAAGCGAGCCGACGCCUUAUCCCGGCUGGCUUCUACGUCAUUCUCUGAAUUCAACAAAACUGUCUUAGUGGAAGUCCUGAGUGAACCAGGAUACGUGGAAGAGGUGGCCUGCCCCGUGCACUCUGAAGAAUCAUGGAUGACCCCGUUCAUCCUUUUCUUGGGUCAAGGAGUCCUCCCUGAAGACCGAGCCGAGGCUAGAAAAAUACAACGCAAGGCGGCUCGGUACGCUCUCCGCGAUGGAGAGCUGUACAAACGUUCCUACCUCGGCCCAUGGCUGAGGUGUGUCACUCCCGAGACAGGACGCCACGUCCUCCAAGAGAUCCACGAGGGCUUGUGUGGAGCUCACGUCGGCCACAGAAUGCUAGCCAAGAAGGCUCUGCUUCUUGGAUAUUUCUGGCCCUCGGUUCGACAAGACGCCCAGAACCUCGUUCUCGGCUGCCAUUGCUGCCAAGUCCACGCGUCCGAGUAUCACCAGCCCGCCAACUUCAUGGUUCCCAUCACUUCACCCUGGCCAUUCGAGCAAUGGGGGACAGACAUCAUAGGUCCUUUCCCCAGAGCCGUCGGGGGUCGUACCUUCCUGGUAACCGCUGUGGAUUACUUCACCAAAUGGGUUGAAGCCGAGCCACUGAGGACCAUCACCGGGCUGGCAAUUCAAAAAUUCUUUUGGAAAUGCAUCGUCUGCCGCUUCGGCAUACCACAGGUAAUCAUCUCGGAUAAUGGGAGGCAAUUUGCCGAGAACCCCUUUAAAACUUGGUGCACAAACCUUGGCAUCAAACAACAUUUCACUUCGGUAGGCCACCCCCAGGCCAACGGCCAAGCAGAAAACUUCAACCGAACUCUCUUGCAUGGCCUCAAGACUCGACUACACCAAGCUGGAACAUCUUGGGUCGAAGAACUCCCUAGUGUCCUUUGGUCUUAUCGAACCACGCCGAGGUCGGCCACGCAAGAGACCCCCUUCUCUUUAACAUACGGAGCCGAGGCUGUCAUCCCUGCCGAGAUCCUUACCCCCAGCCCUCGGCUCGCAGCCUAUGCAGCCGAGGUGAACGACGAAGAAAGGCAGUUGGAUCUCGACCUCGUCGAUGAGCGAAGGGACCUCGCCUCAGCCCGGAUAGCUUCCUACAAGAGCACAGUGGCACACUACUACAAUGCCCGUGUCAGGCACCGUCGAUUCCAGCCUGAAGACUUGGUUCUGAGGAAAAACUCAGUCAGCCGAGCUGAACCGCAAGGGAAACUAUGCCCGAAGUGGGAAGGCCCUUACCGAGUUGUGGAGUCUGACCUCAAGGGAUAUUGUAAACUGAGCUACCGAGAUGGCUCACUAGUGCCGAGGUCUUGGCACGCCGAGAACCUCAAAAUGUAUUACGCUUGAAUUUUUAAUUAAGUUAUGACAUCGGAUGUUAUGUUAUUUCUCAACAUCGGUGUUACGCUAUUAAAAAAUAAGGGGGACAAGCAAGGGACGAAGUCAAAGCGAGAAAUUAAAUUGCUGAGAUGAAAAGAAAUAAGCUUUCAUUCAACAGAAAAGAGCGUUACCAAAAAUACAAGGCCGAGGUCGGAAUGCUACUAAGCACUCUCCACCUCGGCCACCCCUUUAAAGCCCACAAGCCUAGACCCCCGUCUCGGCUCCAUUCCCCGUCUCAGCCCCAUCAUGGGCAGCCUUCUCACCGGACUCCUCUCCACCGGGGUGAAGCUCUUCUCCAUGCUCUUCGCCGAUGUUCCCUCCAGGCACUUCACCCGUCCCUUCGCCGAGGCCUACAUCGGCUUCUUCUCCUCUUUCCUCCUCGAACGCUUCGUCGAGUUCAGACAGCCAUUUGUUGAACUCGUCUUGAACCUCGGCCAGGUUCCUCCCGGCUCGGAUGCCUUCGGCCAUCCGAUCGCACAGCUCCGUGGAGUCCUCGUUAUAGUGAGCACUGUUCCUCAAGGACUCCAAAGCCUCGGAGGGCAGAUGAGCUGCGGCCUGGUCUAUGGCCGAAGUGAAGCCCAGCAUGAAGGAUGGCCUUGUCAGCUGGCCGAGAUCCCCAAUGAAGGUCUCGGACCUCCGGAAAUCCUCGACGGCCGAGGUCCUCGCGCUAUCAAGGGAUUGUUCGUGAUUCUUCUUCGCCUCCUCGGCCCUCUUCUGCUCUUCCUCAAGAGCGGACCUCAGACUGUUGGUUGUGAUCUCGGCCUCCUCCCCUUUAACCUCGGCCUCCUUGAGCUGCCUCUGAAGCUCGGAUUUCUCAGACUCAGACACCACCAGCUUCUUCUUCAACUUGGCAAUCUGAUCUUGCAGCUUGCCGGUGUCCUGCUCCUCGAGCAACUCGCAGUACCGAUGUGCCAUCUCGGCCACAAAGGCUGUGUUGGAGGCCGUGGUCACCAUAACGCUUUGGAGCAUCUCGGCCGGGGUCAGCUUCCUUGUGAAGUCCAAGUCUCUUGGCAGAGUAGACUGCAUCACCAGGUCUUGGGCGACCCGAGGAUUCGAGCAUCGGUCGUUGACCUUGAGCGACCAAUCCGGACACCACUGCUCGCCGGAGUGAGACUUAUCCUUCCCAGAAAACAUUGGGGGGCUAUGGUACCGGUUCCAGAGCGAAGUCGCCGUCACCGCGUUGACCGGAGCUUUCAGCUGUUUGCCUCGGCCAGGUUGAGGUGGAAGUGCCGUGGUCACCCCUAGUGGCACCCCCUCUGGUACCGAAGUGGACCCUGUGGCAGCAGCAGCCGAGCUGCUCUGAGCUGUCGUGGGGGGGUGGUCUCCUUGCCCGACGUCUUGGGAGGCUGCCCUUGUGUUUUCUUCUUGGGCGGGGGCGCCGAUGUCUCGCCCGAACUCUUCCUCUUCGACCUCUUCGCCACUUCGGCACCUGAGCUCGACGUGAUGAUGUCGGAUAAUUUGGUCACUGCACAAAGAGCAAAUAUUAUCAUGUGCCUUAGCCGAAGUGAAAUCAAAGCUAUGAAAGAAAAUUACAAGGUAUCUUAAGUUUAGUGGAGGUGAAGGGAGUCUUGUCAGGAGGGAUCAAAGCUCGGCUAAUUUCCCCAUCAACCAGCACGGCUUCGGGGUAGUCCAGACUAUAUAUCCGAAGUCCCGACCCCAUCAGCUUCUGGAAGUCCUCCUCCUUGGCAUCCCCAGCAGAGGGAUCGGCCUUCGCUUUGAUUGGCCUCCACCAAAAGCCCCUGGGGAAGUCCACUUCGGACACAAAGAAGUAGUCACGCUUCCAAUUCUUGAUUGAGCUGGGAGCGCCGACCACCAACUUCGGAAUGGCAUUGUUCCGAUUGCCAACAUAAAACCAUCCCUUGUCCGUCCCGUGCGCCUUGAGGGUAUAGCAUCGGCGGAAGAGGUCGACAGACGGAGUCACCUCCUGAUGUCGGCACAGCAUCUCGAACCCAAUAAUGUUGCGGAUCGCGUUCGGGGCGAGUUGGGUAAUCCUCACGCCGAAAUGACGAAGUAAGUCCCUGAAGAACCUCGACGUGGGCAUCCUCAGCCCGGCCUCCAAUUGUUGGACAUAGAUGGCCACCAUGCCAAUGGGGGGCUUCUCGGCUGAGUCAUCCACCCCGGGCGGUGUGAUCUCGUACCCCGACCGGAAAGGGUACUUGUUUAUCACCUUCACGGCCCUAUCUCUUCCGAUGCGACUCCUAAACUUCGGCAUCUUGCCGAAGUCGAUGUUGGAUGUAUCUUCGGGAGCGACGGGCUCCAGUGCGUCCUCAUCGUGUGGUAUCUCGACGCCGAGCUCCUCAUCAUAGGCCACUUCGGAGCCACCCUCGCUCAUCUCGGAUGACUCCAACUCGACGUCAACCUCCUCGCGGGUCUCCUCGGUGGAUCCUUCCCCAGAGCUCGGCGUCGACCCAUCAGAGCUGGACGUCGUCACUUCUAUAGGAUCCGGCCUCACCUCGGUUCGGUAACUCGGUGUCACGGUUUCUUUGUGGGUCUUAGCUGUUUUGGCCAUGGGUGAAAGAUGAGGUAAGAAAGAAGAAGAAUACUUACUAUUGCCUACGGAGUUGGACGAAGUUGAUGACCUCGGCUUUGAUCUCGGCUACUAGACCGACCUCGGCUGAAAGAACUGACCUCGGCUACGCUCGUGAACUUGCAAAUCUCAAAUGAAAAUGAAAGGUGUGAGAAGUACGGUGAGGGGGCCCCCCUAUUUAUAAGGGUUUGGGCGGAAUAUGAAGAGGCGGCAAGAAUGUGAAAGGACGGCCACGUUCGAACUCAGAACGUCGUGCCUCCCUCUCUCCUCAUUAAUGCCCCGUCCUUUCGGCUGACACCCUGCACGAAACGUCCCACUACUUCACGACGCGACGGUUACCAGUGACCACGUCCUGUCAACUGACACGUCCACGUGUCGCGUCCCCGCAUCUUCCGGGGCAGUUUCGGGACUCCGACUCUCUACAACUUCGGCCCAAGGAAGCCUCGGUACCUCCCUGGCCCGGAGCUCCCGAGGCUUGGGGGGCUUAUUGAGGAUGCUCACCUCGGCCGCCCCGCAUGCCCGAGGUGAACUCACCUCGUCCGUCAUAAGAGCUCAUCCGUGUUUCGAGCAUAUCCCUUAAGCUCGGCCGGAUCCCUAGUCUACCGUGCAGGUGACCUCGGCACCUCCACCUCAGCUGCACGCUGAUGAUGUCAAGCCACCUGACAUCACCUGGGACCAGUGCUUUAUCUGAAAAGCACUGGAGGCACUUAAUGGCACCUGCACCAUACUCUCCGCCAUCAUACCCAGAAGGCUACAGUGUCAGAGCCAGGCCGCCUGACAGGGAGCAGAGCCGUAAUGGCAGGACAUGGGUCCCACCGGCAUAAGACCUCCGUCCUGCCCUCCACUCUCAUUCUAUAAAUACCCCACACACUCCCAACAAGUAAGCACACUGUUCAUUUGCUCAUACUCUAGCAUUUUCUCGUUCUCAUACUAACUUAAUCGUCGGAGUGAUACCAGGGGAGAAGCCCCGCCAUUCACUUCGGACAAGAAGGUUGACUUCGGACACACGAAUUCACCUCACCUCAUCUCAGAGAGGACUGAUUUAGGUCGGCUUACUUAUCCACCAAAAAUCACCUCUUCACUGCUUUGAUGGUGUAUGCAGCAAUGUCUUCUUCCUUGGUGAAAACAACUGCAACGAAACAGAAAAUUGAAGAAAAAAUUGAGAACGAUGAACUCUAAAACAUGAUAAUAAACCAAUCAAGAAAUGCAGCAGACAAGCUUCUUUUGGAUACCUUUUGGAUUUCCAUCACAAAGAAUGACAAUUUUAUCUCUGGGAGGACUUGCAGAGAAAGAGUCUCCGAAGUUGUUGAGGAUAUAAAUCAAGUAACCAGCAAAUCCGUUAGAUACUAAGUAAGUGUAAGGUAUCCCUUCUGCCUCAAUAGCUCUGCGGAUCUCAACCUUGGUCCUGCUUAAGCUAGCAGCAGGCUCAACAGCAUGCGCACGAUCCACAUCAACCCCAAAUUCAGAAGGUAAGAAUCUCUGAAACCAAAUACAGCUCCUUCUUUAGGAAUAUGGAAGUCACAACUCACAAAGGGAUAAGCGCAAAAAAUAAAAAUCAAGAAAGAAUUCGUAAUACUGUAUUGUGCUCACUUUGAUGUUUCCAGCUUCUUUAAUUGCUGCAAUAAUCUUAACUUGAUGAGCUACCAAAUCUCCCCCGACUGCAGAGAUCACUAUCUCAACUUGGUUGAUUGCAUUUACCAACUGCUGAUGAUUGUGUAGAUCUCCCUGUUCAGUCCAUACAUACACGUCAGUUUCUAUAAUUUCUUGAAAAAAGGUGAAACAGUAUUUAGACAACGAAGAAAGAAAUAACAGCACACAUGAAGAAAUAUGACUCCCAAACUCUUGAAGCUCUCUAUGAUGGCUGCCCUUUUAGAAUCUGAAAUUUUGCUUUCUCGGACCAGUGCAAACGUUGGGUGCCCUGCCUUUGCACUUGCUUCCACUAAAUAUUUCCCGAUGUUUCCAGUGCCCCCAAUGAUCAAAAUCUUGCUUUUCACAUCCAUUUCCAACUCUAGGAUAGUAGACUACUGCUGCAAAAUUGGAUGGAAACCGUAAAUUGAUGAGCUGAACAGAUGCAGAAAUGUGCCUAUAGGCUGCAGCUUCGUGCACGGUUAAUUUAUAGUGGAAAAAGUAUUGAAACUGGCAAGCAACCCUGUCGCUGCAGUUUCCUUUUGAUGCUCUAUUGGCUUCUGAAAUUUCUAUCUGAAAUUUCUAAAGUGCUCCAAGAACCAAUCAACGGAAGAUUAGACAGUUGAACAUUCUCACGAGGUUUCCCAAAAAAUCAUAGCACUAACGGAUUCUUAUUGGCCAAGAUGCGCAAUGUAUUGGGGUGCUUGGCAAUUGCGAAAGAGAAAGGUCAAAGUCAAUUGAAUGUCCUUGUGAAAUUACUCAUAUGGGAGAUUUAGCGGUAGGAUUUCGUCCCUGAAUCAGUGAUGACCAAACCUGAAGUAAGCGCUGAUGUUAAACAAAAUGUUGAAGCGAACAAAAAGAGCAUAAACUUAGUACUAAACGUUAAACAAUGUGCUAGAAAAAAAAAUGAAAAGAACAACAUUAUUUUUCUUUUCAUAUAUUCAUCAUAUACUGAUAGAAGCAUGUACUCAUCGGCAUUUGGGUACAACGAAUCCGAACAAUGCAAUUAAUAUAAUUGAUAGAGAAAAUCGUUCAAAACGUUUUUCACAUUUUUGUAAAAUGAUUUUUUUCGUCUCACUUCUAAAAAUGUAAUUUUACGUCCUUUACAAAUUCACAUUAGUUAAACUUUGUCCCUGCUUAGGUUUCCAACUAAUUUUUUAUUGAAAUUCACCACGUGCCUUGCACAUGAUCAUGUUUGCAGGAAAAAAAUUACCAAAUUAUAUUUUACCAAAUGAAUUUUUUUAUCCUUACAUUUCACAAAAUCACUAAGCAAAAUCCUUGAUGACAAUUAAAAUGUAGCAAUAAUUGUUAGGAGGAUUAAAAAGUAGAAGCCAUGAGGACACCUUACUCAAUCAAACAAUAGUUCGUGCAAUGUCAUUCCAUUAAUUUUGGUUUAUCAUCUUUUAAUUCCGUGAAAUUUGCUUUUUUUUUUAACUUGUAAUGUUAUUAUUUAUUCAUUAUACUUUGAUUUCAUUAAUCAAAAUAGCUAAUUUUAGUUGAUCAUAAUUCAGACAAAUUUGGAGCACGUGUACUUUCUAAAUAAGAAUAAAUAUCCUGUUAUGCUUUGAAUGACAUAGAUGAAAAUUUUGGUUUACUAAGUUGGAAAAAAAAGGUAUCUCUCACAGACAAUCCAACAAUACAUUCUUGGGUAAUUUAGAAUUCCAUUUUGUGUUGUUCCAACUAAUUGUCACUACAAAUUAUAGCUAUGAGGCUAAAUGAAACCAGCGGCAGAGGAGAAAUUUGGCAUGGAAUGACAAUCUUGAGAUUGUCGUGAGAAUGACAAUCAAAUUGUGAUAGUAAAUUUGGCAUAACUAAUAGUAAGUUUUUGCAUAAAACAAAUAACUUUUAUUAGUUAUUGUAACUUGCUAUUUAAAUAUUAAAUCUUACUAGAUUUUUCAGCAAAAAUUACCAUUUUUUUCCCAAAACUUAGCAAUUUUUUAAAUAUAAAACGUACGAUUUCUCGAGAAAAACUUAUGACUUCAUUAACAAAUCUUACCACUUUUUUAGUAAAAUUUCCUAUAUCAUUAACAAAAACCUUUCUAUUUUCGAACAAAACUUCCCUUUUUUUUUUUUACAAAACUUGCUACUUUUUCAAACAAAAUUUAUGACUUUGCUAAUAAAUUUUAACAUUUUUUCAUGUACAAUAUACCAGUAAAGAUCUAAAUAAUUAUAGGAUUGAUUACUAUUGCCAAAUGGGAUUUGGCUGGAGACUUGAAUAGAACUGAAUAAGGACAGCUAUAGUAAAGAUGAAUAAAUACCAAGAAGAUGCCCAAUUGGAUUGUUAUUUGGCACCGGAUAUUUGAUAAAGCUACCCCAGAUGGGUGGUUCAUUUAAAUGCUAGAAGAAAUUGCUGAUAAAGACGACUACCUAAAAGUCUUCAUGGAAAAUUGACCGCCUGCUCUCAAGCGAUGUAUACAUUUUGUUUUUCAUCAGAAUCAUCAGUGUGAACCAGUCCAUCGACGACUUGGGAUAGGGAUCGUUGUCAGGUUAACUGUCUUGAACGAUUUUUGUUAAUAUAUUGAAUAAUAAAUUAGGUCAUCAAUGAAAGUCCCCAUACGCCGUGGGAAAAUCUGUAUGUUUUGUGGGGAAAAAAAAAUCCUUGCAGACAUAUUCGAGAUUCAAUUAAUGGAAAUGUUCACUCGCUAUCAAUUGGUUGAUUUAUUGAUUUACGCUACCGUAGAACUUCCACCCUCUUUUUUGCAAUUUAAAUUAAUAUAAAAUGUUUGAUAGAAAAUCACCAAACCAAUUGAAAAUUUGUCAAAUGGGAAUAACAAAUGUUUUGGGGUUUGGACAAUUUUCGUCUUUAAAGUUUCCCUGAAGGCAUAUUUAGUCCUACCAAUUUCCAAAUUUUCACCAGUUCUGUAUAUUGAUGACAAAUCAAAUAAUUUGGCACCAAAAAAAAAGUUUGUCGAAUAAUGAAUUAAGUUUUGUACACUAUUAAUGUAAAUAUUUUUUAAAGAAAGAUGAAAAAAAUUAGUAAAUAUAUGGGGUAAAAUAUGAGUAUUUACUAACUAUUCUUAAAAGAGGGAAAGAAAAGAAAAAAAAAUUAGAAAAACUUAUUGGAAAAAUUGAAAAUAUAUCGAAGGCAAUCAAUAUAGAAGUGCGUGUAAAAACCAUAGUAUGGAAAGAGAUGUGAUUUUUUUGAGCAUCUCUAUAUGUUUUUUUAUUUUUGUCUUUCAACAUGUGCCUUUGUAUUGUGAUAGUAGUAAUACGGAUGGAAUUGUGAGCGAUGGCCCCAGUGGUGAAAAGAAAACUAGAGAAUUUUCUAUGACUUUUAUUUUCCCUCUGGGCUCUGGUUGUUGACCUGUGAUAGUGGUAAUAGAGGCAACCUUGGUGGUGGUUGUGGAGGCAGAAAAAUGGUAGUGUUCGUGAAUUUUGGUGGCAGAGAGAAUAAUAUAAGAGAACUUUUUAAAAAAAAAAAGAAUGGUAAUUUAAAAUUUUUUAUGUGAAAUUUGUGUCUUUUCAAAGAUUGUGUUACCAAAACAAUAAAUACAAGAGUGGUCAGCAUAAUUGUUGAAUUUAGAGGGCACUAGGUGAAUCUUAGAAGAGGUUUCAAAAAAUUUUCCCUUUUUUAUUCACUUUAUCCUUGUGACAAAUAGAAAUACAAGGUAUUUACCACAUAUUUUUGUUGCUUUUAAGUUAGUUUAUUUUAUUUCUAUAAAAUUUUUUGAAUCUAUAAUGUACAAAUUUUGUGGCAAUUUUGAGGAAAUGGAGAAUGAGUAUUUAAUGUGAGAGAAUAAUUAAGUUCACGUUGUGUUGCAUAAAAAAAAAAAAAAGGUCAGGUUGUGUACCAAAUUAAAGAAUUGCAUAAUGUCUUUGAUUUUACAAACUCUCGUAUUUGUAUCAAUCACUUAAAAAUGUUGUGAUUUAAACCACCUUUUUAUAGGUGGACUCUAUUAAAAUUACAUUUUACCUCCCAAUUGAACAUGGACCAAAAAAAUCCAAAAAAAAAAAAAUCCUCAAUUGGGUUGGAAGUCAUUGUUCCAAAUUUUGUCCUUUUUUUUUAAAAAAAAAAUUUCUGUAGAUAAAUAGAUAAAAUGGUAACCGAUGUAAAUGUUGGAUAAAGGGCCUCACAAGUAGAAAAUUCGUCUAGUUCAUGCUAGUUUGUGUAAUUAUUAGAAUCACUGGGUGAGACACACACUCUAUGUGUGCGUAUAUUUUAGGAAAAAGUAAAAAUGAAAAAGAUAUAAAAUAACAAACUAGUUAGAGCAAAAGAAUUGAUUAUAGAGUAUUGGGAUUUUUUUAAUUGAAGUUAGCGGGAAGACUUGGAUAUAUAUAGAAGUAGUGGAUAAGUACGGAACUUAGAAGUAGCAGUUAUGUCAACAUGGAUGGUAUGGAGUAUGAGAUGGCAAUAUAAUACUUCAUUAUGCAAGGAGGAAAUUGGAAUAACAAAUAAUGAUAGAAUUUUUUUAACACAAAUCACAACUAUUUGGCAAAAAAAACUCUUGAAAAUACUUGCAAAACCUCUGAUAUUAAAUUGCGCAUAAUUAGUAACAUAAUUUUAGAGUAAUUACAUUUUAUCAAACAGUGAUACAAUCUUUGGUUACUAGAAGAAGCGAGGAGGAUGGAUUGGAUGGUAAGAGGGAAGGGAGUACAAAUAAGAGAUCCUGGAUUCAAGACUUUCUACUUACAUUAAGGGUCUGUUUGAUUGGAUGUAAGAUAUUUUCCCUGAAAAAUAUUUUCCAAAGAAAAUUUUUUCAAAGAAAAUAAAUUGUUUCCUAUUCGUUUUUGGGUGUUUGGUUGACUAGUUUGACCUCCUAGAAAUUUAAGCCCAUUAGAUCUCGAAUAUCCAACCCACAACAGCACCUUGCAUCCUAACAUACAUUUUGCUUCGUCAUGCCUACCACCAGCAAAGCUGCCUACCAUCCACGUUCUCUUCCCCCUUGUCACCACAGCUGCAAAAAACUCCUCCCAGUACCACCAUUGCCACCAGUUACUCCUUGCCAGUCCGAACACCAUCCCCACCGCAGCCCCACGGCAAAAGGAAAUUAUCAUCAAUGGGAAAGUCUUAUGAAUGAAAAGAUAACAUAACCGAUGCUCUGUCUCCUAGAUUUCUGGUAGUUAGUUCUGCUUAGAAUUAGUCUCCGAUAGGUAUAUCUGUUGUAACAGAACACAUCCUCUAGGCUGUAUUUUGUGUUUAAAUACUAAGGCAAUCGCUAGGAAAGGUAGGGGAAAACAUUAUAUGCAAGUCUCUCUUCUUCCUCACCUCUCUUCUACAUGGUAUCAGAGCCUAUCUCAUACGAGAUUAGGUUCUGAUCUGCAACAUCCAUGGCAACUGGAAAUACUCAGGUUGUUCUCCCAAAUACUCAUGACCCAAACAGUCCUCUAACCUUGAUCACCAUCCACAACUCCAUCAAACUUACCUCCACAAAUUAUCUCUCUUGGAAAACUCAGACCGAAGCCAUCCUCAUAGGUUAUGACCUGCACAAAUUCAUUGACGGUUCGCAUCCGUCUCCUCCUGCCACCAUCACUGCCAACAAUGCAGCUUCCCCCAAUCCGGCAUAUCAGACAUGGCUGAGACAAGACAAGCUUUUGUUUGGCGCGCUGGUGGGCACGAUGUCACCCAACCUUGUUCCGCUCAUUGCUCAGUCAAAAACAUCUCAUGAUGCUUGGAAAGCCCUCGCCAACACCUAUGCUCGUCCCUCUCGUGGACAUAUCAAACAAAUCAAGGACAACCUGAAGAACAUCUCCAAAGGAUCACAAUCUGUUACCGAUUACAUGCAAGCCAUCAAGACCAAAGCUGAUGAACUUGCCACCCUUGGAAAACCACUUGAUCAUGAAGACUUAAUUGAGAAAGUCUUGGACGGCCUUGAUGACACAUUCCAAUCUGUCAUUGAUGCAGUCAACAGCCGCGACACGGUCAUCACCUUUGAUGAACUCCAUGAAAAACUCAUCAACAAAGAGCUAUCCUUGCGCAAUUCCUCACCAGGUUUUCCAGCCUCUGCCCACCUCACACACACACAACGCUCAAAUCAGCGGUCACCGGGCAAUCACCCACCAUGGCCUGCUCGUCCUCCAACCUUGCAGUCCGCUCCCAGCCACUACAACCGACCAAUGCGUCCAUUUCUGGGCAAAUGCCAGUGGUGCCGUGGUCAAGGUCAUGUGGUCCCUCAGUGCACUCUCUUCCGCCAACAAUUUCCUCAUGCUUCACCACCAUCACGCGCUGUCAGUUCACCGCCACUUCGUGCACCCCCUCCUUGGCAAGCUCAAGCUCAUGUUGCUACCUCAAACUCCCCAUCACAUGAUCCUUGGCUAUUGGACAGUGGUGCUACGCAUCACAUUACAACUGACCUUCAAAACCUCUCCUUUCACAACCCCUAUACUGGUCCAGAUGAAAUCAUGAUUGGAGAUGGCUCUGGCAUUCCUAUCACACACACGGGUUCAACUUCUCUGCCUACUUCUUCUCACUCUUUCACUCUUUCUAAUGUCCUUUGUGCUCCAACCAUGAAACGUAAUUUAAUUUCCAUUUCUCAGUUCUGCAAAUCAAAUAAUGCCUCUAUUGAAUUCUUACCAUCAUCUUUCUUUGUGAAGGACCUUCAAUCGAAAGCCAUGCUCUUCCAAGGCCAAACUAAAAAUGGUGUCUAUGAGUGGCCCAUCUCCUCGGCUUCAUCACCAUUGCUUGCUUUCUCCACAACAAAGACCACAUACCCUGCCUGGCAUCACCGACUUGGUCACCCAUCACUACCGACACUCAAACACAUGGUCUCAUCAUUCAAUCUGGAUGUCUCAAAUUCUUCCUCUCUCAACUCUUAUUGCAAUUCUUGUCAUUGUAAUAAGAGUCACAAAUUACCUUUCUCUGUGUCUACCUUGUUCACUUCUUCUCCACUUGAAAUUGUCUUCACGGAUGUUUGGACUUCACCUGUGUACUCCAUUGACAACUUUAAAUACUAUAUUCUCUUUGUUGAUCAUUUCACAAAAUAUAUGUGGCUGUAUCCGCUGAAACGCAAAUCUGAUGCUCGUAAUGUUUUCAUUUCCUUCAAGGCCUUGGUUGAAAAAUUCUUCAACUGUGAAAUCAAAACGCUUUACUCUGAUAAUGGUGGCGAAUAUCAGGCCCUCUCUUCCUUCCUAACAAUCAAUGGCAUCUCUCAUCUCACCUCUCCUCCUCAUACUCCUGAACACAAUGGCUAUUCUGAACGUCGCCAUCGUCAUAUUGUUGAAACUGGACUUUCUCUCAUUUCUCACGCAUCUAUGCCUCUGGCCUAUUGGUCCUUUGCCUUUUCCACAGCCGUAUAUCUUAUAAAUCGUCUCUCGACACCUACUCUCAACAAUGAGUCUCCAUUCCUUAAACUUUUUGGCACUGUCCCUAACUACAAUAAACUUCGAAGUUUUGGCUGCCUCUGCUAUCCCUGGCUCCGUCCUUACACCUCUCACAAACUUGAACCCAAAUCAACUCCUUGUCUCUUGGUUGGAUAUUCCUCUACUCAAAGUGCUUAUCUCUGUCUUGAUAUAUCCUCCAACCGAUUGUACACCUCUCGUCAUGUCCGUUUUGUUAAGUCUGUGUUUCCCUUUGCCAACUCUAAUCUCACCCUCCCUCGGGUCACCUCCUCCACCACAUCCGAAUGGUGUUCUAUGACUUUACCUGUCAUUCCUUCUGUGUCCCCCUCCGUCCCAACAACCUCUCAACCCCAAGGACAACCUCUAUCGUCGCAACCCGCAUCCAGUUCUGGAUUACCACCCAUCUCCUCCCCUCCUACUCCAGCUGCAACUAUAUCCACAACCACCAACCCGACGCCCUCAUCUCCUCAAGGCAUAAUUACUCGGUCCAAACACAACAUUCACAAACCCAUUCAAAAACUCAACCUCAAUGCUGAACUCCACCAUCCCACCCUUGUGCCCACCACCGUCAAUCAAGCAUUGAAAGAUCCUCAAUGGCGGCAAGCCAUGUCCACAGAAUUUGAUGCUCUUCUUCGUAAUGGCACGUGGGAACUUGUUCCAUCUCAUCCUACCCAAAAUUUGGUAGGGUGUAAAUGGAUUUUUCGCAUCAAGUACUUACCUGAUGGCUCUGUUGACAGGUACAAAGCGCGUCUGGUGGCCAAAGGUUUUCAUCAACGCCCAGGGGUUGAUUUCACCGAGACCUUCAGUCCUGUCAUCAAACCAACCACUGUGCGUCUGGUUCUUAGCCUUGCGAUAAGUCAAGGCUGGUCACUUCGCCAACUGGAUGUCAACAAUGCCUUUCUUCAAGGCACACUUUCAGAAGUGGUGUUUAUGUCUCAACCUCCAGGCUUCAUUGACCGUGAUCAUCCUCACCAUGUCUGCAGGCUUCGCAAGGCCAUCUACGGCCUCAAACAGGCUCCACGCGCCUGGUAUCAUGAAUUACGCCAAUUUCUGCUCACUUCAGGCUUUCAUAACUCCACGACAGAUACCUCUCUAUUCAUAUUCAACACUCAAGGAGUUAUUCUUUAUCUUCUUGUUUACGUUGAUGAUAUCAUUGUUACUGGAAACACAGCUCAAGCUGUACAUCAGUUUCUUCAGCAACUCUCUAUGCGCUUUUCCUUAAAGGAUCUUGGGGACUUACACUACUUCCUGGGUGUUGAAACGCUUCCCCAUGACGAUGGUCUGUUUCUUAGUCAACGAAGGUAUAUUGUUGAUCUUCUUCAAAAAACUCGGAUGACUGAGGCAAAACCAGCCACUACACCUCUAGCAACAAGUCCGCCUCUUACCUUGCAUGCUGGUACUCCCUUAUCUAAUCCUACAGAGUAUCGCACCAUUGUUGGAAGUCUUCAGUACCUCUCCUUGACCCGUCCAGACAUCACUUACACCGUCAAUAAACUUUCUCAAUUCAUGCAUCAACCAACGAAUGAACAUUGGACGGCUGUCAAACGCUUACUUCGCUAUCUCUGUGGCACGUUAGAUCAUGGCAUAACACUUCGUCGUAAGUCAUCUCUUACUCUUCAUGCUUUCUCCGAUGCUGACUGGGCCGGCAACAAGGAUGAUUUUACUUCCACCAGUGCUUACAUUGUUUAUCUCGGCCAUAAUCCUGUAUCUUGGAGCUCCAAGAAACAAAGAACUGUUGCCCGCUCUUCAACCGAAGCUGAGUAUCGAUCAGUUGCUGCCACGGCCGCUGAACUCCGAUGGAUUUGUUCUCUCCUCACUGAACUUGGCAUUUCUAUUCCCCAUCAACCGGUGAUUUAUUGUGACAAUGUUGGAGCCACAAACCUCUGUGCCAAUCCAGUUUUUCACUCGCGUAUGAAGCAUGUUGCCUUAGACUAUCAUUUCAUUCGUGAACAAGUACAAAACGGUCUCCUCAGAGUCUCUUAUGUCUCAGCUUCUGAUCAGCUUGCCGAUGUCCUCACCAAGCCCCUGUCUCGCCAACAAUUCACCAUGGUUUUGAACAAGAUUGGACUCACUCCACCACCGUCCAUCUUGCGGGGGGAUGAAAAGAUAACAUAACUGAUGCUCUGUCUCCUAGAUUUCUGGUAGUUAGUUCUGCUUAGAAUUAGUCUCCGAUAGGUAUAUCUGUUGUAACAGAACACAUCCUCUAGGCUGUAUUUUGUGUUUAAAUACUAAGGCAAUCGCUAGGAAAGGUAGGGGAAAACAUUAUAUGCAAGUCUCUCUUCUUCCUCACCUCUCUUCUACAAUGAAACCACAAGUUUUUCAAAAAUACCAAUUGCUGGCAAAUGGUAUUGUAGAAAUUAAGAUUCAUCAGGUUAGUUCAUCAAUAAAGAAGUAUCUUUUCUCAAAAGAUCUAUACUCCAAUAUCAAAAUCAUGAUCAGAUAGGUAAUGAAAUUCAGAAUUUGCUUGUAAGAUGUCAAAGUCGCCGUUGAUUGACAAAGCAAGAAUUUGGGUGUUUAGAGAGAGGUUGCUAUGGAAAAAUACCCAUGCGAUCAUCAAGGAAUCAUAUAGGUAAAGACUGUGUGACAGAUUUGAAUUCUUAAUUAUGGCCUUUGAAGGGUAGUGGACAUGCCAUUAUCCUUUCUUUAAAUGAAGUGACGGAAUGCGAGGAAAAUAACUUCAGUAGGGCGAGAAGGGAAGUUGUUUUACACUCGUUGGUGUAAAAUGUUUUCUGGCAGAAAAGAUUUUCCCAUGCACUUGUGCAACCAAACAUUGGACAUUCCAGAAAAUAUCUUCCGGAAAAUAUUUUCAGUCCACUCAAACAGACCCUAAAAUAAAAUAAAUACAAUAAAAAUAAAAUAAAGUAAGAAAAUCUCUAGUUUGAUCAAACAAUGUUACAAUGACGCAACAGCGUAAUUUGUUAUGAUGGGAAAUUUUAAAGAAGUUGACGGUCAGUUUUUUUCUUCUCUACUUUUUUAGAUUGAAAAACGUAUUUUAGGAAAGUCAAAGCAAUAUUUUGCUAAUCUUAUUUUGGUUUGUUUAUGUAAGCAUUAAAAUAUGAGAGCUAAGUGUGAUUCUUGAUGCCUAUUGCUAACUUUUGCAACUAUGUUAUACCUCAAAGGGAUUAAUUUCAUAGAAUAAUACUUUCGUGUAAAAUUCUAUGGAUCUUUGCACCUAUUCAGUGUCAUUGAUUUGCAGAAAAAUGUGAGAAAGUCACUUCAAAGAGCAGCUCUUGAGCUAGUUAUGGCAAAAAAUUCAUCUAUCAGAGUUGCUAGUCUAAUAUCUUUGGUUUUCCUGGACAUCAACGAUGAUAGAAGCUGCUUCUGGGAGAUAUGGACCUUAAGUUCUGUCUAAUUCUUUCCUCUAGCCUUGAUCAAAGCUACUCUUACUCAGGGUCACAGACAACGGCGAUGUUGAAGUUGAGAAUUGUUAAUAUAUAGUAAAUUUUGAGGUAAAUAGGGUCUUCAACUCUGCAAUUUAUACAAGAUAUUGGGCAACCCCUUUUUUCUUUUAAAUGCGUUUAUGAGCAUCAAGAACAAGUGGGUGGAAGAUGGCAGUGAAAUUGUGAAGACAAUUUUGGUUAAAGGUUGGGAGUCAAAUUAUGUUCUACUGAAUUGUGAAAUUUGAGAAAUGAAAACAAAUAAAGUGAAUUCAAGAUUGACUUCUGUAUUGCUACAUAUUUUCCUGACAAAUCGAUAAUCCAAAAUAUAAGAACUAUUUUUCUGGAAAUCAUUUUGCUUUUUUUAUUUUUUAUUUUUUUUGUAAGUGGGAGGAUUCGAACCCGAGACCUCUCACUUACACUCCCUCCCCCUGGAAAUCAUUUUGUUUACCUUACUAUUUUCCAUUAUUAACCAAACCAUCAAGAAUUUAGCAUUUCUAAGGAAUUGCAAAGCCAACAGCAAAACAUGGAGUCAAGCAUAUGUUUUAAUUAUUCUGCAUAAUUUUGUUUAGUUUAUGGAAGUCUCUUGUCAGGCAAAACAAAAUAAUAAAAUUUUUUAGGCAAACUAUUAUAACCUUUAUAGACAUACAAUCCAUAGCAAAUAAAAGGAGGUCUAAUUUUCAUAUUACAUCAGCAGAUGCCAAGCAAAACUGAAAAACAGCAAGCACUCAAAAUAUUAUAAUCAUACAAAAUACGGUAAAAUUACAACUGCUUCUCAAAUCACCUAGAAGAAAUUGCUCAUCCUGAGAGCCAAACAACAGCAGCAGCAAGCACUUGAAUGAUUGUGGGCCUAGCAGAAGUGUACGAAUUUGGCAUAUGAUAACGAGCACAUCAUACUACAUUUAAAUUGCCAACAAAAAAUGAAUAAAUCAUGGCAAAAUUUGAUACAAGAACACGAUUGUCUGCAUGAAACCCUUCACUUUCUUCCCUGAAUCGGUGAUGACCAAACCUGAAGUAAGCGCUGACGAACAAAAUGUUGAAGUAAACAAAAAAAAAGGCAUAAACUUAGUAUUAAACGUUAAACAAUGCGCUAGAAUCUCUUCAUUUGCUCCGAUACCACAAGAAAAAAAAAUGAAAAAAACAACAUUUUGUUUAUAUUUCAUCAUAUACUGAUAGAAGCUUGUAUUCAUAGGCAUUUAAUUCAAACAAUACAAUUAAUAUAAGUAAUAGAGACACAUUUUGCUUAGACACUACAAUUCAGAAACUAGACAAGAAAUGGAGUCAAUCAAGAGAUUUAUUAAUUUUUUUGUCACAGUCUAUAGAUGAGGAUGGAUUUAGCCAUAAACCUCAUUUUUAAGGGUCUCUCUUUUUUUUUUGUUUGAAUUUCUUGCUCAUUAAUUUUUGUUGGGACAGGUGGUGUUUUGAGCUAACUUAUGUGCAUUUUGGAUUAAACCAACUUCAAACCCUUAAAUAUUCAUCCCAAGGACAUAAUUAAAAUUCGGCGUGUUCGGCAAAAUUACUCAUAUAAAUUUGUACGUGUAUAGUACGAACAUAUUUGAAAAUUAUGGAACUAAAAAUAUAGAUAAAUUUACAAUAGUUUUCAAAGAGUAUGCCACUUCCAUACCAAUCUUAAACUUAUUUUAAUGUAUAAGAUGUUAAAUUUAUUAAAAAUUUUACCAUAUUAUUUAAAUAUGUAUAAAUCUACAAUUGUUAUAUUAUAUGUUGUUCUUAUUUUGUAUAUAACUCAUGAGCAUGUCAUUAUCAUUAAAUUUUAAUUUUUAAAAAAAUUGAAAUAUAAUUCACGAAGUAUAAGACAGGACAGAAAUUUAUUGCGUGUUUCAUAGAGUUAAUUGAAAAGUAUGAGUAUUUUUCUAAGUAUUUUUGAAAUCUAGGAAAUGUGGAGUUUUUUGUAUGAUACGUGAGAACGAGUAUUAUAUAAGCACACUACAAAUGCCUGCUAACUAGGACUAAGAGAAAACAAAAUGAACAAACUAAUAUCUUCAAAUCAUUUACACGUAUUACAUCCCUUCUUUCUUCAAGUAUGCUCCACUAAAAAAAUCAAUUCAGAUUAAUAUCCUACCCCGAUUUUUUUCCACUAAUUGCCCAAAUAAAUUAUUUUUGGAUAUAACAAAAUGGUUGAUUAUUCUAGAAUAUAAUCAGAUGUUUCCACCACUUGUAAAACCUACCAAAGAAAUCCAUAUUCUAAAUUUCAAAUUUUUGUCUACUAAGCAUUUCAUGAUACUGAAAGAAAAAUAUUACUAGGCAUUUCAUCAUACGGAGGGUAAUAGAUUUGUUCAUAAUUACUGUACAAUCAAGAUUAACAUGAUAGUUUUUUUCUAGCCAAUAAGAUCUUUGUACAAAUUGCUAUGUAUUAGAGUAAGAAUUAAUUUUGUAUAAAUCAAGUUCCGAGCGAAUUUACUUCAUUAGACAAAAUGGUCCUCCUUUGCUUAAAAAAAAAAAUCUCUCAAGGAAAAACAUAUGGAUUUAAGAUGUUAUGAGUAGGGAAAAAAUGUGGUAAACAACUAGUGUUGUACCAUGAAAGUCACGUACGUUAAACAUAUAAUUAAAAAAUGUGUUUACUCGGGAAAAAUAAAAUUAUUUGUUACAAAAAUUCAAAAGAUUGGAUCUUGAAGACUCCCGCUCAAUACCCAAGUAUUCCCAUAUAUAUUAAAUCCAAAAAAAAAAACUACCUGCAAAUCUACAAAUUAAAUGAAGAGCCGCCCCGCCGCCGGGGGGGAGGGGAUUUGUCUGCAAGAAUAGGUAAUAUUGCUUAUAUGCAUGAAAUAAUAAGAAGAAGUUUAUUAAAAAAAGAGGGAAUGAGUAGUUAAUCGAAGAAGAGUAAAAAAAAAAACAUCUUAUGAUAGCUGUAUCCCCCUGACAUACUUAUUUAGCCUAGUUUGACUUUGUAAAAGCCUCUAAUACUGCCCAUAUGCGAGAAUUCUUCCCCCAACCCACCUUUAGCAAAAGUAUUCUGUGUGCCCAGUUUGCUACAAAUAGUUUAUGUGAGAGGUAUGUCUCAGUGAAGGCUUUGGCUUCUUAAUAGAAGAGAUGAUUUCAAGGCAAGAUUUGGUGGAUUGCAAGUUACAAAGAAUUGCGGGAGAAAACUUGUGCAAUCCAAAAUAUUAGCAGCGGACAAAAGAUGAAAUGGGAUUUCCCUUGCAAAAACGAAUAGAUGAAAUGGACAACUAGCUGUUAGAAUGAAUGAACAGAAUGUACUCUAAAAAAGUUGUACAAGUUUUAAGUAAUUGUGUUAUUGGAUUUCCCUUUCGGCAUCAGUGUUUUUGCCUAUCAUGUAUUUGACAGGAGUUUAUUUGAAUGACCUGCUCUGUUCUAUAGUAAAGUCAAAGGGAUUGCCUGACCAUUAUUUUCCUCCUCAAUAGUAUCGUCAUGGUCCAAUGUCCCUACUGUGAAUUGGCCAAAUAAGUUUGCUACCCUUUGGCUCGCAACUGUGGGGGCAAAAAAACACCACAUUGUGCUAUGUUGAGUGUGUUCACCACUUAACCAAUCGAGGAGGAGGUGCGUUCCCCUUCCCCUCCUCGGGAGGGAAAGAAGAAAGAUUGCACUUCUUAUGGGAAGUGUGACGCCCCCACUUCUCCCUAAGGCGAAUCAAAGGGUAUCCACGGGACGCCUGCCUAGCUCUCGCCAGGACUCAAGCAAUUCCAUUCAGACUUAUUAUCGGACCACACAAUACGAUCAAUAACCUAGAUACAAUAAAUGUGGAAGCGUUCAAGUUUAAUCAAAGUCAUCCAUUAUCCAACCCGCACAUCGGGUGUUCAACAACCAUCAUAAAUCCCAAAUAUACAUCAUGCUCCAAAAGUUACAUUCGGAUUUCAAAAAUACAACCCAAAAGCCAAGACAUAGCCAAAAGUAAUAGAAACCCUAAACAAAAGCGUAUCAGGAAGGUUUUUUCGAUACCUUGCCAAGUUCGAUCCUGUUAAGGAAAACAAAUCUACAGGGUGAGUAAAACGCUCGUGAGGCCAAGAACACACAUACAAGCACAUUACUCAAAUAACAAUCUCAAUUUACAAGUCAAGCAAUCAUAUUUUAGUAAUUAACAAUUUACUGGAAAUAUAACCAGAAACAAUUCAAGGAUACUGGAGCCCUCAGGAGCUAUAUUCCACUUGCACAUUCGAUAACCUCCACGAAUUGACACUCCGUCAAUCGGGUAGGUUUAGUCCGUAGAAUUCCACUUAACCUGUCAUCUUUCACCUUACAUACCCCUGUAUCGGGCCCGCCUGUCAUUUGUUUGUGGCGAUACUACUCGAGUAUGCCAAGCAAGACCUCUCACUAGGUCAAGCUUAUAUAUCUCAUGGCUCGCCAAGGUUCCCGACCAAACCCAUGCCGGCUCGAGUCCAAGGUCGGUCAAUGAGAUUUGGGCGUCCCCAUGUGCACUUGUGUGUCGAGGAGAUUCACUCCAACGACGUAGGCAACUAUAGCAUACCAUUACAUUUCAUUCAUUCAUUCAAUACAUUUCAAUCAUUCAUUCAAUGCAUUUCAACCAUUAAUAUUUCAUUUCUAAUGAGAACGAGUGUGGUAAAGUACACACUCGACUCCACUUUCAAGAUUUCUAAUCAUUAAUAACAAUUAAACAUGUAAUAAGUUUACAUACACCUGACACUCACCAAGUAUUAGGUGUAAGUAAGGUCAAGGAAAGUUCAAGCGUCCACCGUGGGAUCCUCUUGAAGGUCUUCGUGUGCGUCUGAGCAAAUAAUAGUGAAUUAUCAUCCAAAUCCUAAAUAUCGAGGAAUAAUUCGUUCACUAGUAUUAAUCUAGGGGAUUCCGUGAAAAUGAACCUCAAUUACUCGUAAAUCGAGGUUCGAGAGGGGUUUGAUAACUUUCAAAAGUAUUUAAGUCUUUAUCUAGGAAAUCGGAGAUAAAAGGUUUAGAUAAUAUCAAAAGAAUAAAGAGUUCUUGAAAAACUUAUUUCCUUGAAAGUUGGAAAAUUUCAGUUUUGUUAUGAAUUUUUGAAAAAUCGUAACUCACUCGGCAUAAGUCGAAAAUUGGAAAACUUUAUACCGUUGGAAACCUCUUAAAAAGUACUACAAGUUCCUAGAAGACACUUUUCCAUGAAUCAAAGUGGAAAGUGCUCAAAAAUGAGCUUGAAGGUACUGUUCCAAAUCACCCAGGAUUGAGCCGGGGUUGGUUUUUCGCUAAAUUUGAAAAUUCGGCAGAAUUCACUCGUUGUAAACCAGCCCUUGAAAUUUAUAGCUCAAUUAGAGGCACAAGUAAGGUUUGGGGCAGAACAAGCGGAUCGAGAAUCGGAGUUUUGACCACCAAGAUAUGGUAGCUCAAAGUUGGGUAAAUUUCAAGACUGUUAACAAAUUUCCAGAUUUGGUUCCGACUUUGGACCUUUAGUUAAGUGUCGAAACGGACUUGGAUUGAUACCAAAUUUUGCAGUAUAAUACUCCUAUAUGAAGGGUAUCUCUCUACCAAAUUUUGUGGAAAAAUACCUUCGGGAAGGUGGUUAACCAAUCAACCAAAGUUUGAAAUUACUAAGGCCAAACUGCCUUUAGCUCUCUUUCUCUCCGUUUCCAAACAUUCGGCUAAGGAAAAACCUCCAACAUGGUUCAUUUGUGCAAGAAAGGUCUAAGGAACAUACAUGGUACUUUUAGUAGGUGUUUAGCACCAAGAAAUUCAUUUAGUAAGACCACAACAAGUCUCACAUCUAAUCUGUCCAAAUCUAAGAGUUUUCAAAAACGAGGCAGUUGUCGUAUUUUGAUCAUAAAUCACUCAAUUUAGCUCGGAAUUGGGAAUGGUUGAUAGUGUUGGAAAAUACAUUCUUAGGGCUAAAAUUUCACAGAAGAAAUCAUUUUAAGUUUCAGCAUGCAACUAGCUCGAAAUUAAGCCUAAAGUUACAGCAUCAUCAAAUCAUUUCGGCAGAACGGAGAAACAGGGUAGCUGAAUUCAGAAGAGUGGUACGGUUCACACACAUGGAACCAGAAUGUGCAUUAUAUACCGUUAGAAAUAUGGGAACGUCUAGUUUCAAAUGCCGCUAACAGCACUUGAUUUCGACAUCGGAGUACGGAGUUAUGGACGAAAUACGAACACUGGUCUGGUUACGACGGAAACCGUUUUCCAGAUUACUAGCUUUGGGAAAUAAAUUCUUUUGAUCAACCAAAACUCAACAUUUUUCAACGAAAAUUUUUACACAACUACUACAACAUGUAAACAACACAAUCAAGCCAUUAAAUCUCCUAAUUUCUGCAUUAAAGUGGCCGAACAGAGCAGGGGCAAAAUGGUCAGAUUUGGCCUUUGCGCCUAACGUGAGUUUCUAUCAAUUUUCCAUCAACAAACCACUGAUUUAAACACUAAUUCCACAUUAUAAACAUCAUCAAGAACAAAAUCAGCAGCAACCCAAGAGUGGGAAUUCAUAGAGCCCACUUUUCCAAUUUUCCAACAUCCAAAACAACCCAUACGAAAUCAAGAGCUAAAAGAUAUAUUAGAACUUCCAAAAAUCAAAGUUAGAAGGCUAGAUUAAGACUUACUCUUAGUUGAUGUCUAAGUCAGAGAUUCGGUCCUUCCUUGCUCCUAAGUGAGCCGUGAAAAUCCUCCCCUUUUUAGCUAGAUGUGAACUCCAAGGCUUAGGCUAAGUGGUGCUAAAUUUUGAGAAGAUUUGGUGGUGAUUUGAAUGGUUUUUGUAAAGGAAAUGUUGAAGAGCUUUCGGUUGUCCCUUGGCUGUCUGCUAUCCGUCCAUGGCAGCUAGAAGAAAUGAAAUGUUGGUCUGAUUCCUUUGCGUACAAAUGAAGCUUGCCGUCUAAUAUUUUAAGUACGUAAAAAUCAAUUGCAACUAGUGCGCCUACGCGCGCGUUUUGUGUUCGAUUUCUCUUAAAUUUGUUGCACUAGUGCACUAAACCUCUAGGGCACUUACAUUCAUAUAAAUAUUAUUCAUUCUUAAUUGUCCCAAAAUAAUGGUCCAAGGUCCCUCAAUUAAGCGCGCACGUGAAAACACGUAUUUCCAAUUUAGGCGCGAUAAAAUGAAACUUUCGAGAAAUUCUUAUAACAAUCGUACUACCAACUAUCACUUGAGUUUUUAAACCUAAAAUUGCCUAUUUUAGGACCAUUGUAUAUGUCUUAAAUUUUUGAGCUUAUUGUACUCCCAAUUGGCUAAAGUGUUUAGACACGUUUUCACUUUUCACUAAACAAGCUUAUAAGAAAAUAAUUUUUUUGAAACGAGACACUUCAAAAAUAUAACGAAACUAUAAAACCCUGUACUUAGGUCUAAUAAGGCUAGAAAAUAUUAUUCGUGGCAAAAAUCCAAAUAAAUAAUUAAUUUAGCCAAAAUUAGGGUUUUUAAAAAUAAUAGAUUUUCGAGUCCUCACAUCCUCUCCCCUUAAGAAAUUUCGUCCUCGAAAUUUACCUUGAUUGACGAAUAGGUCUGGAUACUUUUCUCGAAUUGCUUCUUCGACCUCCCAAGUUGCUUCCUCCAACCCAUGGUUCUUCCAGAGGGCCUUUACUAAUGGUAUAUGUUUAUUCCUCAAUUCCUUUACCUUCCUAUCCCGAAGCUUAACCGGUUUCUUCUCAUAGGUCAAAGUCUCAUCAAUCUCAAUAUUCUCUGGUUGUAAGACAUGUGAUGGGUCCGGAUGAUACUUCUUAAGCAUAGAUACAUGAAACACAUUAUGGAUUCGAGAUAAACUCAGCGGUAAUUCCAAUUUAUAGGCUACACUCCCCACACGUUGGAUAAUCUUGUAAGGUCCUACAAAUCUUGGCUGUAACUUCUUUCCUUUUCCAGACAUCAACCUUACUUUCAAAGGCGUGAUUCUGAGAAAUACGAAAUCUCCAACAGUAAAUUCCAAAUCUUUUCUCCGAUUAUCGGCAUAACUCUUUUGGCGGCUCUGGGCAGCCUGAAUUCUCUGGCGUACCAACUUUACCUUUUCAUUAGUUUCCUCAAUUCAAGGUACUGUGGUCGAGUUUAAGAUUUUUCGUUCACCUAUUUCGUCCCAACAAAUUGGAGACCUACAUUUCCGACCAUAAAGUGCCUCAUACGGGGCCAUCUGAAUAGAAGAGUGGAAACUAUUGUUGUAGGAAAAUUCCACUAAAGUCAAAAACUUACUCCAAUUUUCUCCAAAAUCCAGAACACAAGUCCUUAACAUGUCCUCAAGUGUUUGAAUUGUCCUUUCCGAUUGUCCGUCAGUCUGGGGAUGAUAAGUGGUACUAAAGUUCAACUUAGUCCCCAAUACCUCUUGCAUCUUUUGCCAGAACCUUGAAACAAAUCUCGGAUCCCUAUCGGACACUAUACUCACAGGUAUUCCAUGCAACCUAAUGAUCUCAUCCAAAUAUAACCUGGCCAACUUCUCCACCGGGUACUUCAUGUUAAUCGGCAGAAAAUGGGCCGACUUGGUCAAUCUAUCCACUAUUACCCAAAUCGCAUCAUGGCCUCUCUGUGUCCUUGGUAAUCCCGAUACAAAAUUCAUAGUGAUAUUCUCCCAUUUCCACUCAGGUAUUUCUAGAGGUUGCAAAAGUCCUGAUGGUUUUUGAUGUUCGGCUUUAACCUGUUGACAAAUUAAACAUGUUCGGACAAAUUGGGCAAUUUCCUUCUUCAUGUUCUCCCACCAAUACAGACUCUUUAAGUCUUGGUACAUUUUAUUCCCUCCUGAAUGUACCGUAAACUUUGAUCGGUGUGCCUCUUCUAAUAUUUCCUUUCUAAGCCCUUCAUUUUUUGGCACAAUUACCCGAUUCCGAAAUCUCAAUAUUCCAUCUGACCCCAGAUUAAAAUCUGUCUUUUCUCCCAUUUUAGCCUUUUCCGCCCAUUUUUGUACUUCCGUGUCCUUUUUCUUGAAAUUCCUUAAUACGUUCCAAUAAAGUGGAAGUUACUAUAAUAUUCCCCAAAAUUACCUUCCUUGGUUCCAAUCGAGGAUUCCAGUAGCUCACUUCUUCCAAUAAUUGAAACUCCUUAAUCAUCAAUCCAGGCAUUUAUACUUGACGGCUCAAAGCAUCGGCUACUACAUUAGUUUUCCCUGGAUGGUACUUAAUCGUACAGUCAUAGUCUUCCAGAAAUUCCAUCCAUCUACGUUGCCUCAAAUUCAGUUCCUUCUGUGAAAAUAAGUACUUAAGACUUUUGUGGUUUGUAAAAACCUCAAAUGUUACUCCAUACAAUUAAUGUCUCCAUUUCUUCAAAGCAAAGACCACAGCCGCCAACUCCAAAUCAUGUGUCGGGUAAUUCCCUUCAUGCGGUUUCAAUUUCCUAGAGGCAUAUGCUAUUACUUUAUCAUUUUGCAUCAAAACACAUCCCAAACCUUCCUUAGAGACAUCCGUGUAAACCACAAAACUAUCCUUUCCGUUUGGCAAAGCUAACACAGGUGCCCUUGUUAACCUUCUUUUCAAUUCCUGAAAACUUUCCUCACACUUAGGACUCCAUAUAAACCUCCCAUUUUUCUUGGUCAAUUCAGUCAUGGGUCUAGCGAUUUUUGAAAAAUCCUGAAUGAAUCUCCGGUAAUACCCUGCUAAACCAAUAAAACUCCGAACCUCGGUAGGGUUUUCCGGUCGUUUCCAUUUCGAAACAGCUUCAACUUUAGCUGGAUCCACUUUAAUCCCAUCCUUAGAAAUUAUGUGUCCCAAAAAAGUCACUUCUUUUAACCAAAACUCACACUUGCUAAACUUAGCAUACAAUUGGUGCUCCCUUAAGGUCUGCAAAACAACCCUCAAGUGUUUCUCAUGGUCUUUCACAUUCUUAGAAUACACCAAUAUGUCAUCAAUAAAGACCACCACAAAUUGGUCUAGAUAAGGUUUAAAGACCCUAUGCAUUAAAUCCAUAAAAGCAGCAGGAGCAUUCGUUAACCCAAAUGGCAUCACGGCAAAUUCAAAAUGCCCAUAUCUCGAGUUAAAAGCAGUCUUGGGUAUGUCCUUCUCCAAAAUCCUCAACUGAUAAUAACCCUGUCUCAAAUCCAACUUAGAGAAUACUACAGCCCCUUGUAAUUGGUCAAACAACUCAUCAAUGUGGGGCAGUGGGUAUUUAUUUUUAGUUGUAACAUUAUUCAAACCUCUAUAGUCUAUACAUAGCCUCAAACUCCCGUCCUUUUUCUUAACAAACAAAACUGGGGCUCCCCACGGAGAAUCACUCUCUUUUAUAAAACCCCUUUCUAGCAAAUCUUGCAGUUACAAUUUCAACUCCUUUAAUUCCGCUGGAGCCAUUCGAUAUGGCGUCCUAGAAAUAGGGGCUACUCCUGGAGUUACAUCGAUCUUAAAGGCUAUUUUCCGUUCCGGGGGUAGGGACUCCAAUUCUUCAGGAAAAAUAUCAGGAAAGUCUUUCACUACAGGCAUGUCCUCCAAAUUCACCUUAUCACUAGGGGUGUUAAUAAGAAAAGCCAAAUAUCCUUGAGCUCCUUUACUUAACAACUUUCUAGCCCGAAUUCCUGAAAUAAGUGCAGACGCAGCUAAUUUACCCCUUACAUCCAAUUUCAGGGUUGCUUCUCCUGGAAUACACAACUUCACAACCUUCGUCCUACAGUUUAGCUGAGCAUUAUAACGGGCUAACCAAUCCAUCCCUAAGAUUAUAUCGUAUCCCUUAAUCAUCAAUCCCAUCAAAUCAGCCGAUAAUUUUCGUUCCCCAAUCCAGACUUCACAAUCUUGAUACACCAAGUUAGCAAUCAGACUUUGAUCCCCAGUAGGUGUUUUAACCUCUAGAUCAUAUGGUAAUUUAAUUGGCUUCAAGUCUAUCCCACUCAUGAAAUUAGGGUUUCCAAAAGAAUGUGUAGCACCUGGAUCAAUUAAAACCCUAGCUAAACGGUGAAAGAUUGGAAUCGUACCUUCUACCACCUCAGUUGCCUCAGGAACUUGUUGAUAAUCCAGUGUAUAAACCCUGGCCGGUACUUUCGGUCGACUCCUUCCGGCACUGGUUUGCUUAGAGGCUGACUUUUCUGGUCUUUGAGCAUUUCCCCCUGUCUUUGGUGAUUUUGGACAAUUGGCGACUUGAUGUUCAGUACUACCACAAAAUAAACAUUUCCCCGACUUUCUCCAGCAAUCGUUCUCAGAAUGGUUGGAUUUACCGCAGUAUCCACAUGUAACUUGAGGAGUCACAGCCGAUCCAGUAGGAGGUGCUCCCCUAACUUGAGUUGUUCCACUACGGCCCCCUCUAGUUAGAGCUCCCCUAGAAGCUCCAACAGACUUCACUCCUCCAACUCCUCUUCCUAUCUUGGAAGGUUGUGCACUCUUACUUGCUUGACCAGAGGUAUGGCUAGGAAAGUUUCUUUUUCUACUGUGGAAGUCUCUCACUUGCAUCCUUACAUUUUCUACCCUCUGAGCUUUCUCUAGUGCCUCCGUGAAUGUAGAGAUUUGGGUUGCAGCCAAGCCCUCUUGUACCUCCACAUUAAGUCCCUGAAUAAACCGUCUAAUCCUCUUUCGUUCAUUGACCACUAGCUCAGGGGCAUACUUGGAAAGCUUAGUGAAUUUUCCUUCAUACUCCGCUACACUAAGAGUUCCCUGUUUCAGCUUGAUAAAUUCAUCCUCUCUCUUCUCUUGGAUUAAGGGCGGAAGAAACUUUUCAUUAAAUUCCCUUGUAAAAUUCUCCCAAAUCCAAGGGGUUUGAGUUCUCUCCCAUUUUCCUUUUAUCAGAUCCCACCAAGCACGGGCUACUCCCUCAAAUUGGAAAGCAGCGAAAUUCACUCGCCUAUCCUCAGUGUAGUCUAAAGCAGCGAAAAUGUUGGUCAUCCUUUCCAACCAAUUCUCCGCCACCUCAGGAUCAGGUUCGCCAAGAAACUUAGGCGGGUUAAAUUUCAAGAACCUCUCUAAGGCUCUAUCCUCUCCUCUUCCCUGACCCCCAGGUUGGUUGAACGGUCCAGGGUCUUGUCUAUCAGCCAAACGCUCUAGGAUAUCAGUCAUCCUAUUAAUGGCAGUAGCCACUUGAUUACCCUCAAUAUUUUCCUGACCUUGGAUCGGUGCAGUUACCGAUCCCUGGUCACCCCUUUGAGGUUGGGCCUGUCUAGUCCCUCGCCCACGACCUCGACCACGGCCUCGACCACCUCUUAGUUCUUCCAUAACCUAGACGUGUCUAGUGCAAGAAAUAAAUAAAUUAUGCAAUGCAUAACAAAAAGCAGGAACCAAUCAAGAAAACAUUGGAAUUAACAAUAAUUUACAUUCAUUAACAUAUCAAGUUCAUACAAUUAACAAGUCAUGGGGUAGUCACAAAAAUAUAGCACACAGGUGCCACAAGAGUACUUUUAGUCACAGAAGACUAAAGUAAGAGCAAGUGCUUCCAAAAAUAAGCCACACAGUCAUGCAAAAUACAAUGGCCUCAGCACUUAGCAUCACCCCUGCUAAUUCUAGCUAUACUAGUCAAAAGAGUCAAAAGAGUCAAAAGAGUGGUCAAACUGCCUAGACCUAGUCCACAGUAGGACUAUCAGGAGGAACCUCCUCCUCAGGAUCCUCCUCUGGAUUCUCCUCCUCAGGACUAGGAGCUACCUCCAUCGCAUCCUCCACUAGCCUAGUGGCAUCAGCUACGAUAUCGGAAGCCCGACUACGGACCUCCUCUCUCAACCUAAUAAGCUGAGCCCUAGUGCUCCGAAGCUCCUCAUUAACCACAGCAGACGUAGCUACCUCACCCUCAAGUACCUCCUCGAUCUCGGCGAUCCUCUCGCCCAGGGCGCUAACCAUCUGUCUAAACUCGUCCACCUCUGCCUGAAGAUCCCUAUUAAGAUCCACUAGUUGACGACGCUCAUCGUCCAGAGCAAGCACAAGGUAAUUCGGGUAAGCAAAGGUGACGCUUCAAGCACAUCGGGGGUAUCGAGUAGCAGGCGAGUAGCGUGCACGAGCUCCCCCACCUAAAGCUCGGUAGUAGAUAGGCCUAGGAGGCACUACAUGACCAUUCGCAUGGCCAUUCCCGUUAGCUGCAGGAACUCCAUUUCCGUUUUCCAUCCCUGCAAAAUAAUAGCACAUUUCGGGUUAGAAAUUUAAAUCACUAUCUAAUUCGGAUGUCGUUUAUGCAUGCCUAACCCAAGCUCUAGUAUGCCCCAAAUAUCUCUUAAGGUAUAACUAAAUUAUCCGGUCUCAGGUUUUAAGGGUAGAGUAUCCAAUAUGUCUCCCAUAUAGAUCUCUAAUCUAGCGCUAACCUAGCGCUCUGAUUCCAACUGUGACGCCCCCACUUCUCCCUAAGGCGAACCAAAGGGUAUCCACGGGACGCCUGCCUAACUCUCGCCAGGACUCAAGCAAUUACAUUCAGACUUAUUAUCGGACCACACAAUACGAUCAAUAACUUAGAUACAAUAAAUGCGGAAGCGUUCAAGUUUAAUCAAAGUCAUCCAUUAUCCAACCCGCACAUCGGGUGUUCAACAACCAUCAUAAAUCCCAAAUAUACAUCAUGCUCCAAAAGUUACAUUCGGAUUUCAAAAAUACAACCCAAAAGCCAAGACAUAUCCAAAAGUAAUAGAAACCCUAAACAAAAGCGUAUCAGGAAGGUUUUUUCGACACCUUGCCAAGUUCGAUCCUGUUAAGGAAAACAAAUCUACAGGGUGAGCAAAACGCUCGUGAGGCCAAGAACACACAUACAAGCACAUUACUCAAAUAACAAUCUCAAUUUACAAGUCAAGAAAUCAUAUUUUAGUAAUUAACAAUUUACUGGAAAUAUAACCAGAAACAAUUCAAGGAUACUGGAGCCCUCAGGAGCUAUAUUCCACUUGCACAUUCAAUAACCUCCACGAAUUGACACUCCAUCAAUCGGGUAGGUUUAGUCCGUACAACUCCACUUAACCUGUCCCCUUUCACCUUACAUACCCCUGUAUCGGGCCCGCCUGUCAUUUGUUUGUGGCGAUACUACUCGAGUAUGUCAAUCUUAUAUAUCUCAUGGCUCACCAAGGUUCCCGACCAAGCCCAUGCCGGCUCGAGUCCAAGAUCGGUCAAUGAGAUUUGGGCGUCCCCAUGUGCACUUGUGUGUCGAGGAGAUUCACUCCAACGACGUAGGCAACUAUAGCAUACCAUUACAUUUCAUUCAUUCAUUCAAUACAUUGCAAUCAUUCAUUCAAUGCAUUUCAACCAUUAAUAUUUCAUUUCUAAUGAGAACGAGUGUGGUAAAGUACACACUCGACUCCACUUUCAAGAUUUCUAAUCAUUAAUAACAAUUAAACAUGUAACAAGUUUAUAUACACCUGACGCCCACCAAGUAUUAGGUGUAAGUAAGGUCAAGGAAAGUUCAAGCGUCCACCGUGGGAUCCUCUUGAAGCUCCUCGUGUGCGCCUGAGCAAAUAAUAGUGAAUUAUUAUCCAAAUCCCAAAUAUCGAGGAAUAAUUCGUUCACUAGUAUUAAUCUAGGGGAUUCCGUGAAAAUGAAUCUCAAUUACUCGUAAAUCGAGGUUCGAGAGGGAUUUGAUAACUUUCAAAAGUAUUUAAGUCUUUAUCUAGGAAAUCGGGGAUAAAACAUUUAGAUAAUAUCAAAAGAAUAAAGAGUUCUUGAAAAACUUAUUUCCUUGAAAGUUGGAAAUUUUCAGUUUUGUUAUGAAUCUUUGAAAAAUCGUAACUCACUCGGCAUAAGUCGAGAAUUGGAAAAAUUUAUACCGUUGGAAACCUCUUAAAAAGUACUACAAGUUCCUAGAAGACACUUUUCCAUGAAUCGAAGUGGAAAGUGCUCAAAAAUGAGCUUGAAGGUACUGUUCCAAAUCACCCAAGAUUGAGCCGGGGUUGGUUUUUCGUUAACUUUGAAAAUUCGGCAGAAUUCACUCGUUGCAAACCAGCCCUUGAAAUUUAUAGCUCAAUUAGAGGCGCAAGUAAGGUUUGGGGCAGAACAAGCGGAUCGAGAAUCGGAUUUUGAGCACCAAGAUAUGGUAGCUCAAAGUUGGGUAAAUUUCAAGACUGUUAACAAAUUUCCAGAUUUGGUUCCGACUUUGGACCUUUAGUUAAGUGUCGAAACGGACUUGGAUUGAUACCAAAUUUUGCAGUAUAAUACUCCUAUAUGAAGGGUAUCUCUCUACCAAAUUUUGUGGAAAAAUACCUUCGGGAAGGUGGUUAACCAAUCAACCAAAGUUUGAAAUUACUAAGGCCAAACUGCCUUUAGCUCUCUUUCUCUCCGUUUCCAAACAUUCGGCUAAGGAAAAACCUCCAACAUGGUUCAUUUGUGCAAGAAAGGUCUAAGGAACAUACAUGGUACUUUUAGUAGGUGUUUAGCACCAAGAAAUUCAUUUAGUAAGACCACAACAAGUCUCACAUCUAAUCUGUCCAAAUCUAAGAGUUUUCAAAAACGAGGCAGUCGUCGUAUUUUGAUCAUAAAUCACUCAAUUUAGCUCGGAAUUGGGAAUGGUUGAUAGUGUUGGAAAAUACAUUCAUAGGGCUAAAAUUUCACAGAAGAAAUCAUUUUAAGUUUCAGCAUGCAACUGGCUCGAAAUUAAGCCUAAAGUUACAGCAUCAUCAAAUCAUUUCGGCAGAACGGAGAAACAGGGCAGCUGAAUUCAGAAGAGUGGUACGGUUCACACACAUGGAACCAGAAUGUGCAUUAUAUACCGUUGGAAAUAUGGGAACGUCUAGUUUCAAAUGCCGCUAACAGCACUUGAUUUCGACAUCGGAGUACGGAGUUAUGGACGAAAUACGAACACUGGUCUGGUUACGACGGAAACCGUUUUCCAGAUUACUAGCUUUGGGAAAUAAAUUCUUUUGAUCAACCAAAACUCAACAUUUUUCAACGAAAAUUUUUACACAACUACUACAACAUGUAAACAACACAAUCAAGCCAUUAAAUCUCCUAAUUUCUGCAUUAAAGUGGCCGAACAGAGCAGGGGCAAAAUGGUCAGAUUUGGCCUUUGCGCCUAACGUGAGUUUCUAUCAAUUUUCCAUCAACAAACCACUGAUUUAAACACUAAUUCCACAUUAUAAACAUCAUCAAGAACAAAAUCAGCAGCAACCCAAGAGUGGGAAUUCAUAGAGCCCACUUUUCCAAUUUUCCAACAUCCACAACAACCCAUAAGAAAUCAAGAGCUAAAAGAUAUACUAGAACUUCCAAAAAUCAAAGUUAGAAGGCUAGAUUAAGACUUACUCUUAGUUGAUGUCUAAGUCAGAGAUUCGGUCCUUUCUUGCUCCUAAGUGAGCCGUGAAAAUCCUCCCCUUUUUAGCUAGAUGUGAACUCCAAGGCUUAGGCUAAGUGGUGCUAAAUUUUGAGAAGAUUUGGUGGUGAUUUGAAUGGUUUUUGUAGAGGAAAUGUUGAAGAGCUUUCGGUUGUCCCUUGGCUGUCUGCUAUCCGUCCAUGGCAGCUAGAAGAAAUGAAAUGUUGGUCUGAUUCCUUUGCGUACAAAUGAAGCUUGCCGUCUAAUAUUUUAAGUACGUAAAAAUCAAUUGCAACUAGUGUGCCUACGCGCGCGUUUUGUGUUCGAUUUCUCUUAAGUUUGUUGCACUAGUGCACUAAACCUCUAGGGCACUUACAUUCAUAUAAAUAUUAUUCAUUCUUAAUUGUCCCAAAAUAAUGGUCCAAGGUCCCUCAAUUAAGCGCGCACGUGAAAACACGUAUUUCCAAUUUAGGCGCGAUAAAAUGAAACUUUCGAGAAAUUCUUAUAACAAUCGUACUACCAACUAUCACUUGAGUUUUUAAACCUAAAAUUGCCUAUUUUAGGACCAUUGUAUAUGUCUUAAAUUUUUGAGCUUAUUGUACUCCCAAUUGGCUAAAGUGUUUAGACACGUUUUCACUUUUCACUAAACAAGCUUAUAAGAAAAUAAUUUUUUUGAAACGAGACACUUCAAAAAUAUAACGAAACUAUAAAACCCUGUACUUAGGUCUAAUAAGGCUAGAAAAUAUUAUUCGUGGCAAAAAUCCAAAUAAAUAAUUAAUUUAGCCAAAAUUAGGGUUUUUAAAAAUAAUAGAUUUUCGAGUCCUCACAGGAAGGAGAUAUGGGAAUCUGGUUUUGUUGCCAACAUUGAACUAGAUGAAGCUCUUGAACACGAGCUAGGGCAGCAUGUUCAUUUCUAUAUUGACCCUGUUGCUGUAGUAUUCCCAUUCCCUCAACCUGAAGUAGACGUGCAUAUGUAGUGGCCCUUGGAUGUUUAAUCAGUCGUUGUUUAGUAUGCUAAAGGACUUCCUAAUCAACCAUAUUGUAUGUACUAAAGCAUCUUUACUUCUUUUUUCUUGUUUAGCAUGCUAAAGGAUGGUUUUUUGGCCAACAAGGAACUAUACGAGAGACUUUGAAGUCAAGCCAGGGGAGCAUGUUAAUUUCUUUGUUGACCCCGUUGCUGUGGUAUUUCCUCAACCAGAAGUAGAUGACAAGAAUAAGCAUAUGAGGAUGUGUAUCUAUUUAUGGUGAGAUUUUUUUUCCUUUUUCCUUUAAUUCUAUUCUGCAAUAGUACAUUUGUUUGUCAAAUUGGUGAACCUGAUUUUAAAUAGAAAUUUUAAAUAUUUAAAAUAGAAGUUUUACUGAACCUGAUUUUGAAUGCUAAAUGAAUCUGAUUUUAAGGAAGCAGAGUUCAGUUGAACACUAAAUAAAAAGAAAUUCUGAGUUUCCAGGAAUUCCAGUUGAAUAUUUAGAAGGUAAAAAGAAAAUAAUUCUAACUGAAAUCGAGUGUAGUUUGGAUUUUUUUUUUUUUGAUAAUGAAUUGAACACAAUUAAUUUCUUGCAAAUCGAGUGCAAUCAGAACUUCUGUAGCUAUUUCGAGGAAUUGAUAUGAUUUGAUACAAAUGUAAUAAGCAGUAGAAAGGAAAAGGUAAACGAGAACUCAAUGAAAUAAAAGGAAAAGCAAGUAAUCAAUUAAUGUUGAAAGCUGCAGAGAGUUGUCUCUUAGCUUCUCUUUUCUUAGAGGAACUUGCCUUCCCACCGACCAUCAAUCCAGUGACCAAUGAAAACUUUAGGGAUAUGAGAAAUUGUCUGAUAAUCUUCACUUUGUUUAUCCAAAUUCCGUACUUUGUGCACUAGCUCAUCAGACAUUUCAAAAAACCCAAGAGAUUCAAGUCCGGACAAGGUUUGGAUGCCCGAAGGCAACUCUUGCAUUAGUUUGCAAUCACCUAAGCGCAGUUUUCUGAGGCUAGGCAUUGAUUCCUCUUCCACUCUCACCCAUUUCAGUCUUUUUAACUGCCCAAGCUCUAAGCGCUGGAGUUUUUGAAAUCCUCCAACCUUGAAACAUAAUGUCUCCCCUUCAUAAGCACGAUGGAGAGUAAGUGAUACCAGAUUGGGCAAAUGUCCGAGGGAGCCUAUUACAUUCUCAUCAUCUCUCAACCUACUAUUUUCCAACCGUAACAUUCUCAAGGAGUGAAGUGAUGUCACCCAUUGUGGUACUCUCUCUAAACGCCCCUUCAAUAUCAGAAGUGUGAGGAAUCCAAGCUUUGGAAAGACGGAAUGUUGGAGAUCAAGGGUCUCAUCUUCUUCAAUACAGGAGAUGAUCAAAUCUCGAAGGUUACUCAGCCUCAAGAGGGAGGAGAGCAACUCCUUUCCAUCUUCUCUUCUCAGCUUUGUGAUGGCUAAUCCUCGCAAUUGCGUUAGCUUUCCAACCUCCAUUACUAUUCUAUCACUGUCUGCUUCUAUACCAUACAACUCCUCCAAACAAAUAAGCUUUCCAAUUCCAAGUGGACAUUUACAGCCCCAAUUUGCAUACUCAUUUGAAUAAUCACCCCAUCCACCUAACCAAAGAGAGCGGAGUUUUCUUAGCUUUAGAAUUUCCACAGGCAACUCUGUUACAUUGGUUCGUGUCAGAUCUAUAACUUCAAGGUUUUGAAGCUUCCCAAUAGAUUUUGGAAUAAUUUUAACUCCAGUUCCACUGAGAUUAAGAUACCUGAGAUGAAAUAGUUUGAAGACUUGCUUUGGGAUGUUGUCCAAUUCAGCUCCAUCCAAAUCCAACACCUUUAGCAACUUGGGAUCACCACUUAAGAACUUGGAUAAAAAUGUAGCUGUGAGAGGAUCUUCAUACCCAAAUAUUACCACAGACCGAAGACACUUUAAACUACUAAAUUCUUGUGGAUUAUCAGUGAAGUUAUGGAUUGCUAGGUGUCGAACUUUUUCAGGCCAUCUUGUGUAAUAUCUGGUGGCUACAGUCGUGAAGUCCUGCUCUUUCGAUUUUGAAACAAUGAUUUCACGCAGAAAAUCAUGAAGACCACAUGUAAUCAAUCUGCCAUCGUCCCAUGUGGAUUUAACUUGGAUUAAGCUUCUGUUGAUGAGUUUUUUCAUAUAACUCAUAGCAAUAUCAGUGGAUGUUAUUCCUCCUUUCAUUCCUCUUUUCUCUUCUAGAAAUCCUAGUGCAAUCCAUUUUGGAAGUAUAUGAUCCACAUCAAUUGAAUAAUCUUCAGGAUAGAUGCUUAGAUAUAAUAGGCAGCUUUUAAGAUAGAAAGGCAAAUCAUUGUAGCUAAGUAAGAGUACCCUUUUGAUCCUGUCAAGCUUACCACUGCCAUCUGCCUCGCCACCAAAGCCAUGAAGAAUCAUCUCCCAUUCAUCUGUCGUUUCCUUGUCCUUCAGAGCCAAAACACCACCUAUUGCAACAAUUGCAAGCGGUAGGCCGUCACAUUUUUUCAGUAUUUUUUUAGCAACUUCUUCUAGAUUUGGAGGACAGUAGUUGCACUGAAAUGUUCUAUUGCAAAACAGAGUCCAAGACUCUUUAUCAGAAAGAGGCUCCAUCUUAUGAAGUCAAGUGAUCCUAAACAGGACGCAGAAGCUACAUCGGCUAUUCGUGUUGUCAAUACAACAUGACUAGCAGUAUUGCAGUCAGGCAAUACACAUUUGAUAGCUUCCCAGGCAUCUAUACUCCACACAUCAUCAAGGACAAGAAUGUACCUUCUUUCUUGGAGGAAGUCUCUGACAAAUUCACUCAGCAUAAUAUCAUUCAUGGAUUCCACUUCGGGAGGGACCGGCUGUCUGAUUUCGUUGUACAACUGUUGGAUCAGGUUCUUGAUGAUGUCCCUGAACUGAAAAUUUUGAGAAACAGUUAUCCAGGCAUGGCUCUGAAAUUGUUUCUUCACUGCAGCGUCAUCGUAGACUUUUUUCACCAGGGUAGUCUUCCCGAGUCCCCCCAUUCCCACAACCGAAACUACUUUCAAUUGGGAAUGGUCAUCAAGGAUUUUUGAGAUGAGCUCUGCUUUUGGCUUAUCAAUCCCAACAAGUCGAGCUUCUUCAAUGAAGAGUGAUUGAGCACGAAUGUCAAAAUCUGCAUUCACCUGACGAGAAGGGCUGAAGCCUCUUUCUUGAGUACCAUAUUGGGACUGGAACCUCCGAUGCCUUUCUGAAAUGUCUCCAACUCUGGCCUUGAUGUCUUUUAUCUCCAAAGAAAUUUGAUGGCGAGCUUUCAAAUUCUUUAUUGAGUUAUAGAUCUUUCCAACCUUUCCACAGAAUCCAUCCUUGUAGCCACGAGCAAAGCGGAAUGUAAAAUCAUCGAGAACAUCCUCUGUAUCAUAAGCAACUUCUCGAACCUGCUUUAGCCAUGCUCGGAGUUGAGAAUCAUUGCCUUCCUUUGCUUCAGCUUCUCCGAGGAAAGCCUUCAUGCUCUCGAGUUCAUCUUUGAUGAAUUGAACAUCUGAUUUAAGCCCCCCCAAAAGUGUGAUCUCUUGGGAAAGUAAGGUUGAGAGCUGGUUAAUCAAAAAACCUACAACACUCUGAGCCAUAAUGCAAUUUUUUUUUUUUGGGGUAGUAUAGAGGAUGAGUUUUAUUUGGCACUUUGAUAGUACAAUUAUUGUCGAUCACCUAUUAAUGCGCUUUACAAGCAGAAAAAGCAAGGCUCGCAUGCUGCCUACAAUUAACGAAAAGGGCAGUUUUUUGUUUUCUUUGUAUAUUUUUUUUCAAUAUUGGUCAUUGAUCAAUUAUGUAAUAAGUUAUAAAACUGUCCCCUUAAUAUAUUUUCAAAUAAGAAUAAUCUUUGUACUAGCCAUUACCUAAAAUAACAAGAGAAAUAAAUAUUUCAUGGAUUUCUUUUAACCAACCAUUGGAGGUCUUGGAUUCUUAUCCUAAGCCGACAGGCUAAGACUUCACAGUGGCAAAUGGUCAAUGGAAAAAGGAAUGGUUGUGAUGCUCUCUCUUCCAAUAAUGCAAGGGACGAUGAAAUAAAUUUCCCAUUAAUUUUUGCCUUAUCUAGCCAAGCUCUAACGAGUUUUCGAGCUACUCGUGAAGUUUAACAGCUCUAGUAGGGAGACUAGUAGGGGCCGCCUUCAACGAAGUUAUUAAUGACGUUAAAUGCCCAAGGCAACCAUCAAUAAUGACCACGUCCCGUGAGUGGAGAAAAAUUUAAUUGAUUGAGUGUUUUUUUUCUUUUAUUUUAUUUGGAGGAAAUGAUUGAAAAAUUUUACCGGUGUAGCAUAAUGUGUACAACCGAAUCAUCAAUUCCGCUGCAUGGUAGUUUGACACUUUUAAAAAUAAAUUAUCUGCUGCCUACUACGAUGUUGAUUGUGCACGGCAGACGAUUUUUUUGGAAAAAAAAAAAAAAAUUUGCCCGCUGGCUACCGUGCACAAUUAGCAUGAUAGCCUGACACUUUAGAAAAAAAAAAGUAUUUUGCUACCGUAUUGAUUAGGCACGAUAGUUAUAGUUUUGUAUCAAGAGAAUAUCAGAGCUACAUUUGGCGGAUAAUUUUUUUUUUUUUACCUAUAUUCUAAGAAAUUAGACCACUGAAGUUGGCUUUGAAAGGAAAAAACAAAAAAGUCACAUUCAACUUUCGAUUCUUGGUUCUACAAUAUCUUGUAAGGUCAUGUCCAGCUAAUUUCUGACCUCUGCUAAUUUCUGACCUUACAAGAGGUCAGAAAUUAGCUGGACAUGACAUGGUUGCCCAAUGGAAAAGAAAAAAGAAAUCAACUGAAGUUACCAAAUGCUAUGAACCUGUGGAUCAACGAUCAUGAUAAUAUCAAAUCAAUUUACUCUUUUUAACAAUUUCUCAUAAUUGUUUGUGAAAUUUUUUUUUAAAAAAAAAUGUUGGCAUUGAAAAGGGACAAUAUAUCCCUGGAAAAGUUAUUAAAAUUAAAUGUGCCCAUAUUUCUUUAAAUGACUGAAAAAUGAGAUAUAUACAGAAGUGGUAGAUAACAAUUGGAAGAUACUCAUGCUACUACGAGUGUAGUGAAUCAUUAGUUUUAGUGUCAAAGAUGGGCAAAUUACGCUUUAUUCCCUGUGGUUUAGUAUUUUUUUUUACAUAAUUCCCCUAUGAUUUUAAAAGCUAUACAUAGACCCCUCAUAGUUUGGAUUAAAGUGUCAAAAUAACGGAAUUUACAAUCCAUAACAGAGUCAACUGAAAUAUCAAAAAUAUCUCUAUGUAAAGUUGAAAAUUAUUUAUUAACCACAGGGGGUUAUGUAUAUAUACUGAAAAUCGUAAGGGAGUUAUAUGGUAAAACACUAAACCAUAAAGGGGUUAUAUGGUAAAAUAUAAAAGUCAUACGAGGUUAGAGUGUCAUACAUAAUAUGUUUAUAUAUUUUGGUCACUCCAGCUACUUUAGUUUUUAUACAAAAGUAAUUUCGACAUUUUUAUAGGUUCCAUUACGGAUGAUCAUUUCCGUCACUUUGAUACUUUAAUCCAAAUUAUAAUGGAUUAUAUAUAGGUUUUAAAACUAUAAGGGGUUAUGUAAAAAUUAGCUAUACCACGGGAGGAUAAAGUUUAAUUUGCCUGUCAAAGAUCAAUAUUUUCUACUAAUAGUUGCUCUCAGAGCUCAUGUAUAUGUUUGCUAUGGCCAAGUUGAUUCAUAUGCUCAUUUGACAAUUAACUUCUACUUAGUCCACGCUAUAACUUCAAGCUGGCUGCUUUUUCAACUACUAUUUUGGCAUCUCUUUCCUAUUUUUAACACCUUAGUGGUUAAUAUGUCGGACGAUUCAUAGAGCUUAUGAAACCGGCCAUAACCAGUAAAAUCCAAACUCUGGAACUGAUUUACUAUUUUUUUUUCUUUUACAAUUAAAUGUUUGAAUUGGGGUUGAAGAGUAAACAAAAAACUUAUCAUUUGCUUCACAAGGAAUUUUAUGUCUGUUCGAAACAACUAUUAGACAUGAUUCGGGAACAAUAGAAAAGUUCCAAAGUGGAUAUACGAGGAUCUCACUUACUAAUUUACAUGUUAAGUGAAAUCCACUUGACAUGUUAUAUAAAAUCAGGUGGAACCCUUGAAUGUUCUCAUGGAACCUUUUCAUUGGUUCGGAAACAAUUAUUAGGCAUGAUCGACAUAAAAUUUUCCUCCAUUUCACUUAGCAAUUCAAUUUUUUUAAAAAAAAAUUUUGAUUAAAUCAAGUUGCUCUUCCCCCAUUAGCACUAUCUUCUGUCUUUCAAUUCCUCUUCAAUCCAUACAUGAAUAUACCAUCGGAAAUAGUGACUAAACCCUUCCAUCCUUCCUUGGCACUCCCUUGCGCUAGCCAUGUUUUGAUCCGUAGACCAGGUCACUAUAAUCACAAAAAAUGUGGAUGUAUGACAAGCUUCUCAAUGUUCAAAUGCCCUAUAUUCACAAUUUAUUAUUGGAAUGGUACUCCCAAUUCCAUGAAGAUAAUACUAUUAUUCAUAAAUUUUAAUAAAUGACCUUUGUUUUUUCUUUUUCAAAUUUCGGCUACCAGAAAUAAUUUUAUAAAGCAAGGGGCAAAUAUUAACUUAAGGAAAAGUCAUGCACGAUCCAAUGGCUCUCUAUGUACAAGCUUAUUCCUCCAAUAAUUAAGUAGGAUGUUAAUGCUUAUACGACAAAUUGUAAAUGUUAACAACAGUUGUUUGACAUAUUAUAGAACUCAAAUAAUUGGCAAAUGUACACAUCUUUAGCCUUACAUAGAACUUUCAAUUAUUUAUUAUAUAUAUACACACAUAGAGACAUGUACAUAUAUACCAAGUGGCUAAGGAACUUUUCCAGUGAUUUUUGUCGUCCUCCAUUUGGUUAUGGUUUGCACGUGAGUCUUUGUUUUGCCAUUUUGGUUGAGUGAAGAAAGCUAGAAGUGUGAGGCUUGUUUGCAUAUUUUUUUUGGAUUAAUCUCUUUUACACUGAUAAUGUAUAUACUGUCAGUUAUGGACAAAUAAUAGUUAUGCAAAAUUUGAGUGUGAAAUUCAACUUUUAUACAUGUAUAAUAAAUCUAAUAGUGAUAAUGCAUAUAACGUCCGUGUAUAUAAGAUUUAGUCUUUUUAAUUGACAGUGGUAAUUAUAUCAUGUCCUAUUGGAGAUUAAAGUAUCGCACUUUUAGUGGUUGCGGGUUUAUUUUGUUUGUGUGUGAUUCAUUUUGUGUAGAGAAUCCUAUGAUCUAAAAAAGUAAGCCAAGUAGGUUGAAAACUCAGGUUCUUCAGUUGUAGCACAGAUUAGAAAGUAAAAAAAAAAAGCAGCAAAGUUAUAUUACCAAGACACCACUAGGUCACGUUGAGACAGGUGUUUGGACGCCUGGUUCUGAAAUACUUGCCACUCACAGCCACGGUGGGAAUAUAGUAGGCGUUGACAAAAUUCAACUCCAUAAUCAAAAUCUACAUAGAACACAGUCUUAUAAUGUAGCUACUACAUUAGAUAGCCUGUCCUUUCGAUUUUGCUUCAACAUCUAAGGAUAAUGCAGAAUCUCAGCAUUAGAGUUCUUCUUUUGAUUUCCUCUGAUCAAAUGGAAGGUAUAACUAUUGUUUGAUUUCCUCAUUUGAUUCCAUCUAAAUAGCAUAAAAAGCUAUUUGAUUCUUUCUAUAGAAAUUCUUUCUGCUAAUGCAGUUUAGCUUCCACUACUCUCCCAUUUAGUCUGCCUAUGAUCCAUGCCGAGAAUUCUUAUAUACAGCUUGGGCAUGUCCUAAAAGUACAGGAAAAAAGAGGAGGUAAAGUGACAGGUGUCGAGCCUGUGCAAUAAUAAAUACCUGCUCGAGAAAAAUAUAAAUUUUCUAUGUAUAGUAGUGAGCAGGAUCAAAUCCACAGGGACUGGAAAAAAUUCGAUUCUUUUCAAGUUCGGGACACGGGGGAUUUUUAUCAGAAUGAAACUAAAAAUAAUUAAACAAUUUAACCAAAAAUAAAUGAUUAAUUAAUAUGAAUGUAAAUAGAAAUUAAAUAAAUAAUAAAUAAAUUCUAGCCAAAGAUACAACUACGCAGACAUAGUCCAUUCAUCUGAUCAUUGAUGCAAAGAAGGUUCACUUAAUUUUAUUAACAGGUUAGUUAUAGUCGCCGAUAAGUUUUGACGACCAAUUUUUCCUUAAUUUAUUGAUAACCAAGGUACGACCGUUGAUUACUUUUAAACAGGAAAUACUCCUAGGUUCGACUGUAGGAAUUAAUUUCCUAAUUGCCUUAAAAACUAGAAAAGCCUAACCCAAAUUAAUAACACGCUACGAAGGUUAUUUAAAUCAAAUUGCAUGUUCCCCUAGUAUGUGAAAAUACUAGUUGCAACUUAUAUUAACCAAUUAAAAAAUUACGGAUUUAAUUGAUUAAUUUGACAGGAGAUUAAUAAGUCAAAUUGCACAUCGGACCCUUGAUAUCCAAUUAACAAAAUAAUCCCAUGAAAAUUCAAAUAGAAAACAUGCAAAUAUUAACAAAUUAAGGAACACAUGAAAAUUAAUUCGAUCUCAUAGAUAUUUGGAACUGCGUCGUCGUGUUGAUCCUUGAUUAGAUGAGAAGAUUAGCCACGCCUCAUAAGAAAGUUCCCACAAAAUUUAAUAGAAUUCAAAGGCAUAAAUAACUCUUGAAGAAAACCCUCACACCACAAACAAGAGAAGGAACAAGUUCCUCUCUUAAAACUAAAACUCCUAUCUUUUCCCCCGUAGAGAGAAACUAGUCUAUUGUUCUUUGCAAACAUAAAAACAAGCCAAAUGGAAAACUUCACCCCACGUCCACAAAAGAACCAUUCUUCUUCUACCUAAUCAAUCCCACCGAAAACAAAAGCAAAAGCCAACUUUUGUUUGUCGGGCUUCCUUUGACCAAAUGCACACGACCACAAGAAAGCAAUUAUCCUACUACCAUAAGAAAGCAAACAAAAGGCACACCAUCUUUAGACAAUAACUAAUUCUUCGCGGUCCCCACCAAAUUGAGAUGUUGGCUUGCCAAAUUCCUUAUUUCCUAUUGCUAGUGGACUACAUCAUAACAAUUCAAUUCUUCAAUUCUUCAUCAGCACAAGGAAAGGAAAUCCGUUGGUUUUGUACCAUGUGGGCCAGUUGUGUAAAGCUUUUAGAAGCUCUCACGUGUGGAGUAAUCUUCUCAAGAAGGUUUUUGCUCCACUUUCUGAAAUUGGGUUCAAAUACCAGAUAUAAGUAUAUGUCACAAUUAAAGCAAUAUUUGGCGAGGUCAAAGAGGAAAAUUAACAAUAAAAUUACUAACAAUUGACACCCUAUCAAUUCCCCUCACACUUAAAUCAUGCUUGUCCUCAAGCAUAAGAACACUAAACUCAACAAUGGCUAGUUCUCAUGUCAUCUAUUGCCAAGUUGUGUUUACACCAAAAUCAAGGUUUAGAGGCUAAGUGUCAAGACAUAAUUCUCCCGGUUAGUUCCUGAAAUCAUAGACUCGUCCAUUUCAUGGCUAACUCGUCUAAGAAAUAAAAAUAGCAAAAAUUAGCAAUUGGGUCAACUGACAACUAAAAUCUCAACAUUGAAGAACAAGGAUCGGCAGGCCAACAUGAUCAUAAGCUUACACAUUUUUUUUCUUUUUUUUUUUAAAUAAAUGCUCAGUCCCAAGCUAUUCAAGUCUUUUGACGUGAACUCUGACAUUUUUAGAUGAAAGAGUCCAGUUACUCAACUCUUCACAGGUUCAAGACUACCUACUCAUAGAUAUCGCCACUUUUUGACGCGAUAGUCGACACUUGUGGAAAAGACUCCCGGUUACUGGGUGACGACACUAGUGGAGUAGAGUCAUUUAUUAAUCACAAUUAAAGUACCAGAAUACCAGACAGUUAAAGAUCAUGGCCCAUAUCAUCUCCUAACAUGGAAAACUGAGUCCACAAUCGCCCAAUCCACACAACAAUCUAAAGAAACAUGCUUUUGCACCAAGUCAUUAAACUCAUGAUAUUCACCAAGAUAACAUGCUUUUGCUUGCCACCUAAACAAAAUUCAUAGGAUAAAUCACAACCAGCAAUAGAAGAGUGAGUUGCCACAUUUAUUCAUCAAGACAACAGUAAGAUAAGCAGCAAAUUUAAAGAAACAUCAGUCGAUUCAUCAAGACAACAGUAAGAUAAGCAGCAAAUUUAAAGAAACACCAGUCGAAUUCAAAUCCCCCCCACACACUUAUAGCACACAUUGCCCUCAAUGUGACAAUUAAACAGUAAAAGCAAGAAUGAGGGUAACGGGACUUCCCUAAAACCACAGGGAUCGUGUCAGGGUCGCAUCGGCGGGUGAGGGAAAGUUAUGGCCGAAAGAAAAGAAGGAAAAGGAGAAAAGGGAAAUGGGAGAGAAGAAAGAAAUAAAGAAAGAAAAGAAAGAAAGAAAGAAAAAAGAAGAAAGAAAGAAAGAAAAAGAAAAGAGAAAAAAAAAUAGUUUUUGAGGAUUUUUUUUUUUUUUUUUUACAAACUCAAAUUUCAAAAUUCGAAUUGUGAGAACCAAAACUGAAGGUGUAAAAUGGAAAAUGUUUUUAUUUUGAUUUUUUUUUGUUUUUAGGUUGUUAAAUACAGCGUGGGCACGCCAAGAUUAUAAAACGUCCACUGACCUCAGGAGUCACUAACAAGGCGUGGGCACGCCAAGAUUGCAUUUCCUGCCAAUGUCGCGAGAUGUUGAGAUUUGACUAACAUGGCGCGGGCACGCCAAGAUUGGUAAACAUCCACUGACCUCAAGAAUUACUAAAAUGGCGUGGGCACGCCAAGAUUGCACUUCCUGGUCAUAGUGAAGGAAAAUAUUAAGAUCGACUAUUACUCAACUGAGAAACGACAAAAUGAAAGAAAUGAACAAUAAAAAAUAAUAAAACCAAUAUUUGGGUUGCCACCCAAAAGCGUCUUUCUUUAAUGUUUUUGGCUAGAUCUAACCCAGAAUUUGCUUAAACUAAGCAAAUCGGGUCCUCCAAUUGCAUCAUCUCUACCCGUUCAAUCGGAAACCCUUCAUAAUACGGCUUGAGACGGUGACCAUUCACCACAAAUUUCUUCUCCUUUUUCAAACUCCGGAUCUCCACUGCACCAUAAUCAAAGACAUUAGUCACAAUAAAAUGACCAAUCCAACGAGAACGUAAUUUACCUGGAAAUAACUUCAAUUUCGAGUGGUACAGUCGAACUUUUUGUCCACAGAUGAAUGUCUUCCUAGAGAUCUGUUGGUCAUGAAAGAUCUGAUUCUUCUCCUUAUAGAUCACUGCAUUCUCGUAUGCUUCAUUUCGGAUUUCUUCAAACUCUUGUAAUUGCAACUUCUUUUGAAUUCCGCCCUCCUCGAUAUCCAUAUUGCAUUAUUUGACCGCCCAAAACGCUCUAUGCUCGAACUCGACCGGUAGAUGACAUGGCUUCUCAAAUACCAACCGGUAAGAGGACAUUCCAAUGAGUGUCUUGUAUGCCGUCCUGUAAGCCCAUAGUGCAUCCUCCAGGCUCAUACUCCAGUCUUUCCUAUCAGGUCGGACCAUCUUCUCUAAAAUCAACUUGAUUUCUCGAUUUGAUGCUUCCGCCUGACCAUUUGUUUGAGAAUGGUAGGAUGUGGAGACUUUGUGCAAGACACCGUAUCUCCUAAAAACUGCAGCGAUCGUCUUGUUGCAGAAAUGAGUACCCCGAUCACUUACAAUUGCUCUCGGCAUCCCAAAGCGGACAAAAAUGUUAGACUUAAUGAAUUCUGCAACCACUUUGGAAUCAUUAGUGCGGGUGGCCUUUGCUUCCACCCAUUUCGAAACAUAAUUUACAGCAAGCAAUAUAUACAAAAAACCAAAGAACGAAGGAAAAGAACCCAUAAAGUCAAUACCCCAAACGUAAAAAAUUUCAACAAAAAUCAUUGGGGUCUGAGUCAUUUGAUCCUUAUGAUAGAGAUUACCUACUCGUUGACACUUAUCACAGGACUUAUAAAAUGAGUAGGCGUCUUUGAAUAGGAUCGGCCAAUAGAAUCCACUUUCUACCACCUUACAAUCCGUCCUCUUCGGUCCAAAGUGACCUCCACACGCAAAAGAGUGACAAUAUGUUAGAAUGGAUUGGAAUUCAACCUCACUUACACAUCUUCGGAUAAUUUGGUUGGCACCCCGCUUCUAGAGAUAAGGACCAUCACAAAUAUAGGACUUUGCAUCGCUCCUCAAUUUGUCUCUCUUAGCCUUAGGCCAUCCUGUAGGAAACUUGUCAGUGACUAGAAAGUUAACCAUAUCCGCAUACCAAGGCAAAGAUGAGUUAAUAGAAAAUAAAUGGUCAUUGGGGAAUGCUUCUCUCAAUGGGAGCUCAUCUUUGACGACUUGUACUCGACUCAAGUGAUCUGCUACCAGAUUCUCCGUACCUUUCUUAUCUCGGAUCUCUAGGUUGAACUCCUCUAGCAAUAAUAUCCACUGUAUCAAUCAUGGUUUAGCCUCUUUCUUGGUCAACAGAUACCGCAAAGCUGCAUGAUCAGAAAAAAUAAUAACUUUAGCACCAAGUAAAUAAGAUCGAAAUUCUUCUAAGGCAAAAACAACCGCCAAGAGCUCCUUUUCGGUGGUUGAAUAGUUCAAUUGAGUUCCGUUCAAGGCUCGAGAUGCGUAGUAGAUAGUAUGGGCUGCCUUUCCCACUCUUUGACCCAGUACCGCACCCACUGCAUAGUCGCUGGCGUCGCACAUGAUCUCAAAUGGGAGGUUCCAGUCGAGGGGUUGGAUAAUAGGUGAUGAGGUCAAUAGCUCCUUUAACUUAUCAAAUGCCCUCUUACCUGUUUCAUCGAACUCGAAGGAUACAUCUUUUUGCAAAAGUUGGAACAAGGGUGCUCCAAUUUUCGAGAAAUCUUUGAUGAACCUUCUAUAGAAACCUGCGUGACCCAAGAAGGAACGAACUUCCGGCAUACUCGCGGGGUAAGGUAAAGUAGAUAUAACAUCUAUUUUUGCCUUAUCAACCUCGAUACCUGUAGAUGAUACUACAUAACCUAAAACUAUCCCGUGUUCGACUAUAAAGUGGCAUUUUUUUCAAUUAAGCACGAGAUUAGUUUCUAUACACCUUACUAAGAUUAAUUUCAGGUUAUCUAGACAAUUUUCAAAACUUUUAUCAUAUACAGUGAAAUCGUCCACGAAAAUCUCAAUAAUCUUCUCAACAUACUUUGAAAAGAUACUUACCAUGCAUCUUUGGAAGGUAGCAGGUGAAUUGUACAAUCCAAAUGGCAUCCUUCGAUAUGCAAAUGUUCCAAAUAGGCACGUGAAAGUAGUUUUCUCUUGGUUCUCGGGUGCAAUGGAAAUUUGGAAAUAACCUGAAAAUCCAUCCAAGAAACAAUAGUAAGCUCGACAUGCCAAUCUCUCUACUAUCUGGUCAAUGAAAGGGAGGGGAAAAUGGUCCUUUUUCAUGACGGCGUUUAGCUUCCGAUAAUCGAUACGCUGUCGCCAUCCAGUGGGUUUUCGAAUUGGUACGAGCUCACCCUCUUGGUUUGAUUCCACCGUCAUCCCUGCCUUUUUCGGGACCACCUGUACUGGACUCAUCCACGGGCUAUCUAAUAUUACAAAUAUAAUUCCAACGUCCAGCAGCUUUAAAAUCUCCUUCUUUACGACCUCCAUCAUGAGAGGAUUUAAUCUUCGUUGAACCUGCCGCACGAGUUUAGCACCCUCCUCGAGUCGAAUUCGAUACAUACACACUCGGGACUAAUUUCUUUGAUGUUGGCAAUGGUCCAUCCUAUCGCCUGCUUAUGUUUCCUAAGAAUUCAAAAUAGUUUGUCUUCUUGAACCUUUGAUAAACCCGCGGAGAUGAUCACUGUAAGUGUCUCCCCUUCACCCAAGUAUACAUACUUCAGAUGUUUCGGCAGCGGUUUCAGUUUCAAAACAGAUGUUUGCACCACAUAUGGAAGUAACCUUUGGUGAGGUUCGGGUAUGAAAAUCGGUGCAAGAUCAUACCUUGUCUUUGUGGUUGGUAACGUUUGCAACGAUCCAACCACACAUUUAAGCUCUUCACUCAACUCUAUCCCAGAGGUCAUCUCGGACUCGAAGUGCCUGGUUAAGACGACCUCUAACGCAUCCCUGCCUUCAAUUUCAAAAACCUCCUGUAUAGCAGGGUUAAUAACAUUUAUCGAGAAAAUAGAGCUAACAUUUGAAUCGGAUGGAUAUUUUAUGGUCUCAAAGAUGUUAAAGUGAACAAUCUCACCAUCAAAUUUCAUAGACAAAGUACCCUUAUUAACAUCAAUUUUAGUUCGGGCUGUGCUCAAAAUGGGUCUACCUAACAAUAAAGGUGACGGAUCAUGGGAGUGUUUAUCCUCCAUGUCGAGCACAUAAAAAUCAGUUGAAAAAAUCAAUUCAUUAAUUUUUACCAAAACAUCUUCAAUCAAUCCAUCAGGGUAUGCAUUGGUCCUGUCAGCUAGUUGGAUUAUUAUCCCAGUCUCUUUCAAAGGGCCUAAAUUCAAGGAAGCAUAAAUGGACUUUGGCAUGACAUUAAUCGAAGCUCCUAGGUCUAACAUGGUCUUUCCGAUCAAAAUAUUACCUAUCCUACAAGGAAUAGUAAACAUACCUGGGUCCCCGCAUUUUGGUGGAAGUUUCCUUUGUAGAAUUGCUGAAACAUUUUCCCCAACUAUAACUCGUCCAUCCCUCUUCAAUUGCUUGUGGUUGGCACACAACUCCCUCAAAAACUUUGCGUAUUUGGGUACUUGUUUAAUCGCAUCCAACAGGGGUAUGUUGAUCUCUACCUUGCGAAAGAUCUCUAAGACUUCUUUCUCCUUAUCUUGCUUCUUUAGUUUCUCUAACCUGUUAGGAAAGGGAGGUGGAUUAGUCUUAACUGUACUAAUUGGGUUUGGGAGUACCUUUGUAUCUUUGUUGUCUCUGCCCUCCUCUUUCAACUCUUUCUCAAUCCGUUUCUCGUCCUUGUCUUUAGAAAUCACAGGUUCGGGUCCUUGGACUUCCUUGCCACUCCUCAAGGUCAUUGCGCUUACAUUCUUUGGAUUCACCUCAGGUUGAGAUGACAAACUUCCCUUGAACUUGGGACUCCAAACGGUUGAUCGUUAUGGCCAUUUGAUUCAUUUGAUUUUACAAUGAUUGCACAUGUCCCAGUUGAUUCCUCAUGCUUUGCAGGUCUGAAUCCGUCUUUUGUUGAUUAGUAAGUAAUUGUUUCAUCAUCUCUUCCAUGGACGGGCUUGAAUUUGAAGGGAGUGGUGGUGGAUGAAGACGGUACUGCUGUGGGUGCCCUUGCUGUCUAAUUGACACAAAGUUAGACUGCCUAUUCCCUCCAUAGCUAAGGUUGGGGUGAUCCCUCGAACCAAGAUUGUAGGUACUUGAGUAUGGGUCGUACUGCUUUCUUGGCGCGAGCGCGUGGCCAACCAUAUUCACCUGUUCUGCAGUUUCUUCCUGAACCAGCGGAUACAUUUCCAUAGGAUGGCCCACGGCAGUGCAUGUCCCACACACUUUGGCUUGUGAGGCACUCCCCACAGCUAGUUGUCGUACGAAAGACGUCAAUUCGGAGAGUUGCUGUUGGAUAGAGGACGUUUCUACCUCAUUUACCUUACGCGUCGUGAUGCCCUCUCUUGAACCAAACUGCUGUGAGUUCUCAUCCAUCCCUUCAAUCAACUCCCAUGCUCCUCGAGGAGUUUUGUUCACCAAUUCCCCUCCACUUGCAGCAUCGAUUAUACUUCUGUCCCUGAAAAGUAGUCCCUCAUAGAAAUAUUGGAUGAACAGUUGCUCACUUAUCUGAUCUUGAGGGCAUUUGGUACACAGUUUUUUAAACCUCUCCCAGAAUUCAUAGAGAGACUCGCCUAGGUGUUGUUUGAUGUCACAUAUCUCCUUCUUUAGGCUUGCAACUCGAGACGCCGGAAAGUACUUGUCCAAGAAUUUUUUCUUCAGUUGGUCCCACAUGGUGAUACUGAUAGGGCGUCAUUUGUUAGUAAUUUUAUUAUUAAUUUCCCCUUUUAUCCCUGCCAAAUAUUGUGUUAAUUGUUGAUAUCUACUUAUAUUUGGUAUCUGGACUUAAUUUCAGGAAUAAAACAGAAAACUACCAAAAAGGAGGGACUUUAUGGAGAAAAUGGAGACUUCUAAGGGUUUCAAUCCUUGGGCCCUUGAAUUGGUGGGGGACCACAAAGCUAGUGAAGGAUAUUUGGUCAUUUGGGCUCUUCAAAGAAAGCAACGUAGAGAGACUUGGAACAAGGAGUAAUUUGGAGACUUUGUCCACAUGUGUGGGGACCACCUAGAUAGCUCUUAGUCAUCUUCCUUUUGGUCCUUUAAAAGGGAACAAUGUAGAGAAGAAAAGGACGGCUUGAGUUUUAGCUUUUUAGUUUAGUUCUAGUUUUCUUUCUUUUGACUGGCCUCUGACACACGCCAGGUGUUCGACAAUAUUCCCCAACGGGGAAAACAUCUUUUAUUCUCUGCUUUCUAUUAAAAAAUGCAAUGCCUUUGCAAUCUAUUAAUUCGUAUGGUGAUUUAAUUAUGCGGCGCAGCUAAGCCUCCCAUCUAGUCAAGGGUCAACUCGACGGCGCAGUCUCGAAAAUCUGUGAGAUCUAAUUAGUUUUCACGCAUUUCUCAAUUUAUUAAUAUUUGCACGUUGUCUGCUUGAAUUUUCUUGGGAUUAUUUUAUUAAUUGGAUGUCAAGGGCCCGAUGUUCAAUGUGAUUUAUUAAUCUCGUGCCAAUUUAGUCAAUUAAAUCCGUAAUUGUUUGAUUGAUUAAUAUUAGUGGCAACUGGUGUGUUUACACAUUAGGGAACGUGCAAUCUAAUUUAAAUAACUCUCGUAGUGUGUUAUUGAUUAGGGUUAGGUUUCUCUAGUUAUUAAUGCAAUUGGCAAAUUAAUUCCUACGGUCGUAUCUAGGAGUAUUUUUCUGGUUAGGGGUGAUCAAUGGUCGUACAUCGGUCAUCUAUAAAUUAAGGAAAAAUUGGUCGUUAGAGUUCAUCGGCGACUAUAACUAGUCUAUUAAUAAAUUAAGUGAACCUCUCUUGCAUCAAUGAUCGGGUAAAUGGACUGUGUCUGAGUAGUUGUAUCCUUGGUUAGAAUUUAUUUAUUCUUGAUUUAAUUCCUGCUAUAUCUGUGCUAGUUAAUUAUUUAUUUUUAGUUGGAUUGUUUAAUUAUUUUUAGUUGCCUAUCGGUGAAAUCCCCCUCUUACCAAUUGGAUUUUAAAAGAGACAAAUAUCUCCAGUCCCUGAGGAGACGACCCUAUUUGUCACUGUCUACUAUUCAGUAAUUUUCGUCAACUAAUUAAUUCUGGUAUAUCGGAUUCAGCAAACUCUUCGGGAACAGGGUGAAUCAAGUAACCCAUUGCACACCUAGAGUCCCUGCUCCAGUAUCUAGGAUUAAUUUUUGACUGCUUUUAGUAGUAUUUAAGUUUUUAUUAUUAUUAUUGCACAGGUUCGGCACCUGUCAAUUUUUGGCGCCGUUGCCGGGGACUGGCGUUAUUAUUUGUUUCUUUUUAAAUUCAUUUUUGUUCUAAUUUUCUGGCAUUUUUCUAGCGUAUGCCUCGGUCUUCUCGUACAGGUGAUUUGAUUUUUGACCCUGAAGUAGAGAAGACCGCGCGUAGAACGAGAAAGGAAACCAGACAGCUCAGAGAGGAGCAAUCCAGUGCUACGUCUCAGAGACCUGAGUGAGAAGUUGAACCAACAGAUUCAUUUGGUGACACUUCGAGUGACUCGGAGCAGGAAGAAAUCCCCAUGGCUAAUGCACGAACAUUAAGGGAGUUGGCUGCUCCUGAUUUAAAUCAACAGCCUUUAUGCAUUACUUUCCCGAGUUUGAGUGAUAACACUUCAUUUUAAUUGAAAUCGGGUCUAAUUCACCUUUUACCCUCUUUUCAUGGUCUACCAGGUGAGAAGCCACAUAAGCAUCUGCAGGAGUUUGAUGUCGUGUGCAACAGUAUGAAGCCCCCGGGAAUUACAGAAGAGCAGAUAAAAAUGAGGGCAUUUCCCUUUUUCUUGAAGGAUUCUGCAAAGGACUGGUUGUACUACCUACCGCCAGGUAGCAUCACCACAUGGGACCAAUUGAAGAAAAAGUUUUUAGAUAAAUAUUUUCCUGCAUCCAGGGCUGCGAGUCUAAGGAAAGAAAUUUGCGGGAUCAAGCAGCACCCAGGGGAGUCACUCUAUGAGUAUUGGGAACGGUUCAAGAAGUUGUGCGGCAAGUGCCCCCAACACCAAAUAAGUGAGCAGUUGCUCAUACAGUAUUUUUAUGAGGGGCUCCUUUUUAGAGACAGGAGCAUAAUUGAUGCUGCAAGUGGAGGGGCACUGGUGAACAAAAUCCCUCGGGAAGCAAGAGAGCUAAUAGAAGGGAUGGCAGAGAAUUCACAACAGUUUGGUACGAGAGAGGAUGUCCCAGUACGUAAGGUGAAUGAGGUAGAAACAUCCUCUAUCCAGCAGCAGCUAACUGAGUUGACCUCGUUUGUUAGGCAACUGGCUGUAGGAAAUGCAUCUCAGGCCAAGGUGUGCGGGAUUUGCACUGGUAUGGGUCACUCUGCAGACAUGUGCCCAAUGACUCAGGAAGAAACUGCAGAACAGGUUAACAUGGCUGACCACGCGCCCGCGCCAAGAAAGCAGUACGACCCUUACUCAAGCACCUACAAUCCCGGGUGGAGAGAUCAUCCCAACCUCAGUUAUGGAGGAAAUAGGCAGCCCAACUUUGCACCGAACAGGCAGUCUAAUUUCGUGCCAAAUAAGCAACCAGGGUACCAGCAGCAAUACCAACCCCGACCACCUCCGCCCCCAAACUCUGGUCCAUCUUUGGAGGAGAUGAUGAAACAAAUGAUGGCAACUAUUACGCAAAAUCAGCAAAGGACGGAGGCAACCAUUAUGCAAAAUCAGCAAAGGACGGACUCCGAAAUGCAGGACAUAAGGAAUCAGAUAAGUCAAAUGGCUACUACCAUCAACCGUUUGGAUUCCCAGAACCAAGGUAAAUUACCGUCUCAGCCUGAAUUAAAUCCGAAGAACGUGAGCGCAAUGACCCUAAGGAGCGGGAAGGAAAUUCAGGGGCCCGAGUCUGUGACUCCUAAGGACAAGGACAAGGAACGAAUCGAGAAAGAAUUGGAAGAGGAGGGCGGAGACACCAAAAAUCCAAAGGUAAUCUCGAAUCCAAUCAUUGCAGUUAGGACUAAUCCACCUCCCUUUCCUAUCAGGUUUGAAAAAUCAAAGAAGCAGGACAAGGAGAAAGAAGUCCUAGAGAUCUUUCACAAGGUGGAGAUCAACAUUCCCCUUCUAGAUGCAAUUAAGCAGGUACCCAGAUACGCAAAAUUUUUGAGGGACUUGUGUGUCAACCGAAGGCGGUUGAAGGGAGAUGAGAGAGUGGUAGUGGGGGAAAAUGUGUCAGCAAUCCUACAACGAAAGCUUCCACCGAAAUGCGGGGACCCAGGUAUGUUCACUAUUCCUUGUAGAAUAGGCAAUACCUUGAUUGGAAAGGCUAUGUUAGAUUUAGGAGUCUCAAUUAAUGUCAUGCCGAAAUCUAUAUAUGCUUCUCUGAAAUUAGGACCUCUGAAAGACACUGGAAUAAUCAUCCAACUGGCUGACCGAACCAAUGCAUACCCUGACGGAUUGAUUGAGGAUGUUUUAGUGAAAAUUAAUGAAUUGGUUUUUCCUGCUGAUUUUUACGUGCUUGAUAUGGAUGAUGAACACUCUCACGACCCAUCACCUUUACUGUUAGGAAGACCCUUCUUGAGCACAGCUCGAACUAAAAUUGAUGUAAAUAAGGGCACCCUAUCUAUGAAAUUUGAUGGUGAGAUUGUUCAUUUUAAUAUUUUCGAGUCCAUGAAAUAUCCUUCAGGAUCACAUGCUGGCUUUGUUUUCUCUAUAAAUGUUAUUGACCCUGUUGUACGAGAAGUUUUUGAAAUUGAAAGCAGGGAUGAGUUGGAAAUCGCCUUGACCAGGCACUUCGAGUCAGAGAUGGCGUCUGGAGUAGAGUUGAGUGAAGAGCUCAAAUGUGUGAUUGGAGUGUUGCAAACGUUGCCAACCACAAAAAUAAGGUAUGGUCUCGCACCCGUUUUUACACCUGAACCUCACCAAAGGUUACUUCCAUCUAUGGUGCAGGCACCUGUGUUGGAGUUGAAACCGCUGCCGAAACACCUUAAGUAUGCAUACUUGGGUGAGGGGGAGACACUCCCGGUAAUCAUCUCCGCGAGUUUAUCAAAAGUCCAAGAAGACAAAUUGAUUCAAGUUUUGAGAGACCAUAAGCAAGCGAUAGGAUGGACCAUCGCCGAUAUCAAAGGAAUUAGUCGCGCGGUAUGUAUGCAUCGAAUUCGACUCGAUGAGGAUGCUAAACCUAUUCGGCAGGCUCAAAGGAGACUGAAUCCCCUUAUGAUGGAGAUAGUGAAGAAAGAGAUCCUGAAACUGCUGGAUGUGGGAAUAAUCUUUGCUAUAUCAGAUAGCGCCUGAGUGAGUCCGGUACAGGUGGUUCCAAAGAAAACAGGGGUGACGGUAGAGUCAAAUCAGGAGGGCGAGCUCGUACCAGUUCGAAAGCCCACCGGGUGGCGGCAGUGCAUAGAUUAUAGGAAAUUGAAUGCCGUCACGAAAAAAGAUCACUUUCCCCUUCCUUUCAUUGACCAAAUGGUAGAGCGAUUAGCGGGUCGAGCUUACUAUUAUUUUUUGGAUGGAUUUUCAGAUUAUUUCCAGAUUGCUAUCGCACCUGAGGACCAGGAGAAGACUACCUUCACGUGCCCGUUCGGAACAUUCGCAUACCGGAGGAUGCCAUUCGGGUUAUGCAAUGCACCUGCUACCUUCCAACGAUGCAUGGUAGGUAUCUUUUCAGAGUAUGUUGAGAAGAUUAUUGAGGUUUUUAUGGAUGAUUUUAGUGUUUAUGGGGAAAGUUUCGAUGAUUGUCUAGAUAACCUGAAAUUAAUUUUGGUUAGGUGUAUAGAAACUAAUCUUGUGCUCAAUUGGAAAAAAUGUCAUUUUAUGGUCGAGUACGGGAUAGUUUUGGGUCAUAUAGUGUCAUCUAAGGGUAUUGAGGUUGAUAAAGCGAAAAUAGAUGUUAUAUCUACUUUACCUUACCCUGCGAGUGUGCGGGAAGUGCGUUCUUUCUUGGGACAUGCAGGUUUCUACAGGAGGUUCAUAAAGGACUUCUCCAAAAUUGGAGCGCCCCUGUUCCAACUUUUGCAAAAAGAGGUGCCAUUUGAAUUCAAUGAAACAUGUAAGAAGGCAUUUGAUAGGUUGAAGGAGCUAUUAAUCUCCUCACCUAUUAUCCAACCGCCCGACUGGAACCUGCCAUUCGAAAUCAUGUGUGACGCUAGCGAUUAUGCAGUGGGCGCGGUGCUGGGUCAAAGAGUGGGGAAGGCAGUCCAUGCUAUCUACUACGCAUCUCGAGCCUUGAACGGAGCUCAGUUGAACUAUUCGACCACCGAAAAGGAGCUUUUAGCUGUAGUUUUUGCUUUAGAGAAAUUUCGGUCCUAUUUACUUGGUGCUAAAGUUAUUAUCUUCUCUGAUCAUGUAGCUUUGCGGUAUUUGUUGACCAAAAAAGAGGCAAAACCACGACUUAUAAGGUGGAUACUAUUGCUACAAGAGUUUGAUCUGGAGAUCAGAGACAAGAAAGGGGCCGAAAAUUUGGUAGCAGAUCAUUUGAGUCGAGUACAAGUCACCGAGGACGACCUGCCACUGAGAGAAACAUUCCCCGAUGAGCAUUUAUUUUCUGCUAAUUUAUCUUUGCAUUGGUAUGCAGAUCUUGUUAAUUUCCUAGUUACUGACAAGUUUCCUGCAGGAUGGCCUAAGGCAAAACGGGACAAGUUAAGGAGUGACGCAAAGUCUUACAUCUGGGAUGACCCUUACCUCUGGAAGCGUGGUGCCGACCAAAUCAUUUGCAGAUGUGUAAGUGAAAAUGAAUUCCAAUCUAUUUUAGCUUAUUGUCACUCUUUUGCAUGUGGAGGUCACUUUGGACCAAAAAGGACGGCUCGUAAGGUUCUAGAGAGUGGAUUCUAUUGGCCGACCCUCUUUAAGGAUGCCUACUCGUUUUGUAAGUCAUGUGAUAAGUGUCAACGAGUGGGUAAUAUUUCUCGUAGGGAUCAAAUGAUCCAAACCCCAAUGAUUUUUGUUGAGAUUUUUGACGUUUGGGGUAUUGACUUUAUGGGUUCUUUUCCUUCGUCUUAUGGUUUUCUUUAUAUAUUGCUUGCCGUAAACUAUGUUUCGAAAUGGGUGGAAGCAAAGGCCACCCGUAAUAAUAACUCCAAAGUGGUUGCAGAAUUUGUCAAAUCUAAUAUCUUUGUCCGCUUUGGGAUGCCGCGAGCAAUUGUAAGUGAUAGGGGUACCCAUUUCUGCAACAAGACGAUUGCUGCACUUUUCAGGAGGUACGGUGUCUUGCACAAAGUCUCCACUUCUUACCAUCCUCAGACAAACUGUCAGGCGGAAACAUCAAAUCGGGAGAUCAAGUCAAUUUUGGAGAAAGUGGUUCGCCCCGAUAGGAAGGAUUGGAGCAUGCGACUUGAAGAUGCCUUAUGGGCGUAUAGAACGGCGUACAAGACGCCAAUCGGCAUGUCCCCUUAUCGUUUGGUAUUUGGGAAGCCAUGUCACCUCCCUGUCGAGUUCGAGCAUAGAGCAUUUUGGGCAGUUAAACAAUGCAAUAUGGACAUCGAAGAGGGCGGAAUUCAAAGGAAGUUGCAAUUACAAGAAUUGGAGGAAAUUCGCAAUGAAGCCUAUGAGAAUGCUGUGAUUUAUAAGGAGAAGAAUAAGAUAUUUCAUGACCAGCAGGUGUCUAGGAAAACGUUUGAAUGUGGGCAAAAAGUUCUACUGUACCACUCGAAAUUGAAGUUAUUUCCAGGUAAGUUACGUUCUCGUUGGAUCGGUCCCUUUGUUGUAACUAAUGUCUUUGAUUAUGGUGCAGUGGAGAUCCAGAGCCUAAGGACGGAGAAGAAAUUUGUGGUAAAUGGUCAUCGUCUCAAGCCGUAUUAUGAUGGGGCUCCAAUUGAACGGGUAGAGACAAUGCAUUUGGAGGUCCCGAUUUGCUUGGUUUAAGCAAAUUAUGGGCUAUGUCUAGCCAAAGACACUAAAGAAAGGCGCUUGUGUGGGAGGCAACCCGAAUAUUGAUUUUAUUGUUUUUAGUUGUUUAUUUCUUUCGUUUUGUCGUUUCUCCAUUGGGUAGUAUCAAUGCUAAUAUCUCCUCCACUGUGACCAGGAAGUGACAUCUUGGCGUGCCCACGCGGUGUUUGUAUCUUCUGAGACCAGAGGACGAAGACCAAUCUUGGCAUGCCCGCGCGGUGUUUGUGUUUUCUGAGACCAGAGGACGAAGACCAAUCUUGGAAGCAAAUUUAAUGAAUUCAAAUUUCAGAUUUAUAUUUUCAUUUUGGAAGCAAAUUUUGUCCAGAAAAUUCAAUGCCACUUAAUUAAUUUAGACCUUGUUUACUAACCCAAUUCAGCACUUAAAUUUAAUAGAUUCAGAUCUUAAUAUGUUCUCAUAUGUUUGAUAACGAAAAAUUGAACAUUUGAAUUAAUUAAGUGGUAUUGAAUUUUUUAGGCAAAACUUGUUCCAAAAAUAAGUGAUAAAUUAUUCAUUUAUCAGUGAAUGUAAUACACUCAAAUAUAUUUGAUUUAAUAUUUAACAAAUCAAUAAUUUAAUGAAAUUAGAUUUCAAUUUUGAGACUCUAGUUUUAUCAGACGCACCCUUAAAUUGUGGGAAAUUGAGUUAUAAAAAAGGACCUAAAUUAUUUAGUAUAAAUCACGUUUUAUAUUAGUAAAGUUAGUGGAAGAACUAGUAUAAACCUCAUUUGCGAAAUAUAAAUACGAGUAUCAUUUGCCAUACAAAUUACAAUCCAUUAACUCAAUAAUACUGGGAAUGAAACACCAGACUCAGAAAAGAAUGGCGAAAAAACUUGCGACUGCAAAAACAAAAGAAAAAGCAAAAGAAUUGGAAGAAGAAGCAAUGAAAGUGGAAAUGAAAACCAAGGAGGAGCUGAAGCCCUGGGAGCAGCACUCUGCUGUGAUCAUCAUUCCUCGUUUUGACUACAACGCCCCUCUUCUCUCCUCAGUCAUUCCCACUCCGGAUUCCUCAUCACCUGCCCCAUCAGUAAGGCCUCUCAUCCCAUCUCUUCUGUCCAGAAAGCUAUGUUCUUUUUUUUUUUUUGCUAUUUUUGUACCUUAUUGGCAUUUAUUUAUAUAAUUUGCAUCUGGGUUUUUGAAAUUUUCAAUUUGAUUGUUUGGGAUAGUCUGGGCAGUGUGGUGAUUGAUAAAAAGGCUUCCUUUGUUAUGUAGAGAGGGAGAAGAGUGCAACAAAAGAAGCCAUGUCAAUUCUUGAAAAGGUAAUGAAUUCUACUAGUUUUGUCUCUUGUCAGUUCUCUGGAAUAAUGUCAAAAUAAGGAAAUUUUAGACAUAAAGAAAAUUCAUGCUGACUUGAGAAUUAGGACAGUUAAAUUGGUUUAGUAAACUUGGUUUUAUGGGAUUCUUAAAUUCUAGGCAAGGUUGGGAACUUGGGGUAUUUGGAAGUGAAUAAGACUGUAGCGGACUUGAAUUACUGGUAUAAUGUGUUCGCUGCAAUAAUUGUUUUGGUUUAAGAUGAAGAGUGGCAAUGUUACGGAAUUGGUUUCUAAAGAAAGAAAUGUUUGAAAGAUUAAGCAUAAGUAAACGGGGAAUGGGACGGCGACUAAUUGAUAAAACUGAGGAAGUUUGGAGAACUGGGUGAGCUGUGCAGAAGAUAGGCACAGGCAUAUUGUGUUGACAGGUGCCGAACCUGUGCAAUAAUAAAUACUAAAAAGUCCUAAUUACCACCACAAUUAAUUAUAGAACAAAUCCGAGUACGGGAACAGGGACCCUAGGUGUGCAAUGGGUUACUUGAUUCACCCUGUUCCCGAAGAGUUUGCUUGAUCCGAUAUACCAGAUUUGUCUAUACAAAUAUUAAUUUUGCGUACAAUGGCAAGUAGGGUCGAUUCCACAGGGAGCAAGUAGGAAAUUAUUUCUUUCCAAAUCAAUAGAAUGGGGGAUUUUUAAUAGGAUGUAAAUGAAAAAUAAGAAUAACACUAAAGCAAACUAAAUUCAAAACUAAUUCACAAAGCACAAGUUACUAAAAGUAGCAAUUAAUGAAAUUCUACCCAAAGGAUCAACUGCUCAGGCACGGUCCAAUUAAAUGAUCAUCGAUGCAAAGAUAUUUCAUUCAUUAAUUACUAGGCUGGUUAUAGUUAUCAACAAGUUCUGACAACCAGUUCUUCCUUACCUUUUCGACAGUCAAGGUACGACCAUUGACUGCUUCUCUAACCAGAUAACAACCCUAGGUACGACUGUAGGAAUUUAAUUACCCAAUUGCACUAAAAUUAGAAGAACCCAACCCUAACUAAUAAACACGCUAAGAGGGUUUAUUUAAAUUAGAUCCUACGUUUCCCCAACAUAAAGCCAAUUAUGGUGGUUGUCACUAGGUAUCAACUAAACGAACAAUUAAGGAUUCAAUUUAGUUAAUGUGACAGUAGGCUAUUAAAUUAAAUCAAAUACUCGGCCGUUGAUAUUCAAUUAAUAAAACACACAUGAACAAUUAAUUCAGGAAACGCACGAAUAUCAAUAAAUUGAAAGAAAUAAUGAAGAUUCGAUUAGAUCUCACAGAUAUUAUGGACCGCGCCCUCACGUCAACCUUUGGGUAGAGGAGGAAAUUAGCCGCUCCUCAUCGUAUCAAUUUCGCGUGAUUCAAUUGACAUCAUCCGCACAAUUACCCAAGAAUCAAUUGCCCAGAAAUUGGGGAGGAUGAAUUAAUCGAAGAAACAAUCAACGAAAAACCUAGCUCUGUCUUGUAUUGGAGCCGCAAUUACAAAGCAAAAGCCAACGGAGAAUUGUCAAAGGCGAAAGGAGCGAAUUCAAGAGUCAGAGUCGCAUAAAGUAAAAACUACAGAAAAGGAGAAAGUCUCCAAUGUCUGACCCAAAGCCGCAGAAGAAACAAAAGAAAAAAACAAAAGCGUCUGACCAAAAAUUGCAAAAGGUAAAACUAAAGCUAAAAGUAGUGAUCCCCCCGAAUCUUGUUUUUUCCUCCUUUUUAUAGCCGCCGUCAGUAGUAUUCCUCCCAGGAGGAGGCUUUUGCCUAAGGGGCGCUGAUCCCACGCUUCAGGUUCACGUGGACCGGGGUCCGGCUUUUCGGCAACGUCUACCUUGUCUGGCGUGGCCACGCCCUAAAAUGAAAGGUCUUCUGGAAUUUUGCCUCGUGAAAGCACUUUUUACACCAACCACCUAUAAUUCAUACAAAUAUGAAAUAUUCAUACAAAUAUGAAAUAUGAGCAAAACCUCAAUAUUUAGCACAGUAAGUAGCCAAAAUUAGGACAAAAUAACCGUGCAAAAUGUGCCAAAUAAUUGCUCUAUCAAAUCCCCCCACACCUAGACAAUGCUUGUCCUCAAGCAUUUCGAAGCUCAGAAGUACAACCAAGAGAGCAAAGGUCAUGUAGUAAUCUAUACUAACACAAAUAUUUCAGAUCCCUGACAAUGUUGCCAAAAUUAGAACACGCCGAACAGGUAGUAGUUCAAAGAAAAUAUAUGAAUACUAGGAACGUUCAAAUCAACAUCACGGAAUACCAUUACCAUAGGCUUGCACAUUUAUCAAAUCUCCACCACUCAAAAGUGAACUAAAUACACAAAUCAAAGGGACUUUAAUAGGGUUGUAAUGGGAUUUAGAUAAAAGGCGGGAUAAGAGGGUGAAAAUAAGGUGUAAUGUGUCAAGAGAAUGUCCGAUAUCCACCACAUAACCACAACGCUUUACCGGGGAAAUUUCCCAAGCAGGGCGUUUCCAUUUGCUAUUCCCACUGUGCAAGUGCCGCCAUUUUUUUUUUCUAACGACAACUCGCAAGGCGUGGGCAUGCCUUGUAGGCUGGAGUCUUCUGUUCACGAGCCCCCCUUGAACUAAAAUUUUUUUUUUCUCUUUUUUCUUUUUCUUUUUCUUUCGAUCUCAGAUAUACAGAAACAGUACCAUACAGCAUCUACUCUGAAAACACUUGCGACCAUAGAUUUAUUUGCCUUGUAUAAGUAAUGAAUUUCAGACAUCUCUUUAUGACUCAAGGUUGAACAAGAAAGUCUAAAAAAAAGAAAGGUCAUGGGUUAUCAAACACGGCUAACAACCGAAAGCGGAGGAUAGAAUCUCUAGUUGGUUUACUAUUGGGAGACAAGAUGAAUGCAUGAUUUUUAGAAAGUUAAAGGAGAUUACAUCCUAAAUGCCCUUAUCAUUUCAAAUGCAUCCAAUUCAACAAAAAUGUGGUCUCGACAUGUAUAAACUAGCAAGUUCUAGAAUGCCAAUACCAUGUGUGAUACCCACUCAAUCAAACAAAAAUAGAGCAAAUAAGAAUAGUGUGCUCAUGUAUGGCUCAAAAGCUCACAAGAGUUUCCAAAAAUGGGUCAAGUCCCGUAUACUCAAUAUCUAACAACACAGUCAAGGGAAGACAAAAUGCAUAGCUAGUAUAUUUACCCACAUACCCACGCACCUUGAUUAUGUCAUUCAUCACAGCAACAUGCUCCAGCAUUAACAAGCAUAGAAAUAAACAAAAAGCCGACUAACUACAAUGUUUUCAUCAUUUUUUUUUUCAUUUUUUCCAUUUUUUUUUGUUUUUUUUUUGUUUUUUUUUUGAGUAACAAAGCAAAAGGAAAUAAUGGAAGCUAUUCCCCCACACCUAAAACCUACAUUGUCCUCAAUGUAGAAAAGACAAAUGAAGUAUUAGGAGAAAAGAAGAGAAACUUCCCUGACCACCGGGGAGGGAAAGCGAGACACUAAGGCGGAAGAGGGUGAGGCGGCGACGGACGCAACACGAACAGGAAGGAGAAGACUGAAGCUAAAACAAAGUGAAAAGGGAUUAGACAAGACAGGAUAAAAAAAAAAGUAGAAAAGUGGGGUUAGGAGAAAAAAAUUUUCUUUUUGACUUUCGUUUUCGGAAGGGUUGGAAGGCGUGGGCACGCCUUGGAAGUUAUAGUCUUCUGACCAUCAAUUCCAAAACUCCAUUCCUAAGGUGUGACGACCUAGCGUGGGCAUGUCUAACUGCCAACUUCCUGUCACAAAAUAACAACCCACUAAAUGACACUAUCACUUAACAAAAAUUUCAAAAAUAUAAGAAAACUAAAACAAAAGAAACCUUGGAUUACCUCCCAAGCAGCACCUUUCUUUAAUGUUUUUGGCUAGACAUAGCACCACUCUUUAGUCUGGAUGUAAUUGAAUUUUCCUUGUAAUUGGUGGCCCUCCUCCGGGAUCCACGUGGCCAUUGAGUGCAACCUUUUUUCUAAAUUUUCUCUCCAUUUUCACCUCAUGAAUUGCUUUCAUCCUAUAGGACUUGUUCGCAGCAACCUUGAAUUUACCCCUACAAGCAAACUUAGAAAAUUCUUGCACAGAGGGAUUAGUGGCAUAAAUAGCAAACACAGAAUGGGAGUUAACAGGAUGUUUCAUUGUAUCAAAAAUAUUGAAGUGGACUAUUUCUCCAUCAAAUUCCAUCGUGAGAGUACCCUUACUAACAUCAAUUUUAGUCUGGGCAGUACUAAAAAAUGGUCUUCCUAAUAUAAUGGGUGAUGGAUUUGGGGCACUUCUAUCAUCCAUGUAAAGCACAUAAAAAUCAGCAGGAAAAAUUAAUCCAUCUACUUGCACUAAAACAUCCUCAAUUAUCCCAUCCGGAUAAGCACAUGUACGAUCAGCCAAUUGAAUUAUUAUCCUCGUUUCUUUUAAUGGUCCUAAAUUUAGAGAAUCAUAGAUUGACUUAGGCAUCACAUUAAUAGAAGCCCCUAAAUCUAUCAUGGCAUUUUUGAUACUAGAAUGUCCAAUCUUACAGGGAAUAGUAAACAUACCUGGAUCCCCGUAUUUGGGUGGAAGUUUCCUUUGAAGUACAGCUGAUACAUUCUCUCCUACCAUCACUCUCUCAUCACCCCUUAGCUUUCUUUUGUUAACGCACAAGUCUUUCAAGAACUUUGCGUAUUUGGGUACCUUUUUGAUCACGUCCAAUAGGGGGAUGUUUACUUGAACUUUGCGGAAUACAUCCAAGAUUUCUUUUUCCUUUUCUGCCCUCUUUGUCUUUUCCAACCUGCAAGGAAAAGGAGCUAGAUUAGAUUUAAUAGGGAUCGAAGGAAUAGAUGUUACCUUAGGCUCUUCGCGAAUGCGCCCUUCCUCUUCAAUCUUCUUUUCUAUCUCCUCCUCACUUUUGCUUUUUGGAUUUUCCACUUUAGGCCCUUCCAGUUCCUUGCCACUCCUUAGUGUCAUGGCACUUACAUUCUUGGGAUUUAUCUCGGGUUGCGAUGGUAAUUUCCCACAAAUGUGGGACUUCAAGCGGUUGAUGGCAGUUGCCAGUUGGCUUAUUCGGGCAUCUUGGUCUUUCUUAUCCGCUUUGGUGUCCUGUUGGAGCUGCGUGGUAUUCGCGACCAAGGAUCUGAUCUCCUGUUGGAGCUGAGUAGUAGUCGUGGCCAGGCUUUUGACAAUAUCCUCCAGGGAGCUCCCUGAAUUGGAGGACGAGGGUUGAGAUUUUGCUUGCCAUGGCAGGUGGAAUCCUGGUUGACGAUUAGGGAAAUGAUUUUACUGCCUGUUCCCAUAACUGAGAUUGGGGUGGUCCUCCAACUCGGAUUGUACGUAUUGGAGUACGGGUCGUAUUGCCUGCGGGGCGCGGGCACGCCUCCGGCCAUGUUUACCUGUUCCGCCUCGUCCUCUUGCAAAAUGGGGCACGUGUCCGUGCAGUAGUCCAUGCUAGUACAGAUUCCACUCACCUUCGCUCGCGGCGUGUCUCUCAUGGCUAAUUGCCUAACAACAGACGUCAAUUCUGACAGUUGUUGCUGUAUGGAUGAAGUCUCUACCUCGUUGACUCUACGGGGAGGGUUGCUCUCACGGAAGCCAAAUUGCUGGGAGUUCUCUGCCAUGGCUUCGAUAAGCUCCCACGCUUCCCUCGGUGUCUUGUUUACAAGUGCUCCCCCACUCGCAGCAUCAAUGAUACUCCUAUCUGUUGAUUGGAGCCCUUCAUAGAAGUAUUGGAUUAACAGUUGUUCACUAAUUUGAUGCUGCGGGCAUCUAGUGCACAACUUGUUAAAUCUUUCCCAGUAUUCAUACAAUGACUCACCGGGAUACUGUUUAAUGCCGCAGAUCUCUUUCCUCAAACUCGCAGCCCGGGAUGCAGGGAAGAAUUUUUCCAAAAAUUUCUUUUUCAACUGUGCCCAUGUGGUAAUACUACCCGCUGGUAGGUAGUAUAGCCAAUCUUUUGCUGCAUCCUUGAGAGAGAAUGGGAAAACUCUAAGUCUUAUCUGCUCCUCAGUGACCCCAGGAGGUUUCAUGCUAGAGCAAACUACCUCGAACUCCUUGACAUGUUUGUGGGGUUCUUCCCCAGAAAGACCGUGGAACAAAGGUAGGAGGUGAAUCAAUCCCGACUUCAGCUCGAAGGCGGUAUUCUCAGCCAAAGUAGGGAAUGUGAUGCAUAAGGGCUGGUGAGUCAGCUCCGGGGCAGCCAGCUCCCUUAAUGUUUGGGUGUUGGCCAUGCUUACUUCGUCUUCUACUGACUCGUUUGCAAUAAAUAAGUGCCCUUCUUUUCGUCUCUUGGUCUCUUGCCUCCGCCUACGCGCUGCCUUCUCAACCUCAGGGUCGUAUAUCAAUUUACCUGUGUGAGAAGAACGGGGCAUAAACUAGCAAAAAUACCAAGAAGAAUAAAAUAAAAAUGAAAAUUGAAUUUGAAAGGAAACAAAUAAUCCAAACGCCAACUCCCCGGUAACGACGCCAAAAAUUGACAGGUGUCAAGCCUGUGCAAUAAUAAAUACCUACUCGAGAAAAAUGUAAAUUUUACAUAUAGCGGUGAGUAGGGUCGAAUCCACAGGGAUUGUGAAUAACUUAUUUCUUUUAGAGUUCGAAGUAUGGGGGAUUUUUAAUGGGAGGUAAAUGAAAAAUAAGAAUAACACUAAAGCAAACUAAAUUCAAAACUAAUUCACAAAGCACAAGUUACUAAAAGUAGCAAUUAAUGAAAUUCUACCCAAAGGAUCAACUGCUCAGGCACAGUCCAAUUAAAUGAUCAUCGAUGCAAAGAUAUUUCAUUCAUUCAUUACUAGGCUGGUUAUAGUUAUCAACAAGUUCUGACAACCAGUUCUUCCUUACCUUUUCGACAGUCAAGGUACGACCAUUGACUGCUUCUCUAACCAGAUAACAAACCUAGGUACGACCGUAGGAAUUUAAUUACCCAAUUGCACUAAAGCUAGAAGAACCCAACCCUAACUAAUAAACACGCUAAGAGAGUUUAUUUAAAUUAGAUCCUACGUUUUCCCAACAUAAAGCCAAUUAUGGUGGUUGUCACUAGGUAUCAACUAAACGAACAAUUACGGAUUCAAUUUAGUUAAUGUGACAGUAGGCUAUUAAAUUAAAUCAAAUACCCGGCCGUUGAUAUUCAAUUAAUAAAACACCCAUGAACAAUUAAUUCAGGAAACGCACGAAUAGCAAUAAAUUGGAAGAAAUAAUGAAGAUUCGAUUAGAUCUCACAGAUAUUAUGGACCGCGCCCUCACGUCAACCUUUGGGUAGAGGAGGAAAUUAGCCGCUCCUCAUCGUAUCAAUUUCGCGUGAUUCAAUUGACAUCAUCCGCACAAUUACCCAAGAAUCAAUUGCCCAGAAAUUGGGGAGGAUGAAUUAAUCGAAGAAACAAUCAACGAAAAACCUAGCUCUGUCUUGUAUUGGAGCCGCAAUUACAAAGCAAAAGCCAACGGAGAAUUGUCAAAGGCGAAAGGAGCGAAUUCAAGAGUCAGAGUCGCAUAAAGCAAAAACUACAGAAAAGGAGAAAGUCUCCAAUGUCUGACCCAAAGCCGCAGAAGAAACAAAAGAAAAAAACAAAAGCGUCUAACCAAAAAUUGCAAAAAGUAAAACUAAAGCUAAAAGAAGUGAUCCCCCCGAAUCUUGCUUUUUCCUCCUUUUUAUAGCCGCCGUCAGUAGUAUUCCUCCCAGGAGGAGGCUUUUGCCUAAGGGGCUCUGAUCCCACGCUUCAGGUUCACGUGGCCCGUGGUCCGGCUUUUCGGUAACGUCUACCUUGUCUGGCGUGGCCACGCCCUGAAAUGAAAGGUCUUCUGGAAUUUUGCCUCGUGAAAGCACUUUUUACACCAACCACCUAUAAUUCAUACAAAUAUGAAAUAUGAGCAAAACCUCAAUACUUAGCACAGUAAGUAGCCAAAAUUAGGACAAAAUAACCGUGCAAAAUGUGCCAAAUAAUUGCUCUAUCAUGUGUUGUUCAAAUGCAUUAGGUAUUGGAGAGGGGGGAACAAACAAACUAAAGUUGUUUACUGUUUUAAACGUGAUAAAUUUUUGGAAAUGAAGUGUAAUGCUAAUGGUCUUCAUUUGUGAGAAUAAUGGCAAAAUUAUGCAUUUAACACUAUUUCCAUCUGUUGAACUUAGUCUAGGAAAAAUGUUUAUGAUUUUUGGGUUCUAAACUUGAUUAAGAUUUCGGUUUGCCGACAAACAGAAGGAUAAGAUGUCAAUUAUCCUGCCAAUAGGUUAUUAACAUAUGAGUCUAGUAGCUGGUUUCAAAUUUUUUUUGCAUAUGAUCUUCCACUUCAUCCAUUUAUUUGUAGCCGGUGCAUUUUUAGGUCACAGAUUAGUAUGGUUUAGUCCUUGUUUACAAGUCUUAUUCAACUUGUUUUGCUUACACUCUGUCAUUUGUCACUUGGUUCAAUCGAGUGACUGCUUAAGUCUGCUGUGCCUUCUUGAGUAAAUGACAUGAUUCGACAUCCAAAAUGCAUCACUGGUUAAAUUCUUUAUCACUCACAGCUUUCCAGUAUAUAUAUAUGAGUUACCAAUUUCCUUGAAUUUGAAGAGGCUUAUGGAUACAUAGUAACCUUAGCUUAAGCUUGAGCACAUAACUCAUACAGGGUAGGCACAAAUUCACCUUACUAAUACAGAACCUUUGCAUUGUUUUCUUUGAAAAUAAAUCAGAAACAAUAGAUAGAAGAUAUGCAAUAUUUUCUGGCAUAAGAAAAUUUUUUUAAAUAUAAAAGCAAUUUAAUAAGUGUAUCGUUAUAUUUCUCUAAAGAAUGACAUGGUCUUAAGUGAUCAUAUUUCUGGAAGGAGAAGACCGUUAGUCCAAUUUUGUUAGGCAUUUGAGACAUCAGAUAUUAUAUGCAUGAAAUAUAUAGCUGAUUGCCAAUCAUCUAUUUUGAGUUCUCAAGAAAUAGAUAUAUAAGCUUCAGUUUUGCUUUUAACAUUAAAAAGGCAUUCUUCAUUGCAGCAGCUUUGGAUAAUUGUCUUUUAUUCAUACCUAAAGAGACUUGUAUAGGCAUGAGAUGUUGCACUCUUCUAGGGCCCAAAUAAUAAGUGGACAAUUUAGAGUUAGCUUAAAAUCUUGUGGCAGACAACUUGUUUGCAAUUGUUUUUGGAUAUAUUUACACCAGAAGCCAAGCGUUGCUGAGGUUCAUCACUAUGUGACAGAAAUGAAUGAGUUUUAGUUAUAUUUGAAGUCCUCUCCAAUGCCUGUAUCAUUUUUAUUUCUUGGACCUCUCUUGUUGCAAAAGGAAGACAAAUGAUGAACCAACUUGGAGAAGGGGGAGGUGUGCAUCUGGUGCUUGCAACAUUCUAUUCUUUUAACUUCACAGAGUUUUUAUAAAAGCUGUGUGCUGAAAUAGGGCUUCAAACUGAUGUUGAUAUAUUGAUACAUUAUGCGUUCCAUUCUUUUUUUAUGAAUGCCAUCAAUAUUCACGACUGAUGCAAACAAUGAAGAGUUUAAGGGAAGAGUAAAUUUUAAUAUUCUUGGGAACUUGGCUGAAGAUCCAAUUUACCCACUUUGAAGAAUGGGUAAUCUUUUUAGGAUCUCGUGUAUUUAUUAAAAAUUUAAAUUCUACGUAUUUCAGUAGACUUGAAAUUUAUGGUGCUUUAGUAGCUUAUGGGUAUUUUACUUGUUAUGGGUAUUGGGUAAACUGACAAUGGACACUUCGGCCGUUGUUUGAGACCAUAGGCUUAUUCAUUGACUUUGAUGGAAGGGCUUUUAAUUGAAAUGUUGGGAUUCAUCACCUCAAUUUCCUGUCAUAAGAUAUUCUGGUCCCCAGGGCUGAGCUGAAGCCUGGUACGUAUUGCAUGUACUACUGUACACACACCCACAGAUCCAGGUUUGUUAGGCCAUCCGUGAAGGAGUUAUUUAAGUUAUUCAUUGGUGAAUUUUUUAUGCAUCUUUGUCUUGGAAGUGAUGUCCUAAACCUUUGUGUCAUAUGUGGCUUUCUUCCUGACUUUUUACUAUCAUCUUCCAUUGCAUGUGGUUAUUUUCUUUUCCUGUCCUUGAAUAUACACCAAUGAGAUAGUAAGAGUUCAACCUAUCUUCCCCACUGUCAAAUAACAUUCAAUGUUAAAAGCUUGUGUUCAAAUUUUGUAUGAAUGAGUUUGCUG